rnacentral:lncRNA from 1 species
UUUCGCAGUCUAUCUUAGCAUUAACAGUGUUCAAGAAGGGUCUACCAAAUAUAAUGGGACAAAAGCUAUCUUGUGGGGAACCAAGAACAAGAAAAUCAGCAGGAUAUUUAGCCUUCCCACACAAGACCUCAACAUCUCUAACAAUCCCAAUUGGUAAAAUAGUAUCUCUAUUGGCAACCUUAAUGGUAACAUCGAUAUCUUCUAUCUCAGCCGGUGCAAUAUCAUGCAUAAUUUCUUUGUAUAAGUAAAUAGGUAUUGCACUAGCACUAGCACCCAUAUCACACAAGCCAUGAUAACAAUGAUCUCCUAUUUUAACAGAAAUAACAGGCAUGCCUACCACAGGUCUAUGUUUAUCUUUAGCACCAGGUUUAGCAAUUCUAGCAGUAUCAUCACAGAAGUAUAUAACAUGCCCAUCGAUAUUAUCAGACAAGAGAUCUUUAACAAUAGCAAUAUUAGGUUCAACUUUAACUUGCUCAGGAGGUGUAUAAGUUCUAAUAUUACUUUUACGAACCACAGUUGAAGCUUUAGCAUGAUCCUUUAUACUAACAGGAAAAGGUGGUUUCUCAACUUAAGCAGUAGGAACAAUAGGAUCAUUAUAAGUGAUAGUCUUUUCUUCAACUUUAAUAGGUUCAACUACUUUUACUUCUAUGGGAGGAUGAUAUUUAAACCACUCUCCUUAGGGAGAUCAACAUGAGCAGCAAAAGAUUCACAGAAAGAAGCUACUAUCUCAUAGUCAAGUCCAUAUUUAGUGCUAAUAAAUUUACGGAAAACAUCGGUAUCCAUAAAAGAUUUAACACAAUCAAACUUAGGUGUUAUACCCGACUCCUUACCUUCGUCGAGAUCCCAAUCUUCAGAGUUGCGUUUAAUUCUUUCCAGUAAAUUCCAUUUGAAUUCAAUAGUCUUCAUCAUAAAAGAGCCAGUACAUGAAGUAUUGAGCAUGGAGCGAUUAUUGUGAGAAAGCCGAGCAUAAAAAUUAAUAAUCAUUUCUCUUGAGAGUACAUGAUUGGGGCAUGAAUAUUACAUUGACUUAAGCCUCCCCCAAGCUUGAGCGAUGCUUUCUCCUUCGCGAGGCCAAAAAUUAUAUAUAUAAUUACGAUCACGAUGAACAAGAUGCAUAGGAUAAAACUUCUGAUGGAAUUCCAAUUUCAACCGUUUGUAGUCCCAUGAUCCCAUAUCAUCACAUAGCCGAUACCAUGUCAAUGCAUCUCCCUUCAAAUAUAAAGGGAAGACCUUCUUAUUGAUAACAUCAUCGGGCACACCUGCAAGCUUAAAUAAUCCACGAACUUCAUCCACAUAGAUUAAGUGUAAAUCGGGACGCAAUGUUCCAUCUCCUGCAAAAGGAUUAGCCAGUAGUUUCUCUAUCAUACCCGAAGGAAUUUAGAAGUAAACAUUUUCAUUUUCAGUAGGUUCAGUAGGUUGAGGAGCAACUCUUUGCUCUACUGGUCGAGGUGAAGAUACCCCGAACAAGCCCCUCAAAUGAUUACUUUCCAUAGUAACAAGUGACAGUAAAUUUCAGCACACUAUAUAAAAUUUUCAUUACCAAAUUCCACCUACCAAAGGCGCUUCACUCCCCGGCAACGGCGCCAGAAAAGAGUCUUGAUGACCCACAAGUUUAGGGGAUCUCUCGUAGUCCUUUCGGUUAGUAAGAGUGUUGAACCCAACGAGGAGCAAAAGGAAAUGACAAGCGGUUUUCAGCAAGGUAUUCUCUGCAAGCACUGAAAUAUAGGUAACAGAUAGUUUUGUGAUAAGAUAAUUUGUAACGGGUAACAAGUAAUGAAAGUAAAUAAGGUGCAGAAAGGUAACAAGUAAUAGAGAAAAGCGCUCCCUGAGGACACAUGGGAAUUAUCGUCAAGCUAGUUUUCAUCACGUUCAUAUGAUUCGCGUUCGGUACUUUGAUAAUUUGAUAUGUGGGUGGACCGGUGCUUGGGUGCUGUCCUUACUUGGAAAAAUAUCCCACUUAUGAUUAACUCCUAUUGCAAGCAUCCGCAACUACAAAAGAAGUAUUAAGGUAAGCCUAACCAUAGCAUGAAACAUAUGGAUCCAAAUCAGCCCCUUACGAACCAACGCAUAAACUAGGGUUUAAGCUUCUGUCACUCUAGCAACCCAUCAUCUACUUAUUACUUCCCAAUGCCUUCCUCUAGGCCCAAACAAUGGUGAAGUGUCAUGUAGUCGACGUUCACAUGACACCACUAGAGGAGAGACAACAUACAUCUCAUCAAAAUAUCGAACAAAUACCAAAUUCACAUGACUACUAAUAGCAAGGCUUCUCCCAUGUCCUCAGGAACAAACGUAACUACUCACAAAGCAUAUUCAUGUUCAUAAUCAGAGGGGUAUUAAUAUGCAUAAUGGAUCUGAACAUAUGAUCUUCCACCAAGUAAACCAACUAGCAUCAACUACAGGAGUAAUCAACACUACUAGUAAUCCCAGGCUAUGAGAAAAAGAUUGGAUACAAGAGAUAAACUAGGGUUUGAGAGGAGAUGGUGCUUGUGAAGAUGUUGAUGGAGAUUGGCCCCCUCCCGAUGAGAGGAGCGUUGGUGAUGACGAUGGCGAUGAUUUCCCCCUCCUGGAGGGAAGUGUCCCCGGCAGAACAGCUCUGCCAGAGCCCUAGAUUGGUUCCGCCAAGGUUCCGCCUCGUGGCGGUGGAGUCUCGUCUUGAAAGCUUGCUUAUGAUUUUUUCUCGGACAAAAGACUUCAUAUAGUAGAAGAUGGGCACCGGAGGGCCACCAGGGGGCCCACGAGGCAGGGGCGCGCCCAGGGGGUAGGGCGCGCCCCCCACCCUCGUGGCCAGGGUGUGGGCCCCCUCUGGUAUUUUCUUCACUCAGUAUUUUUUAUUAUUUCCAAAAAUAACUUCCGUGGAGUUUCAGGACUUUUGGAGUUGUGCAAAAUAGGUCUCUAAUAUUUGCUCCUUUUCCAGCCCAGAAUUCCAGCUGCCGACAUUCUCCCUCUUUAUGUAAACCUUGUCAAAUAAGAGAGAAUAAGCAUAAGUAUUGUGACAUAAUGUGUAAUAACAGCCCAUAAUGCAAUAAAUAUCGAUAUAAAAGCAUGAUGCAAAAUGGGCGUAUCAACGACCGCCCGUCCCCGUCGGCCCGCCGCCACCCAUUGCUUCCCCUUUCCCCAUUCUUCCUCUUCUCUGGCGAGCUGGUGCAGAUGUCCACCUCCUCCGCCACGCACUGAAAAUGGCGUCAGUAUGGUCCAGUGCCGCUCACAAGGUGCCCUGACUGCCCACGCCCAGAGCCUCUAAAACGGUGGGUCAGUAGAACUGAUGAGAAUGGAAAUCUUGGGCGGGAAUUUGUGAAGUGCUUGAGCAAAACAAUGGCAGAAAGGGAUGGCAAGGUUAGAUCUCAGUUCUUAGCCCAUUCUUUCACUGUCGUUUGCUCUGAUUUAUCCAUAUUUUGUUUUUUUCCUCGAAUUUGGAAUUUAGGGUUCAUGUUGUUGUUUUUUCCUCGAAUUUGGAAUUUAGGGUUCAUGUUGUUGAUUUAUCCAUAUUUCAUGUUGUUGAGAGGAUUCAGUUCGAGGGCUACAUUGAUUCGAGCGGGGCCGCAACCUGGGAGCUCAAUUUGGGGGGAGGGGUGCCGCAGAUGGAGAAUUUGGGGUCGAGCUUGGACAGAGGGGCGGGCAGAGUCGUGUCGAUGGCUAGGUAUGCGCGCAAUGCUGAACUGCACUUGGAGUCUGAACUAACCGAGGAACUGAAGAUAAUCAAGAAAUCAAAUGGAGAUGAUCAAUCUGCAGAAGCAAGCAAAUAUCAUGGCAGGGGGGGUUCUAUUGUUGUGUCAUUGCUCUGUUUUUGUUUUACUUGUUGUUCAUCCGUCAUUAGAGGGAGCAUUUAGGUCUAUCAGGGCAGAGGAUGCGAUCUGUGCGCCAUGCCAAGUUCAUGUAACUGAAUCGAAGCAGAAAUAUUCUAUGUUGAUGCUUUGUUCUUGUUCUUCAGUUAACAGAGUGCACACCCCCCAAAUUCAGUUUCUAGUAAGAAAAUCUUGCUGCCGAAUAGAUGUUGGGCCAUGAAAAAACAACGAGGCCCAAAUAGAGACAAGCCCACCCGCGUAGGGGCACCAGCCCAGUUUUAUAGCAUAGAGGCACCCAUGUUUAAAAAAAAUGUUCGACUAAAAACUCAAAAUAAAAUAUUGCUUCGGCAAAUAAACCUUUAACAAACAUAUACUUCUUUACAUAUUUGUUGCUUGUCCACGCUUGCACAAAAUAUUGGCCAGAGGUAAAAUUCAAACUAAUAUUUUUAGGAGCACAGAAAUAUUUCUUUUGUGACCAAUAAUUGUUUGCAUGAACUAAAAUAGUUGCAUUUCCAUGGUUGCAAAAAAAAUUGCACCGUACACCUAAUAGCUAGGGUGAUCCUAUUUGCAUGAACUAAAUUAGUUGCAUGUCCAUGGUUGCACAAAAAUUAUCACCGUACACCUACUAGCCAGGGCCUAGAUACAUGCAAGCACACAUGCAUCACACCAAGAUAUGAAAAAAAAUUGCAAAAAAAUUUGGGUACCCAUACACUUGCAUGUCCGUAGUGGAAGCUACCUUUUAUUAGUAAGACAUAGAUCAAAUAGGGAUCCAAUCAACUAGAUAUAACAUGGGUACCCAUAGAACAUCAAGCACCAUAUAUAUCAACUAACCAAUAUCAACUAGAUAGAAAAAAAUAACAGAUAGAACAUAGUAGCAUAAGUAGUAGCAUUGCAUAGAUAAGGGUAGCACGACAUAUAUAGUACCACUACAACAUAGAUAAUUCAUAGUUCAACCCAACACGACAAUAAUAAAACACCACCAGCUUGUUUGCUUGCUUGCUCAAAGGCCAAAUCCUCCAUGGCCAACUCCUUCACUCGUCGCCGUUGGUGGGGUACGGGAGGGUGUGCAUGCGCUCAUCGGCGGGGAAGGCACUGUCGAAGUCCGUGAAGAUGUUGUACAUGGUGAAUGCGAUGAACUCGCAUCCACAUCAAAAAACACGACCGAGGAGGUAGUAGGCGUCGAAGGGGUUGGUGAACCUCACGAUGAGCCCGAUAGGAUGGCCACUGCUACUGACCUCUUUGACACGGAACAUGGCCGGAGAGCCCCUCGGGAGGUGCCGGUAGCCGGCGGAGAGGAAGAACUCGGUCAGCCCCCUUGCCCCCCUCCACCUCGAGAUCGCCCACACCCGUAGGGUGUUCUCCACCCGGACUCCGGUAGGGUAGAGCCUCUCAGGGAAGGUGCGCGGCACACGGUAGGUAGCCCCGGUGAACUGCAUCUUGCUUGCUAGCUUUGAGUGGAUCUUGGAAGAUGGGAGAUGAAGGAGAGUGAGAGGAAGAUGUGGGUAGAGGAAGAUGUAGGCUUGGGUGUGCUUAAAUAGCCGAGGUGCAGUGUUUUAACGUUUUGUUUUCCUCUCCCUCGUAAUGGCAUGGGAAACGAGCAAUGUGGCAUCGAGUCACCCGAGCCAACCCGUGUGUACACGCGCAUGCAUUGUGGUAGUAAUGCCAAUGACCCGCGUAGCACUCUAGCAAUAAAAAUGCGUCGAGAGAUGAGCUCGAUGCCAUGCAUGCAGCGGCUAGCGGUCGGGCAUCUAGACCCAUCUAGAAUGGGUAAAUAGCCAUAAUGCUACGAGGGUGUCGGCGGGCAUGCUCGCCCGCGAUGCCAUCCAUGCAACGUCGAACGCUGAGAGGGCGGCCGCAGGAGGGCUACACGCGCGUGCAUGCUUUUCAGGCCGAAUGCAGCGUCGUGUCCAUCGGUCCAAUGGGUGGGCCGCUUUAAUUAAGCCCAACAACACAUGGCAGGCCUGCUUAGUCUUACAAUGUAAAAAAUGGGCUAAAACGACCAGCCAAUGAAAGCGCAACACGCGGAUCUGUGACGUGGCUCCUAAUCCAGACUGUUGCUUAUGUUCACAUCCAUCCAAUGGUCCAGAAUGCUACGUGUUAUAAUAUUCAGCAUCUUCGAAUCAGCCAAUCAGAGUGCUGCCUGCAGAUCGCUGACGUAGCCCUGGUGCCUGAUCCAGACCGUCCAUUCAUAGCGAUCCAAUGGCCGAGAGGAGUGUGGGGUUUCAAUGGGGUUUUGAGUGGUUUUCAGCGGUUAGGGUUGAGCAUAACUAAUUCAAAAAAAUCAAAAAAACUAUAAAACUUGUGUCGAUCAUCGUUCUAUGUGACUAAGUAUCUAGGAAAAAUAAGAAACUUGUACUACGGAUAUUUUCAUGAAAAAACCUUCACAAAAGAUGGCUAUCAAGAACGACCUUGUAGGGUUUUGAAGAGAAGUGAGCUAGGGUUUAGUGUCAAACAUGUCAUACUUUAUCGAAACAAUCCAAUAUCAGGAAGGACUCUUAUAUACACACACUAGAUGUCAAGUUUCCUUUUUGGGCUCAUUUAGAGAAGGUCGAAAAAAGCUUGCUUACAAAUGGGUCUGUUUUCCCUAGCUUUGGAGGGGUUUUGGAGGUCAUGUGGAGCACAUUUUUCAUGUCCAGAGUUUUACAUAAUAAAAGUGCUCCGAUUAAUCAACUAACAUGCAUAAUAGUCCAGAAAUCAUUGUAACACCAACACCACAGACCAAAUAACUUCAAAUUUGAAUUUUGUCUCAAAUUUGAAUUUUGUCUCAAAUUUGAAUAGUAUUACACAAAUACACAUCAUAUCAAAGUACAAAUAUCAUUACACAAAUUCAGGCAAGGUUUUAUUACUACAACAUACUAGCAAUACACAAGUUUCAACAAAUUUUCACUUCUGCUUCUUCCUACCACUCGAUUUGUUCUUCUUCUUUUUACCAAUGCUUGUUUUUGGUUGUACAACACCCAGUUCACUCAAGCUCUUGAUUUUCUUCACUGGACUUCCUGGAACACAAGCUUCAUUUCGCACCACAACAGUUGCAGUAUCAUCGGACCCAAUAUCACCAGUUGGCAACACAACUUCCAAUAUAGGCUCAGUUGGCACCACAUCAACUGGAAUAUCUUUAGUUGGCAACUCAACUUCCAACAUAGGCUCAGCUUGCACAGCAUCAGCUGGAAUAUCUUCAGAGGUACCCAUAGCUUCAGUUGGCACCAGAACAUCAAAAUCUUGCUCAUCUUGCAGCAGCACAUCCAAGUCUUGCUCAUUUUGCACCACACCAUCCAAGUCUGGUUGAAUGUGUAUUGUUUCACCAAAACUUCUCUUUCUUCUAGAGCCAUUGCCUCUUGCUUUUUUCUUUGGCCAGCACACUUCAACAACAAGGGGCUCACCUGCACGCUUCCUCCUAAAAAGAUAAAGCAUGUCAACUGGUUAGUAAUUGAAAAAUGCAACAAAAUAGUAAACAAUGCAAACAUAUGCCCACAUACUUUGGCCAUUCAUGAGUGUAACAACAUUUGGGAGAUCCAACUCGGUGCCCAAGUUCCUGGCACAACUUGCCUCUAUUUUUUUUUACCUUUUUGGGACCUUUUUGGCUUUGCAUUCUUCUUUCCCUUGCCCUUUUUACUACUCCCACCUUUCUCAAACCAUGCCUUGAAUCUACUUUCUUUAGGCCUGCCAGCCUUUCUUUUUGUUAGGGGAGGACCCAUGGAAAAUUCAAUUUCAACUUCAGGCCACUGAGACUGAUCUGUAAGUGCUAGAAUUGGAGUUGCAUAUGCAGCCUUGAAUCUUGCUACUAAGUAAUAUUCGUGCAAAUAUGGGUGCAUGUUUAUCUUCGGUCGGGAGGCCAAGAAAAGUAUGGCAUGACUCACAUGGUUUCCCAGUGUGCUGCCACUCCAAACAAGUGCAAUCAUGCAUUUCAGUGUUAACAACAUGCCUUCUACCAGUUUUGGUAUCUCUAACUUCAACACCCCACACAGAAGAUUUUUCAACAGAUAAAUGUGUAAGAUUUAUGCUCCUGUUGACCACCUGGUGUACCACUGCAGGAAGCUUAUCCCCUUGUAGACAAUCACCAAUCCUUCUUCUCAAUUCCCACAAGCGCAUGAUCAUGAUCCUGAUUUGGUCAACCAUGUCAUGCACAGGAAAAAAAUUUAACUGCUUCACCCUGUUGUUAAAACUUUCUGCCAAGUUGUUGUUGAUAUGAUCACACUUGAUGGCAGUGUUAAAUCCCGACCUAUACCAUAAUAGAGAAUGGUACGUGUUCACCCAUGGACCAAACUCAGGACAUGAUGUCAUUAUCAUACCAAGAUGAUAUUAAUGUGUUUGUUUAGUGUAAGAUCUUGCUGCUGGCCACAUACGACCAAAUUCUUCCCCUUUGAAUUUUUUGAUCAAAUUCAUCCACAUAUGGCCGAAGCACUCCCUCUGCUCACAAUGGGGGAAAACAUUCUUCACUGCGUUUUCUAGCCCUUUGCAUGCAUCUGUGUGGACUGCCAAAGGUGACACUGGACCUAUGCAUCUUUUCAACUGCACCAUGAACCAUGUCCACGAGACCUCUAUCUGUGACUGAAAUAAGCCAAUAGCAAUAGGGAACAUCCAGUUGUAUCGAUCCAAAGCAUUGCAAGCUGCCAAUUGACCAAUUGAAAGUGCACCUAUGCCUAGGUGGUUUUGGUAAUUCCUAACAACAUAUAGCUCAUUGAGCUAAUGAUAUCUCAAGAUAAAUAUUUCAGGAAAGCACAAUGAUUGGCAUGGCAUGGAUUAGAAAUGUGACCCCUCAGAAUACCAAGGACAAAAGAAUGGCUCAAGCUCUAAAGCUCAAGACUCUACAUUUUACUUUUAGUGAUCCAAGAUCACAUUGAGUCCAUAGGAAAAGCAAAUACUAUUAAAAGGGGAUGAGGUGUUGCUUAAUGGGUUGCUUGCUCAAAAUGCUUAGUGAUAUGCUCCAAAAACCCUCAACUACUUUCUCAUAUCCACAUAUGUCCCAAACCAGAAGUCAAACUCGGCCCCACCAAAACAUCCUAUCUGGCACCACCGAGUUCUCUUGACAUAGCCACUGCCACAAACCCUAGUCACUUUGGUCUCACCGAUAGGGAUCUCGGUAUCACCGAGAUGGGAUUGCAAACAUCUGUUUCCCUUCCUAACGUUUCGGUCCAACCGAGAUGAGCGAUCGGUCCCACCGAGUUUGCAAUGCAAACUCUCUGUUUCCCCUUCGUAACGUUUCGGUCUCACCGAGAUGAGCAAAUCGGUCCCACCGAGUCUGCCUCAUCAACUCUCUGGUUAGCUUAUCACCAAAAUCAGUCCCACCGAGUUUGUGUAAUCAGUCUCACCGAGAUUACGUUAUGCCCUAACCCUAAUGAAAUCGGUCCCACCGAGUUGACAUGUCGGUCCCAUCGAAUAUCCUAACGUUCACAUUUUGAACUAAAUCGGUCCGACCGAGUUUCAUUAUUCGGUCCCACCGAGUUUGAUGAUUUGUGUGUAACGGUUAGAUUUUGUGUGGAGGCUAUAUAUACCCCUCCACCCACUCUUUAUUCGUGGAGAGAGCCAUCAUAACAUGCCUACACUUCCAGCAUACAUUUUCUGAGAGAGAACCACCUACUCAUGUGUUGAGGUCAAGAUAUUCCAUUCCAACCACAUAAAUCUUGAUCUCUAGCCUUCUCCAAGUUGCUUUCCACUCAAAUCGUCUUUCCACCAAAUCCAAAUCUGUGAGAGAGAGUUGAGUGUUGGGGAGACUAUCAUUUGAAGCACAAGAGCAAGGAGUUCAUCAUCAACACACCAUCUAUUACCUUUUGGAGAGUGGUGUCUCCUAGAUUGGUUAGGUGUCACUUGGGAGCCUCCGUCAAGAUUGUGGAGUUGAACCAAGGAGUUUGUACGGGCAAGGAGAUCGCCUACUUCGUGAAGAUCUACCCUAGUGAGGCAAGUCCUUCGUGGGCGAUGGCCAUGGUGGGAUAGACAAGGUUGCUUCUUCGUGGAACCUUCAUGGGUGGAGCCCUCCGUGGACUCGCGCAACCGUUACCCUUCGUGGGUUGAAGUCUCCAUCAACGUGGAUGUACGAUAGCACCACCUAUCAGAACCACGCCAAAAAUCUCCGUGUUUAUAUUGCGUUUGCUCCCUCCAAACUCCUCCCUUUACCUUCAUGUGCAAUGUUUUACAUUCCGCUACUAUACUCUUAGACUUGCAUGUGUAGGUUGAUUUCUUGACUAGUGCUAAGUUGCUAAAAUCUGCCAAGACUUAAAAUUGGGGAAAGGCUAGAUUUUUAUUUGGUCAAGUAGUCUAAUCACCCCCCCUCUAGACAUAAUUUCGAUCCUACAAGUGGUAUCAGAGCUACGGUCUCCAUUUGCCUUGAUUUCCAUAGCUUUUGGUGAUCAUAGCCUUGGUUUCACAACCUAGGAGACUAUGGCGUCUAGCAAGGGAAAUUACCACCAUAGAGGUCCUUACUUUGAUGGUACUAAUUUUGCUACUUGGAAGCACAAGAUGAAAAUGCAUAUUCUUGGACAUAACCCCGCCGUUUGGGCUAUUGUGUGUAUUGUCUUGCAAGGUGAAUUCUUUGAUGGGAGAGAACCGAACCGUGAAGCUACUGCGGAAGAGUUGAAGAUGCUACAAUACAAUGCUCAAGCUUGUGAUAUUCUCUUCAACGGAUUGUGCCUCGAAGAAUUCAACAAAAUCAGCCGUCUUGAGAAUGCAAAGGAAAUUUGGGAUACUUUGAUUGAUAUGCAUGAGGGUACCGACUCCGUCAAGGAAUCCAAAUUGGAUGUGCUUCAAAGUCAAAUUGAGAAGUUCAAAAUGAAGGAUGGUGAAGGUGUCACUGAAAUGUACUCUAGGCUUGCUCUCAUCACAAAUGAGAUUGCCGGCUUAGGAAGUGAAGAGAUGACCGAUAGAUUCAUCAUCAAGAAGAUCCUAAGAGCCUUGGAUGGAAAAUAUGAUACCGUGUGCACAUUGAUCCAAAUGAUGCCCAAUUACAAAGAUCUCAAGCCAAAGGAAGUCAUUGGAAGAAUUGUUGCUCAUGAGAUGUCACUUAAGGAUAAGGAAGAGCUCCACAACAAGUCAAGUGGUGCUUACAAAGCCUCAUGUGAUGCUCCUACACCAUCAAGUGAGAAACAAACCUUUAAUGAAGAAUUGAGCCUAAUGGUGAAGAAUUUCAGCAAGUUCUACAAGAGUAGAAGCAAGGAAAGAAGUUCCAAGUCAAGAUCCUACAAUGACAAAAGAUCUUCAAGUCGUGAACGAAAUUGCUACAAUUGUGGAAGACCCGGACACUACUCCAAUGAGUGUACGGCUCCCUACAAAAGAAGAGGAGAUUCUCCCAAAAGACGAAGUAGAAGAGAAGAAUCAGCACCAAGAGAGAGAAGGAGUAGAGAUGAUUGUUAUGAACGAAGAACCUCUCGGAGAAGCAAGGAUUCGGAAAGGAAGGACAAAUCAUCAAAGAGCUACACAAAACGAAGACAUCAAUCUCACGUUGGUGAAUGGGUAUCCGGCUCCGACUCCGACCAUUACUCCGAAAGAAGUUAUCACUCCGACUCCGACUAUACUCAAGAAGAAGGUGUUGCCGGUCUAGCACUUGCGUCAACCAACUCCUACAACAUAUUUGACUCACCAAAUGAAGGAAUUGGAAGAUGCUUCAUGGCUAAAGGCCCCAAGGUAUCACACCCCGAGUUUGUUGAUUUCAAUAGUGAUGAAGAUGAUUUGCUAGGAGAUGAUGAUUUACUUGUUGACAACUCCAGUUAUGAAAACUAUGAUGAACUUGCUAUUAGUCAUGCUAAUCAAGAUAAAACGAAUGACGAUGAUAAGAAGGAGAUUGAGCGUCUAACUAAAGAAUUAAACACUCUUAAAUUAGCUCAUGAAACUACCAUGGAAGAUCAUCGAGAACUUUUAAAGACUCAUGAGAAGCUACGCUUUGAAAGGCUCAACCUUGAGCAAGAGCAUGGGUUCUUAAAAGCAAUCAAUGAUGAUCUUCGCAGGAAAAAUUCUUCUUACAUUGCCAAGCGUUUACUCUUGUCUACUUACAUGCCACAAGUAGAAUCUAGCAACAAGAGUAAGAAAGAUUCUUCAUCUAGUAGUAACAAUAAUCAUGCUAAAUCCAAUGUUGUUGCUUCUAGUAGUUCUCUUGAUUCCACUAAUGAUUCUCUUAGCCAAGUUACAAUUGAGCAAGAAAAUAGCUUAUUGAAGGGAAUUAUAGAGAAAGGUGUUUACAAGAGCCUUGUCGGAAGUAAGCAAUUUGAGGAAAUUGUACGCAACCAAGGAAGGCACCGGAAAAAUCAAGGUGUUGGUUUUGAACGAAAGUUCAAUGCCAAUGGAGUUGAGUGGGAAGAAGAUCAAUACCCCAAGACGAAGUUUGUUCCUCAACAAGAGAAGUAUGAUCCUACUUCCUUCCAAGGAACACAAGCUCAAGAUGAUCUUCCACCACAAGACCACAAGCAAAAAGGCAAGGACAAGCUUCAAGAGGAGAUUGAUGCAUUUUAAGAAGCUCCCAAGGCCUUGGUCGAGUGGGUUCCCAAGACUACAUCAAAUACGACUACAACUCCAAGGAUUCCCAUCAAGAUGAUGUGGAUCCCGAAGAAGAAGAACUAGAGAGUUCUUGAGGGUGACUCCGCCAACAUACUUCACUCAUAUCUUUUGGCAAGGACAUGUGAGAACAACUUCCACAUAUUGCACUAGUUCAAGGAGUCACAAACCCUCUUGUUUGUAAGACAAGGGACAAGGUAACCUAAUGCUUUCAUGGACAUCAUCUUGUGUGUACAUCACUCUAUGUCUAUGGAUAUCCUUGUUUGUUCCUUGUGGGACUAACCAGUGUAGGUAUUGGAAGUGCAACUCACUCCAAUGGAUUGCUCCGAAUGAUCUACAUCAACAUUGAGCAUCCACAUCUUCAACACCUACAUGAAGUCAUCAUCGACAAAACCCAAGGUUAGUUCAUCCCUCUUAGGGGGAUAUCACAUCUAGGGGGAGCUUUACUCUAAUAAAUUGAGCUAAAGCAACUCUAAUGGUGUGAACACAACAAUGCUUUAUGUGAAAGUGGUAACCCCACUUAUGCUUAAACGAUGAGUAUGACCUAUGAUCAAAUGUUCUCAUUUGACUCCUAAGUCAAUAUACUCAUAUAUAGAUGACCUAGUCAUCGCCAAUUGCUUGAUAGAUGCUAGAGUCUUUGUGCAUGCUUUGUCACAUAUUUCGUUUGCCAUUUUAUUGUGUGAGCAUGUUAAUUGCAUAUUUUACUCAUUCGAGGACAUCCAUUUGUUGCUUUGAUUGUUUGGCUUUUUCUCUUUUGCCAAAUGGAUGGACAAGAAUGCCUAAGAACUCCCUCUAGCUAUCUAUGCUUUUCUCGUCUCAAACUCUAUUCAUGCUACAUCACAAAGUUUGAUCAAGUCAGGUUCGAACCACUCUGUGUGAGGAGCACUCGGAGUCCCCGAUUCGUCAUAGACUUAAACUUCCAAAACCUCUUUGUGCAUUUCGGUAUGACCGAUUCAUCCAUUUUGGUCACACUGAGUUCACUAAGUUGAUCUAGGUUUUCCAUCUCGGUGCAACCAAUUUGAACUUUUCGGUCACAUCGAGUUGCAGUAACCGCUUGCGAUUCUGCAUCUCGGUGCCACCGAGUUGUUCCACUCGGUAACAUCGAUAGGGUCGGGAUAUAUAAACCCACAGGUGAGAUUUUGGAAAUUUCUUCAAACUCCUCAGCCCGCGUGUGUCCUGCUCUGCCUCCUCGGGUCUCCGGAUCGUCUCCUCGCCGCCAGCGACCUCCCGCCGCUGGUUUCCGUUGCUGUCAACGGAAUUCUCCUCUGCCGUUGUCGCCAUAGCGAACUCCCGCCGAACUAGGGUAUGGGUUCGACUCUUUGUGCUAUUUCCCUACUCCAAUUUGUAGCACAUUUCUUUUCCAUGAUCUUUACCACGUAUGAAAAUAAUCUAUCGAGAGAAAACAUCCUUUAGGUUAGAUUUGAUUCAAAAAUUUAGGGUUAGGUCUCCGCCGAACUCAUCUCAGACCAACCGAGUUGUAGAAAUCGGUCUCACCGAUUUGGCUUAGGCCAUUGCACAUGCUUUUUGGUCUGACUGAAAACGGCAAAUUGGUGCGACCGAUUUCGAAUCUCUGUGAAACCCUAGCAAUCUCGGUGCCACCGAACUGUGACUCGGUCUGACCAAGUUCACUAGUUUAGGUUCCAAAAGUUGCUUCGGUAUCACCGAGUUUAACAAAUCGGUAGCUCCGAAAUGCUUUCUGUGGAGAACUAUAACUAAGUUUUUGAGUCAUCUGUUUUGCAAAAGCUCUGCACUUUGUGAUGCUCAUCCACUCUACCUCAUCUAUAUCUAUUCACAGGGUUUGCUGUCAGUGUGAUUGCCAAGAUGUCUGAUCAAAGUGACAGCCAGAACAGAUCUGAAGAGCAAGUGCAUAUGAGUGAGGGCACUAAUCCCUCAAGCAGCUAUGAUGAGGGCAGCAGAAGCACACCAAGUAACUUGCCCAAGGUAGCCACUAGAACAAGGAAGAAGAGAACCUCAGACUCCGAGGAUGAGGACUAUGUGGCCAUUGAGGAUGAGGCCACCUCAAGGAAGAAAGUGCUGAAGAAAGAGUAUGGCAUAGCUGCUGCAACUAAGCCAGGGUUGCAUAAGAAGGCAACAGCAAAGAGAGUCCCAAUGUCAAAGCCAACGAAAGUUCCAACAGGAGAAACCAUGAAAUUCACAAUAUAAUCAGAUGAUGGUGAGGCAGUUGGUGAUGGCAAGAAGAAGAAGAGGGCAAGAACCACAUCUGCAAAAGUUCUUGGAAAAUCAACUAUGGUAAGAGAUUCAGAAGAAGAGGAAGAGGAAGAGGAUGCUGCACCAGCACCCAAGUCUCAGAAGCUUAUGGGAGAUGCUAUCAAGUCAGGGGCUGCUCCAUCAAAGCCCAAGACUGCUCCCAAAGCAACAGCUCAAACUCAGAAGCCCUCUAAGCCCAAGAGAAGCACCAGAAACAUUCCUGCAGAAGAGAGGAACAAGGCCUCAGUGCCUAAGGUUGAAGAAGAGGAUGAUGAAGCCCUAGUGCUAAGAAAACUGAAACCCAAGAUUCCAGACCACAAUGACACUCAUCCAGUGGCUGAGGACAUGCACAUCAGGAAAGAUGCAGGAUUGAGACUUUGGAGACAGUCUGAUCCUUAUGCUGCGACAAGGAGAACUGUUGUGGACUACAUGUUCCACACCAAAGAACAACAAGACUUCUAUGAGACUAUUCUGCUUGACAAGAAGCCAAUUGUCUGUGAAAUGAGAUGGGUUGAUUGGGAAUACAUCAAAGAGAAUGAAGAUCACUUCCCAGGUGUACCAGACAGCUUCAAAGCAAGUGGAGUUGAUAAGUUUGUAGGUCAGAAGCCCACCAAAUGGAAUGAUGAGCUAAUCAUGCAGUUUUACUCCACUGCUCAUUUCUAUCCAGAUGGGAGAUAGUGGGGAUGUCUGAAGGUACAAGGUACCAAUCAACUGUAGAAAAAUGGGCCAAGUUGAUCAAUGCCCCAGAAGAGUAUGAGGAUGAUUUGGAUGUGUAUGCCAAGAAGAAGAAAGACCACAACUCUAUGGCAAAUAUGUACAAAGAGAUCCCUGAUAAAGCUUUGGAGACACACAAGCUUGGAUCUGUGCACUAUUUGUUGUCUGGUCUACCCACUAUCAACACUAUCUUAAGGCAUACUCUGGUACCCAAAUCUGGAGAUCACAAGAUGAUCAGAGGACAUUCCAUCAACUUGCUGCAAAUCUUUGAUGUCCCUUAAAAAUUCAAGGUCGUGAGUCUGAUUGUUGAGACAAUCAAGAGGACAGCUGCUGACCAGAAGAGAUCUUGUGGGUAUGCUCCACACAUUCAGGUGGUCAUCAACUCAAAGAUGGGCACAGGGACUUACAUGUUGGACAAAGAACAUUUACCCUUGUAUCCAGAUUUUGAAGAUAAUGAAGUUGUCAUGAAUGAGAAUGAACCUUCAUCAGCACAAGCACAAGAGAAGAGAGCUAAAGCAAAGGCAGAAAAGGCUGCAAGGAUGCCAAGUGCCGAGGAAGCAUCUCAGGUGUCCCUGAAGAGCAAGAAAGAUCAGCUUAUAUCUGAUUCAAGCUACAUUGAGGAUUGAGAAGGGCUUGGCCACCCUGACUCAGAAUCAGGAGAGCUUGGAGAGGAUCAUAGAGACAAAAUAUUAUGAUCUUGAUCUGAAGGUCACUGAGAUACAGAGAGCAGUUGAGCAGCUCCAGGAGGAAGCAGGAGAGAGGAAAGGGAAGGCAACUACAGAUGCUUUUCGGCGAGUGCCAAGAGGUCAGAGGUCUGCUGCAGUGCCAGUAUCAGAUACUAGAGCUACAUCGUCAGCACCAAUAGCUACAGCUUCAGUGCCACCUCCAGCAGCCACUCCACCAGCUCCAGCUACAUCCACUGAUGCCUUCGUCCUUGGAGUUCUCUCUACUCCACCUCCUGAAGACCAAGCCUGAGAGACGCAUAGCACUAUGCAUUUUCGAACUUUUUGAUAACUUGUUGCCAAAGGGGGAGAAAUGUAUAGAUCAUAGGCUUCGAGAGAGAGUGUUUUGCUUCUUUGUCUCUCUUGAUUUUGGUUGAACUUUAUGGUGUUCUUGGUUGAUACUCUAUGUCUGUGUGAGAUACUUGUUUGAUCAUGGGUUUGAUCAUAUGCUACUUUAAUGCUUGCUUGGAUGGUAUUAUCUCUUAUAUCCCAUAUAUGUUCAUUCACUUUGCUUGGUGAUGAAUGCUUUCUUUUAAUUUCCACGAUCCUAAUUGAUUGUGCAUUUGCAUUCAAAAGAUGUAUGUGACAUGGAAGAGUAACCCAUGAUCCUAAUCGAUUGUGCAUUUGCAUUCAAAAGCCUAUUUUUAAUAAUGCACAAAUUUAGGGGGAGCUCUUGCUUAUCACAUACUUCUCAAAGCGACGAUGUAUUUCAAUCUUAUGAUCAUUUGUCAAAGCUUUGAUCUAUAUGUUUUCAUCAAUUAUCAAAAAGGGGGAGAUUGAAAGUGCAACUAUCCCUGGGUGGUUUUGGUAAUUCCUAACAACAUAUAGCUCAUUGAGCUAAUGAUAUCUCAACAUAAAUAUUUCAGGAAAGCUCAAUGAUUAGCAUCGCAUGGAUUAGAAAUGUGGACCCCUCAAAAUGCUAAGGACAAAAUAUUGGCUCAAGCUCUAAAGCUCAAGACUCUACAUUUUACUUUUAGUGAUCCAAGAUCACAUUGAGUCCAUAGGAAAAGCCAAUACUAUUAAAAGGGGAUGAGGUGUUGCUUAAUGGGUUGCUUGCUCAAAAUGCUUAGUGAUAUGCUCCAAACCAAAAGUCAAACUCGGCCCCACCGAAACAUUCUAUCCGGCGCCACCGAGUUCUCUUGACAUAGCCACUGUCACAAACCCUAGUCACUUCCGGUCUCACCGAUAGGGACUCGGUCUCACCGAGAUGGGAUUGCAAAAUCUUUGUUUCCCUUCGUACAUUUCGGUCCAACCGAGAUGAGCGAUCGGUCCCACCGAGUUUGCAAUGCAAACUCUCUGUUUCCCCUUCGUAACGUUUCGGUCUCACCGAGAUGAGUGAAUCGGUCCCACCGAGUUUGCCUGACCAACUCUCUGGUUAGCUUAUUACCAAAAUCAGUCCCACCGAGUUCGUGUAAUCGGUCUCAUCGAGAUUACGUUAUGCCCUAACCCUAACGAAAUCGGUCCCACCGAGUUGAAAUGUCGAUCCCACCGAAUAUCCUAACAUUCACAUUUUGAACUAAAUCGGUCUGACCGAGUUUCAUUAUUCGGUCCCACCGAGUUUGAUGAUUUGUGUGUAACAGUUAGAUUUUUUGUGGAGGCUAUAUAUACCCCUCCACCCACUCUUCAUUUGUGGAGAGAGCCAUCAGAACAUGCCUACACUUCCAGCAUACAUUUUCUAAGAGAGAACCACCUACUCAUGUGUUGAGGUCAAGAUAUUCCAUUCCAACCACAUAAAUCUUGAUCUCUAGCCUUCUCCAAGUUGUUUUCCACUCAAAUCAUCUUUCCACCAAAUCCAAAUCUGUGAGAUAGAGUUGAGUGUUGGGGAGACUAUCAUUUGAAGCACAAGAGCAAGGAGUUCAUCAUGAACACACCAUCUAUUACCUUUUGGAGAAUGGUGUCUCCUAGAUUGGUUAGGUGUCACUUGGGAGCCUCCGUCAAGAUUGUGGAGUUGAACCAAGGAGUUUGUACGGGCAAGGAGAUAGCCUACUUCGUGUAGAUCUACCCUAGUGAGGCAAGUCCUUCGUGGGCGAUGGCCAUGGUGGGAUAGACAAGGUUGCUUCUUCGUGGACCCUUCGAGGGUGGAGCCCUCCGUGGACUCGCGCAACCGUUACCCUUCGUGGGUUGAAGUCUCCAUCAACGUGGAUGUAUGAUAGCACCAUCUAUCGGAACCACGCCAAAAAUCUCCAUGUCUACAUUGCGUUUGCUCCCUCCAAACUCCUCCAUUUACCUUCAUGUGCAAUGUUUUACAUUCCGCUGCUAUACUCUUAGACUUGCAUGUGUAGGUUGAUUGCUUGACUAGUGCUAAGUUGCUAAAAUCUGCCAAGACUUAAAAUUGGGAAAAGGCUUGAUUUUUAUUUGGUCAAGUAGUCUAAUUACCCCCCCCCCUCUAGACAUACUUUCGAUCCUACACCAUUCCACUUGCCAGUCAAAAAUGAUGAGUCUAUGCUCAAAUAUGGACGACACCCUACCUUGAAGCCAUCAAUGCUAGGCUUCAAAGCCAUAAUAAACGUAUAGAAAAGUACUCUUCCAUCCUCUGUUACCUCAGUAUCUAUCUCCACAACACUCCCAGGUGACCUCUUCUCCACCUCUGCUUUGAAAUUAUAAAGCAUCCUAAAAGUAUUUGCCCAGUCACCAUAUAAUUGUUUCAUUGCCCUUUGUUUUGCCUUCCACACCGUGUUAUACUUCUCCUUAAUGGGGUAUUGCUUUCCAAGUAUACUUUAAGUUUCUUUGCAGUGGUGUUUGGUUUCUUGGCUAGAAUAGGAGUGAUCUUUUCUGCAAUCCAAAGCUGUGAUGUCAUGGUUGAUACUCUCGGUGAACUUGUAAUACAAGUAUGUUGGUGAGGGAUUUGAUUCACCCUAAUGGUACUUCCAUCAGGUUGGCGUCUAGCAGAUAUGUACUACUUGCAAGGCUUGACACUUCCAUCAAAACCUCUACACCUUGCAUAAAACUUCUUUCUAUCAGUCCACUUAGUCUUGGCACCAAACUCAUGUUUGACUGCAUAUGUCUUGAAACACAUCCUAAACUCAUCCAUGUUUGGGAACAACAUCCCCACUUCAAUAACAGGGUUUUCCUUGUCAUACACAUUUACCAACUCAUCAUCAUGUGCAUCAUCUACAUCAUCUGCAGCAUCUUCCAUCAGCUAUCCAUCCAGAUCUUCAGUUCUAUCUUUGUUAGCAUCAGUAUCAGUAGGCAUACUAGAUUCACCAUCCUUCUCCUCCUUAUCUUCAUCAGCUACUGGAAUGCCAAAUUUUUUGGCCAUCUCAGUGUCAUCCAUUGGUGCAAUGACUAAAUCAGUUGGGUCAUUUAAUUCUACUGAAUUCCAAUCAACAUAAACAACCCUUCCAACACCCUCAGAGCCAUCUUCUGCAUCACCCCCCUCAGGUAAUACUGUCACUUCACCUGUACACAUGGGCAUUAUCUGCCUCUCUGAAGCCCAAUCAUCAUCUACCAUUUGUGAAGCUAACUUUGAGGGCACAUAUCCAACCUUAGAAUCUGAUUUCAGAUCAACAAGCUAUGCAUGAAACAUAGUUUGUUUGGUUGUCCAGCCAUCUUGUUGAUCAAUUUCAUCAACCAUGUCUUCACCAUCCUCAAUUCUCACAUACUCUCCUUUCCAAUUAUCAAACCGUAACAAUGCUACCUCUUGCUCUGGACCCCAAAAAAUGCUCUCCCCAAUUUUUUUCCACCACAUUCUUCAUGGCCUUCUCUUCCAUGCUCUGUAGUUCUUGUGGAUCAAUCUCUGCAAAAUCAAUCUCCGGAUGCUACCAUCACCUAUGUCCCGCAUGCUACCAUCACCUAGCUUCGCCUUAGAAGGAAGGAAUUCCGCAGUGAAUUUGAACGUCCGAGCAACAUCCCCCCUAUUUCGGGGCAGUGUGAGGUGAGCUACCGGAAGCAGACGAGGCACAAAUCGCAUUCCUUGGAAAGGAUGCACAUUAAGGGAUUACCUUCUAGAUGUUGUUGUCUCUGGCGGCUCCAUCGCGUGCAGGCCCCCCUCCCACCCACCCAAAUCUGGAUCAAAUUGACCAAAAACACCAAAAAACAGAGGGAAAGAGAGGCGGUGAGAUCUAGCUCGACACGGAGGGGAACGGGAUAGGGUUCCUGAUUCACUCAACACAGCCGCCGCCGUCGCCGAGAACGAAAGCUCCUCUGCGCUGCUAUCACCGAGAACAAAAUCUCCGGCGCCGGCGCCGGCUCACCGCCAAGAACAAAGAGGGGGGGUACACGUUCAGAUAGGCAUGGGGACACGUUUCACCUGAUGCACUGCCAAGUGGGGCCCGCAACUAGAUGCACUGCCAAGUGGGAUCCACAUGUCUUAAACAUAACCUCACUCCCGUUGACGACCAGUUUAAUCGCCCGAGUGGACCUUGGCUAUUUGGGCCUCUGAAACAUAGUACUACAGUUAUUUUCGUCAACUAUGUCGCUUUCCUUCCAUUGCACCUCAAAUAUGUCGCACAGGAGCUAUUGACCCCUUGACUUGUUGCAGCUGGCCAUUUUCUACUACGAAACCAAUUUUCUAGGAGUAAAUAAAUAAAUGAACAACUACAGCAUACAUCAUAUGAGUUUCAGACUUUAUGAAGCCUGAAUGUUGAAAAAAUAAGAAAAAGAGACAACGUAAGGACCUCUGCUCUGUCGUGCCGAUGGAUGACAGAAGCUAAUUGCAGAUGGCCGGAGUUGCGACAUCAGCCUCUUCGAGACACGCGGAGACCUCCGUAUCUCCUCGAGCUCUCCUGCCGCGCGGGGCCGUCAGCGCCCAACAACCUAUGCGGUGCCGCCGCCGUCUGUCUCAUAGGGAACAGCAGAAAGGCCAUUUUCUUUCGGGUGCUUUGAUAAAAAAAAUCAUAUAUUACAGGUGGGUCCAGGACUACUUAUCAACAAUACAUCUCCUUCUCAAUGUAUCCGAAAUGGGGAUUUUGAAAUAUAUUAACCGGAGUCUCUGAAAUCUAACACACUAAAAUUCAGGAACCUAUGAAAACUGGUACAUUUCUUCAUCAACCAUCCUUCGAACCUCAUGUGGCAACGCAGAUAUCAGAGCAUGUGUGUCUUCCUUCUAAGACUUUUGCAUGUUGCCCCUCUAUGCUCCUUUUUUACGGCCAAUGUGUGGAAGGUCAUGUCCAUAACCUCAUUGAUAGUCAAAACAUAGACGAUGAUGAUUGUGAACAUCCGCUGUGGCUUCAGAUUGCGAUGAUGUUGCCUCAUCCCCCAAUUGUGUAGACACAGGCUCCCAUUACACAAAGGGAAUGGUGGGGCGAAUAGACUCGUACCUCUGAAGAGCGAGGAGAAGAUACAUGUAUUUGUUUUCCUCCAAUAUUUUAGAUGGGCCUAGGACAGAUUGAGAGGGGAGCAAAUCCGAAUUUAUACCACACUCACAUUGACAUCCCAAGAUGGUGGAGUAUAUAUAGAACUUCUAUACAUCUUGUUUUUAAUAGCUCAUUUUUAGGAAGGAAAAAAAUAAAUUGUUAUCAUGGGAUAUGUGUUGAGCAGGUCAUUCAAAAAUGUUUAUUUAAUCAUGUGACUGAAUACACCAGAAUCAUGUGAUCAUCCUACUUGCAUGUUUAUGUUAGUCUCCAACUUCCAAAGUAGAACCUAGUAUACAUGGUAUUCUAGUUCUCUCCUGUGUACCAUCACUCCAAGUCCAUUGCAUCAUGAAAGACGUGUGAAACGUGAGAACUGGCAUUGCAUGAUUCUUCUCCAUCUCUAUGUUUCAUCUGGAUAAAGGGUGUCAGAGUAGAUGAUGGGUUUAAUGGCAGAGAGGGGGGGGAGAGGGAGAGGGAGAGAUCUCAUUCUUGUAAAAUGUAAAAAAAAGGAAUGGAAGGAAAGGUCCACACUUAGACAAACUGAUUAGAUCCGUAAACUAAUUAGACCCGCAAAAAAAGAUGACGCUAUAAAUAUCUCAUAACAACAGAGGGAGAGGAAGGCCAUAGCUUUUAUUGUGUAUGGUGAGACCGGCUUUUCAACACCCGGGUGUCAGACACCCGGCUAUCAGGCCGUUCAGGCAAUACCUCUCAUUGGGAUAUGUGUCUGGUCCUGCACCACCAUUUUCAUUAGCAGGCAAGGUGAAUAGUAAAUGGAUGUGACAACAGAGAACGGCCAUAGAGCGGACGAGCUCGCCUGUGUUGAACAGCCUGUCACGUUACACAAGGUGCACCGAAGCAGGAGUAUUGAGCCGCACCAGAAGUCCCAAUAUAUUGGUAGAGAUAAGCUAGGUAGUUAGUUCAUAUCUAUCCUUUGUAACCUAUUCUAUCUCUUCUCCUUCAAGUCUCCUGUAAUAUCUCAACUUCUAACUUGUAUGUGCUUCAGGGAUUGCGCCCCUGCCUAUAACAUGCAACGCGUCCCCUCGCACCGAGGUAAAGACGUUUCCGCAUCUCGCACAUGGUAAUCAGAGCCAUCCUACUUCCCAUCUAGUUUUCUCUCGAUUCCAAUCGUGUCCAAAAAUCAUGUCUUCCUCCUCCGGCAUCUCUCACCCUAGCCUCAGUGGGCAGGUCAUUGAGAAACUCUCCCGCACGAACUACGUGCUAUGGCGCACACAGAUCACGCCACAAUUGCGUGGCGCCGAUGUCUUCAGCUAUGUUCAUGGCACCUCGCCGGAGCCGGCCAAGCUCCUCGCCGCCAAGGACAAGGACGGCAAGGAGACCUUCCAGCCCAACCCUCUCCACCCCAUCUGGGUCAGGGAGGACCAGCAGGUUCUCGGCUACCUGCUGAGCAACCUCUCCAAAGAGGUGCUCCUCAUGGUGACCACGAUCACCACGGCGCAGCCGCUCUGGACGACGCUGGCGGGCAUGUACUCGUCGCAGUCGCUUAGCCGCAUCAACAACAUCCGUACCUCGCUCAUCAAUGCGCAGAAGGGCAACCAGUCCGCCACCGCCUACUUUGCCUCCAUGCGCGGUCUCGCGGACGAGCUGGCAGCGGCCCGCAAACCCAUCCAGGAUGACGAACUCAUCUCGUACAUCCUCCACGGGAUGGAUCUGGAGUACCAGCCCCUCGUCUCCGCCCUCGACACCCGUGUUAGCCCCGCCUCCCUCGACGAAAUCUUCUCCAUGCUCAGCAACUUUGACCAGCGCAUGGCGCGGUUCCAUAGCUCGGGCGGCGGCAGAUUCAAGUCCUCCGCAAACGUCGCUACCCGUGGACGUGGCGACGGCUCUCGCUACCGCGGUCCUUCCCGUGGCAAGGGGAGGUCUGGUGGCGCCAGGACUAGCAGCGGUGGUGGGAUCAGUGGCGGUGGCAGGCGUGGCAACAAGGGUCGCCGUGGUGGCGACUCUGGUAGAACCCGCCCGGACACGCCGCGCUGUCAGAUUUGUGGCAAGCCGGGGCACACUGCCAAAGACUGUUGGUACCGCUAUGAUGAAGACGAGGACGACUCUCAAGAUGAUGGAAAGGUCGCUACGGCGGCUGAUGGCUCCUACGGUGUUGAUACCAACUGGUACCUCAACAGCAGCGCCACUAAUCAUCUCACCGGUGAGCUUGAAAAGGUGACUCUCCGUGAGAAGUACCACGGCAAGGAUGAGAUUCACACCGCCGAUGGUGCAGGUAUGAGAAUCAGUCACAUUGGUCAUUCGGUUAUACAUACCCCUCGUCGUAAAAUUCAUCUUAGGAAAAUUUUGCAUGUUCCUAGUGCCAACAAAAACCUCCUUUCCGUUCAUAGAAUUGCACUUGACAACCAUGUCUUCAUUGAAUUUCAUCCCUUUUUCUUCUUGAUCAAGGAUCAGGCCACGAGGAAAACCCUAUAUCGAGGUAGAUGUGUUCGAGGACUCUACCCGUUGCUUCCGGAGUUUAGAAGACACAAUAAACAAGCCUAUGCUGUUGUCAAGCUUUCUUCAACAUGGUGGCAUGAUCGUCUAGGAUAUGCUUCUUUUUCUUUAGUUGAACAUUUGCUUAGGAAGAAUAAGCUCAUGUUUGUUGGUGAGCGUCAUGUUGAAACUGUUUGUGAUUCAUGCCAAAGAGCAAAAAGUCAUCAAUUGCCUUAUCCUGUUUCUACUAGUGUUUCUACUCAACCUUUGUAAUUAAUCUUUUCGGAUGUCUGGGGUCCUGCUCCUUGUUCGGUUGGUAGACACACAUAUUACGUAAGCUUCAUUGAUGACUAUACCAAGUUCUCAUGGAUCUACCUUCUCAAGAAACGAUCCGAUGUUUUUCAAGUUUUUCAAAACUUCCAAGCACUCGUUGAAAGAAAUUUGACAGCAAGAUCAUUGCAGUCCAAUCUGACUGGGGGGGAUACGAAAAAUUAAAUUCCUUCUUCCAAACCCUUGGCAUACCCCAUCAUGUUUCAUGCCCUCACCCUCACCAACAAAACGGCUCUGCCGAACGCAAGCACCAACACAUAGUUGAAGUUGGUCUAGCUCUCCUAGCCGGUGCUUCCAUGCCCCUCAAGUUUCGGGACAAAGCCUUUCUUACCAUCGUCCACAUAAUCAACAUGCUUCCUAGUCGUGUCAUCAACAACGAAACUCCCAUGGAAAAACUCCUUCACAUCAAACCAGACUACAAGUCUCUCCGUGUGUUUGGUUGUGCUUGUUGGCCCAACCUUCGUCCAUACAACAAUUGAAAGCUCAUAUUUCGAUAAAAACAGUGUGUUUUUCUUGGGUAUAGUGCCCAACACAAGGGUGUCAAAUGUCUAUAUGUAUCCACUGGUCGCAUCUAUAUUUCACGUGAUGUUGUUUUUUACGAGACCAAGUUCCCAUUUGUUGACCUUCACCCCAAUGCUGGUGCACUCCUUCGCAAAGAGAUCCUACUUCUCCCUUCUCAUCUCACUAGUUUUGAUCAAGGGGGCGAUAAUUGUAAUGAUCAAGUGUUGACUGGCCCUCUUAAUACCACAUAUGAGCCUGGUGAUGAUGCAGGAGAAGGCACAGAAAAAAACAGCAGUCAAGAUGGUGAAGAAAUGCGCUCUACAGAGCCAUAUUUCAUGUGUCCAGGUGAAGGGAACAAGUCCCCUUCGGGAUCCGUGCUGCCAGGCGUGUCAGCCGCAUCAUCCUCAGGAGACCGCGCAGACGCGUCAGGGCGGCCACGCGAAUCUGCACCAGAAUCCGCGCCAGCCUCGUCAGGCGUGGUCGGGAGCGAGCCAUCGAGCGGCGACUCCGAGCCAGCCACGCGGCGCCCUGUGGCUGGGGAACACGCCUCCUCUGCUCCGCGCCAAUCACGCAUUUGAAUAUUCAAGCGUUUGAAUAUUUUUAAUAAAGUAUUGCAAAUGUUAAUCAAGCAAUUGAAACUUGUUAAGGCCUUGUUCGGUUUGGCAGGGUUUGAAGAGGUUUGAAAGGAUUGAAGGGGAUUAAAUCUCUUGCAAGUCAAAAUCCUUCUCAAACCUCGCCAAUCCCCUUCAAUCCAUGUGGCAAGGGGAUUAACCGAACAUGGCCUCAAUGUGUAUAGAAAAAAUGGUUGCCAUGUAAACAAAUAAUUAAUAAAAAAUAUACAAUGUGUAGGAAACGAAUGUUGAUGGUGUAUUUAAAAAUGUUGAUAAAUAAUUAUAAAUUUAUCAAUGUAACAAAAUAAAUUUCUCAUGUGUUCAACAUUUGUUAGUGGUCAUAAUACUUUUUGCGCGCACAAUGCACAUUUCUUUUAUAAAUCAAGAACAUUUUUUUACAUUCUUAAUAUUAUAAAAAUACAUAAUUACCUUUCUUAAAUACAUUUUUAUGGUGUCUACUUUUACUUAAUGUGCAUAUUACAUUUUUGUAUAACUGAUCAGCAUUUUUAUAUACACGUUUAACAUUUUAAAAAAUAUGAUCAAUAUUUUUCCAUAUGAACAAAGCAAAGGCAAUAAAAACCAACUAAAACCUAAAUAGAAACAAAUGAAAUAAAAAUAAAAAAUAAAAAAACACCGCAGAAAGAAUAGAAAACAGCAAAAAUCGAGAAAAAAGGAAAAAUGAAAAAAGAAAGACACAAAUAGAAAAUAAAGAAGAAGAAGAAGAAGAAGAAGAGAAAUAAAAGAAAAAACAUCUAAAAACCAAUAAAGAAACAGAAACAGAUCAAAGAAAACAAAGAAAGCUAAAAGAAAUGAAGAAAUACACAUUCACCAGUGACGCGAUCAUGAGCGGGCAUUUUUUUGUUUUGUUUUGAGAAAUGGACCUCCUAGUUGCUACACGAGAGAGUUAUUCCUUCCGGGUAAAGAAGCUACGAACUCGGGUGAAGCAAGACAUAGCUCUCGCGGGAAAAGAGAGCUCCUCGUUGGCGCGUUAAGCGAGGCGCACCUAUGUAUCGCUUGAUACGAGAUGAAACAUGCGACCGCUUAGGGGUCGCAAUACAUGGUUCGGCCCAGAUAGGUUCCAGGUUAGGUCAUCCUUUUUCAUGUGUUUCUACUUUUUUCGAAAAUAUUGUAAACAAAUAUAUACAAAAACAUAAAAAUUGUUACUAAAAAUAGGAGCUGCAAUUUGAAAAUGUUAAUGAAAUGUAUGUUAGCUUAAUUAAAAGAAAUAUUGGUAGCGUACAAAAAAUAUGACAUUUAACAAAUAUUCACGUGUUUCAAAAGUAGUAUGUGACUUUAUAACCAUGUAUUUCAAAAAUCUUAAAUUUGUAUGUAGACUCUUCUUUAUUUACACAAAAAAUGUACAAAUGUGUACGUAAAAAGUAGACAUAAAUGACAUAUAUUUGGAAAAUGACACUUCUGUAUUAGAAAAAUAUUAAAUAUGCAUCCAAAAUGUUCUUGAUGUAUAAUAAAUUGUACAAUACGUAUAAAAAUCUACAUAUAAACAAUUAUUUGAAACAAAAAAAUUAAUCAUGUAAAUUUGCCCGUCUCCGCGAGAUCAAUUUGUGGUUCCGAACAACGAGCUCGCUCAACGCAGAAGCCAUGGCGGUGGUUGAGGCGCUAGACAAGGAGGUAGUGUCAAGGUGUUUCCCUGGUAACAAGAGCAACCAUGGUGGUUCUCUAAAUAAUGGAGGAGGCAGAGUCAACAGAUCCCUCCAAGCAAUUCAAGUGGGCGGUGUUCAGGUCCCUUACCACAAUUUUCCUUGCGUCUGUGGAGGUGGUAAGGGUGUUACCGACAUCAAGAAGCAGUUCGAUGCUGAUUGUGAUUUCAGAUGAGGAGCUUGAGCUGCAGCGGGUGAAGAAGAAGGGCAUGGUGGUGAGUUUCCCACACGGCUCCGCCAGGCUCCAUGCCCUCUCCGCGCAGAGUAGGUGUCUCCCCGGAUGGUAGCUGCUUCUAGUUGGUGGCCGCGGAGGAUUGCGACUAGGCUGAUGCUGGAGAGGGUUGCCCGCCGGAUAUCUCAGGCAUAUUUCUAUCUGCUAAAUAUUUGCAUUCUGCUUCACAUAUUAGUGAUGGUAGAAAUGUUUUGGGUUGGAAUAAAAUUCAAUUGAAACUGAAAAAGAAACAACAUAAAUAAACACGUCCAGCUACAUGAUUCUAGAGUUUGUGAUUGGGAAAAUAAAGUUGAUGAAAAUUCGUCUUCUGUUUGUUAACCAUGUAUAAAAAUAUGCUUAUCAUGUGUAAAACAUUAUUUAGUGGCGCUAAUUGCUUUUGCACGCACAAUGCACAUUUUUUGUACAUCAAGUACAUUUUUUCUUAACAUUUUAUAAAUACAGAAUCAAUUGUUUAAAAAAUAUGCCGUCUACUUUUAUUUAAUGUACAUAGUAUAUUUUUGGUGCAAAUGAUCAGCAUUUUAAUAUAUACAUUUAACAUUUUUUAAACAUGUUCAAUGUUUUCCAUAAGGACGAAAAAGACAAAGAAACCACCUAAAACUGAAAAAGAAUCAAAUGAAAAAAUAAAAAUAAAAAAGAAAGAAAACCACCUCAAAAAGCAUAGAAAACAGGGAAAACCAUGAAAAAAAUGAAAACAGUGAAAACGAAAGAUACACAAAAAAUGAAAAAAAGGAUGAAUAAAUAAAAUAAAAAACAACUGAAAACCAAGAAAGAAACAAAAAAACAUGAAAGAAAACAAACAAGAAUAAUAAUAAAUCGAAUGGAGAAAAAAAUAAAAAUCGAUGGAAAAUAAAUAAACAAGGAAAACAGGCGAAGAAACAAAGAAAAAAAGAAGUAAACGGACCUUGCCAGUUGCUACGCGAGAGAUCUAUUUGUUCAGGCAAGAGAAGCUACGAACUGAAGUGAAGCGAGAUAUAGCUCUCGUCGCACACGAGAGUUCUUGGUCGGCGGAUUAAGCAAGACGGAGCGUGCAAUAGCUUUGGUGUCAGCUAUACAUGGUUCGGCCCAGAUAAGUUCCAGGUUAGUUCGUCCUUUUUAUGUGUUUCUCCUUUCUUUUGUUCUUAUUUUGAAAAAUGUUGUAAAUAAAUAUAUACCAGAACAUAAAAUUUAUUUAAAAAUAUAAAAAUGUUGAAUGUGAAUGUACUAAAUAUGUUAGCUUAAUUCAAAAAAAUAUAGGUAGCGCACAAAACAAUUGUGACAUUUAACAGAUAUUCACGCGGUUCAAAAAAAGUAUGCAACUUUAUAACCAUGUAUUUCCUAAAUGUUAAACGUCUAUAAAAAAACUCUUCUUUAGUUACGCAAAAAAUGUAGAAUUGUGUAUGAAAAAAGUAGACAUCAAUAACAUAUAUUUGAAUUAUGUUACUUUUGCAUUUAAAAAAUGUUAAACAUGCCUAAAAUAUGUUCGUGAUGCCUAAAAAAUGUUGCGAUGAGGAUGGCUGUCAUCUCGCACCCGCCGACUGCUUGAACAGCUAGCGUCGCUGAGCUUGAGGAACCCCUUGUAGGGACCAAAGCAGACAACCUUGACGUUGCUGGCCUCCGUCGGCAUAUCAACAAAGCGCGACGCUUUCACUGUCGGACCAAAUCAGAGAUGGAUUAGGUCUAAAAUAUAUAUUUCUUGGUUAAAGGAAAAACAUGUAAUAACUGAACUCGCACUUAAGAAUUAAUCAACAUGUUGAUUCCACCGAAGCAUGCAUGCCUCCUGGAUGCUGAAACACGACUCACUGACUAUAAAAGCAGAGGACUCACUGACUAAGUACAGGAGCGAGUGACCGACUCUCGGCUCGGGUGAGGAUAAAAAAGAUCACCUGCUGCUGCUGGUUAUUGGUAAAAUCCAUGUGAGUGCUUGAUAAAAAAUUAUGGAACAUUGUAUAUGUUGUUACACAUAAAUGUUGGGAUAAAAAGAAUCAUCUUGGUACACUGCCUAGUCUUUUGGUGGACAGAAGAUUGUAUGGUGCAAGAAGCUAUUCAGAUACAACAACACUGGGCUACAUGACAGGAAUGGUGUACACGCCCCAAGGGCCAGCAGGCAGCAGCAAACCAGGUCAAGAUGAGAUGGUCUGGGCCUAGGAUGUUGAUUCAGAGAUGCCUGACUCGACGCCAAGCAGCAGCCACCCUACACCGCAGGCCCCGGCAGUUCUCGACCGAGAGCGACUGCGGCACAGUUCAGUUGUAGAAGCAAUCACAUGCCAUUCCCCCAGCAGAGCAGAACAGAGCAGAGCAACAAUCAGGGAUCAGGCCUGUCAUUGAAUAGAAGCUGAAUGACCUUCAGCUUCAGCUCCGGCAGGCCUGCCUCCGCUCACGGACUAGCCUCGGUAUUUCCUUCCAUGUCUUCGGUUUCAAUGGUUUGAAUUCCGUUACUGCACAUACCAAAAACGAUGUCAGAAAAAGCUUGCACAAAUUAAUGUGUUAUAUCAAAAUAUAUAGCAUGAUGGCAUUCAAAUAAUGGAGAAGAAACUUCUGCAAACGUGUUAGACCAUUAUGUACAAGGGAUGGAACGGAUGACUGCAUCUGUUUGUUAAAUGUGGCAAAGAUAGAAGGACGUGCUGCAAGCAUACCUUCAUAGCAGGCAUCUAGUCGUUUGCGGCUGAUGCUGCCCAGUUGCUGCUGCAGGCAUCUAGGGAGCUUCUUUAUAGCAGGGCAGCCUCUAAUUUGAAGAUACACGAGAGACCUGUAUACUUGCAGCUCAUUCGGCAGGGAUGCCAGGGUACUGCAUCUGUCAAGAUAAAGGACAUCCAGCGAUGGGGGGUGCUCUCCCGACAGACACUCCAGCGAUGUCAGCCCACUGUUUCCCAUAAUCUGCGGUCCCUUGAGGGGUGCAGGUAGACGGAGAGUCCCACCCAACAUGCCAGCACAGUCCACUAUUACUAGAGAUUCGAGAUGGGGAGGAAGUAAAUGCUCUCUUGCAGUUGGUGUUGCUGCUGCUGGUGGCUGUGGCAUGAUAGGACUUCUGCUUAUGGAGGUAGUGACUUCUGGUUUCUGGAGCCCACCCAGCUGGCAUGAUAGGACUUGAAUACUACUACAGCUAGCAAUACGAAUGUACUUUAAAGACGGAGGAAGGUUCAGAACCGCUGGUAAGCUUCCACAUCCAGAUAAAAGUAGAUCUUCUAGGCAUGGACAAAAGUGAUUCAUGGGUGAGGAUGGCAACUCUGAUACAGCUGCAGCCCUGAUUGCCUCACUGCUAGAAGAUACUUGGACUAACUCUGCCAUGCCCUGCUGCUUGCUGAAUAUGGAGUCAAGCUUAAUGCACCUAUCAAAAUUCAUUUUCUUGAGAGAUGCCGGGACGUUGAACAUCUCUACUAAACUUGGGCAGUUUUCUAAGCAAAGAGACUCUAGACCUCUCAGGUGCUGACUCCUUUCGGACGCCAAUGGCUCAAGAGGAGCUUGUGCAUAUCCAAUCAGAUUUUCACAGUUUGUAAUCGCCAAGCUCCUCAAGGACACCAAGCUUUGGAACACUUUCUCUGGCCAGUGGACGAGCACAUCGCAUCUAUCAAUUUCCAACUUUUCAAGAUCUACAAAAUACUCACACGGCUCUAAUGCACCCGAUCCAAAGAACAAGUUGCAGCAUCUUAGCUCCAUAACUGUAAGAGGGGAUUUCUGGUUCCAUUUCUCCUUGCUGUCCACCAAUACAAUUGAAGUGCACUCAACCUCUGAUGUUGUUUCUGUGUUUUCUAGCUUCAGUAUCAGAUUGGUCAAUGAGGGCAAAUAUCUAUCUACAGAAUCGGAGAUCUCUUGCUUGCCAUCUUCAAUUUCUAAUACACUGAGUUUUGGUGCUUCAGGCAAUGCUACCAGUUUUGGGCAUUUCUGGACUGACAAUUUCUCAAGGUGGGGAAACAAUGUACCUUCGACUGCAUCCCAUCUCUGAAAGCUCCCCAACCAUUUCAUUUUGAGCACCUUUAAGGCAGGAAAGGCUGAACGUACCAAUCUAUAACCACCUUCACUACAUGGUUCUUGAAGCAAUGGUGCUUCAGGUAACGCUGUCAGCUUUGGACAUUUCUCAAUUGAUAGUUCCUCCAGACAAGGAAACACUAUCUGUUCUCCUUGAGUCUCUUCGACUGCAUCCCAUCUCCGAAAGCUCUCCAACUCUUUCAUUUUGAGUACCUUUAGGGCAGGAAACGCUGAGCGUACCAAUGUAUAACCACCUUCACCACAAGGUCCUUGCAGCAAUGGUGCUUCAGGUAAUGCUACCAACUUUCCACAAUUACUAAUAAACAACUUCUCAAGCACAGGAAAUAUUGUUUGUUCUUCUUGCCUCUCAUCUAUUUCCCACCAUCUUACAAAACCCAACAAACGUUCUAGCAUUAGUACCUUCAGUUUUGGAAAAGUGAAGCUUGCACUGCAUCUGAACAAAACUUGCAAUCUUUCACAAUGGAAAAGAUGGAUCUCAACCAUGUUUUGCAGCAUACCCAUGCACUCUCCUCCAUAGGAAUAUAUCUUCAGAACCUGCAACCCACCAUGUGGUUCGAAAUUGUCGAGCACCAUGCUGUCACAAACAGAAUUCCAUCUUAAUGUCAGUUCUCUGAGAUCCUUCUUGUUUCCAAGGUUUGCCACUUUUGCCUCUGCCUCUAUAACAUUCUCUAUCUGACAUAGCUCUAACUGACCACCAAGGUUUAAAUGCUGCAGCUCUGCAACAUCACUGCAAUCAGUGCCAGUAACUGCUGCUGCAAAAAAUGUAAGCGUCUGCAGCUUAGUGAGUUUUCCUAGUUCUGGUGGCAUGCUCUUCAAGUUGCGACAUCCAAGAGUGUAGAGGUGACGGAGGGAAGUCAUAUACUUCAUUUGCCUCGGAAGUCGAUCAAGAUGAUAGCAGUUGGAAAGGUCUAACGUUUGCAGGUUAUAUAGAAUACUUAUAUCUUCAGGAAGUGCUUUGAUAUCACUGUCUGAGAGAUCAAGGUACCUCAGGUGAUACAGAUACAUUGAUUUCAGAAGAAAUGAUUCUGUGCCUCUAAUACAGAGCUUUAAGGCAUGCAAAGAGCUAUAUUUUGAUAGAUGCUUCAAUGAGCUUCGCACAUGGCUAUCACAUAUCAGUGUUUGAAUGGCAGGGGAUUUUUUCUCCAGAGCAUCAUUCAAAAUACCUUCUGUUUCUUCACAUGACAAGAACAAAUGCCGAGCAGUAUCUGGAAGCCACUCGGUUUGCCUUGGUUCCAUAGUUGCAACAACUCAUUCCUCUUCCAUAACAGACAUUGCAAUAUCAUGCAUAAGAUCAUGGAUUUUACAUGUAUUUCUGGAAUAAUACUCCCAGUCUUCUUUACUCUUCUCUAUAUCCAGAAAGAAUGACCUUGAAGCAAGCUCAUCAAAAAUAAGUUGUCCAAUGGUUUCAAGACUAUCUUCCUUGUGUUCAGGGAUAAAGCCAUUUGUGAUCCAUAGUUGGAUCAGCUUUGCUACAUCAAUCUUGUAAUCCUUUGGAAAUACAGCACAAAAAGCAAAGCACUGCUUCAUGUGCGAUGACAAGUCAUUGUAGCUAAGCUUCAAUAUUGGCAAGAUUCCAGUUUCCUCAGUGCAAAUGCUGCUUCUAGAUGCUAUAGCCUUCCAUUCUUUCACGGUGGUCUUGGUACGAAGUACAGAGCCCAGUGCACUUGCAGCUAAAGGAGAGCCACGACAUCUGUUCACAAUCUGAUCAACCAUCUUGACUAGCUCAACAGGCUUUUUUUUUCCGGAACUGAAUGCUCGAGCCUCAAUAAUUUCCUUUAAGAAUAUAUCAUCCAAACGACCGAGAAUGUGGGUAUCUGCACCCAUAAUUUCAGCAACUCCUUUAUCACGAGUUGUUGUCAGCACCGCACUACCCAUGACACCAUGCUUAAGAUGGUCCUUCAGCCUUUCCCACUUAUGGACUUCUCUGUUCCAGACAUCAUCUAAUACAAGGAGAUACCUCUGCCCGGUGACCAAUUUCUGAAGUCUCUCUAGUUGUGGUUUGUUUGUAUGAUAAUUUUUCUUGGGAGAUGCUUCAACUAUACUCUUGGCUAGGGAGUUCACAUCAAAGAUAUCCGAGACACAGACCCACAGCAACAACUGGAAAUGCUUCUGAAUUCUAGGUUCAUUGUAUAUGAGCUGUGCUAAUGUGGUCUUACCAAAGCCCCCCAUUCCAACGAUGGCAACCACUGCGAGAUCAGCACUAUUAGCUUGGCGAAGUAGUCUACCAACAACUUCCACCUUAUCUUUGUCUCUGGAUCUGCUAGCAAUGUCUUGCAGGUCGGUGAUAACAGAAUCCGUCUGCCUCCACUGCUUGGACACGGGUGGCUGUGGUCGGUACUUGAACCUAAAGGCAUGCAUCUCUGCUAUGAGCACAUCAAUGGCCUUCAGGAUCCGGCAAAGCUUGCGACCCAUUUUGUAACGGAACACAAUACAGUUGUGAGUAGGGAAGAGUUUAAUUACAUCGAAGCCGAGCUUGCUGUAGUGCCCCUUCUUCCUGGCUUCACGACGGAGUGCUUCGUACUUGAAUUCGUCAAACACUUCAUUUGCCUCAUAUGCCACCGUCUUGAGCUCCUGGAGCCAGGUUUUGGCCCCAUCUCUAUGCUCCGUCGCCUGCUUCUCGGCGUCGGUCAUGACGUCGAGGAUGGCCGGAAGCUUGCGUUUGAGAAUCUUGUGCUGCUCCUCCAUUCCCUCCAUCACCUUGUACUGGUCCAGGAGGGAGUUGCCCGCCUUGUUCACCAGCAUGGACACCAGCGGCCGGAUGGCCAUGGCGGCCACCACCUCCGCCAUUGGAACGCCCACACGAUUGGCACAGCAACACGAAGCAGUGUGGAAUGGAGAAUGGAAUGGUGUGAGCAAGACGUGCUUGCUUUGCUAGUAAUGAAACUGGAAGCCAAGGUGAGUAUUGACUUUCUGGGAGCGAAGUGGAUGAGCUCGCGUUACGGGAACCAAUCACAACUAUCCAAUCCUGAACAGCUCAGCACUGGGCAUUGUUUUUGGGCUGAUGCAUAAUAGGACAAUCAGCAUACCACAUUAACAGCUGGGGGCAUCUUCAUUUCUUAAUGAGACACAACCAGAGUGCAAGACGACGCGGGCAACCAUAAUAUUGCAAGUAGAUCAUUGUAUUAGGUAUUUGUGUCAGUACAUCCAAUCCAGUUUUUCAAAAGUGACGUUUCACUGGCUGUGACCUUAGCAGAUGGUACGAAUUUCCUUAACAAAUACAAAGAGUUGCAGGAAUGCAAAUUAAAUAAUUACUUCCACUGGCUAGACGUGUGACAGCACACCUACUGCCUAACUACAGCAUAUACUUAUCUCAAGUGCCUGCCGCCCAGGGAGACCAGAAUAAUGGUGUUCUUGGAUUAGUUGAACCUUCAAUGCAUCACUACUUAUCACCGAAGCAUUAUUUUAUUGUUCUUUUUUUUUUGGAAUGGCCUCUAAGUAUGAUUGAGUACAGGAUUGAUCUCAGAGCAAACAUAAUCGGCUGGCAGAGAAUUAUGUCUUGUUCAUAUAGUCUGAUGCAAUUUUGUGGUUACACACUCCUCAGUUUUUAUAACUAAAUACAGAAUUUUAAUCUGUUGACAGAUCAGACAAACGUAGAAACAGUUAGCAAGAGCCCCAAUGAGAUUAUAUGCAGCAUCAUUUUAAUCGGAAAGCAAUUGCCCUCAUGAGAUCAGCAACCAUACACAGUGCCAAUAAAAAAAGGUGGCUCGUACUAACGACGCAGGUUUCAAAUUAAUCAAGUGGCUAAACCGAGGCAUCGACAGCCAUAUGGGACAAUGUGCACUUCAGUUAGAAAAUGAACACUUGCAGGCAGUAAAAUAAUUUAUGUCAGUACACCCACGAUAUUGCAAAUAGAGUAUUAAUUACGUAUUUGUGUCAGUACAUCCAAUGCAGUUUUUCAAAAGUGACGUCCCAUUGGCUGUGACCUUAGCAAAUGGUACGAAUUUUCGUUCUAAGUACUACAAAAAGUUGCAGGAAUGCAAAUUAAACAAUUACCUCCCAUGUCUAGACGUGUGAGAGCACACCUACUGUGCAACAACAAAAUAUAUUUCAUCUCGGGCACUUACCGCACAGGGAGGACCACAAUAUUGGUUUUCGUGAAUCUAAAAUACAUCACAUGCUUCCUGCUGAAGAGGGAAGACCCGGUGGCAAGUGGUUAAUUUCUUGUCCUUUUUUAAUGACACCUCUAACUAACAUUGAAGGGGCAUGAUUGAUCUCAGAGAUGAGCAUAAUAAGCUGGCAGAUGACCAUCCCUUGCUCAUAUGGACAAAUGAUACACUUAAUAUACUGAUAUGAUAAAAUACAACUUGACAAUCUCCUGAUAUUCGACGAUGAAAGAUAUGUAUGAGUAUGCGAUUCAAUUUGGUGGGCUUAAUAUGUUCCGUUAUUGAGAGACAGUGAAAAGCGGAAUAAAGGGCAGGGUGGAAUUCUCUAUAUCAGGUUAAGGAGAUCGUCUUAACUAACUAAAAUCAGAUGAAGCCUAACUUUGCAACCAUACGACGGAAGCAACAAAAAUAAAGACAGGGAGCCAGAACAGAACAAAGAUAAAUUCCAGUGCCCUUUUAUUGAUCACUGCCUAUGGCCAUAUAGAUGAGAUCUGGGACUCGGCCAGCUGAAACAUUCCUCUAGAAAGCACAUUUCCGCUGAUGCACAUAUGAAAUACGACAGUACAAAGCAGAAUAAACACUGAGAUUAUACAGAUGAUUGGACGCUGUAACUAAGUUGGAUAUCGCGGCGCGCAUAGGCGGAAAUGAGAGAGAAACGGAAUGUCCAAAGCCACAAAUGUACAUCGCUGUCAGGCUACCCAGCUGAAUCCUGCUUCCUGCUGACCCUCCUGAUUCACGCAGACGCAGCUAGCAUGGAGAUGGGCACGCCUCUCGAAUUCAUGUGAAUCGAAUCGCUGGAAGAGACGGACGGACAGGAUCAAUACCUUUGUGUCGACGGGGAGGGGAGGCCGGAGUGGCUGCCGUCGACGUACGGCGCGCAGCCGACGGGGGAGCUCCGGGACCUUCUUGUCGACACCAUCUGCAAUGGAAGUAAAAAAGAGCUGUUAGAAGAGGAUACGAGAGAGGCUCACGGUAGGAAGGAAUGGGGAAGGGGGAUGAGUGAGUACCUCGAGCGGCCGCGGUGGUGGUGGGCGGGCGGAUGCGGAGGGUGGGAGGGAGGCUGACACCUCCGCCGCCACAGACGUACGUGGAGCGGCCACGGGCGUUGCGUUCUGGUAGAGGCCACGGGCAGUGGGGUCCGGGAGACGUCGUGCGCCGGCGAGGAGGACGGGGAAGGGGAGACGAAGACGACGCGGAUCGGCGGAGUGUGGGCUGGGCUUGUGACGUUGGGGCCUCCGAAAACUAUAGCCCAGUUCGAAUUGGUGCCCUAACACACACAGCGCUUACGUCGGCUAAAUCCUAUUUGGCGCCUUCAGCGCCCGCUAUAGGUCUUUCGGCCGGCCCAGUUUCGACAUUUUUUCUGUGUUUCCAAAAGGCAAAAAGGGCGCUAGAGCUGGGUAUCGAAAACGCUACAACCACUCAACCACACCCCUUGGUGUGAUUGGUUACAUGUUUUCUCGUCUUUUCUUAUGCUUCUUUUCCUUUUUAUUCCUUUUUUUCUUUCUUUUUUCAAAUUCGCAAAACUGUUUCUUCAUGAAUAUUUUCUGCAAAUCGAUGAACUUUUCUCUUUGAAUUUGAUGAUUUUUUUCGAAAAAUUUGAUGAACGUUUUUUCAGAUCCGAUGAACUUUUUUUUGAAUUCCAUGAACUUUUUUCAAAUUCGAUGAACUAUUUUUCGAAUUCAAUGAACUUUUUCUGAAUUCGAUGAACUUUAUUUCGAAUUCAAUGAACUUUUGAUCGAAUUCGAUGAACUUUUUUAAAUUUGAUGAACUUUUUCAAAUUCUGAUGAACUUUUUGAAAGGACAAGAGUACAUACCGUAGCAAAACGGUUUGUUUUUUCCAAGAAAAUCAGUACACACUGUAGCAUUUUUUGAGCGAGAGAAAUAAAAAAGUGAUCGAGCGGUAGCUAGCGACCGAGCGGCGACAGCAGCGAGCGUUGCUGGGCCAGGCCCAUGCAAGCGACGCAGUGGGCGCCGUGUUCACUCGCUCCACCUCUGCAUUGAUGUCUCUAGCUUGUAGCAAUUGCCAUCCUUUACAUGUAAAGAGGAUUUGAUGAGUCAUGUCAUGCUCUAUAGGCGUCAGUUCAUCUUAUCACCUUAGAGGAAAAUACAAAGUUAGUUUUUCGAAAAGCAACCGAGCCUAGAAGAACCGUACCCUCGACACGCAAGGCUUUAGCAUAUCUUAAUAGCCGAGACACGAUUGCGACUUGGUUCCACACAAGUUUCGUCUUUCUUGUUAAUGGCUGACAGCCCAUACAAGAUUCCAAACUCGGUUGCAAAAGUGAUACUAUCCUGAUAAGUGCGUGACAUGUAAAGUGAAUAAGGUGAUUCAUCUAUAGCAAACUUUAGGAUUUCUAUACUUUGUGUAUAAUCAUAUGCACAACUAAAAAGCAACUUUGAUGAUCAAUCCAAAAGUACGCUUGUAGCUAGUGCAACCUAACACAAUGUACCAAAAAUCCAUUUCAGAAACAUCCAAACAUAAUUAUUAAAGCUGAUGGAAAGAAGGAAAGAGAUGGUGCCCGGGCUACUAUAAAUAGGCAUGAAGUAUCAAGAUCAUCACAGGCACAAUCAUCAAAACCAAGCAAUACUAGUUAACACCAAUCCACCAUGAAGACCUUCCUCAUCUUUGCUCUCCUUGCCAUUGCGGCGACAAGUGCCAUUGCACAAAUGGAGACUAGCCGCGUCCCUGGUUUGGAGAAACCAUGGCAGCAACAACCAUUACCACCACAACAACAACCACCAUGUUCACAGCAACAACAACCAUUUCCACAGCAACAACAACCAAUUAUUAUACUGCAACAAUCACCAUUUUCGCAGCAACAACAACCAGUUCUGCCGCAACAGCAACCAGUUAUUAUACUGCAACAACCACCAUUUUCGCAGCAACAACAACCAGUUCUACCACAACAACCACCAUUUUCACAACAACAACAACAACAACAACAACAACAACCACCAUUUUCGCAGCAACAACAACCAGUUCUACCACAACAACCACCAUUUUCACAACAACAACAACCACCAUUUUCGCAGCAGCAACAACCAUCUUCACAACAACCACCUUUUCCACAACAACACCAACAGUUUCCACAACAACAAAUCCCUGUUGUUCAACCAUCCGUUUUGCAGCAGCUAAACCCAUGCAAGGUGUUCCUCCAACAGCAGUGUAGCCAUGUGGCAAUGUCGCAACGUCUUGCUAGGUCACAAAUGUGGCAACAGAGUAGUUGCCAUGUGAUGCAACAACAAUGUUGCCAACAGCUGCCGCAAAUCCCCGAACAAUCCCGCUCUGAGGCAAUCCGUGCCAUCGUCUACUCCAUCAUCCUGCAAGAACAACAACAGGGUUUUGUCCAACCUCAGCAGCAACAACCCCAACAGUCGGGCCAAGGUGUCUCCCAACACCAACAGCAGUCGCAGCAGCAGCAGCAACUCGGACAGUGUUCUUUCCAACAACCUCAACAACUACAACAAUUGGGUCAGCAGCCUCAACAACAACAGAUACCACAGGGUAUAUUCUUGCAGCCACACCAGAUAUCUCAACUUGAGGUGAUGACUUCCAUUGCACUCCGUACCUUGCCAACGAUGUGCGGUGUCAACGUGCCGUUGUACAGCUCGACCACUAUUAUGCCAUUCAGCAUUGGCACUGGAGUUGGUGGCUACUGAUAAGAAAAGAUUUCUAGUAAUAUAUAGUCGUUAGAUCACCGUUGUUUAGUCGAUGGAUAUGUCGAUGUAGCGGUGACAAAUAAAGUGUCACACAAACGUCAUGUGUGACCCGCAAACUAGUAGUUAAAUUCUGGAAUAAAAUACAAAUAAAGUUUUCUCUAGACAAUGUUCAUACCGGCGUUCUGUGGACGUCGAUGUGACUACCAUGCUUGCAAGUUCAUAAGUUCGUCUUGUCUGGUCACAAACCUGGUGCGUUAAUUUAUUAUUCAUGUAUAGAAAUAAUCAAAAUUUAAAUAUAAUAGUGUUAUUGUAAAAUUUUGGUUGAGUUGAAGCAAGGACUAACAUACAACUCUUUAAUGGUUGGAGAUUCAAGAUCUUAUUUUUAUUGGUUUGUAUCUGGUUCCAACUACCACCAUGGUCUACAGUGACAACCACAACUGGUUUGAUCGUUAACUCUCUUUGCUUGGUUUUUUUGCAAAUAUGUUCAUUGAUUCUUUGCACAAUUUUUUUGUCAAGAAAAAGGUCAGCUUUUGCUUGAACUUCACACACACACACCACUACAUAGUUAAUUCGAAAUAAGUUGCUGGUGAUGUCCUAGACCAGCUAGCACAGUCAGUGUGUGUGGGGAGGGGGAGUUGUUGCAUGCGUAUUCUUCGCGCAUUAUUUUAUUUUGUUCUUUUGAUGCUCUUACACCAUACCACAUUUUUACUUGAUGGAAAGCAAAAUAAACAACGCAGCUAGAAACCAUAGAACUUGAUACUGGGUGUGUGUCAACUUCACAUCCUCCUCCUUACGUCAUUUCAAUUGGAAAGCAAUAGCCCUCAUGAGAUCAGAUAUCCAUACAUAAUGCCAAAAUAAACAAGGUGAUGGCAUUAACGAUGCAAGUUUUAAAUUAGUCAAAUGGCUAAACUGAGGCACCGGCAGCCAUAUGAGACAUCCACGAGCAUGUAAUCCAUCUUAUUGCAAGUAGAGCACUGUAUUAUGUAUUUAUGUCAGAACAUCCAGUGCAGUUUUUCAAAAUGACGUUCCAUUGGCUGCAACUAGCAAAUGAUACGAAUUUUCUUUCCAAAUACUACAAAAAGUUGCAGGAUUGCAAAUUAAACAAUUACCUCGACUGACUAGACGUGAAACAACACACCUGCUGUGCAGCAACAACAGAUAAUUCAUCUCAAGCACCUACCCAGCAGGGAUUAGUUCUCGUGAAUUCAUGGAAUUUAGAAUGCAUCACAUGCUUACUGCUGAAGAGACAAGACCCAGAAGCAAGUGGUCACUUUCUUGUCCUCUUUAAAUGACACCUGUAAUUAAGAUUGAGUACAUCAUCGAACUCAGAAGUGACCAUAAUCUGCUGGUAGACCAUUAUUUCUUGUUCAUAUGAACAUACAUAAUACUUAAUAUACUGACAUGAUACAAGGCAACUUGACAAUCUCCUGUUAUUCGAAGAUGAAAGAUAUAUAUGAGUAUGCGAUUCAAUUUGGUGAGCUUAAUAUGUGCCGUUAUUGUGAAACAGUGAAAGACUGAAUAAAGGGACAUAUGGAAUUCUUUUUAUCAUAAUAACGAGUUUCUAAACACAGAACGAAAGCAACAAAAAAUAAAGACAGAGCGCUAAAAUUUCAGAGAAGUUUUUGAAGAUAUAAAAUGCAGUGCCCUUUUAUUGAUCACUGCCUAUAGCCAUAUAAAUAAGGUCUGGGACUCGGUUCGCUGCAACAAGCCUCUAGAAAGCACAUUUCCUCUGAUGCACAUAUGAAAUUUGAGAGUAAAACAUAAAAACGCCGAGAUAUACGGAUGAUUUAAUGAUGUAACUAACUUGGAUAUCCUUCUAGUGACCACGGAAUGGACAAAUUUUCUUCCGAGACGUCGAAAAGGGAUGGAACCUCCACACCCACUGCUUCUCCUUCACCUGCAUAGCGUGCGUAGGCGGAAAUUUGAUGAGUAUUUGAAGUGACAUCCACAUAGAGCAGGAGUUAUUCGGCUAGCAAAGUGCAAAUGUACAUCACUCUCAGGCUACAAGACUGAAUUCUGCUCGAUGAUCUUCCUGAUUCAUGCAGCGGAUAUGCAAAUGGGCGUGCCCCUUAAAUUCAUGUGAAUCAAAUUGCAGAAGAGACGGACAAACAGGGUUAAUAUAUACCUUAUUUCUUGUGUUGACGGGAUGGCUGGAGUGGCUGUCGUCGAUGUACGGCCCGCACUCGACGAAGAGCUUGAAGACCCUCUUGCGAAGACCAUCUGCGAGAGGAAGCAAGAGUUGAGGUCAGAAGAGGGUACAGUAGAGGUUGAGGGUGGGAAGGAAGGCAUCAACACUAGUAGAAAAAGGGCCUAAUGUGAAGCACAUUAGUCCCGGUUUGUAACAAAACCGGCACUAAUGUGUCCAUUAGUGCCGGUUCCAACGGCUAGGCGGGUGGAGCUAAAUUAGACUGAAUUGAACUUGUUCUUUAUAACUAGCUUGGGACAGAAAAAUUACUAUGAAAUGCACUUGAUUAUACUUGAUUUUAUGGGCUACAAAAAAUAUCAUCCAAAAAUGCUCUAAAAAACACGUUCUAAAGUAGGUUUGGCAGGAGAUGCGGCACAUUAUCAUUCAGAAAUUAGACCAAGAUAAAUGUGGAGUUGGCGGCUCAACACUCUAUAAGACUGUAACAGGUUGUCCCAGUGUCUCAGUCCUUUAGGACAUAGAUCCAGAAAAUGUAGAACUAACAUAUUAGCGGUUAGGAUCAUAUUUGCAAUGUGGGAACUUGGUGCGCUCGCUCCAACAUGCCUAGUGGAAGCAUGUGUCCUCUGAUGCACAUAUGAAAUAUGACUGGUACAAAACAUAAGAAACACUGAGAUUAUACGGAUGAUUGGAUGCUGUGGCUAACUUGUGCGUCGCUCCAGUCAACUGAGUGGACGAACUCGCUAAGAGCUUUCUUCUCGGAGAUCAAAGGGGACGGAACUUCCUAAGAGCUUUUGAUUCAACCUCCAUGCUAACUAACUACUUCUCCACCUGUUUAGUGGGCGUAGGAGAAAAUUUGAUGAGUAUUUGAAGUGACGUCCACAUAGAGCACAUAGCUAUAUUCAGUUAGAAAAGCCACAAAUGUACAUCACAUCCAGAUUAAUGGAGGUGGAAUGUGAAUGUGUGUGCCCUUAAAUUCAGGUGAAUCAAAUCGCAGAAGAGCCAGACGAAUAGGAUAGAUACCUUGAGUGGACGUGGAGGACGGAGUGUCUGCAGACAAUGUAUGGCCCACACCUGAAGGAGACCUUCUUGCCGAAAGCAUCUGCAAGAGGAAGUAAGAACAUGGUUGUUGACAUCAGAUUUUGGCAUGGUACAAAAAGCAAUUAAGAUUGCCCCAAAUGGAGAAGUGAUUUACAUGAAAAAGUUCCAUUUUGUCGACCUGAACAUCUUUGAAGUUUGUGCCAUCGCCAUCUAAUCUCAUCUCGAAGGCCAAAGUUAUGUUCGAAAUACUGAGAUUUUGUAUCCAGAGCACUGUUCGGCCGAUUAUGCCUCAAGGGAUGGUCACUUUCUACAUGAAUUGUCUUCGUCUCAUCAAAACGGUCGAUUUUGAUAAAAAUUCAUGUCAAUCCGAGGUUGUAUGUAAAAGUUAGAGCCACCCGAGUGCGGUCAUGAGCCAAAAGUGGCGAGUAAUAGUCUAUUUUGCACGAGCAAUUCGUCCCUGAAGUUGGCAUCUAUUCGAAACAUGUUUAACAUGAAUGUUGUUCGUCUCGGUGAAACGGUUAAAUUUGGUUCUUACACGAUUUUGAUCUGAGGUCAUUUACUACCCAAAAAAUGACCCGCAAGGUGAAGCCAAUUUUUAGAUCGAAUAGUUUUGGGAAGUUCGGAUCGAACAAUCCGAAUAGGAAUCAAAUUAGGGUUUUGGACAUGAAUUCUAACCUUUCCUUGCACGGGAAGUCCAUCCACCUCUUAUAUACAUGAGGGGUGACGGCCGAUUGAGAAACAACACACAAUCGCAAAACCCAUCUACAAACUUUCAUCUCCUAUCCUACUUUUCUGCUUCUCGUUCAUCAGUGUUCUUUGCUUCGGAGAGCUCUGAUCUAUGAAGUCCUAGGGGUGGGCGAACCAACCUAGGGCAGCCCAGCACUGUCGUGCGGCCAGACAGGGUCUCUUCCGACCGCGUGGGGUUUCGGGUCUUCAAAAGCGCUCGCCGGAUUGUAUUGCGUACCACUCUUCCGGUGAGCCUCCUUCGGCGAUGUGUCUUGCGUAUCGCGCUCGACGCCGAGGGUACACGGUGACGUGUUUGUGUGUGAACACACUUUUUGGCGACUCCGCUGGGGACCAAAGAGCAAUCAUCAUCAUCCAUCAUGGUCAAUCUUCCCAAGCCAUCUGAAGUGGAUGCCGAUAACAUCAACAAGCCCAAUUUUGAGGAAUUAUCGGCAGAACAUCGCCAAGCUUGUGAGUAGUACAAGAAGGCACGUGAAGGGAAGGAGAUGCAGGAGUUCCUUGCUAAGUUCAAAAAGGAUCGCCAAGGCAACAUCACUUCAAUUGAAGAAAUCAAGUUUCCUCCUCUUCACAAUGAGUAGGUAGAGUCGGCUGAAAUCACUACUCUUAUUGCUCAGAAUAAUGAUCGAAAAAAUACUCCUCAAUCAUCUAAUGGUAGAAAAUAAUACUGAUCGAAAAAAUACUCCUCAAUCAUCUAAUGGUAGUGGUAGUAUGUCUGCUGGUGUGGAAAACUUUAGUCCAAAUUUACCUAUUCCAGCGGUGCUGCCCAUGCCAUUGAAUUCUUAUCCCAGUCAGACAAACCAACUUGUUGCUCCACCAUUUAAUCCAGCCAGGAAUAUGCCAAGUUCAGUGAAUCCAACUGCAUUGCUAGGUUAUGGUUCGGCAAGUCCAAGUGGAUUGCUGCCGAACUAUGGUAUAACAUACACACCACCAUCUCUUCCGACUAGCACUAUACCAACUAGUAGAAAUCAUAUUCACCAUGCGCCACAACCACACGCAACGCCGCUCAAUACGAGUGAUAUUUUGGCUAAUGUCAGAGAGGAGAUGUCGAGGGUGUUCCGAGAGCAUUGCGGGAUUGAACUACCUCAACCACGAAUUUCUAGGAAACCAUAGCUAGAAAUUUUUGAUGUCGUGCCAUGUCCUCCCGGAUAUAAAGUUCCAGAUUUUGUUAAAUUUAGCGUAGAGGGAAGAAAGACUACAUGGGAGCAUGUUAGUCGGUACUUGGCACAAUUAGGUGAGGCAAGUUCACGAGACGAGUGGAAAGUACGUUAUUUUCCUUUAUCUUUAACCGGUACUGCUUUCCCGUGGUUUUCUGCAUUACCACCCGGUUCUAUUACUGCAUGGUUUCACUUGGAGCAAAAGUUUCAUGACCACUUCCAGAGUGGUGACAAUGAGCUUAAACUAUCCCAUCUUACAUCGGUUAAGCAAAAGCAUGAUGAAUCAGUCUUCGAUUAUGUCAAAAGAUUUAGAGAUACAAAAAACCGGUGCUAUAGUUUGGUGAUAACCGAGAGAGAUGUGGCUGAUCUCGUGCUUAGUAGUUUGAGAACUCACAUUAGAGAGAAGCUGGAAGGCUAUGAGUUUUCAAGUAUCAACCAUGUCUUAGAAAAGGGCUUUGGCUCAAGAAAGCCAAAGCAAAGAGUUUAAAGAGGUGCAUAGGUAUAACACUGAUCAUCCUAAGAUAAAUAUGAUUGAGUAUGAUGGUGAGCACUCGGAUGAUGAGGGUGAUAUUUAUGAUACUGAAUUUGUUUGGCCAUCUAAGGCCAAACCAUUUACUUGCAAUGAUAUAAAGCCAAUUUCAUAAGAAUCGUGAUGAAGAGAUGAAAAUUACUUUCAACAUUACUAAGUGUGAUAGAAUAUUUGAUGCUUUGUUGCAAGCGAACAUUAUUAGAAUAUCUCAUACUUUACCGCCGUUUCAAGAGCUGAAACGGCGUGCUUAUUGCAAGUAUCAUAAUUCUUUUUCUCAUGCCACUAACGAUUGUAAUGUUUUUCAACGACAAAUACAGCCGGCCAUUAAUAACGGACGAUUGAAAUUUUCUCAGAUUCCACUUGAUAAGCAGCCCUUUCCAAUGAACACCAUGGAUUUGGAGGGAAAAAGAUGUUAAUUCGGCCCGAUAUAGCCGAAUCAGCUAAUAAAAAUAAGAUUGUCAUUGGUGAGCCUCAGAAAAGCAAGGAAGACGACAAGGCCUUGGGGAGACAAGUUGUGCUUGACAAGCGACCCGGUGGCAAGGAGAUCAUUAAGAUCACCAUCAAGAANNNNNNNNNNNNNNNNNNNNNNNNNNNNNNNNNNNNNNNNNNNNNNNNNNNNNNNNNNNNNNNNNNNNNNNNNNNNNNNNNNNNNNNNNNNNNNNNNNNNNNNNNNNNNNNNNNNNNNNNNNNNNNNNNNNNNNNNNNNNNNNNNNNNNNNNNNNNNNNNNNNNNNNNNNNNNNNNNNNNNNNNNNNNNNNNNNNNNNNNNNNNNNNNNNNNNNNNNNNNNNNNNNNNNNNNNNNNNNNNNNNNNNNNNNNNNNNNNNNNNNNAAAUUUGUUAAACCAAAGAAUCCAGAGGUUGGCAAGUGGAAGACGAAUGAAGCUAAAGUACAACGCAAGAGAAUCAAGCCAACUUUUGUUAUGUUGCUAUGCAAAUGUGCCAAUCAAGCGGCCAAUUCUAGCUCUAACCGGUCAUCAAAUUUAAAGCUCUCCAGGUCACCUCCUCGACAAGAAUUUCAUCAUCAUGCAAGGCCAUAUGGGUCUUGGGCACCUUGACCAUCGAUGGCACCACCCCCCCUAUGUGUCAUACUACAUGGGAAACUUUAAUGGAGGAUGGGGGCAACCUCCAAUGACCCCUUAUGCUUUUCAUCCGGGUUGGGUAGAACCAAGGAGGCCCGUUUGUGAGAGGCUUUCUUACCCUAUACAUGGCCGUUUGAACAAUGGUGUCAAUCGGCCAAUGCAGGAUAAUCAAAAAAGGUUCAGCAAUCAAGUGUGGCGAGCUAAAUCACCAAGUGCUGAAAUUUCAGAGGCUAGCAACCAAAAGGAGAAGAGUACUAGUGCUGAAACUAUUAUUGUAGGCACUAAAGAAUUAACAAUCAAAUAGCCGAUUAUUGUUGAUAAUGCAGCUAUUUCUAACAAGGAUGUGGCUGCUGUCCAACAAGGUCCCGUGGCUAAUGAUCAUGAAGCUAGCACAAGCAAGGCCAAGCUGAGGGAUCCAAAAUAUACUUAGCCUAAGUGGUGUCCCUCCGGUCUGACCAAGGCACAAAAAAGUAGGUUGCAGCACAUGAGAAGCCACGAGAAGGAGGGAUAAGAAGCGGAGAGGCAAAGGGAUAAACUGUUCAAUGAAACCCGUCCCAUGAUGUCCGCAAAACAAGUGUGGAGGCCUAAGCAAAAGGAAAACAUAGUAGCUUCUGCAUUGGUAAUAACAGCACCUACACCACCAAUGGAGGACGAUGCGACUGCUAUUACAUCGUCCACUUCACCUAUUACUUCCUCUUCACUAGGAGAUAUUUCGGAGUCGAUGGACAUGCUUCAGGAUGGAGAUGGUAUUUUGGAUUAUGAGUCUACACCGGUUCAUGAAGGUAUUGAUAUUAAUAUGGUGCACUACUUACCCGCUGAAUUCCGUGCUAUAUAUGAAGAAGGGCAAGUACCUCAGUUGGAUUUUGGUCCUAAAAAUGCUAUAAUCGAGAAGCCAAAAGAAUGGGUGACGCACCUGAAGCCAUUGUUCCUUAAAGGUCAUAUUAAUGGAUCGCCGAUUGCUAGAAUGCUUGUUGAUGGUGGUCCUGUGGUGAAUCUUAUCCCAUAUUCAGUCUUAUAAAAAAUGAGGCUGCGUGAUGAAGAGUUGAUAAAGACCAACAUGGUGCUCAACGGAUUUGAAGGUAAAGAGAAAAUUGAAGCCAAAGGUGUGAUGUAUGUGGAGCUUACGGUGGGAAGCAAAACUUUGGCUACCGCAUUCUUUGUCGCCGAGGUGCAAGGUAACUCCAAUGUGAUAUUAAGCCAUGAUUGGGUUCAUGCAAACCAAUGUGUGCUAUCUACUAUGCACCAGUUUUUGAAUCAAUGAGUUGAUGAUGAAGUGGAAGUCAUUCAUGCGGAUAAUUCGAUCGGCUUGUGUUGCUUUGGCCGAUGAAUCGGUGGAUUGGCAACAUCCCAAUGCUACUUGCUUGACGGGGCGCGACUUAUCAGAAUUUGAUUUUCUUAGCGCUACAAAAUUGGUUUCGUGCCCCUUUCUAUAAAGCCGGUUGGCGAUAAUCGGCUCCAAGGUAUGAUGUAUUUAAAUGGAUCCUAUCUCAGAGUGGUUUCAAAAGCGUCUUGUAGAAUAUCGGUCCAAUGAGAAUGAUAUGUAUGAGUCCAUAGAAGAGUUAGAUGAUAUGGAUAAAUUAGGACAAGGUUUUACAUCGGCGAUCCAUUAGAAGAGAUAGAUAUAGCAGAUGGUUCAUUUCUUAGGCCGACAUUUGUAAAUAAAAAUUUAAGAGUCGAUCAUAAACUUAAGUUGAUCGAGCUGUUAAAAGAAUAUAUUUGUUGCUUGGCAUGGGAAUAUCAUGAGAUGCCCGGUUUAAGCCGAGAGCUAGUGGAGCAUCGAUUACCUAUAAAGGCUGGUUUUUGACCGUAUAAGCAAUCGACCAGAAAGUUUAAUCCAAAAACAUAUGACCGGAUCAAGGAAGAGAUCGGUCGUUUGCUGAAAGCUAAUUUUAUUAGACCUUGCAAGUAUGCCGAGUGGAUUUCUAACAUUGUACCAGUGAAGAAGAAAGGCUCGGGCAAGUUGAGGGUGUGUAUUGAUUUUAGAGAUUUGAAUAGAGCUACACCCAAAGAUGAGUAUCCCAUGCCCAUAGCCGAUAUGCUUAUUAAUGAUGCCUCUGGACAUAAGGUCAUUAGCUUUCUUGAUGGUAAUGUGGGGUAUAAUCAAAUUUUUAUGGCCGACGAUGAUAUGACCAAAUUAGCUUUUCGAUGUCCCAGUUUCCUUGGUUUAUUUGAGUGGACAGUGAUGACCUUUGGUUUAGAGAAUGCCGACACCACGUAUCAAAGGGCUAUGAAUUUAAGUUUUCAUGAUUUACUUGGUGUUAUACUUGAAGUCUAUAUUGAUGAUAUUGUUGUCAAAUCGGAUGCUUUUGAAUCUCAUCUAGCUGAUUUGUGCUUAGAUUUUGAGAGAAUGAAAAAAUAUUGACUAAAGAUGAAUCCUUUGAAAUGUGCUUUUGGUGUAUCGGCUGGUAAGUUUUUGGGUUUCAUUAUUCAUCAACAUGGCAUAGAAAUUGACCCAAAAAGAUAGAGGCUAUACAAAAGGUGUGGGCUCGAACAUGCAAGAGAGAUAUGCAAAAAUUCCUUGGCAAAGUCAAUUAUUUGAGGAGAUACAUAGCCAAAUUGUCAGGGAAGGUUGAUACAUAGCCAAUUAUUUGUGCACUUCUCUAGUGUUGAAAGCCCCCAAGCAUAGAGAGCCCUUUAGGCUUUAUAUUGCGGAGGAGAAAGCCCCCAGGCAUAGAAAGUCCCCUCAAGAGACCGAAGGAAAGGAGCAUGCUAUUCUUAUUUGAGUCGACGCUUAUUGGAUGUCGAGAUAAGGUAUACAUUGAGAAAUUAUGCUUAUGCUUAUAUUAUGCUUGCACAAAAUUGAGACAUUACCUAGUGCCUAGUACAUGCAUUAUAGCUUUUCAAACUGAUGUCAUCAAAUACAUGUUGCAUAGGCCAAUUCUUAGUGGUAGAAUUGGCAAGUGAGCUUAUGCUUUAAUUGAAUAUGAUUUGGUUUAUGAAUCUCUGAAAUUCAUGAAUGGGCAAAUCGUUGUUAAUUUUGUUGUUGAGCAUCGGAUUGAUGACAAGCAUGAUAUUGAUCUUAAACUUGUCUAUUAGUACCAUGGAGAUUAUAUUUUGAUGGUUCCGUUUGUAGCAAUGGACAAGGUGUUGGUAUUGUUUAUAUAUCUCCUCAUGGAGCUAUUUUUCAAGCCUCAUGCCGCUUAGAGUAUUUUUGUACAAAUAAUUAGGCCGAAUAUGAAGCAUUUUUACUCGGUUUAGAGAUGUUGCUUGCCAUAGGCGCUACACAUAUUGAGGCUUUUGGUGAUUCGUUAUUAGUAGUGCAACAAAUAUCCAGAGUAUUUCAAUGUUUUCAUGAAUCACUUAAUGUUUAUCUUGAUAAAUGUCUAGAUAUAAUUUCUACUUUGGAUUAUUUUAGCAUUCCUCAUAUAUCUAGACAUGACAAUUGGAGAGCAAAUCAGUUGGCACAACAAGCAUCUGGCUAUCAUGUUAAUCAUGACAUGUUUCAUAUUUACCAAAGGCCGAUGUCUAUUCUUGCCAACGUAGGGGAGGCUGAACCGGAGCCCACCGUUUCGGUCACAAAUGAAAAUUUUAAUGUAGAAAAUCUGGACUAGAGGAAAGCCAUUAUUGAUUAUUUGCGUGAUUCUAAUAAAAUUUUGGAUGAGGACCAAGCAAGAGUUGCUAUGAGAGAGGUUCAUGAAGGAAUUUGUGGGACUCAUCAGUCGGCUCCCACUAUGAAAUGGUUAUUGCGACAGGCUGGGUUUGAUUGACCAACGAUGAUUAAUGAUUGCUUCAGGUAUUAUAAAGGAUGUGCAGCUUGUAAAAUGUCUGGUGAUAUUCAGCUAGCUUCUGCUGCUAUGUUACAUCCUAUUAUUAAGCCGCGGCCUUUUAGAGGUUGGGGAUUAUACUUUAUUGGAGAGAUUCAUCCUUCUUCUUCAAAGGGGCAUCAGUUUGUGUUGGUGGCAACUGAUUAUUUCACUAAAUGGUCUGAAGCAAUACCGCUAACAAAUAUGACGCAUACGGAGGUAAUUCAAUUCAUAACUUAGCACAAUAUUCAUAGAUUUGACAUUCCUCAAAUGUUAACUACGGACCAAGGUUCAUCUUUUAUGUCAGAUCAAGUUAGAGAAUUUCCCGAAUCAUAUAAGAUAAAGUUGCUCAAUUCAUCUCCGUAUUAUGCCCAAGCCAAUGGACAAGCUGAGUCUAGCAAUAAAAUAUUAACCAACCUCAUCAAGAAGAAGAUUGAGGAUAAUUCAAGGAGAUGGCAUGAGCUAUUGUCCGAAGCUUUGUGGGCACACAUAAUCUCAAGGUAUGGUGCUACAAAGGUAACUCCAUAUGAGCUCAUAUAUGGUAAAGAGGCCGUUUUACCAGUGGAAGUGAAUUUGAAUGCUUUGAGAAUAGCAAAACAAAAUGAUUUAUCGGCGGUGGACUUUUAUAACUUGAUAAUGGAAAAUAUUGAUGAAGUCGCUGAUAAAUGUUUUGUUGCUUUGAAGGCCAUAGAGAGAGAUAAUUUGAGGGUGGCAAGAGCUUACAAUAAGAAGGUCAAGUUGAAGAAUUUUCAAGUUGGCGAUCUCGUGUGGAAGGUGAUUCUACCAAUUGGUUCGAAAGACAUAAAAUUCGGGAAGUGGUCUCCAAGUUGGGUAGGUCCUUUUAAGAUUACAAGGGUAGUUCCCAGAAACUUAUAUUUAGUGGAAUCCGUACAAAGGACAUUGUUACCUCGAGCUGUCAAUGGCAAAUAUUUGAAGAAGUACCACCCAAGUGUGUGGCAAGAAGCCUAGAUAAUCAAUGGCCGAUAUACGACUAUGGCCCUUAGCAUAAACAUGGCCGAUAUAUAAUUAUCGCACCGAGAAGUAUAAAUGACACAUGGAGUGUUGACAUCGUCCUUAGAAUAAACGCGAUGCAAAUUAUUUUCCGGCAUUCAAGCUCUGCCCAAAACAGAGGAUAAGGGUUGACACCAGAUUUUAGCAUGGUAGGAAAUGCAAUUAAGAUGGUCCCAAAUGGAGAAGUGGUUUACAUUAAAAAAAAGUUCCGUAUUGUCGACACAAACAUCUUCGAUGUUUGGGCCAUCGCCAUCCGAUCUCAUCUCGAAGGCCGAAGUUGUGUUCGAAAUACUGAGAUUUUGUAUCCCGAGCACUGUUCGGCCGAUUACGCCUCAAGGACGGCCUCAAAUGAGAAAACUUUCGACAUGAAUUGACUUCGCUUGGUCGAAACAGUCAAUUUUGAUAUAAAAAUCGUCUCAAUCCAAGGUCGUAUGUAAAAGUUAGUGUCUCCUGAGUCCGGCCCUGUCACGAGCCAAAAGCUACGCGAGUAAUAGUCUAUUUUGCGCGAGCGAUUUGGCACUGAAGAUUAUAUCGAAUCGAAAACUGUUCAACAUGAAAGUUGUUCGUCUCGUCGAAACAGUUAAAUUUGCUUCUUCCGCGAUUUUGAUCCGAGGUCGUUUACUACCCCAAAAAUGACCCGCAAGGUGCAGCCAAUUUUUAGACUGAACAGUUUUGGAAAGUUUGGAUCAUACGAUCCUAAUUGGACUCAAAUUAGGGUUUUGGACAUGAAUUCUAACUUUUCCUUGCACGGGAAGUCCAGCCCCCUCUUAUUUACAUGAGGGGUGAUGACUGCCCCUCCUAGAAAAAACCAGACUGGGAGGACAUUUUUUUCCUGUCCGAAAGCCGUUUCCGCCUCUUGGAAGAAGAAGAAGAAAAAAGAGAAAACACGUUUUUUUUCGUUUCCGAGAGCCUCUCGCGGAAACAAAACAAUGCCGCUCAUGGAAGAAAAACAAAAAAAUGCAUUUUUUCACGAAAGCAAAACCGUGCCUCUCGUGAAAGAAAGAAAAGAGAAAACACAUUUCUUGUCCUUUUCGUGAGGCACGGCAGUGCCUCUCGCGGAAGCAAGACCAUGCCUCUCGCGGAAGCAAAACCGUGCCUCCCGCGGAAGAAAAAUACAGGGAAAACACGAUUUUUUUUCGUUUAUGAGAGGCACGACUGUCUCGCGGAAGCAAAGCCAUGCCUCCCGCCGAAGGAAAACCGUGCCUCUGGUGAAAAGGGAAAAAAAGAAAACGUGUUUUGUCACAGGAAAAAAAUUAAAAAAAAUUGGUCCAAAACCUAGGGAAGACCGGUGAACAACCAAAAAGCCGGAAAAUUAAAAAAAAAAACAUCUAAAAUACCAGAUGGAGGUUGAGAGUGCACCAAGUGACGCGCUCUCGGCCCAUCCACAAAUGACCCUUGGGAAGGGUGGGAACGAGCGCUCUUUAGUAUUAUUUUUUGAGGCAAACCGUUCUUUAAUUAGUUGCUCCGGGGAAGGGGAAUGGAAGACGCAGAUCGGCAACGUGUGGGCUGGGCUUGUGACGUUGGGGUCUCAGAAAAUAUAGCCCAGUUCGAAUUUAGUGGUCUCAGCAAGUAAAACCAGCGCUUAUGUUGGGCCUAAUCACUCACUCCAGGCUGUGGGCCUCGCUAGCAGCCCCAUCUUACCAUUCCCCUCGUUCUCUCUCUCUCUCGCAAAAAAAAACCAUCAUUUCCGUCAAAAAGAAAAGACAUCUACCCGUCUCGCCGCCAAGAGAUCCAGGAACCCCGGGGUCGUUCCAUUGUUUUGCAUAGCGUGUAGAUUAGGUUUUCUCUGUUAGUUUUAUGUGUUCUUAGUGGCGAUGGCUUGACGGUGAAGGCGAGAGUGAUGAUGGUCUCUCGGCUCCAUUCCUGUUCUGAUUAUGCGUUCCCGGCUAAGAAGGCCAUCAAACAUAACAUAAAUGGGGUGCUUUCUUUUCUUCUUACCGAUCUCCUCCUAGUUUACCGGCUCAAGGUGUAUCGGCUCUACAAACAUCUUGUAUCCACCUCACGUCCUGGGAAAUUACUGUCGGUAACUUUCAUCGUAUUGCGAUAACAAUAUUUUCUUUCAAGAACCCGCCUUCCUUGAAUUUCGUACAAAGUUAAUUGUCAAUGUCAUAACUAAUUGCAAGACCAGGUACAGCUCUUCUCUACAGGAAGUUACAGUUUCUAAAUUGCAUGACCCUGUAUCACUUUAUGAAGCAAGCACAUCACCUUCAGCUCCUCAUUUGCAAACUUAGGACCCAUUUGGACCACAUAAAUUUUACAAUAUGUUUGCUGCAUUUCACAAGAAACCAUCGAUUUUGUGAAGAAAGAAUUACAUUGUUUCAUCGCCGUUACAACACAACAUUAAUCAGAUCACCUUAAUACCUCCCACUGCGUUUUUUUUUGGAAAAAUACACAACAUACUGAUUGACCUUAAAGAAUGAAGGAGGCCAUAAGGUCUUGUACAAUGCUAGGUGUUUAGAAAGAUAAACCGGAUUUUACUGAUACACCGGUGCCUAUUUCUACCGGAGAGACGUCUAAUUAAGCGUAUACCCUGUACAAAUAAGUAUCAGUGCUUAAGGAAAGCCUGGUUUAUUUCUCGAAGCACCUCUCCUAAGCACCUUGCAGUGUACAAGGCCGAGAAGAAAGCUCUGACUUCCUAUUGUUGCUGCAUCAGCAGGAAAAGUAGUCUUCAUUUCAAAAAGAAGCUGAAAGUGCUAGAGUGAAAAAUAUCAUAUGUACAGAAGCUGGAUAUAUAUUACCAGCAAGGUGGAGAAGUGGGGAAAAAAAUGCUCAAAUGUGGUUAUCAAUCUUUUGAAAUGCAAGCAAGUAAGCGGAUGGGUGUUUGAGCUAUCUUUGUGUGAUCAGAACAAAUCCAUGUCCAUUAAUUAGUCUUAAUAUCAUCUUCACAGUACCAGGGACUCCCGGAUACUAAGAGUGCUUAAUAAUCUUAUAAUUAGGUGGAGACAUUUUCAUUACCUGCAUACAAAUGCGUACGAAUGAUGAUAUUUUAUAUUUUUUUCUUUGCAACUUCGGAGUGCCCACAAAGUGAAAUAGAAGGUGUAAACAUAACUUCUUUCAACCUCCAGUAAAAGUAACAAUUCUCUCUCCAUGUACCACUCUAUACCAACUUCUUCAAUACCUGUUGACUCUCAUGUUUUUGUUUUCCUUCAAUAUUUCAGACGUUCUAAAGCUCGGUCGAAAUCACUCGAGCUGGUCAACCCUGCCCCCGUGUCGCCCGCAACAGACGAUACGGGGAAAACUUUCGUCGCCGCCGGUAGCCUUCCUCCGCCAGUGCCCCUCCCCCCCCCCCCACAUCGCUGCCGCAGGAGGGUCGGCCAGCGAAGUCGCGCCGCGCUCGGGGAUGGCGGCGGCGGGGCGGUUUCGUACCCUCCCCCCCGAUGCGCUGCCCCAACAACCCCUUCGCCGCCAUCACCUCCCCGCGCCGCUGCUGCCGCGUCGCGCCUGAGGGUGGGGGCGGCAGGGCAGCUUCAUUCCCUUCAUGCUGUAGCUCCUCGUCCCCAACCUCCUCGCCCCCCAGAUCCAAUCUGGUGCGCCGCGGGCUCCCCUACCCUCCAACUGCUACUGUGUUCGUCCUGCCUGUCCGACGAGGUGGCGCGGCCGUGCCCGUCGUGCACCUCCCCAGUCUACCUCUUUCACCUUGCUGGCGCAGCUUCCUUCUUGUUGUUGUUCGCUGGGGCAUGCGAGGACUCGUGUGGAGGUCACGGGCUGGCCAAGGCUCGGUCUUGCCCCGUGUUGCAGACCACCCUUCGUCUCUGAUGGCGUCUCCUUCUAGUUACGGCGGCGACCUCUGCCCGUGUGUGGUCAAGGUGUUGUUUUGGGCAGCGGGAUGAAGCUUCGCGGUGGGUCCUUGCCGACACUGCUCCGGUCCCAGCGGCCAUCGACCAGCGUUCUUCGGCCUCCCUACCGCCGUGAAUUCAGCCCCAACACUCCGGUCGCUGCGUCUCCUUCCGGCAUCUUCGGUUUGCCGGUGUUCUGGUGGUUCCACCUCCGGCAGCUCGGAGUUGUGCUCCCUUCCGCCUCCAGCUUGUCAGCGGCGCCGGUCACCAUCCCACCCUCCAUGCCGGCUUUCUACCAUGCUGCCUUCCCGACCCUGUCGACACCCGCAACAUGUCAUUUCCAAAGCUCGUGUUCUUUCGGCAGCAGGUGCAGCCCCACCACCUCCGUACCGGGAUGGUGGUUGACUAGCGGAUUGUCUUCCUCAUCUUCGGAUCCUGAUUUGGCAGCUAUGGCAUUGCUCAGACUAAGGCCAGGCGAAAUCCAUGCUCUGCUUGCCAAUGUUGGCAGAGGCGACACUCGUGAGUGCUUUGCCAUGGCCUUUAUCCGGGCCCCUCUUCGAGCGCUGGGGGAAACCCUAGGUCCGGUUCUUCGGAUCGGAUGGUGGCGGUGUCACGAUGUCGCACCCCUUCCUGAAGGCGCUAUCUUGUUCGCCCCCGGUGUCCCUGUUUGUUUGAUUUUGAGAUGUUCGACGUCGUGCUUGUUCGGCCUGCCUCUCUGUUUAGGAUUUGUGGGUGUAGUUGUGUCAUUUCCCCUGUUCGGGCUGAGCACCCCUUGUCUCUCUGCUCCGGGUUCCAUGAUCAUGCCUCUUUGGGUUCAUGCCAUGUGUUGUAUCCUCUGUUGUACGCAUUCUCUUUCUUCUAUCAAUAAAGGAUAUGCAAGCUUUGUGUAUUCACAAAAAAAAAGACGUUCUGAAGCUCUGAAGCUAAAGAUGUAAAUAAAUCUGAACUCUCGCACUCACUUUUAAAUCGUGGGGCAGUAUACUCUAAUCUAUCCAGCUCUUCCUGUAAAACAAAUAUACUGUCAGCAUGUGAUUUAUCAUUCAUGAAUCGUUUAUCAUGCCAUUUUUAGAAUGUGACUGGCAAAAUGGUGUGACUGUACAAUUCUACUUUUUUCGAAAAAGAGGAUUACCCCUAGUAUCUACAUAGAGCCAUGCACACAACCAUUUUAUUAUAUUAUUUAACGGAACCAAACGAAACAAAUAUAUGGAUCAAGCCAAAGCCACCUCCCUAGAAACUAUUGUCGUUACACGUACAAGCUUUAAUGGCGUGCCCUGACCACUUAUCAACACACAUCAUAUAUUCCGGUCGCCUCACCAAGAUGCCUGCCGGCAAUUUGAGAGCAUCUACCGGUCUAGCUAGACCCUCUGCACGCACAUCAUGCACACGCUUUAGAUUCAGCCACCGCCAUGUUCCGCGGUCCCACCUUCAAGAGCGAUCAACGUAUUCAUCUCGCUAGGCCAUCUCGACACCAGAUAGCUCCACUAUCCAGCGCGGGCGCCCGUCGCCGACACUCCGCCGUGCCACGCCACCGAGACCCUGUGUCGUCCUUUCGGUAGAUGUAACACCGCUCCUCCACUUGUCUCUUCCAGUCGGCUCCUACUCGAGACAAUGCCCCUAGGAGGGAGAACGGCGCUGAAGGCACCAUCAUCGUCCGAUCCGGGAUACCCAGAACUAGAGUUUCCCCCGGAACAACCCGAGCGUAGUGACACAACUUACAAAUGACGAUGCCUCGAAAAAGGAAACAACGUUAGAGACGCCACCAUCUGCCAUGACCGCAGUUAGCACAAUUUCACCGGAAGUCGCGUCGACAUGGAGACGUAAGCUGUCGCCGGAACGUCGGCAUAGGGCCUCCAGUCGCCCCUGACCUGUCCCUGCACGCAUCGCCUGCCGGCCAAGGCCACGCCAAGAUGGAUCUGGAUGGGACGCUAGUUCCGCGGCCACUGCCGCCACCCAUCACAUGGUCGGCCAGGUCAACGACUAAUCCCACAGCCAUGGACAAACCGGUCGCCGCCGCCAGCCCGGGUCACCACCCUGACCGCACCGGCUGAAGACACAGGUGUCGUCGCGAGAUUGAUACGGUGAACAAGGCCCGAAUCCCUCGUGCUCGACCUUGAUCAGCCACACACAAGCAUCUCUCCACGCUGACGAGGGGUCCACUAUGGGAUCCAUCGCGCCGACUUCCGCCACCGCGCCGCGGGAAUAGACUGCCCUGAUGCUGCCGCCCACUGAGGCGGGCUUCGCCUGUUCGGCCUCCUCCAACAGCGUCCGGCCGUGGGCUGCNNNNNNNNNNNNNNNNNNNNNNNNNNNNNNNNNNNNNNNNNNNNNNNNNNNNNNNNNNNNNNNNNNNNNNNNNNNNNNNNNNNNNNNNNNNNNNNNNNNNNNNNNNNNNNNNNNNNNNNNNNNNNNNNNNNNNNNNNNNNNNNNNNNNNNNNNNNNNNNNNNNNNNNNNNNNNNNNNNNNNNNNNNNNNNNNNNNNNNNNNNNNNNNNNNNNNNNNNNNNNNNNNNNNNNNNNNNNNNNNNNNNNNNNNNNNNNNNNNNNNNNNNNNNNNNNNNNNNNNNNNUUCAGCCUCUCCACUUGUGGGAACAAUAUCCUUGAAUGUUUAGUUUCUCAUAUCUUUACGAAAACGGAGUAAGGGAAAUAUCGUGUGUGGUUGCAGGGAACUCACAUCAAAUGAUUGGGAGAUGUUCAUAAAUCAGUGAUAAUAGCCUUUGCAAACAGGCUAAUCCCAAAUGAUUCAAUGAAACCAACCUUCAUGUACUCAAUGAACGUAUUAUGCAUGUUAUGCUAGUUCAAGUCAUACUAAAUAUCACUUGUCUGGCAAAUAACAACAGCGUUCUCUGAAACCAUUGCAUCAUGAGAGAAUUGUGUGAAAUGGAAAUUGACACGAUUUAAAUUUUCAGGUUCCUUUCCUGGUGAGCCUAUCAUAGUAAAGAAACCUGGAAGAAAACAUUGGAGAAAGGAAUUCACAAAAUGCGGAAUUAUUAAUACUAAAUGACUGUUGAUGUUCAAAUGCAUGUCAGUUCUAAAUAAAUAAAUGAUUUUCUUCUUCUUUCUGCUCUUCAAUGUUUUCUUCCCUUACAAGAUUCUAGCAGUCUUAACACCAUUAUGGCCACAGAAAAAAAAAACAUCUAUCCCAUUUGUUACACGAGCUAAAAAUAAAAAUAGCACAUGAGCAUGGGCUGCAGAAAUGCACAUUCUUACUUCUAAGAAUAAUGUCAUCAAGAGAAGCAAAAGGCUGGUUUUUUGUGACAAUAAUUUAUUCAAUGAAAAGAGUGAGCCCGGGUUGCACGAAAUAUGAGUUUAUCUAUUUUUCUUCCAACAAAAUAUCUGGUCUACCAUCACUGCACCUUCGAACAUCAGAGUGCACACAGAACAAGAAAUAAAGAAGCAAAAGGGCCCUUGCGUAACUCAUGUAUUUUCAAACAAUGCUACAGAAAAUAUCCCUUAUACUCCCUCCGUCUAGGUUUGUAAGUCAUCUUACGAAAACAAAAUAAUCCCAAAACACUUAGGCGCGGUGCGUUAACUUCUACCUCGUUUCUUGUUUCUUGACAUAUCAACCAAUAAGAGAUAUGGGUGUGCAUGCUUUUAAUGACUUGAGACUACCAAACACGACAUGCAGUGGUUAGUUCAUUGCAUGCAAUGCUAUUAAUUAGCAAAAAACAUUAAGUUCUCUCGUUUUCCCUCCUCCUUGGUCACGGUGCACAACAUAAGAUGACUUAUUCACUUAGACGGAGGGAGUAUCAUGGAUUUGCGCCUGCAUCAAUUGUUUCCGAGUGCUGUCAAAGAGAAAAAUUUACUAAGAUUUCCAUUGUCAAACUGUGAUGUCCGACUAGUGUUGGUGGAAGAAUCACAUAUUGGAGAGGAUAAUUUGGAGUAGGGGAUGAGAAGAAGUUGAAGAACAGAUGAAGAGGGUGAGAUGUAGAACAGAGUAGGUGAGAGUUCAAACAAUUCUCAUUUCAUCGAUAAGUUACGGCACAUGUCUGAUUCACUUGCCCCUUUUAAACACAUAGGCACUCUCUUACAAGUGGGCCCUCAAAUCCACACGCCCAGUGCACUAGAUGAUCUUCCUAUGGCUCACUCCUAAGUUGUCUCUCUCUAGUUGUUGGGCCCUUCGUCCUCCAUAUCCUAGUCCUCCUCAUUCCACUGGACUGGGAUCUUGAUUUCCGUCGAGGGUGUGGUAGAGAGCAGAUGCAUGACACAAUCUUUGUUCCAUUACGCUUCCUCAAAGUCGCCAUUUUAGACAUUGUCAUGUCUACAACACACAAUUAGACGCUUGGUGACCUGUUGCUUCAAAAAUAUAUUUUGAAAUCAUGUGCCUAGAGGUGUUUUGAAUGUAUGGCUACAAAUGUCACUGAGGUUCCUAGUUCCUGUUCCAUCAGCAUACCCUGCCGAAGUGGUAAUCUGACUUCAAGUGGAAUAAGCAAGACAGGAGAAAGAAUUAAGGUGGUAUUCAGCUCGUUUUCCCCUCACCUUUUUGACUCUCACAUUUUUGUUUUCCUCCCAUAUCUUAGAUGGGGUGAAGCUAUAUGCAUAAACAAAUAUGAAUUCAUAUCACACUCACCUCGACAUCUCAGUAGUACAACACAGGGCUUUCGUCACAGGGCAAUUUUCACAUUAGUCCCGGUUCAGUCACGAACCGGGACUAAUGUGAGCAUUGGUCCCGGUUCGUGCGGCUAAGGCAUUAGUCCCGGUUCACCUGGGCCCUUUAGUCCCGGUUGGUGCCACGAACCGGGACUAAAGGGUGCGAUGCCCAUUAGUACCGGUUGGUGGCACCAACCGGGACUAAAGGUCUAACCUUUAGUACCGGUUGGUGCCACCAACCGAUACUAAUGCGCUUUGAGGCAUUAGUACCGGUUCAUGGCACGAACCGGUACUAAAGGGCCCAUUUUCAAACUCUACCCCCCCUGGUGGACCGCCUUUUCAGUUUUAGGAAAAACAAAAGAAAAUGAUGGAAAUGUCAAAAAAAUAAAAUAAAAUAAGUUUCCCAUGUGAUAUGUGGUCUAGUUGUUGGGAAAAUUAACAAAUAUGAAUUUCGACUUUAUUUGCAAAAUCUCUCUGAAAUUUCUUAAAAUGGGCAUAACUUUUGCAUACGAACUCGGAUGAAAAAGUUUUUUAUAUGAAAAAUCAUCUACUCAAAAUCCUCAAAAACCUAACAGAAAAAAAGAUACGGGACUUUUAAGAUCUGGAGAGGCAAAAAAAUUCAAAAAAUUUCAAUUUGUGGUCAAACUGUGGUCAAACAAUAGUCAAACUAAUUAUUCUAGAAUAUUAGUGUUACUAAAUAAUUAUUUCAGUUUUUUUGAAUUUUGGUCAAAUCUGGUCAAACUGUGGUUAAACAGUGGUCAAACAAUGGUCAAACUAAUUAUUCCAGAAAUAUUAGUGUUACUAAAUAAUUAUUGUUUUUAAAAAUAAUAGUUUCAAACUCAAACAGUGAAAUAUGUCACUUCAUGCUCAAGCUAAAUUCCUGAGGGUUAAUAAAAUUGACAUCUUACUAUUGUCAGGAAAACAACAAGUGCAGACUUGGAAACGAGGGAGAAUAGAACCCAGAAGUUAAGCGUGCUCAGGCUGGAGUAGUGAGAGGAUGGGUGACCGUCCGGGAAGUUAGAUGAUUUGAAAUGAUGAGGGGUGAUUAGAGAUUAGAGGAUAAAUUGAGCAGUGAUGAGGGGUGGUGAUUAGAGAUUAGAGGUUAAAAUAAUUCAGAAAUUUGAAAAUCAAAAAAAAAGUUCGCAAAUUUUUUUUUCAAAAAAAAUAUAUCAUAAAAUUCUGCGUCCACGUGGACGGCCUUUAGUCCCGGUUCGUGUCUAAAGGCUUGGGUAUAUAUAGACCUUCUACACGUCUCCAAUCUCUAGUAGCUCUUCAUAUGAUAAAAAUAUAUUGUGAGUAUGGGAUAUGUGUUGAGAAGGCCAUUCAGGAAUCGUUUAUCAUGUGAGUAGACUGCAAAAUGACAUAACCAUUCCACGAGCAUGCUUAAGUUUGAAAACUCUUUCCCGGGAAGUAUCCUAUGUGAUUGAAUGUAACUCAUAAUUAUUAAAGAAUGUAUAGAAGUUUCUAAACGAGCGAGUGGUUGAAUGUCAAAUGCAUCUGAUACUCGGCGAAGACUUAUGUUUGCCAAAUUCGGUACUCGGCAAAGUUUCGCCGUGUUUAUUAUGGGCUCUGCCAAGUUUCUAAGAAGACAAUCCGGGUAGUGAUGGAUGCCUGAUCUUUAACAUGGAAUGUCUGUAUACAUAGUCCUCAAUGUGGGGCAUAAUGUAGUAGCCGGACAAGACGCUUGAUUAAUCUGGUUCUUCUCUACAAUAGAAACUCGCCUUGUACAUGAACAUAUUUUGUUUUGGGUAUAUAUAGACCUUCUACACGUCUCCAAUCUCUAGUAGCUCUUCAUAUGAUAAAAAUAUAUUGUGAGUAUGGGAUAUGUGUUGAGAAGGCCAUUCAGGAAUCGUUUAUCAUGUGAGUAGACUGCAAAAUGACAUAACCAUUCCACGAGCAUGCUUAAGUUUGAAAACUCUUUCCCGGGAAGUAUCCUAUGUGAUUGAAUGUAACUCAUAAUUAUUAAAGAAUGUAUAGAAGUUUCUAAACGAGCGAGUGGUUGAAUGUCAAAUGCAUCUGAUACUCGGCGAAGACUUAUGUUUGCCAAAUUCGGUACUCGGCAAAGUUUCGCCGUGUUUAUUAUGGGCUCUGCCAAGUUUCUAAGAAGACAAUCCGGGUAGUGAUGGAUGCCUGAUCUUUAACAUGGAAUGUCUGUAUACAUAGUCCUCAAUGUGGGGCAUAAUGUAGUAGCCGGACAAGACGCUUGAUUAAUCUGGUUCUUCUCUACAAUAGAAACUCGCCUUGUACAUGAACAUAUUUUGUUUUGUGGAACUUCCUCCGGAUUAAAAAUACUUGAAGAUAGCAACAUAAUUGAUGAACUAAAAAAUGGUACUCUGGUAGCAAUGGGAUAAAACAAUAUUAUGCCUUUCUUUCAUUAGUUAACUAAAAAUUUGUGCUGCAGUAGUAACGGGAUAAAACAAUAUAAGUAGAAACAAUUUUGAUAAGCAAUAACAUUUCCUUUUGCUAGGGCAACGCUAUAGGUAACUCCUACAAACUAUUUCUCCUAGGUGUUGAUUAAUAAAUUAGCCAUAUGCAAAAUUAAACUGCAGUGGAUUAGUAAUACACGGUUGAAGUCAACACUUCCGGUUAAUCUUAUAAAAUCUAGCCUCUUUAGUCUCCAAUCUCACAUUGAGACAUGGUUAAUAGUUGUUGGUAUAUCUAAAUCCUAUGGGAGGACAUCCUCUUAUUCUCAGACACAUGAGCCCAAGUAUCUCCACAAAAAGUUCACCAGACAUACAUAUCAUGUCCUUUCAUAGCCAUCCAAAAAAAGGAAGGUGCUAUGAUGUAGUGCAACAUUGAUGGAAUAAUACCAAAAAAUGUAAAAAGGGUGUUUCAUUCUCAAAAAUAACUUUGGAAGUAUAUCGGUGAACCAUCUAAACAGGAACAUACUAGUAAAUUUGUUGAGGAAAUUGUUAACUGGUAGCAGCUUGGUUGGCUAGGGAGUAGGGGAUUAAUAGGGUGAUCGGCAAGUUUAUUGGCCUAUUAAGCAAUUAAACGGAGGAUUUAUCAGUUUAUUGGCUACAUGGUGACCUUACAAGUAGGGAUUAAUUCCCAAGUUAACUGGUUAAUCAGACGAAUUCUUCAACAGGACCAGUAAUCAUGCUAAUAUGGUACAUGAUAAUCUCUUAUGGUUGAAUGAAUAUGAGUAAUGUCUGUAGCUAUCUUUAACAGUAUUUUAUUGAGUACCUAAAUAUGUAAAGUUCAGUAGUUUGUACUAUCAUGUUAUUGCACAAAAAAAAAGGAAAUCUCUCAUUCCAAUUUUUUUAGCUAAACUAAACAAAAGAUACUAGCAUGUUGCUCAGGAGAUAGGAAUGGUAGCAGGGGUAGAUAGCCAACAAAAACAUUAUGUUAUUACAGUGUGAAUAAUAAAUAAGAUUAUUUGGAUCAUAUGAAGGAUAAAGCCAUCAAUCUCGCCCAUGUGCAAUAAUUUUAAUUUGUCUUUGUGUAGUAUAUAUUGUUGAUUAAUCAUUCGUGAUGAGAUAUGCACCUUCAUAUGGUUUAACAAAUAGAAGAUGGGUGGCGCCAGAAUAAUUUUUCUGACCGUGCAAAGAUAGAGAUCUGCAUUGCUCUCAUCAAUGACCUGCAACGAUUCAUGCAUGCUUCUACUAUGAUCCUUGAGCCUAUCAAAAUUAAUUGCUAUAAUCUUGACUGACCGAGCUACUGAUAUGUGGGCGUCUUGAUGAGUAUGGCGAAUUCUCUUUUAUCUUGGUGGUUGUUCAUUUCAUAGACAUCUCAAUAUAUUGUUUAUUUGGAUGGUUUUGUCUCCUCCUUUAUUUUGGGGUUAUUUUUACAAAGAGAAGUCUAGUUUUCUCCCUAACAAUUUCACAUGGAGAAGUGUCACUCAUAUUUAUUUCAAUCACAUUUACCUCUUGACCUUAAUAUUCACUCACAUUUACCUCCUGACCUUUUGGUUUUGGUUUAAUUUUUCCAUUAAAAUUUCACAAAUGAUAGAAUCCUCCCUGGAAGUUUUAAGAAAAAAAAAAUCUAGUAAAGGCAUAUGUAAUUUUUUUGUAAAGGAGAAUGUAUUAAUAUCAAGCAGAUACCAAUUAUUCCCAGACUCUGCAACAACAAGAUGCCUAAAAACAUCCAGGAUGCACACAGCUAAAAAUUAAAAUAAAAAGGGAAGAAAAAAUGAGAAAAAAUAUCCCGCCACGGUGAUCAAUCACCCGAUGUAGCCGCACUCUAACCACCACCAAAGAUGUCACCCGGACUACAAAAUAGGUUCUCCAAAAGCAAUGCCUCUAGAAAGGAAACAAAACACAAGCAUUGUCGUUGCCCGAUCAAAGAUAUUACGUUUUCACCCUGGAGAAAGAUCAGGUUCCCAACAAUAAUGCCUUCAACAAGACUACCGCCAGGCACAACCAAUAAAGGCCAGACCUUGGGUUUUCACCUUGGAAAUCCUGAUUGGGUACUCAAAGGAGCACCGAAUAACAAAGAAGUCCUCCAAUGCCGCCACCCCCACUUGCGGAGGCUAAUACUGCAAGUCACGCACCAUUAGGCUCACAGGAAUUCACAUCCCGCCUGGACGGGAACAUAUCCUGUAAGCCAUGUCUAAACAACUGCCUAUGAAGCAAAGUCUUCAUCGCAUCCAAGACCUCGCAUUCGCCACUUGCAAGUCCUUCAAUCACGCCAUGGCAUUCUCCGUAUGUGUUGAUCCCAUGGAAAUCUUGGUGCAGACAUGUCCCAAGGUGCCAACAAAAACAGAGCUUCACGAUACCCCGGUAAACCUGGUUAUGCUGAUGUUGCGGGUGCGCACGACAGGCCCCUAUCUAGUCAAGGUGUCCAAAGAGCGCCAUAUGUGCCAGUCCUUUUUUUCCUUCAAAGGAGAAGUCCGGAAAUCGCAGAUGGCCAGAUUGAAGAUCUCAGGUUCUCAAUUGCAUGAGCUUGUGAGCAACGAGAAUGAGCAAGACCGAACAAGGGGAAACCAUCCAAGGACGGGAACACCGUGUGCACAAUAUAUAGGAUCCAAUUUGCACCAGCAAUGUUUAUACAGGAAUAACCAAAAUGUGAGUGUUGCCACGUACAUGUAUUUACUACUGCAGAUAGUUUUCUUUAUUGCACAGGUAUAAAACUUGUUCUUAAUUUUAAUCAAUUCUCUUGCACAAAUUUAUCCACAGAGAGCACAUAUAUGAUUUAUCUAACACUAUGUUUUCAAUAUCACAAGAUAAAAUCUUGUCUUUACAGAGCAAAAUUAUACACCGAUAAAAAUGUGUUGUCUGCCUGCAUGAAAUUACAUAUGCUAUGCAAAACUCUUUACUUCGUAUCGUCAUGAUCAUCCACAAUAUUAAAAUUGUAAAUAAACAAAAAAAGAGGUGCCGGCAAAUAGUUUUGGAUAGAGUAGUUUGGCACAAUAUAUAUGUUAUCCCUGAAAAUAUAACGUCUUCCUGGAUCACACUGUAGCUUCGUGAUAGUUUUGACGGCUAUGAUAACAAAAGCUGCCGACACAUGGCUCUGGAAAUAGUUAUGGCUGUAGGGGUAAAUAUAAUAGCUGACAGCUCUAAAAAAUAUUCCCGCAAAAGAAGGCAGCUCUAAAAAACAAGCCGACAAAAGAAUCAUGAAGCUACAGUGUGAAUUAUACUCUCUCCAUUCACAUUAUUAUGGGAAAACGAAUUGUGCGAGUACAGUCUGCCAAAAUGAGUGGUCGUCCAUGCACCUUGUUUAGGGGCAACUUUAUUUUAAUGUGUCUUUUUGUAGUAUAUAGUGUUGAUUAAUCGUCCGUGAUGAGAUCUGUGCCUUUGUGUGAUAUAACAAAUAGAAGAUAUAUGGCGCCAGACUAAUUUUUCCAUCCGUACGUGCAAAGAUGAGAUAUGAAUGCAUUGCUCUCAUGAAUGACCUGCAACGAUAGACAUAUGCAUUCAUACAUGCUUCUGCUGUGAUCCACGAGCCCGUCAAAAUUAAUUGCUAUGCAGUGGCUUAACUACUCAGAUGAACGUGGGCGUCUUAAUGAGUAUGGUGACUUCUCUCUUAUGUUGGUGGUUGUUCGUUUCAUAAACAUUUCGAUAUAUUGUUUAUUUGGAUGGUUCUGCUUCCUCCUUUAUUUUGGGGUUGUUUUUACAGUGAAAAUUCAAGUUUUUUCACUAACAUAUUCGCAUGGAGAAGUGUCACUCAUAUUUAUUUUCACUGACAUUUACCUCCUGACAUUUAUUUUCACUCACAUUUAACUCCCGGCCUUUUGGUUUUGGUUUAGUUUUCCCAUUCAAAUUUCAUAAAUCAUAGAAUUUUCUAUCGAAGUUUCAAGAUUUGUUUUUCUAAAAAAGGUACAUGUAUGCACUAUAUAUUAGAUCUAAUUUGUACCAGUAAUGUUACCAGCUACAUGAAUUUACUGCUGCAGAUAGUUUUUUUUUGUAUUGCAUAUGUAUAAAUCUUGUCCUUAAUUUUACUCAUUUCUCUUGCACAAAGUUAGCUUCAUAGUGCACAUGUAUGAUUUACCUAAUAUUAUUAUUUCAAUAUUCCAAAAUAUAAUUUUGUCUUAACAGAGUGAAAUAAUACACCAAUAAAAAAACAUUGUCUGUAUGCAUGAAAUUACAUAUGCUAUGCAAAACUCUUUAGUAUGUAUCGUCAUGAUCAUCCACAAUAUGAAAAAAUAGUAAAGAAACAAACAAGAGGAGCAGACACAUGGUUUUGGAUAGAGCAGUUUAGCACAAUAUAUUUUAUCCCUGUUUAUAUAACGUCUUCAUUGCUCACACUGUAGCUUCGUGAUAGUUUUAUUGGCUAUGAUAACAGAAGCUGCUGACACAUGGUUCUGGAAACAGAUAUAACAGCAGGUGUAAAUAUAAUAGCCGCAGCUCUAAAAAAUAAGCUGACAAAAGAAUCAUGAAGCUACAGUGAACUAUACUCCAUCCUCCCUUGUCUAGGGGCAACUUAAUUCGCUUUGCGAAGGAUAAUGCAUCCAUGGCAAACAGUUUCAGGGUUGUCAGAAUAAGAAAUCUUAUGCCUCCCGAUCAAGAUCUAGACAGAUUUUCAGGGCAUGGUGUGGCCGUCCAACUACCUGAUAAAAAAAAAGAUAAUGAAAAGGGCCCACAGCAUCAAACCAAUGACAGAUAUGUUCAGUUUCGAAUCUCUUAAUAUUUAGUUUGAAAGCUGCAGAUUUUCAGGUUGUGAGAGCCGAAACUCUUGGACCAAGCCAUAUGUUCAGUUUCGAAUCUGACCUAGUAGCGUCCUGGAACUAGUUAUCAUCGAUUGGCUGCCAAACUCCCCCAAGAAACUCCGCACACAUCUCUGCAAUCGAACCAGGGCAAAUUAAUUUAGCGAAGGGAACUCACAACGCAGUGUCUCUUGACACAUCAUCCUAUUUAGUGAAAACUAUUUAGAGACAAUGACCCCUAUUCAUUAUAUACUCAACACGUCUCUUAAUAUUUAAAGUAUCUUAUAAAUGUCGUAUCUAAAUGAUAUUCCAUUUAAUUAGUUUAUGGACCUUUUUUGCAUGUCAACAUUGUGGCCUACUCCAGUUGUGAAGACAAAAAUUGUGAGAUAAACCACAAAGGCUCAAAGCGUUAGUCACUAUACGCAGAAAAACAAGUUAAUUAAGAGCCAUAUCUACACUAAAUAGAACAUAGGGAAGCUCAUCGAUCCAUCACCGGCCACACUUCUUGAGUUAGGCGAAUGUUCUCUUUUGGAGACCAUUGAGGACAUGCGCAUUUCAUCGCUCCAUCUGCCUGUCACUACAAGGGAUAAGGCUACACUAGUAGAAAACAGGGUUUUGGUUCGGCCAGAAAAGAGCAUUAAUCCCGGUUGCAUUACGAACCGGGACUAAUGUGAGCAUUAGUCCAGGUUCGAGCGGCUAGGGCACCGUACAUGCAUUAGUCCCGGUUCAAAUGGGACCUUUAGUCCCGGUUGGUGCCACGAACCGGGACUAAAGGGUGCGAUGCCCAUUAGUACCGGUUCGUGGCAUCAACCAGUACUAAAGGUUAGAUCUUUAGUCCCGGUUCGAGCCACCAACCAGUACUAAUGGGGUUUGAGGCAUUAGUACCGGUUCAUGGCACGCCUUUUCAGUUUUGUAAAAAGCAAAAGAAAAUGAUAAAAACUUCAAAAAUUAAAAUCCUUCCAGAUGUAGUUAUGUUACUACAUGUCCUAGUUAGGAAAAUUUAAAAACUUCAAUUUGGACAUGUUUCGCAAAAAGUGUAGGGAAAAUGUAAAACGGCUAUAACUUUUGCAUACGAUGUCAGAAAAAACGUAUAAUAUAUCGAAAUGUUCAGCACGAAAAUCCGCAUCCGAUUUUGACAGCCUACGGCCUGUUUGUAAAUUUUUAGAAUCCUCAAAUUCUAAAAGGGAAAAAAGUUAUGCUAUUUCUGUUUUUUUAAUUUUUGUUAAAUCUGGUCAAACUAUGGUCAAACUACUUAUUCAAGAAGUAUUAGUGUUACUAAAUAAUUAUUCAAGAAUAUUAGUGUUACUAAAUAAUUAUUUCAGUUUUUUUGAAUUUUGGUCAAAUCUGGUCAAACUGUGGUCAAACAAUGGUCAAACUAAUUAUUCAAGAAAUAUUAGUGUUAGUAAAUAAUUAUUUCAGUUUUUUUGAAUUUUGGUCAAAUCUGGUCAAACUGUGGUCAAACUACUUAUUCAAGAAAUAUUAGUGUUACUAAAUAAUUAUUGUUUUUUAGAACAAUAGUUUCAAACUCAAACAGUGAAAUGUGUGACUUCAUGCUCAAGCUAAAUUCCUGAGGGUUAAUAGGAUUGACAUCUUACUAUUGUCAGGAAAACAACAAGUGCAGACUUGGAAACGAGGAAGAAUAUAACCCGGAAGUUAAGCGUGCUCAGGCUGGAGUAGUGAGAGGAUGGGUGACCGUUCGGGAAGUUAGAUGAUUUGGAAUGAUGAGGGGUGAUUAGAGAUUAGAGGUUAAAUUGAGCAGUGAUGAGGGGUGAUUAGAGAUUAGAGGUUAAAAUAAUUCAGAAAUUUGCAAAUCAAAAAAAAAAAUUUAAAAAAAAAAUCAUAAAAUUUCCUUCAGUACCGGUUGGUGUUACCAACCGGGACUAAAGGUGGACCUCACGUGGAGGGCCUUUAGUCCCGGUUCGUGUAAGAACCAGGACUAAAGGGGGAGGCUUUAGUAACGACCCUUUAGUCCCGGUUCCAGAACCGGGACUGAAGGCCCUUAUGAAGCGGGACUAAAAGCCCUUUUUCUACUAGUGCUAGUAGUGGCGCGGUUUAAAGGCAUAGGAGUAGCGCGGGUUGCCUCUCUACUUACAUUAGCAACUAUAUAAAAACUCAUCAUCAUCAUCAUCAUCAUCAUCAUCAUCAUCAUCAUGUAACAACUCAUCAGCGCGUAGCUAACUGGUUCCUAGUAAGACGGGCCAGGCUCGGCUCUAAUACUACUUACAUUAGUAGCAGCGCGGUGUUUGGCCCGUGCUACUAAUAACUAGCUAUAGCGCGAGGCCCCCCGCCACUACUAACUCUAUGUAUUUCCUUUCUACAUAUUAUACUAUAUUAUACAAUAAUUAUACAGAUUUUUAUACACUAGCAACUAUAUAACAACUCAUCAUCAUCAUCAUCAUCAUGUAACAAAUCAUCAUUAUCAAAAUGAUAUAACUCAUCAUCAUCGUAGUGAUAUAACAGCUCAUCAUGAUCAUAAUUAUAUAAAAAUGUCUCAUCAUCAUCGUCAUCAUCACCAUCAGCAUCAUCAUAAGUUAACCACUACUAGCUAAUUGUCAUCAUCCUAGGUAAGUAACUUUCAAGCACAUGACAAGUACUAUGACCUACUCUAGUGUCUUAGGUAAAAUAGAAUAAAACAGAAAAAAUAACUACAUCUCCAUGAUGGACCACAGAGAUCCCCGGUCUCCAAUUUGUUGCCCGCGCUCAUUGACUAUUUGCCUCCAUCAUUCAAUUUUGAGGCAUCCAUUUGAUUAACACUCAGUCAAGUAUGUAUAUUUGAAUCCGAUCUUCAAAGGGCAAAUAAUAGUCAUCUCACUUUUGACGUCCAUCAGCAGAGGCACAACAACAUUUGGGACCUUCCGCUGAAGUACAUAAUAGUAACAUAGUCGAAAUAUGCAGAUAUAGCAAGAAUGAUCCUAAUUUAUUUAGGCAUCACUACCAGUUUGCCCUCAAUGCCUCGAGCGCCAUCUGGCAGAUCAACCAAGUUCCAAACUUGAUUGUCAUCCAUGGACUUUAAUUCGGAUCUCAUGGUCUUAAGCCAUAACUCAGAAUCAGGGCUCUCCGUCGCUUCUGCAUACAUUGCCGACUCGUUGUUCUCCAAGAACAACACAUUGCAGUUAUGCAUAUUGCGCAACCUUUCCGACCUCUGUGGAAUCAGCGUCGACUCCACUAUGGGUUCCUUGACUAACUCCAUGUGGUUCUCGAAUUUCCUCUAGUCGGAUCAUCCUCCCACUAGCCUUCCGAUUGAGAAACUCUUUCUCAAGGAAAACUCCAUGUCGAGCGACAAACACUUUGCCCUCUUCACAGAUGUAGGAGUAAUAUCCCAAGGUUUCCCUUGGAUACCCCAUGAAUAUGCACUUGUCCGAUUUGGGUGUGCGCUUGUCUGACUGGAGUCGCUUGACGUAUGAUUCACAACCCCAAAUUUUUAGAGAAGACAAAGUUUGGCUCUUCGCAGUCCAUAUCUCAUAUGACGUCUUAUCUACAAACUUGGAUGGUACCCUAUUUAGUGUGAAAGCUGCAGUUUCUAGAGCGUAUCGCCAAAAUAACAAGGGUAAAUCCGACUGACUCGUCAUUGAUUGGGCCAUGUCUAACAGAGUCUGAUUCCUUCGUUCCAACACGCCAUUUCUCUGUGGCAUACCCCGAGGAGUCAGUUGUGGAACUAUCCUACGACUCUUCAGAUAAUCAUCAAACUCCUGGCUCAUAUACUCAUUCGCCACGAUCAGAUCGCAGAAGUUUGAUUCUCUUGUCGAGUUGAUUCUCCACUUCAUUCUGAAACUCCUUGAACUUUUCAAAAGUUUCUAACUUGUGCCUCAUCAAGUAGACAUAUCCAAAUCUACUCAAGUUAUCUGUAAACGUCAUGAAGUAUUGGAAACCACCUCUAGCUGGACUUGUUUUACCAUUGUUGAAAUGUCUUGUGCAUCGGGAUUCCGAGUCUGAUCGGAGGGUCUCGAGAUGGAGGAUUGUCUCUGCGGAUCGUGAGCUUGUCAUGGGCAAAGUUGGGACACCCCUGCAGGGUUUAAACUUUCGAGAGCCAUGCCCGCGGUUAUGUGGCAGAUGGGAAUUUGUUAAUAUCUGGUUGUAGAGGACUUGAACUAAACUCAAUUAAAAUACACCAACCGCGGGUGUAACCGUGACUGUCUCUUUCCAGGUGCGUUCGAGAAGAGAAUACGGUUGGGUUAUGUUUGAACGUAAGUGGUUUAGGAUCACUUCUUGAUCACUAUUAGUUUGCGACCGUUGUGUAGAUUCUCUUCUUACUUUUGUACUCGUAAGUUAGCCACCAUACAAAUGCUUAGUGCUUGCUGCAGCUUCACCACUAUCCAUUCCAUACCCAUUAAGCUUUGCUAGUCUUCAUACCCAUGGUAAUGGGAUUGCUGAGUCCUCGUGGCUCACAGAUGACUACAACAAUAGUUGUAGGUACAGGUAAUGCAAUGAUCUGACGUGAGAGCGAUGCUUGAUUGCUUUUGGAGUUCUUCUUCUUCUUCGAUCAAGGGAUUAGGUUCCGGGUCGGGGAGCCUGGGAUUAGUGGGGUGGAUAUUAUUCUUCUUUUUUGUUUGAUUUCAUCCGUAGUCGGAUCCUGCCCUUCUGUGUGCGCUCGAAAUGCGGUUGGAACAGACGAUCGCUAGACAGCGCGCCCGCAUUGCCACCCUCAAAGACGGUGAUGCCAGCUCUGCCUUCUUUCACCGGCAGUGCUCGUUUCAAUGACAGAAAAACCGCAUCUUCUGCCUCUCUGCGAACGGCACGCUACUCACAGACCAUGACGAGAUGGCCGAGGCUGCAUUCCGGCACUAUGACACACUGCUUGGCACGGCGGUCGAACACGACCACUCGAUGGACCUGUCGCAGCUCAUCGAGGGGAGCGAUCUCUCCGACCUUGACGCGACCUUUUGCCCGGAGGAGAGAUGGGAAGCUGUGAAACGCCUCCCCGCGCACAAGGCAGCUGAGCCUGAUGGCUUUAGCGCUGAAUUUCUCCGCGUGUGCCGGAGCAUCAUCAAGCAGGACUUCAUGGAUGUGUUCCAGUAGCUCUUCGAGCUGCGUGGCCGUGGCUUCUGCAAGGUCAACCAGGCCCUUCUCACGCUGCUGCCGAAGCCCAGGAGGUGCGCAACUACCGCCCGAUAUGCCUCAUUCAUAUCGUGGCCAAGGUACUCGCGAAGGCCCUCUCGCUCCGGCUAGCUCCAAAACUUGACCGCUUUGUCAGCCGCAAUCAAAACGCGUUCAUCCUCGGACGGAGCCUACACGACAACUUUAUGCUCGUCAGGCAAUCGGUCAAGCUGCUGAGCCAACUUGGGGGCCCCAGGGUGAUGCUCAAGCUCGACCUCACGCGCGCUUUUGACUCCAUCUCCUGGCCGUUCCUCUUUGAGGUUCUGCGCCAAUUUGGGUUCGGGAAUCGCUUCCUCGAAUGGAUCGCCAUCCUCCUGUCCUCGGCAAGCACUCGGGUGUAGUUGAUUGGUGUCCCAGGCCCACUGAUAUGGCAUAAGGGAGGGCUGCGGCAGGGGGGACUCCUUGUCCCCGCAGCUGUUCGUGCUCGCGGUCGACACUCUCGGCCGGCUGAUUCGGCGCGCCCAUGAUACGGGCAUCCUCCAGCCGCUGCAUCUGCGGAGGCCGAUACCGGCUAUAUCCCUAUACGCCGACGACGUCAUGCUCUUUUGCCAUGCCACGGAGAGUGACGUGACUGUCGUCAAGGAAAUCCUUGACCUGUUUGGUAGAGCGUCCAGCCUCAAGGUGAACUACACCAAGAGCUCGGCCACGGUCUUGCAUCGGGAAUAGGUUGCCUCCGAGAUGAUCACCAGCUUGGGGUGUUCGACUGCCGCGCUCCCGGUCACCUACCUCGGUAUACCUCUGACGAUGCGCCGCCCUUCCGCCGGGCAGUUGCAGCCCCUUGUCGACAAGGUCACCGGACGCUUGCCCACCUGGAAAGCAUGGCUCAUGAACAGAGCCGGCAGGCUCGCCCUCGUCAAGUUCUUCCUUUGCACUAUCCCGGUGCACCAGCGGGUUGCAUUUGCCCCCUCGAAGAAAAGACUGCAGCAACUCGAGAAAAUUCAACGAGGGUUCCUCUGGGCCGGGCGAGCCAUCACCAACGGCGGGCACUGCCAUGUGAACUGGCAUCAUGCUUCCCGCCCGCUCGCGCUUGGCAGCCUUGGGGUUCGUGAUGUCGAGCGCGUUGGACUCGCGCUCAGGCUGCGGUGGCUCUGGCUCUCGCGAACGGACGAAGGGCGCGCCUGGCAGGGGCUGGACCUCCAAUUUUCUAGCAACGAGCGUACACUGUUCUUUGCCUCCACCUACAUGACCAUUGGAAAUGGCAUGAACGCCCUGUUCUGGGAGGAUCGAUGGCUCAACGGGCACUCGGUUGGCGAGCUCAUGCCCCUGUUCUACAGCUGCAUCCCCAAACGCCGGCGCAAAGCUAGAACGGUGGCCGAAGGUCUCAACUGCAACGCAUUGGCCCAUGACAUCCAGGGCGUCCUCGUCAUCCACGAGAUAGGCCAGUAUCUACAGCUUUGGCAACUCACGGAACAGGCUAUGCUCAGCGAUGCUCCUGACCAGCUGAUCUGUAAGCAGACUGCGAGCGGCAUCUAUUCGGCGCAGUCUUGCUACGCGGCUACCUUCCAAGGAUCAGUGCACUCCUACUCUUGGAAGUUGAUCUGGAAGGCUUGGGCUCCCCCUCGACUCAAGUUUUUCCAUUGGCUUGCCAACCUGGAUCGCUGCUGGACUGCCGAUCGACUGGCCUGCCAAAGACUGCAGCAUCAUCUGUGCUGCCUUCUUUGCGAUCAGGCGCCGGAAAUGAUCCGGCACCUCAUGCUUGACUGCCCCUUCUCUAGGCAGGCAUGGCAUGAGACCCUGGCCUGGCUACGCAUACCGGCGUCGAUCCCCAACCAGGAGCCCACCCUCAUGGACUGGUGGCGGCACGCCGCAAGCACAACGCAAGGCCCUGCAAUCCGUAGUGCUACUCGUACCAUGGCUCGUCUGGAAGCAUAUGAACAGCCACGUCUUCGACAGCGCGACGCCCUCCCUAGGCACGCUAGUCGACCGGAUCAAGGAGGAAGCCGACUCCUGGGCUAAGGCCGGAGCAGUAGGCCUUAGAGUAGUCCUACCCCCUUUAUGGGACGUGCACUGAGCAUUGUAUCUGAUCCUUCAUUAUUCAUCCUAGGACGACUGUAACUGACUCCCUACCUUUUCAAUGAAAAGAAACGGAAAGGUCUUUUGCAUUUUCUCGAGAAAAAAAAGAAUGACCUUGAGGCAAGCUCAAUGAAAAUACGUUUUCCAAAGGUUUCAAGACUAUCUUCCUUGUGCUCUGGGAUAAAGCCAUUUGCAAUUCAUAGUCAGAUCAGCUUGUCCACAUCAAUCUUGUAAUCCUUUGGAAAUAUAGCACAAAAGGAAAAGCAUUGCUUCAUGUGUGAUGGCAAGUCAUUGUAGCUAAGCUUUAAUAUUGGCAGAAUCCAGUUUCCAAAGUGCAAAUGCUGCUACUAGAUGAUAUAGCCUUCCACUCUUCGACGCUAGUCUUGGUACGAAGUACAUAGCCCAAUGCAGUUGCAGCUAAAGGAGAGCCAGAACAUCAGCUUACAAUCUCAUCAACCAUCUUGCUUAGCUCGACAGGCUUUUCUUUCUCCGAACUGAAUGCUCUAGCCUCAGUAAUUUCCUUUACGAAGAAAUCCUCCACAAUAUUGAGAUUGUAGGCUCUACCUGCACCCAUAAUUUCAGUGACUUGUUUAUCACGAGUUCUUGUUAACAUUGCACUACCCAUGCCACCAUGUUGAGGACAGACCUUCAGCCUUCCCAACUUAUAGACCUCUCUGUUCCAGACAUCAUCCAAUACAUGGAGAUACCUGUGCCCGCUGUCCAGUUUUUGAAAUCUAUCCAAAGGUAUCAUAGACCUCUCUGGGGGAUGCCCGCUGUACCCAGAGCUGCAACUGAAAAUGAUUCUGAAUUUCAGGUUCAUUGUAUAUGAGUUACGCUAAUGUGGUCUUGCCAAGGCCCCCCAUUCCAACAAUGGGAACUACUGCGAGAUCAGUAUUGCUAGCUUGACCAAGUAGUAUGUCAACGAUAUUAUUCUUAUCUCCGUGUUUGGAUCUGUUGGCAAUUUCUUGUUGGUCGCUGAUGACAUAAUCUGUGUGCCUCCACUCCUUGGACACUCGUGUUUGCCUCAACUGAUUAGACACCAACAACGUCUGCCUCAACAUAAGCGCGACGCGUUGUUGGGCUAGGCCCAGAACGGUGCGCGGGCAGGUGGGGCGUAUUUUUACCGUAGUAACUGUUUCGUCCGCUGCGCUUCCCCACGACCUGCGUUGAACACGCACGUGGAGGGUCGUGCGUGACGUGGGGGUCAUGCGUGGGGCGGUCUCCACACGCAUGCGUCACAUCGCAUUUAAUGGGAAAAGAGGCGGCCCACGCCUUCCCCGUAAAAAGGAAUAACAGCGGGCGCGCUGUUCAUUUACCCCCUGCGUCUUCUUCAAUCUCGGAAUCGCCGUCCCCUUCUUCUUCCUUCUCAAACUCUCGCCUUUGCUCGUUGCCGCCGCAUCUUCGCUGUCCUCCGUCCUUUGCCUCUCGCAGCCGCCAUGGCCCCCAAAACAAGUAAAGGAAAGGGAGUGGCCAAGGAUGCCGGGGCGAAGGAGCCGCCGGAGAGCGAGUUGGUGGCGCGGCGGACGCAUCUCGCCUACUUCCCCUCGACGGUCGACGCGGUCGAACUCCGGGACUACUUCAGGNNNNNNNNNNNNNNNNNNNNNNNNNNNNNNNNNNNNNNNNNNNNNNNNNNNNNNNNNNNNNNNNNNNNNNNNNNNNNNNNNNNNNNNNNNNNNNNNNNNNNNNNNNNNNNNNNNNNNNNNNNNNNNNNNNNNNNNNNNNNNNNNNNNNNNNNNNNNNNNNNNNNNNNNNNNNNNNNNNNNNNNNNNNNNNNNNNNNNNNNNNNNNNNNNNNNNNNNNNNNNNNNNNNNNNNNNNNNNNNNNNNNNNNNNNNNNNNNNNNNNNNNNNNNNNNNNNNNNNNNNNNNNNNNNNNNNNGCGUGUCAUCCCCGCCAAUUGCGCCGAGGCCGCCCCGAAUCGGUAUCCGUUCUUCGUCGAUUACUUUUCUUGCGGUCUCUGCCCCCCUUUCUCCGAUUUCUUCAAUGAUGUCAUGCACACAUUUGGCUUCCACCUUCUGGAUUUCACUCCCAAUGCCGUGGCGUGCAUGGCUCUUUUCGCCCAUCUCUGUGAGGGCUUCGCCGGAGUUCUUCCCAACACAUUGCCCUUCCGCUAUUAGUUUUACCCUCGCAUCCAAAAGGGAGGCGCCAUCUCUGGUUGCGUCGCCUGGAUACCAAGGUCCAAAGGGACGUACCCGGAGGGCGCCCAGAAGGAGAGGUUGGAAGAGUGGCGGGGCCGGUGGUGCUGGAUUGGGGAGGACGACCCGCCGGAAUUUUUCCGGGUUCGUCAGGCGCCGCCGGUUCGCAGGAACGACUGGGGCGAUGUCAACGCCCUGGAUGACAAGCUCAAGGUCGCCACCACCAGGAUUCACCGCCUCACCGUUGCCGGGCUCACCCUGGAGAUGAUUGGGGCGGACUUGAUCCGCCGCCGAAUCGCUCCACUGCACAACAAGGGGAGACCGGCCUGGCUCUUCCAAAACGCGGCUGACAUCAUGAGGCUUCACUCUGGCCUCAACAACAACUUCACGGUGAUGGGGCACGCCCACUUCUGCUAGCGGAUCUUUCAGCUCGACGUGAACCGCGACGGCAGGGCCAAGAGGUCCGGCAAGGCUGCAAAGGCCGGCAAGGUCCUCAAGGGGCCCUUGUUUGGGUUGCCAGCGGGGGUGGUCCCGCUGAGCAACAACUCGCGCCAGACCGACAUCAUCGCCAUGAUGUCGGACUACAAUGCACACGGUCCCGUCCCAAAUUGGUUCGAGCCGCUAGCGGAUCAGGUGCAGGAGUUCUUUGAUACUUUGGCGGAGAAGUAUGUCUGCGACGAGCCGCUGCUCAUCUAGGACACCACCCAAGCAGAGCUGGACUACAUCGCCGCCAGGGCGGCGGAGGCGGAGCUCGCUAGGGAGGCCGGCAGCGCUGGCGGCAUGGAGGACGAGGUCGCAGCAGCCGCAGAGGAGAGGGAGCUCGCCCAGUGGGAGGAAUCCGAUGGGGAGGCCAGCAGCGCCAGCACCGGGGCCCCUCUUAUUGAAGAUGUGGUCGACGAUUCGGAGGAGGAGGAGGUCGAGGCUGUCGAUCCUCCGGUCAUGGGGAGAGGGCGAGUCCUGCGGCGGGCCAGCUCCGGCAAGCCGGUCCAGCCCGGCAGGGCUGUGCAACCGCAGCAGACCUAGGAGGGGUAUGUGCGCCAGACAAGGGCCGCGGUGGCGAGGAAGUUGGUGAAGGCCGUGGUGGCGAAGAAGAAAGCAACAACCUCUUCUUCGUUCAAGCGUGGCCAGACUCCACCUUCUUCCCCUCCUCGGGCAGACGUUGACACGGAGGUCGUCUUCGACUUUGGGUCCCUCAGCCCAAGGAGGAAGAGGAAGGCAUCAGAAGAGGAGGUGGAGGAUGAGUAAGUUUCUUGUUACUUUUUGUCAUCUCCGUCUCCUCAGACUGUGCUGCUUAUCUCGAUUUGUUUUCAUCUUUGCAGGGAUGCGGAGACGCUGGCCCAGAGGGUGAAGAGGGCCAGGUCCUCGGCUGGCGGCCGGCCUCCGGCGGGCACUUCGAGGAUGCCACUAGUGGUGGUGAGCAGCCCGGACAGCAGUCCCCGAAGCAGCCCCCGGCGUAAGUUCCCCACUCGUCCCUCGUCAACGUGUGUUGGGGGUACGAUCCCUUGGCGCUAACCUUGCCGUGAUUGCAGGAGGAGGACAACAGGAGGAGGAGCCACGGAGGGUUACCCCCAACACGCUGCCCCCAUCGACCACGCCGCCCCGAGGGGUGGUGUCUACUACGCAACCUUCUUCUUGUAGACGUUGUUGGGCCUCCAAGUGCAGAGGUUUGUAGGACAGUAGAAAAUUUCCCUCAAGUGGAUGACCUAAGGUUUAUCAAUCCGUGGGAGGCGUAGGAUGAAGAUGGUCUCUCUCAAGCAACCCUGCAACCAAAUAACAAAGAGUCUCUUGUGUCCCCAACACACCCAAUACAAUGGUAAAUUGUAUAGGUGCACUAGUUCGACGAAGAGAUGGUGAUACAAGUGUAAUAUGGAUGGUAGAUAUAGGUUUUUGUAAUAUGAAAAUAUAAAAACAGCAAGCUAACUAAUGAUAAAAGUGAGCACAAACGGUAUUGCAAUGCGUUGAAACAAGGCCUAGGGUUCAUACAUUCACUAGUGCAAGUUCUCUCAACAAUAAUAACAUAAUUGGAUCAUAUAACUAUCCCUCAACGUGCAACAAAGAGUCACUCCAAAGUCACUAAUAGAGGAGAACAAACGAAGAGAUUAUGGUAGGGUACGAAACCACCUCAAAGUUAUUCUUUCGGAUCGAUCUUAUUCAAGAGUUCGUACUAGAAUAACACCUUAAGACAAAAUCAACCAAAACCCUAAUGUCACCUAGAUACUCCAAUGUGACCUCAAGUAUCCGUGGGUAUGAUUAUACGAUAUGCAUCACACAAUCUCAGAUUAAUCUAUUCAAACCAACACAAAGUACUUCAAAGAGUGUCCCAAAGUUUCUACCAGAGAGUCAAGACGAAAACGUGUGCCAACCCCUAUGCAUAGGUUCAUGGGCGGAACCCGCAAGUUGAUCACCAAAACAUACAUCAAGUGGAUCACGUGAUAUCCCAUUGUCACCAGAGAUACGCACAUGCAAGACAUACGUCAAGUGUUCUCAAAUCCUCAAAGACUCAAUCCGAUAAGAUAACUUCAAAGGGAAAACUCAAUCCAUUACAAGAGUGUAGAGGGGGAGAAACACCAUAAGAUCCAACUAUAAUAGCAAAGCUCGCGAUACAUCAAGAUCGUACCACCUCAAGAACACAAGAGAGAGAGAGAGAGAGAGAUCAAACACAUAGCUACUGGUACAUACCCUCAGCCCCGAGGGUGAACUACUCCCUCCUCGUCAUGGAGAGCGCGGGGAUGAUGAAGAUGGCCACCGGUGAGGGUUUCCCCCUCCGGCAGGGUGCCGGAACAGGGUCCCGAUUGGUUUUUGGUGGCUACAGAGGCUUGCGGCGGCGGAACUCCCGAUCUAUUCUGUUCACCUAUGUUUUUAGGGUAUAUGGAUAUAUAUAGGCGAAAGAAGUCGGUAAGGGGAGCCACGAGGGGCCCACGAGGGUGGAGGGCACGCCCAGGGGGUGGGCGCGCCCCCUACCUCGUGCCUUCCUUGUUGCUUCCCUUACGUACACUCCAAGUCUUCUGGAUUGCUUCGGUUCCAAAAAUAACUCUCCCGAAGGUUUCAUUCCGUUUGGACUCCGUUUGAUAUUCCUUUUCUGCGAAACACUGAAACAAGGAGAAAAACUGAAACUAGCACUGGGCUCUGGGUUAAUAAGUUAGUCCCAAAAAUAAUAUAAAAGUGCAUAGUAAAUCCCAUUAAACAUCCAAGAUGGAUAAUAUAAUAGCAUGAAUACUUCAUAAAUUAUAGAUACGUUGGAGACGUAUCAGCAUCCCCAAGCUUAAUUCCUGCUCGUCCUCGAGUAGGUAAAUGAUAUAAGAAAUAAUUAUGAAGUGUGAAUGCUAGCAGGUGCACAAGUUUGAUCAAUGAUAAUUUCAAUCACCUUUUCAAGCAUCAUUAUAUGUCAUAACAGUAGCUCAACUCAUAAAACUUUUCAUGAUCAAGUAACAAGCUAUUCACAUAUUAAAGCAUAGACCAUAAACUUUCUUGAAAACUAACAAACUAUGUUCUCAGUCAUCAAACAAUUGCAAUUCAUCUUAUUUUCAGGAAGGGUCUAUGUAAGAGCUUUGAUUUAGCAAAUCCCACAUACUCAACUAUCAUAUAGUCUUCCAUGAUUGCUACCACUCAAAGCAUAUUUUCGGAACAAAUAGCAUCCAUCGAACACAGAGAAAGAUAGGGGCUUAAUGUUUCGCCUCCCAACUUAUUUAUCAUAUAGAUAAUUGUCAACAAUAAUAAUUCAUGAUCAAAUAUAUUUGAAUGGCCAUAUAUGCUUAGAUCUUUCCAUCACAUGAUGCUUGCCAACUAAAAAGUAGGUUGGAAUGAGAAGGAAUACUACUGACUCUUGCAUAAAAGUAAAAGAUAGGCCCUUCACAGAGGGAAGCAGGGAUUUGCAGAGGUGCCAGAGCUCGAAGCUAAAACAGAGAUGAAAAUAAUUUUGAGAGGUAUGCUUUCAUUGUCAACAUAACGACCAAGAGUUCCCAAUAUCUUCCAUACUACAUACAUUAUAGGCGGUUCCCACGCGGAAAGGUAAAGUUUUUACUCCCCCUCCACCAACAUUCACACUCCACGGCUUGUCCGAAACAAUGGGUGCCGUCCAACUAUCAACAUUCUUGGGGGAGUUUGUUGAAAUUAUUUGUGAAUUUGUUUUUGAUCUUUUGAUCAUAGGACUGGGCAUCCCAGUUACCAGCCAUUUUCUCGUGAAUGAUGAGCGGUGUCCACUCAUCGUGAGAAUAACCCACCCAGCAUGGAAGAUACUGACAGCCCCUAGUCGCUACAUGAGCGAUUCGGGCAUACAAAACAGAUUAUUAUUUGAAGGUUUAGAGUUUGGCACAUGCAAAUUUACUUGGAACGGCAGGUAAAUACCGCAUAUAGGUAGAUAUGGUGGACACUCAUGGAAGAAACUUGGUUCGAGGAAUUUGGAUGCACAAGCAGUAUUCCUGCUUAGUACAGACAUUUUGGCUAGCAAAUGAUUCUAAAUAGCAAGCACCACAAGUUAGAGGAUCCAUAACAAUAUAACUUCUAUACAAAUAUACCCAAGCAUAACUCAUUAUGUUGUCUUCCUUGUCCAACUUCAACUAAUUUGCUCAGGUUUGCUAAUAAUUAAUGGGGCUCACGAUCAUAGAAGAUGUCCAAGAUAGUAUUAUAUGUGAAAUCUCUCUUCCUUCAAUAUUCUUUCAUGAAUUGUUCAAGUGACAAAUACAAAGUUUGCUAACCUUCAAAAAAUUUACCACCUCUACUUCUUAUAUGUGAAGUCAUUACUCCCCAUGGGAUAAGUAUAUGAAACAUAUAUAAUUUCAGAUUUAUAAUAUUCAAAUCAUUCAACUAUUUACUCAUAGGAUAUAAGUGAAGCACACGAGUAAAUGACAAACUACUCCAAAAAGAUAUAAGUGAAGAUCAAUGAGUAGUUAAAUAAUUAUGUAGUUAUCUGAAGACUCUAUCUCAUUUAAGAAUUUCAGAUCUUGGUAUUUUAUUCAUACAGCAAGCAAAACAAAAGAAAAUAAAAUGACGCUCCAAGUAAAACACAUAUCAUGUGGUGAAUAAAAAUAUAGCUCCAAGUAAAGUUACCGAUGAACGAAGACGAAAGAGGGGAUGCCAUCCGGGGCAUCCCCAAGCUUAGGCUCUUGGUUGUCCUUGAAUAUUACCUUGGGGUGCCUUGGGCUUCCCCAAGCUUAGGCUCUUGCCACUCCUUAUUCCAUAGUCCAUCGAAUCUUUACCCAAAACUUGAAAACUUCACAACACAAAACUUAACAGAAGAUCUCGUGAGCUCCGUUAGCGAAAGAAAACAAAACACCACUUCAAGGUACUGUAAUGAACUCAUUAUUUAUUUGUAUUGGUGUUAAAUCUAAUGUAUUCCAACUUCUCUAUGGUUUACAAACUAUUUUACAAGCCAUAGAUUCAUCAAAAUAAGCAAACAACACACGAAAAACAGAAUCUGUCAAAAACAGAACAGUCUGUAGUAAUCUGUAACUAACGCAAACUUCUUGAACUCAACAAAUUCUACCAAAAUAGGACGACCUAGAUAAUUUUAUUAUUGAUCUGAUGCAAUUGGAAUCAGUAUUUUAUCACGUUCUGGUGAUUUUAAACAAUUGUUUUCGUGAACAGAAAGUUUCUGGAAUUUUCAGCAAGAUCAAAUAACUAUCAUCCAAGAAGAUCCUAUAGGUCUUACUUGGCGCAAACACUAAUUAAAACAUAAAACCACAUCUAAACAGAGGCUAGAUAGAUUAUUUAUUGCUAAACAGAACCAUAAAGAAAGAACAAAAAUAAAAAUCGGGUUGCCUCCCAACAAGCGCUAACGUUUAACGCCCCUAGCUAGGCAUGAUGAUUUCAAUGAUGCUCGCAUAAAAGAUAAGAAUUGAAAUAUAAAGAGAGCAUCAUGAAAAAUAUGACUAGCACAUUUAAGUCUAACCCACUUCCUAUGCAUAGGGAUUUUGUGAGAAAACAACUUAUGGGAACAAUAAUCAACUAGCAUAGGAAGGCAAAACAAGCAUAACUUCAAAACUUUAAGCACAUAGAGAGGAAACAUGAUAUUAUUGCAAUUCAUACAAGCAUACAUUCCUCCCUCAUAAUAAUUUUCAGUAGCAUCAUGAAUGAAUUCAACAAUAUAACCAGCACCUAAAGCAUUCUUUUCAUGAUCUACUUGCAUAGAAAUUUUCCUACUCUCCACGUAAGCAAAUUUAUUCUCAUCAAUAGUAGUGGGAGCAAACUCAACAAAAUAACUAUCAUGUGAUUGAAAAUUAAGAUCAAGAUGACAAGUUUCAUGGUUAUCAUUAUUCUUUAUAGCAUACGUGUCAUCACAAUAAUCAUCAUAGGUAGGAGGCAUGCUUUCAUCAUAAUAAAUUUGCUCAUCAAAACUUGGGGGACAAAAAAUAUCAUCUUCAUCAAACAUAGCUUCCCCAAGCUUGUAAUCAUGCUCAUCAUUCAAAUAUUUAGUGCCAAACAUUCUAAUGCAUUCUUCCUCUAGCAAUUGAGCGCAAUUAUCGGAAUCCUUAUUUUCACGGAAGACAUUAAAAAGAUGAAGCAUAUGAGGCACACUCAAUUCCAUUUUUUGUAGUUUUCUUUUAUAAAAUAAACUAGUGAUAAAACAAGAAACUAAAAGAUUCCAUUGCAAGAUCUAAAUAUAUACCUUCAAGCACUCACCUCCCCGACAACGGCGCUAGAAAAGAGCUUAGUUGACGGGGUGUGAGUGCCGCUUACCUAGCCUCCCCGGCAACGGCGCCAGAAAAGAGCUUGAUGUCUACUACGCAACCUUCUUCUUGUAGACGUUGUUGGGCCUCCAAGUGCAGAGGUUUGUAGGACAGUAGCAAAUUUCCCUCAAGUGAAUGACCUAAGGUUUAUCAAUCCGUGGGAGGCGUAGGAUGAAGAUGGUCUCUCUCAAGCAACCCUGCAACCAAAUAACAAAGAGUCUCUUGUGUCCCCAAAACACCCAAUACAAUGGUAAAUUGUAUAUGUGCACUAGUUCGGCGAAGAGAUGGUGAUACAAGUGUAAUAUGGAUGGUAGAUAUAGGUUUUUGUAAUCUGAAAAUAUAAAAACAGCAAGGUAACUAAUGAUAAAAGUGAGCACGAACGGUAUUGCAAUGCGUUGAAACAAGGCCUAGGGUUCAUACUUUCACUGGUGCAAGUUCUCUUAACAAUAAUAACAUAAUUGGAUCAUAUAACUAUCCCUCAACAUGCAACAAAGAGUCACUCCAAAGUCACUAAUAGAGGAGAACAAACGAAGAGAUUACGGUAGGGUACGAAACCACCUCAAAGUUAUUCUUUCGGAUGAUCUUAUUCAAGAGUUCGUACUAGAAUAACACCUUAAGACACAAAUCAACCAAAACCCUAAUGUCACCUAGAUACUCCAAUGUCACCUCAAGUAUCCGUGGGUAUGAUUAUACGAUAUGCAUCACACAAUCUCAGAUUGAUCUAUUCAAACCAACACAGAGUACUUCAAAGAGUGUCCCAAAGUUUCUACCGGAGAGUCAAGAUGAAAACGUGUGCCAACCCCUAUGCAUAGGUUCAUGGGCGGAACCCGCAAGUUGAUCACCAAAACAUACAUCAAGUGGAUCACGUGAUAUCCCAUUGUCACCACAGAUAUGCACAUGCAAGACAUACAUCAAGUGUUCUCAAAUCCUUAAAGACUCAAUCCGAUAAGAUAACUUCAAAGGGAAAACUCAAUCCAUUACAGGAGUGUAGAGGGGGAGAAACAUCAUAAGAUCCAACUAUAAUAGGAAAGCUCGCGAUACAUCAAGGUUGUACCACCUCAAGAACACGAGAGAGAGAUCAAACACAUAGCUACUGGUGCAUACCCUCAGCCCCGAGGGUGAACUACUCCCUCCUCGUCAUGGAGAGCGCGGGAAUGAUGAAGAUGGCCACCGGUGAGGGUUCCCCCCUCCUGCAGGGUGCAGGAACAGGUUCUCGAUUUGUUUUUGGUGGCUACAGAGGCUUGCGGCGGCGGAACUCCUGAUCUAUUCUGUUCCCCGAUGUUUUUAGGGUAUAUGGAUAUAUAUAGGCGAAAGAAGUCGGUAAGGGGAGCCACAAGGGGCCCACGAGGGUGGAGGGCGCGCCUAGGGGGGUGGGCGCGCCCCCUGUCUCGUGCCUUCCUCGUUGCUUCCCUUACGUACACUCCAAGCCUUCUGGAUUGCUUCCGUUCCAAAAAUAACUGUCCCGAAGGUUUCAUUCCCUUUGGACUCCGUUUGAUAUUCCUUUUCUGCGAAACACUGAAACAAGGAGAAAAAACUGAAACUAGCACUGGGCUCUGGGUUAAUAAGUUAGUCCCAAAAAUAAUAUAAAAGUGCGUAGUAAAGCCCAUUAAACAUCCAAGAUGGAUAAUAUAAUAGCAUGAAUACUUCAUAAAUUAUAGAUACGUUGGAGACGUAUCAAGGGGCGUCCCCGGCAAGGGCGCCAAGCACCGAGCCCAUGCACACAGAGGAGGAGGAGGCAGACUUGGGCGCUAGUGGCUCCGCCUCGGUGCCAGAUGUUGGCAGGGAAGGGGCUACUUCUUCCCAGCCCGGCACGGGUACGUCACUUGCCUCCUGUCCCUGCUUUUUCUUCUUCUUUUUGAAUCUUGGUCUUGGCUCCGCCUCAUCCCCUUCUCGAUAUCCAGACCCUCCCUCGGCGGACCGGGAGGACAUAGACACCGUCAUCGAGGAUGUCGCCAAGGACACCGCGGCGGAGGCCGAGAAGAUUGCCGCCGAGGAGGCCGCCAAGGGCGCUGCCGAGGACGCCGCAAAGCGAUCUGCCGGGGAGUCCGGCAUGUCUACUGCCAAAGUGGCCGGCAAGGGGCCUGCCGGGGAGGCCGGCAAGGCCGCUGCCGGGGAGGAGGUGGUUAACGACCAACCUUCCUCCUCUGCUGCCUCUGGUUCCGGCAGGUAUCUGAAGGUGAGCGACGACCUAUUCGUCAACCUCCUAGGGACGGCGAGCACUAGGGCGCCCACCGAGGGAGAGGUGUUCGACGAGGAGGUGCUUGCCGCCGCUGGGCUCGAGGUUGUUGACGAGUCGAGCGCCGGUGGCGACGGUUCCCAGGAAGAGCGGCUCCUUCAGGCCAUGGGCGCCAGCUUUCGGAAGCUCCAGGCGCUCCACCGCGCCCGCCUGGACAAGGCCAAGUCCAGGAUGGCAGCGGUGGAAAAGGCGGAGGCGGACCUCGAGGGUCGCAUCGUCGAGACGCAGGCUUGGUUCCGCCAGGGCUGCGAGGAGCUGAAGACCGCCCAGGACGAGCUGGCCAAGCGCAAGGUGGAGCUCGUCAUGAAGCAGGCCGACAUCGAGAGGGGCCAGGAGUUGGCGAAGAACCAGGCCGCCAAGGACGAGGUCGCUCGGUCCCAGCACCAGGCCGCGCUGAACUCCCAGGAAGAGGACCUUGCCGCUCGCGAGGAGAAGCUCGCCGUGACACUCCGCGGCAAGGACGAGGAGGUCAAGAAGCUUGUCCUGCAGCGGACCCAGGAGUUGGAGCAGAAGCACGAGGAGGCGCUCAAUGCCCAGGCUUAGGUCCACGCCGGCAAGGUGAAGGAGCUGGAGGUGGAGCGGGACGAGCUGAAGAAGCAGGCCCUGGAGUUGACGGCGGAGAGGGACGCUGCCAAAGGUGCCCUGGCCGACGCGCAGGCCGCAGUCCUCAGCAAGGCCGGGCUACUCUCCACGGCCAACGAGACCAUCAAGGACCUGAAGCUGAAGCUGGAGGGCCUUGAGGGGACGCUCUCGGAGGCCAAGGCCCGGGAGGAGACCCUGGCCAAAGAUUUGGAGGCCGAGAAGCAGCUGCGGAAGAACGAAACCGCCAACCACAAGGAUUUUGUGGAGGGCGAGAACCGCUGGAUCAGCCGCCUCAAAGGCGUCGCCGGCAGGAUCACCACGCAGCUGGCUACGAUGGGGAUGCCAAAUGUGAGGUACGCCCCGGAGCCCAAUGUGACUCCCAAUGCCAAGCUGACCCUAUUCUUCGAGGGUGUCCUUGGAGCCCUGGAGCAUCUUCGCUCCAGCAGGGCGGCCUCUUUGGCCGAUGAGGCCCGGAAGCUUUGCCGGGGUGCCAUGACCAAGGUCCUCACCAAGGUGGCGUACUGGAACCCCGACCUCGACUUCGACGCCGCACUAGAGAGCUUGCCGGAGGAUGCUGACCUCGCGGCGCUCAAGGAGCGUAUCAAGCCCAUCAUCAGUCGCGUCGACGGAAUCCAGAGGGUGGAGGGCCAGCGCUGGGAUUAGGCACCCCGUUUCUCAUUGCCGCUGCAGGUUCAUGACCAUGACAAUUUCUAUCUUUAGUUAGAACCGCGGCAACAACUGAUGUAAUAUAACUCUGCAGUACAUUCGUGAUGAUGUAUGUUAUCUUCCUGUUUGAUCUUCCUUUGUAUGUUCACCCUACGUUAAUCGGGUAGGCUUGCCGGCGCGUAAACCCAGGCCGCGGCGCCUUGAGGAUGGAUCCCCAAUGGCCUGCCGGGUAUGCUUGCUGCCAGGCGAACCACCUUACCGCAUUAGUAGAAAACAGGGCUUUGGUUCCGGCCUGGCCAGCCCAUUAGUCCCGGUUCUUCAUGAACCGGGACCCAUGGGGGGCAUUAGUCCCGGUUCAUGAGCCCAGGGGGCCGUCCGGGGCCUCGUGGGCAUUGGUCCAGGUUCCUCUGGAUCCAUUUGUACCGGUUCUAGAGGGCCGCGCUCCUUGCCCACAGCCAUUGGUACCGGUUCGUGCCUAUAACCGGGACAGAAGGGGGGGGGGCUUUAGUACCGGUUCGUGCCACAAACCGGGACAAAUAAGUUGCCUAUAUAUACUCGUCGCCGCAGCAGAGCACUCCACAGUGCUCUGUUUUUUCUGGCCGGCGAGGGGAGGGCAUUUGGGUGCUCUAGCUCACCUCCUAUGCACAUGAGGUGUUUGAUGAAAUGCCCGAGCGACACUAGUUAAGCUUUCUCCUCUUGAAGCUCGACCUCGGAGCUCCAUUUUUCCCAAGAUUUGUCUAGAUUUAGCGGUCCGUCACGCCCCGUCCCCGUUUUCACCGCCGUCAAUCGCCCGUGCCGAUCUCGUCGCCGGCACCAUCGUGGUGAGCCUCUUGUUCUUAUCUUCUUUCUGAUUUGCUUAAUUUAGAUAGAUACUUGUCUGAUUUUCUUACUUUUGACACACAUAAUUAUAUAUAAUGCACGCAGAUGAACCGGCAAUGGAUGUACGGUGACAGACACACCUCCGAGUACAUUAAGGGCGUGCAUGAAUUUCUCGAAGUGGCAGAGGCAAACAAGCAGAAUGGUUUUAUGUGUUGUCCAUGCCCUAAAUGUGGGAAUACGAAGUCUUACUCUGACCGGAAAAUCCUGCACACCCACCUGCUUUACAAGGGUUUCAUGCCACACUAUAAUGUUUGGACGAGGCACAGAGAAAUAGGGGUUAUGAUGGAAGACGACGAAGAAGAAGAGGACGAUGACAACUAUGUGCCCCCUGAAUACGGUGAUGCUGCAACGGGGGGAGCUGCCGAAGAUCAAGAGGAACCAGACGAUGUGCCCGAUGAUGCUGCAAUGGGGGAAGCUGCUGAAGAUCAAGAAGAACCAGACGAUGUGCCCGAUGAUAAUGAUCUCCGCCGGGUCAUUGUCGAUGCAAGGAUGCAAUGCGAAAGUCAAAAGGAGCAGCUGAAGUUCGAUCCCAUGUUAGAGGAUCACAAAAAAGGGUUGUACCCCAAUUGCGAAGAUGGCAACACAAAGCUCGGUACCGUACUGGAAUUGCUGCAGUGGAAGGCAGAGAAUGCUGUGCCUGAGAAAGGAUUUGAGAAGCUACUGAAAAUAUUGAAGAAGAAGUUUCCAAAGGACAAUGAAUUGCCUGACAGUACGUACGCAGCAAAGAAGGUCGUAUGCCCUCUAGGAUUGGAGGUGCAGAAGAUACAUGCAUGCCCUAAUGACUGCAUCCUCGACCAUGGUGCGUACAAGGAUUUGAACGCAUGCCCGGUAUGCGGUGCAUUGCGGUAUAAGAUCAGACGAGAUGACCCUGGUGAUGUUGACGGUGAGCCCCGCAGGAAGAGGGUCCCUGCGAAGGUGAUGUGGUAUGCGCCUAUAAUACCACCGUUGAAACGACUAUUCAGAAACAAAGAGCAUGCCAAGUUGAUGCGAUGGCACAGUGAGGACCGUAAGAAAGACGGGAAGUUGAGAGCACCCGCUGACGGGUCGCAGUGGCGAAAAAUUAAGAGAAAGUACUGGGAUGAGUUUGCAGGUGACCCAAGGAAUGUAUGGUUUGCUUUAAGAGCGGAUGGCAUUAAUCCUUUCGGGGAGCAGAGCAGCAAUCACAGCACCUGGCCCGUGACUCUAUGUAUGUAUAACCUUCCUCCUUGGAUGUGCAUGAAGCGGAAGUUCAUUAUGAUGCCAAUUCUCAUCCAAGGCCCUAAGCAACCCGUUAACGACAUUGAUGUGUACCUAAGGCCAUUAGUUGAAGAACUUUUAUAGCUGUGGAAUGGAAACAGUGUACGUGCGUGGGAUGAGCACAGACACGAGGAAUUUAACCUCCAUGCGUUGCUGUUUGUAACCAUCAACGAUUGGCCCGCUCUCAGUAACCUAUCAGGACAGACAAACAAGGGAUACCACGCAUGCACGCACUAUUUAGCUAACACCAAAAGUAUAUACCUGGACAAAUGCAGGAAGAAUGUGUACCUGUGCCAUCAUCGAUUUCUUCCGACCAACCAUCAAUGUCGAAAGAAAGGCAAGCAUUUCAAAGGCGAGGCAGAUCACCGGAAGAAGCCCGCCAUGCGUACCGGUGAUCACGUACUUGCUAUGGUCAAUGAUUUACACCUAAUGUUUGGAAAGGGUCCCGGCGGACUAGCUGUUCCGAAUGACGCUGGGGGACGCGCACCCAUGUGGAAGAAGAAAUCUAUAUUUUGGGACCUGCCCUACUAGAAAGACCUAGAGGUCCGCUCUUCGAUCGACGUGAUGCACGUGACGAAGAACCUUUGCGUGAACCUGCUAGGCUUCUUGGGCAUGUAUGGGAAGACAAAAGAUACAGCUGAGGCACGGGAGGACCUGCAACGUUUGCACGAAAAAGACGGCAUGCCUCCAAAGCAGUAUGAAGGUCCUGCCAGCUAUGCUCUUACCAAAGAAGAGAAGGAAAUCUUCUUUGAAUGUCUGCUUAGUAUGAAGGUCUCGACUGGCUUCUCGUCGAAUAUAAAGGGAAUAAUAAAUAUGCCAGAGAAAAAGUUCCAGAACCUAAAGUCUCAUGACUGCCACGUGAUUAUGACGCAACUGCUUCCGGUUGCAUUGAGGGGGCGUCUACCGAAAAACGUCCGAUUAGCCAUUGUGAAGCUAUGUGCAUUCCUCAAUGCAAUCUCUCAGAAGGUGAUCAAUCCAGAAAUCAUACCAAGGCUAAGGAGUGAUGUGGCGCAAUGUCUUGUCAGUUUCGAGCUGGUGUUCCCACCAUCCUUCUUCAAUAUCAUGACGCACGUCCUAGUUCAUCUAGUUGACGAGAUUGUCAUUCUGGGCCCCGUAUUUCUACAUAAUAUGUACCCCUUUGAGAGGUUCUUGGGAGUCCUAAAGAAAUAUGUCCGUAACCGCGCUAGGCCAGAAGGAAGCAUCUCCAUGGGCCAUCAAACAGAGGAUGUCAUUGGGUUUUGUGUUGACUUCAUUCCUGGCCUUAUGAAGAUAGGUCUCCCUAAAUCGCGGUAUGAGGGGAGACUGGCUGGAAAAGGCACGCUUGGAGGGGACUCAAUAAUAUGCAGGGACGGAUAUUCUUGGUCUCAAGCACACUACACAGUUCUACAGAACUCUACCUUGGUGACCCCUUAUGUCGAUGAACACAAGAACAGUCUGCGCUCCAAACACCCGGAGCAUUGCGACGACUGGAUUACAUGUGAACACAUCAGGACUUUCAGCAGUUGGUUGGAAACACGUCUCAGAGGUGACAACACUGUUUGUGAUGAGAUGUACUCGUUGUCCAGGGGACCAUUUUCGACUGUAUUGACUUACAAAGGAUACAAGAUAAAUGGGAAUACAUUUUACACGAUCGCCCAAGAUCAAAAGAGCACCAACCAAAACAGCUGUGUCCGCUUUGAUGCAGCAACCGAGAGGGGAAAGGACACAUAUUAUGGUUACAUAGUGGACAUAUGGGAACUUGACUACGGACAUGAUUUUAAGGUCCCUUUGUCUAAGUGCAAAUGGGUCAAUCUGUCAGGAGGCGGGGUACAGGUAGACCCACAGUACGGAAUGACAACAGUGGAUCUGAACAAUCUUCGGUACACUGACGAACCUUUCGUCCUAGCCAAUGAUGUGGCACAGUUUAUCUAUGUGAAGGACAUGUCUACCAAACCGAGAAAAAGAAAAGAUAAGGAAGCGAAUACAUCAUACGAUGAGCCAAAGCACCACAUAGUUCUUUUAGGAAAAAGGGACAUCGUGGGAGUGGAGCGCAAGACAGACAUGUCUAAAGAUUAUGAAAAGUUUCCUGAAAUUCCUCCCUUCAAAGUCAAGGCUAACCCAAGCAUCCUAAUAAACGAUGAAGAUUAUCCAUGGUUACGGCGCAAUAAGCAAACGACACAAGCGAAGAAAAAGUGAAGACUUUCUCUCUACAACUAUUAUGAUGAUGCCUUUGAUCUAGAAUAUCACUGCAAUUACAUGUGAAGAAAUGAAAUGCAUGUUGUAACAAACGAGUUUCCGUGUGAAAUGAUGAUACCAUGCCAAUUUGCAACCUUAUCGGAGUUCAUUUGAAAUGGUUUUCAAUUUCCGGGUCUUAUAGCUCAAAAAAGCAGUAAAUGCAUGAAAAAUAACAAAUGAAGUCAGAAAGGGUUGAAAAUUGAUGAUGUUGCUUUGAAUGGUGCAUUUUGAACACACAAGAAGUCUGGAGUUCAAAUAAGUUCGAAAAAAUGAAAUCCCUUUGUAACAGAUGAGCUUUCGUGCGAAACCCUGAUACUUCGAAAGAGAUUGUCCGUUUUGUACACAAAGUGCAUCUAGUUUUUGCCGUAACCCUCUCAACUUUCUUGCACAUGCUAUGUGGGUGAAAUGAUGAUAGCAUGCCAAUUUUCAACCUUUUCGGUGUUCAUUUGAAAUGCUUUUCAAUUUUCGGGUCUUAUAGCUCAAAAAAGCAGUAAAUGCAUGAAAAAUAAUAAAAUGCAUAAAACUAUAAUAUUUGUUAUGAUCACUAAAAAACUAAAAUCAAUUAAAAUAUUAAAUAGCAGGAAAAAGAAUCACUCAAAAAUCUAUUUUUAUAGUAAAUUUAUUCAUAAAACUAGUGAUUCACAUACAUUUAAAAAAAAUCAAAUUUUAAAACUAAUGGCACUAACAGAAAGUUUAUAAUUUUGUGACCCAAAAGCAAAAAGAAAUCACUAAAAAACUAUAAAAUUUAGUUUUAAGUAGAAAUAAAAAAAUAAAAAGAAAAAAAGGAAAAAAAAUGCCACCUACUGGACCUCCUCGGCCUAAAUACGACUAGAAACCCUACAAUGGGCCAGGAUUCAGGCCCGCAGAAGGCCCAAUAGGCCCAACAGGCAUGGCAAAGUAGAGAUUAGGCCCGUAAGCCUGCAAUAGAGAGGAGCUCGAGAGGGUGGCGGCAGCAAAGCUUAUAAACCACCCCGAGCCCCUCUCAACUAGCGAGGUGGGACUAAACAUCCCACCGCACCGUGCCAGCACAAGGCCUAUGGUCCCGGUUCAUGCCACCAACCGGUACCAUAGGCGGGCAUUCGUACCGGUUCGUGGCACCAACCAGUACCAAUGCCCACCUACGGUCCCGGUCCGUGCCACCAACCGGGACCAUGGGCCUCUGUUUCCCGCCCUUGGGGCUGCCGAAAAGAGACCUUUGGACCCUGUUGGUGGCACGAACCGGGACCAUAGGUAGGCAUUGGUACCGGUUGGUGCCAUGAACCGGUACCAUUGGUUUUGCUAUAUAAGGUAGCACUUGUGAAAAUUUCGCCAACUGCUCCCCCAUUCCCCCCGACGCCGCCAGGCCGUUCCUCGUCGUCGUCGCCGUCGCCGCCCCGAGCCCCUGCCCCGACGNNNNNNNNNNNNNNNNNNNNNNNNNNNNNNNNNNNNNNNNNNNNNNNNNNNNNNNNNNNNNNNNNNNNNNNNNNNNNNNNNNNNNNNNNNNNNNNNNNNNNNNNNNNNNNNNNNNNNNNNNNNNNNNNNNNNNNNNNNNNNNNNNNNNNNNNNNNNNNNNNNNNNNNNNNNNNNNNNNNNNNNNNNNNNNNNNNNNNNNNNNNNNNNNNNNNNNNNNNNNNNNNNNNNNNNNNNNNNNNNNNNNNNNNNNNNNNNNNNNNNNNCCCGACGACGUCGCCGCGCCCUUGACCCGCCGUUGACGUCGUCCUCACCGUCGCCGUCGUCGUCACCGCCCCCGAGCCGCUCCUCCCAGAGCCCUCGCUGUGCGCGUACCCCUCCCCCAAGAGCCCACCGUCCUCGUCGCCGUCAUCGUCACCGGCCUCGUCGUCGUCCUCGUCACCGGCCUCGUCGUUGUCCGGCCUUGAGCCCCCAGUGAGCCCCUUCCAAUCCCGAUCCGUGCACUGCCGCAGCUGCCGCCGCCCCCCCGCGCCGCGCCGCCGCCCCUGUUUUUUAUAUGUAUGUAUGUAUGUAUCUAUGUAUAUGGAUGUAUGUAUGUACGGAUGGAUGGAUAUGCAUGUAUAUGGAUGGAUGUAUGUGUAUGUGUUCAUAGUUUUUUUUUGUUCAUAGUUUUUUGUUGAUAGCAUUUUUAGGCUGUAUAGUUUUAUUUUUGUUCAAUUUUUAUGGUUAGAAGAGGAGAGGAAAAAAUUGUGUUGCUAAAGUUACAUUUAAGGUUAGUUGAUUUAGUUCAUUUUAGGUUAUUAGUUCUACUGUUAGUGCAUUUAAGGUUAGUUUAUUUUUAGUUGAACUAGUUGAUUUAAUAAAACUAAUUUAUUUUACUAUACAUAUAAGUAGUUUAUUUUUAGUAAGUACUACUUUAUUUUAUUUAUAGUAAGUGCUUAGUAGUUGAACUAGUUGAUUUAAUAAAACUACUUUAUUUUACUAUAGAAGUAGUUUAGUUUUAGCAAGAAAAUUAAUAGAAUUAGUUUAUUUUUUAGUUCAAGCAAUUAUUCCCGCAUCGACAUCGACGAUGCCUAUCCCGCAUCCUCGUCGUCGACUCGGCGGAGGAGGCCGACUUGAUCAGAGGGGCCAUGUCCGGGACUGGGCUCCGCCGGGCUGGUAUUGGGAGGUGCUACCUUCCGGGGGGCGUAGGUUGGUGAGGAGCCAGCCCGUCGUUGACCCGAUCCUUGUUUGGUGGCGGUCGCGUGGGCCAGUGACUGUAUCGAGGCUUCCGGACACCGCGGAGGUGGUACGUCACCAUGUCAGCGAGGAGGACGAGCACGCCCGUCGCUACAUGGUUGCGUUGGAGGGCAGGUUCGACAAUACCUGGCAGCUUCUUCAGGGAUCUCAUUGGAGCUAUGAUCAUGUGAUGGUUCCUUCUCUUUGGGCAUCCACCGCCCGCGCCGAUACCCGUCGGGCGCUACGGUUCUAGCUGUACUAGCGAUGCUAUAUGUAUGAUAGUAUUCGAGGUGUAUUAGUGAUAAUAUUCGACGAUGUACGGACGCAAGAGAUGAUGUAGUUUUGCUUAUAAUUGAAUGCAUCCUAAUUUGAAUACUACUUUAUUUUGCGAUCUGAUUUUGCUUAUUGAAUGCUCAAAUUGGAAAACUACUCCUACUUUGAAUGCUAAAAUUAGAGAGCACUAUGCAAGGCGUAUGCAUAUGAUUAGUUGAUAGCUUAUAGUGUUUUUGUUUUCGCAAAAAUAUAGGAGCCCCCAACCAUCAUCCCCGCCGUCGUCCCCGUCACUGACCCCCUCCGACGUCGAGGUGAGACCAGCCAAAUCUCCAUGUCAAUAUGAGUCCUAUAAUAUGAGUCCUCGGGUCGACUUUAAGUCUGUCGAGUCUCCACCAUAUAUGAAAGGACGAAGAAUCAUGACUGUUGUCGUGGGGGUAGCUUCUCCUUCGUUCCCGUGAUGAAUAAUAAUGAUCUAACUUAGGUUUUUAGUACAUAUAUUUAAUUGUAGAUGUUUAAUAUUUGAAUUAUGAACAUAGGAAAUGUCGUACUCAGACUACGAAAGUCUCCCGGGGGAGUGCGACUGGUGCCACGACGACCGAGGUUAGUGCGACCGGCCUCACCUGGACGAAGAUCAGCGCUUCAGCAUUAAGCUGGAGGAGACCUUCGAUGUUGAAACGGUACGCAACGACGACAAGUGUUAUUUUUUCGUAAUUAAGCACGACUUCAAGUAUUUCAACGUGUACUUCUUAUCUUUUACAAUUCGACUAGCUUAUCCCAUGCCAUGCAAGACGCUAUGUCUUGGAGAGGAUGGGUUUUGAAGACCAGGAAAGUUUCGAAACAAAGAAAAUUCAUCUAAGGACCCAUCAUGGUGUGGAUUUUGAAGUAAAGCGGUACAAUUCUGAGAGCGUAACCCAUUUUGGUUGCAAAAAAUGAGAAGCACUUUGCAAGAUGUAUGGUUUUGAUGAGGGUAUGCUUGUCACCAUUGAUCUUGGUGACCCUGAAAUCGAGCAAGACAAUAUGGACAUUUGGGUCCUUGUUGAUACGCCUCCAAUUCUACCGCUAUGUGAGUUUCUCAAACAUAGUUAUUAGCUAAUUUAUAUUGUUUAUUUCAAAAUAGUUGACAACUUAUUUCCAUUGACAGCUUAUUUUGAUUGUUCAAACAAUGUGCGGAACAUGGUAGACAAAACCCACUACACCGAUGGCUCCGAAUUAACUUAUCAGGAGAAAAAUCAUCUGGUCUGAUUUUGUACUGAUAUUGAGAAUUACAAUAUCUAGAAUCAAACUCCUCAACAUUAUUGUCAAUACGUGCCACUAGUGCACGUGUUGAACUACAGUAACUACCAUGGAGAUACCCUGGUAAGAUUUUUUACUAUUACGACAUCCGUGCAUCUUUUGCAUACUUCUAAAACUAGUACAUCAUUGCUAACUAUGAAGUUAUUACUAUGUUUUUCAACAGAGAAUCCCAGAGGAUUGUGUGCCUCAUUUGAUGUAGCAGAAUGGCAGCCUUCGUGUUUUGAACAUAUAUCCAAGUCAUCCAACGAAUCUCAACUGUCCAUACCGGAUUUAUCAAUGAAGUGGAGACAUGCUAAUCAAAAAAUGGAAAAAAUGUAUGGACAGUCGUAAGGAGGUUCUUGGAAGCAAAAGGAAGCGAAGCGUAAGAAUUGGAGACAGGAUGAUCUCCAUUCUCCAUAAUGGAGAGUCAGGGUCUAUAUUGUUUUAUGCUAUUUUACCUUAAAGAGGGUAUUUAGGUCCUACCUAAUACUGAUGAUCAUGUGCUAAGAACAAUUAAGUAGGGCUGGUUCGAUGACUAUGAGGAUGAUGAUCGUAUGACUUGUUAUUAAUAACGAGUAGAAGUUGUAUGAUGAUGAUUAGUAGGACUUGUUAUUAUAUAAGAUGAUGCAUGAUGCGAGCAUGAAGAGUUAUUAUAUAUCAGCGGGUGAAAUGAACAUGGAUUGGAUUGAAGUGAAGGCAACAUGCAUGUGGUGCAUGUCGAAAGUACUACAAUCCAAACUUGAUCAAAGUUAGGAUUAGUAUUACUUUCGACAUGCACCACAUGUUGCCUUCACUUCAAUCUAAGCCAUGUUUAGGCAUAGCAGUAGCGUUGGUAAACCAAGCACGGAGAUAUAAGAGAGGACACUUCUCUCUAUUAUAUUAGCUAGCUAAUAACAACCUAAAUUAACCCCCAAAACCCCUAAAUCAGCCCCUUUAAAAAAACAAAAAGCUCAACUCCAGCCAGCUGCUGACGCGUGGAUGCCUUUUGGUCCCGGUUGGUGUCACCAACCGGGACCAAAGGCCCCCCUGCCUGGGCUGGCCGUAGUGGCCACGUGGAGGCCCAUCUGUCUCGGUUCGUGUAAGAGCCGAGACUAAAGGCCAAGGGCAUUAGUAACGACCUUUUAGUCCCGGUUCCUAAACCGGGACAGAAGGCUCUUACGAACCGGGACAAAUGGCCCUUUUUCUACUAGUGCCGCUCUAAACGCGGCCGCUCGAACUGUUGAGCUUGACUCGAGUCAGAAUCGAGAGCGUUGCCGAUUGCGGAAGGCUAUGUUGCCGUUCUCGACGCGGCCGCUUGAGCUAUUGAGCGGACUCGAAACAGAGUAAGGGCGUUGCCAAUAGCGGAAGGGCCCCUUUGCGUGCAUGUUUUCCAUACAUAGGGCAGGACCUUCGAGUACAAUAACCUUCUAUAUAAAAAGAUAUUGCUUAAAGUUUCACACGACUUAGCUUUUCUGUCAUUGCACGGGCGUCCACCGCAUCUGCAGAUGGUGCCGUCAAGCUUGGUCGUCUUCUAUCUUGGAACGACGGCCACGAUGAAGCCGCUGCUCCGAUCAGACCAAAUUUCCACAACUGCGCCCCCUACCUAGCGCGCCAAAGAUGUCGGGGGAAAUCGACACCUAUGGAAUCACAGGGAUCCCUUCUACGGUUGGCGGGCGCGGGGUUGUGCAAAGAGCAGGUCUGACAGGAAGCACGCAGAUCGUUUACCCAGGUUCGGGCCGCGGAGAUGCGUAAUACCCUAGUCCUGCUAUGGUGGAUGUAUUCGAGUGUUCUUGUGUUCUUGAACUAGCUACGGGGUGUAACUUGCCCAGAAGAUCCGAAUCCCUGUCCUGGAUGCCUCGGGCCUCCUUUUAUAGACAAAAGGGGUUGCCACACUGGCACACAGGAGGUGGAAAGGUGUACAGUGGAUGAGUCUAUCCUCUGGCACCGUUGGACGAACACAUUUAAUGCGCUGCCAACGUGACCCUCUCGCUUUAUCGGGGACGGUCAAGGAAGCUCGUCCCAGCUGUCGCCGCCUCGCCUGGCUUCGACACGCGUCCGAGCUGACGAGGCGUCGUGGCGCCACAUUGGCUGGCUGCUGGGCUGGCGCGGUGGUGGAGCCUUCACGAAGGUCUGCAUGCCACCACGCAGGUGCUUGCUGUGUCGGUGUAGAGGCCGCUCGUCGCCACGCAGGUGCCUGCCCAGCUGGUUGGGCUAGCAGCUGCACGGGGACGGCGGUGGAGUCUUGGCAGGCGCGGGCCUGGCUGUGGCCCCGCUGAUGCCCUUGGCAAGGGUCUUGCCGGGGGCCCGGCAAGGGUCUUGCCGUGGUGCCGCGGUCGUCCCCGGCAAGGCGCUUGCCGGGGGUCUCGUGGAUUUCCUCGGCAAGGACCUCGCCGAGGAUCAUCGUCUUCUGGUCCUCAUCUGAUCUUGUGUAUUUAUGAUCUUCACAAAGAUCAGCAUGCCACCACGGAGGUGCCUCCCGAGCCUUGGUCCCAAUGUGGUUGAUGGCGUUGGAACCCUUGGGCUCAAUGGAGGCGCGCUUCGUUGGCGUCAGGCAAGUUGCCCCGGCAAGGCUCUCGCCGGGGCUGAGGAGGCCGUCCCGGCAAGGGUCUUGCCGGGGGAGUCCACCUCGCCCUCUUGCCCUUUGUGUCUCUGGUCUUGGCAUUGCCAUGGCUGUCUUGUGCUCCGGCUUCCCUCCUCUGCCCUGCUAAGUGUGGCCGUGGGCGCGGCUCUGACUACCAGUGCACAAGUAAAGGGGUCAAAAGGAGAGCCCCUAGUUUUAUACACCGACAUGUAUCCUCCCAGAAUCUCGUAGAAGUACCGUUACUGAUCACAAGCUUUGUCUGAUUGAAAAAAAUGGAUUUAACUCUCAUCAGUCCUUUCCAAAAGGGCUAGUCCAUUGGCCUCACUGUGACCUGGGAUAAAGUUCUGGAAUGAAGGUACUUAUUACGCAGUAUUUGUGCCCAUGUAGCCCCCGUCUCGCUAGAUAGCUUAUACAGCCAUUUGCUGAGAAGACAUAUGUUCUUCACCUUAAGAUUUUUGAUACCUAGACCCCCUUGGUCUUUGGGUCGACAAAUAAUAUCCCAUUUAGCGAGUAUACUUUCUCUUCAGAUCAUCACUUUGCCAGAAGAAACGGGAUCGAUAGAAAUCUAGUCUUUUCCGAACUCCAACUGGUACCUCGAAAAAAGACAAGAGAAACAUGGGCAUGCUCGUGAGAACCGAAUUAAUAAGAAUUAAACGGCCUCCAUAUGACAUGAGUUUGCCAUUCCAGCAACUGAGUUUCUUCUCAAAUCGAUCCUCAGUGCACUUCCAUUCUCUCUUUGUUAGCUUACGAUGGUGAAUUGGUAUGCCCAAUUAAGUGAAAGGCAAAGCCCCCAAUUCGCAUCCGAACAAUUGCUUAUAUGCCUCUUGUUCCUCAUUGGCUCUUCCAAAAUUGUAUAAUUCGCUCUUGUGGAAAUUAAUUUUUAGUCCGGUCAAUUGUUCGAAUAAGCAUAACACCAGCUUCAUAUUUCUCGUUUUUGCCAAGUCAUGGUCCAUGAAGAUGAUAGUAUCAUCGGCGUACUGUAGGACAGACACACCUCCAUCCACUAGAUGAGGUACCACAGGAGAGCACCUGCGAUAAUUAUAUCAUGCCACACGAGUACAAAGGAUGAAGCAUCUUAGACGUUUGGAAUAGAUUUGGGCAUCACAUACGAUUUAUUUUUCCAAAAAGGUAUGCAUGAUUGGGCUCUAUCUGUAGGAGAUAUGCCCUAGAGGCAGUAAUAACAGUUAUUUUGUAUCUCCAAGUUUGUAAUGAAUGUUUAUGAUCCAUGCUAUAACUGCAAUGAUUCUCGAGUCUACAAUAUCCACGAGGCUCGGAGGGAACUCAUAUGCACGUGUGGUAUUAUAAACGGUAAAAUAUAUUCCUAGUCUUGCCUCUAAGACUAGCUCAAGUAUUGCAUGAUGAUCCUGUUUCCUGAUCAUGGGCAUGACUAUGCCGGCAAUUUUGAGGGCACAAGUUUGGUAGAACGCUUGUGUUGAAUCAACCCGGAUUGAUGUUGUGCUAUGAGAUGCCUUCGUCACAAGUUUAUGGUUAAUAUCAUUGAGAUAGUUAAUGUUUGCAUAAUUCCUUAGACCAUGAGAGUAUCAAGUUCCUUCGUGCUUGCUUCGUGAACUUUGGGGUUUGUUAAACGUCAUCCGUAACUUGGUGGCUAUUAUGGCAGCUUUCGGGUUCACGGAAAAGUAUAGGAAGUAACAAGAUAGCUCAAGAUUGGGAUUUGCUCCUCCGACGAUGGAGAGAUAUACUCGGGCCCUCUCAGUGUAACGGUAUCCAUCAUCGUCUGGCCAGACACAUUGUGAUUUGAUCACUGGGAUGCCGGAACACGGAAACGAGAAAAGAGAACAAAACCGGUAACGAGGUAACUUGCAUGGUGGACAAAUUGUUCGUCCAUGGGCAUGCAAUAAAUCUCACCUCGGGUGUUUGUGACAUAUCGCGAAGCAACAGGAAUAGCUCACUACAACUAGAGGUUCACUCGAAUAUUCAUUCGUGUGGGUAUAGGGGUCAAUAUGGGUGUCCACGGCUCCGAUGUUGAUCAUUGAUCGGAAGGGGUUCCAGGUCAUGUCUAUACUUCACCGAACCUAUAGGGUCACACGCUUAGGGGUCAUCUAUCUGUUGAAUACUAGACAGGGAGUCUGAGAGAAAAUCACCGAAAAAGUUUCGGACACCGAAAAGUUUCGGACAGCGGAAUCGUACCGCAGAGAGAGGUCAUCGGAUAAGUUUCGAUGAUACCGAAAAGUUGUUUCGGGAUACACCAUUAAGUCAAAUUGGUUUCGGCACAUGCCUGAUAAUUCUUGGAGGAUGCCAGAAUCAUUCUGGAAGCUUUUUGGAAUUUUCUGACAUAAAAACCGGAAAUGUUCCGGAGCUGCCGGAGCCACUUCAGAUGCGUUUCGCAGAUGAAAAUCACUAAAACCGGAAUUGUUUCGGAACGCGUUGAAAAACAUUUUAGUGGGUACUGGAAAUGUUCUUAGCCCACAUAAAUAUUUUCAGUUCGAUCAGACGCUGAAAAAUGUCGUCGUGAAUAGUGAAAAUCAGCUUUAUGGUUACUUUAUGGAAAGCCACCUUUUGGGGCUUUGCUCCAAAAGAUCUUGGGGAUGACAUGGAUGGAUAGGACCCAUUUUUUGGGCCCCUCAUGGGGGUGUGGCCGGCCACAUGGGGUAUCCCCCCUUGGGGACCCUUUUGUUCAUUGGUUUCACUUCUAGGUCCUUGUGGAAGGACUUCAUUCAUGUGCAUUUUGGGUUUUUGUGUGAAACUACCCUACCCCUUGGGAUUUCCUAUAAAUAGAGGUGGAGGGGCAGCCCUCCACACUCAUCCCUUGCUCUCAUACACAUGCCAUGCAUUAUCUGGCUUCUUCUCUCCCUCCCACGAAAAGAGUUUCGUAGAGCCGUAAGGCUGUCUGGGUUCCGGCAGGAACUAGUUCUGGACGGCGAAGCCCUGCCGGAUAGCUGACACCGUAUGUGUGCAACCCCGUAGAGAGAUUGUAGUUUCGAUCUUUUGCCCGAGGGGCUGUUCGAGUGUCCUCCCGAAGGGCUGUCCGAGUCUCCGUCCGAGUUUCGAGGGUCCUCCCGAAGGGCUGUCCGCGACAUUGUCCGGGGGACUGUCCGACCGCCUCCCGAAGGGCUGUCCGGAGAGGGAGUACAUCCUCGCGGUUGGGAGGUUGUAAAUCCUAGCUGCGGGGAUCUGCACCGACGAUCUACACCGACUCUUCUUCCGCUGCGCUUCGAGUCGGUACGGAUCAGAUCAAACCUUGUAUGCAGUCUCCAUAGUGGUCCUGGGCGUGCUCGCUAUACCGAAAAUUUUCGUUUUCUGUCGCGUUCCCCUACAGUGGCAUCAAGAGCCGUGCUAUGCGUAGAUGCAGGUUACGAUCUAGAAUACAUGGAGAUGUAUGGGUAUUGCAUAAUAUAAUUUUGGAGUAGAUGAGAUGUAUUGCUGAAAAUUAUUUAUGCGGGUGACAGAUGAAAUCUGUUACCCGACGUUCUUGUUGCUUCCCUAGAAUUUGCGUUUGCUCAAUCUCGAGACAGGAUGGUGGAAUUUGACAAAGUUCUGGCAAUCCGUGAUCCUGAUUGAUCAUGGAAGUGCUAUCAGUUCUUUGGGUUCUGCCAUAGUCAAAAGAAAGAUGAAAUUCGCAGAUGAAAGGGCAUUGCAGAUAUGAUCUGCACGGGGGUCAUGCGUAUGACGAAGUUUAGUAUGGGGCUCGAGAUUUAAUUAUCUCGUGUUUCAUACACCCCGAGAUGUUAAUCUAGCAACUUGAAUAAUCAUACUUGAUGAUAAAACGUUGGUAGCUGCGGUUUAAGUCAAAACCUUAGAAGCCACGUAAAAUAAAAUUUUGCAUAAACCGAUUAGAGGCGUCUAACUUGGUUUUGCAGGAUGUGCAUGUGAUGUGGUAUAGCAAUGCUCAUAUUCAAUUUGAUUAUGUAUGAGAUGACUAUAUGAUGUAACUAACAUGACCUGCGUGUCAUGAUUCUGCAUGAUGGCUGGAGCCAUAUGAUUGCACUUUAAUGACCUGCGUGUCAACCUUAAGUAAUGCACUUAUUUUAUUAGCUAUAGAGAUAGCAAUAUUAUCUGGUGCAUCGACAAGGUGGUGGCAAUCUUCGCGAAGGUGAACACCGACGCAAAUGCCGAAGACGAAGAAUUGAAAGACUUCUCCGUCAGAAAGGGCUAUACCAUAUCAUGCUAAUUAUGAAUUGCCUGAGAUGUUUAUCCCCUAUGAUGCACCCUUCUUGAUUGCGCGGUAGUCGCUUUUAUUAGGGUGAUCUCUCACUUAAAAAUAUCAAGUAGAUAGUGUUCUCCCAAGUGUAGCACCGUCACGGCACCUAUCGUUUCGGGGUGCGCCGUGUCACACGGGUACGAACGAUUAGAGAAGUGUGAGGCGGGUGAGUUGAGACCUCGCAGCGAGAUCACUUGGUUGUCUUGACGUUCAGGCAUGACCGUCAUGAGCUCGGAACACACGCAUCGAAAGAUGAACAAGAGUCACAUAGUGAUGUGAUUGGCAAGUUGGCCUACCGGUUAAGAUUUUCGUCAUCAGUGGUGUUACACCAAUGGCGAACAAUCAAGACACGGAUCUUGAAUCACUCAUAAUCAAUUUUGAGAGAUAUUGAUUUGAGUGGGAGUGCAUUUUAGAAUAAAAUGUUUAUUCACUAGUGCAAAUUUCAUUAUAAACAAAGUCUAAGUGAAACUUGUGUCUUCGUUGUAGAUCAAAUGGCUCGCAACACCGCGUUCAACUUAGGCCCGAUGUUAGAGAAAGAGAAGUUAGCUACGACUGGAAACAACUAUGCGGACUGGGCCCGUAACCUGAGGAUUGUCCUCAGGAGCGCUAAGAAAUUGUACGUGCUUGAAACUGCUCUUCCAGCUAAACCGGCGGCAGAUGCACCGGUAGAUGAACAAAAUGUCUGGGCCACUAAGGAUGAUGAUCACAACUUAGUGCAGUGCCUCAUGCUAGCUUGCAUGAGUCCAGGGCUUCAAAAACGUUUUGAAUUCCAUAAAGCCCGUGAUAUGAUCCGGGAAUUGGAUGCUCUGUACAAGGAAACCGCAAAGUCUGAACGAUAUGAUAUCAUGAAGGCUUGGAUGGAUUGCAAGAUGGCUGAGGGUAGUUCAGUUGGCGAACACGUGGUCAAAAUGAUUGGCUAUUCUGAAAGGCUUAAAGCCCUAGAAUUUCCACUUCCACCUGGCCAUAUGAUGGACAUGUUGCUUUCUUCACUCCCCCCGUCUUACGACGGUUUUGUCAUGAACUACAACAUGACAGGGAUGGAGAAGACGCCGAAAGAAGUGCUCGCCAUGCUGAAAACUACAGAAGGAGGACUGCGGAAAAAUCGCAAGUAAGUGUUGCUUGUGAAUAAAACCGCCUGUUUCAAAAAGAAGAAAGGCAAGCCAAAGAAGGGCAAGGGCACCGGUAAGACCGGCUCCCAAAGCAACUCUAAGGGCGGAGCCAAGAAUGAAACUGAGUGCUUCUACUGCAAGGGCACAGGACACUGGAAGAGAAACUGCAAGAAGUAUCUGGAAGAUAAGAAGACCGGGAAAACCGGAAAAGGUAUAAUUGUUAUACAAGUUAAUGUCAUUGACGUUUUGCUUGCUAGCGAAAACUCUAAGUCUUGGGUAUUUGAUACCGGAUCGGUUGCUCACAUUUGCAACUCGAUACAGGGACUUCAGAAGGUGCGCAAGCUAGCAAAGAAUGAAGUCGUGAUGCGCGUCGGGAACGGCGCUGGGAUCGCCGCUCAAGCCGUCGGCAUUAUGCCUCUACGUCUCCCUUCAGGAUUUAUCUUAGAACUAAGUAACUGUUAUUUUGUUCCACUGUUGUGUAGAAACAUUAUCUCCGGAUCAUGUUUGGUACACGAUGGGUAUUCGUACAAGUCUGAGAACAAUGGUUGUUCACUUUAUUGUAAGGAUAUGUUUUAUGGAUUUGCACCCAUUGUUGGGGGCCUUUUCAUACUAAAUCUUGAAUGUGGAAGUGAUGUCUUUAACAUGAAUGCUAAACGCCUUAAGAAGGCUGAUACCACCACCACUUUCAUGUGGCACUGUCGCCUUGGCCACAUCGGUAAGAAACGCAUGCAAAGACUCCAUAAAGAUGGAGUUUUACCGUCCCUUGAUUUUGAAUCAUUUGACACAUGUGAAGCUUGCCUGAUGGGGAAAAUGACCAAGACGCCGUUCACGGGUCAUCCUGAACGGGCGGGUGAAUUAUUGGAAAUAAUACAUAGUGAUGUAUGUGGUCCAAUGAACACAGGCGCACGGGGUGGAUAUUUUUACUUCGUGACUUUUACUGAUGAUUUGAGUAGGUAUGGCUAUAUCUACUUAAUGAAGCAUAAAUCGGAAACCUUUGAAAAGUUCAAAGAAUUUCAGAAUGAGGUAGAAAAUCAUCGUAACAAAAAGAUUAAGUUUCUGCGGUCUGAUCGCGGAGGCGAAUAUCUUAGUCAUGAGUUUGGCCAACAUCUGAGUGAUCGUGGAAUCGUUUCACAGCUUACGCCUCCCGGAACUCCACAGAGAAAUGGAGUAUCGGAACGACGUAACCGAACCUUGUUGGACAUGGUAAGGUCAAUGAUGUCUCUUACAAAUCUUCCAAUAUCUUUUUGGGGUCACGCACUACUUACUGCUGCUCACACACUAAACAAAGCACCGUCUAAAUCUGUUGAGACGACGCCACAUGAGAUGUGGCACGGGAAGAAACCCGACCUGUCGUUUUUCAAAAUUUGGGGUUGUGAAGCUUAUGUAAAACGUUUACAGCCAAGCAAGCUUGAUCCCAGAUCAGACAAAUGUUACUUUGUAGGUUAUCCCAAGGAGACAGUUGGGUAUUCUUUCUACCACGCCUCCGAGAAUAAAGUGUUUGUUGCAAAACAUGGAGUCUUUCUUGAGAAAGAGUUUCUCACUAAAGAAGUGAGUGGGAGGACAAUACAACUCAAUGAGAUUAGUGAAUCUUCGGGAACCGUUGAUAUGGCUAAGGAACCGGAAGAAAUUCCGCUAAUUAUCCCUACAACCGAGCCGGAAGUUGUCGCAUGUGAUGCGGAGACUUCAGACAAUGUUGUAACUGAACCGCGCAGAUCAGGUAGGGCUAUCCAGCCACCUGAGUGGUUUCAUAACGAAAUCUUCAUUCUUGAAGACGAUGAACCUGCGCACUACAAGGAAGCGAUGGCGGGGCCCAGCUCAAAAGAAUGGCACAAAGCCAUGAGAUCCGAAAUGGAAUCCAUGUACGAAAACCAAGUUUGGAACUUGGAAGAACUUCCAGAAGGCAUAAAGCCCAUUGGUUGUAAAAUGGAUUUUCAAAAGAAAGACGGACGCGGAUGGUAACAUUACUAUCCACAAAGCUAGACUUGUCGCGAAAGGGUUCACACAAGUUCCAGGAGUGGACUACGACGAGACUUUCUCGCCAGUAGCUAUGCUUAGGUCUGUUCGGAUAUUGCUAGCAAUUGCUGCUUAUUUCGACUAUGAAAUAUGGCAGAUGGAUGUCAAAACGGCUUUCCUAAAUGGAAACCUCAAAGAGGAUGUAUACAUGAUACAGCCAGAAGGUUUUGUCAUUCAUGAGGAUGCUGGAAAGGUAUGCAAACUUCAGAAAGCCAUUUAUGGUCUGAAGCAAGCAUCAAGGAGCUGGAACAUUCGUUUUGAUGAAGUGGUCAAAGAGUUUGGCUUCAUCAUGAAUGAUGAAGAAUCUUGUGUUUACAAGAAGUUUAGUGGGAGCGCAAAAGCAUUUCUAAUCUUGUAUGUGGAUGACAUAUUGUUGAUUGGAAAUGACGUGAAUUUUCUUAGCGAAAUAAAAGACUCAUUGAAGAAAAGUUUUUCAAUGAAAGACUUAGGCGAAGCGGCAUAUGUAUUAGGCAUCAGGAUCUAUAGAGAUAGAUCAAAACGCCUGAUAGCGCUUAGCCAAAGCACGUACAUUGACAAGGUGUUGAAAAGGUUCAACAUGGAGAACUCCAAGAAAGGCCUACUCCCCAUGUCACCUGGCACAGUGCUUUGCAAGAAUCAGAGUCCUCGGACUCUGGAUGAGCGAGUACAAAUGAAUGAUGUUCCAUAUGCCUCGGCAGUUGGUUCUAUUAUGUAUGCCAUGCUAUGUACAAGACCAGAUGUUUCCUAUGCGCUAAGUGUUAGCAGCCGGUACCAAAGUGAUCCAGGGUUGGAACACUGGGCCGCAGUCAAGGGUAUUCUUAAGUACCUCAGAAGGACCAAGGAUUUACUCCUUGUGUACGGAGGUGAUGAAGAGCUCAUUGUAAGUGGUUACAAUGAUGCAGGCUUCAUGACUGACCCAGAUGACUUCAAAUCUCAAUCAGGCUACGUUUUCAUAUUGAACGGCGGCGCAGUUGAUUGGAAAAGUUCCAAACAAAAGACUGUGGCGGAUUCUACGACGGAGGCGGAAUAUGUUGCUGCUUCAGAAGCCUCCAAGGAGGCGGUAUGGAUCAAACAAUUUCUUGAAGACCUUGGUGUGGUUCGUAGUGCCCAGGACCCGGUGGAGAUCUAUUGUGAUAAUAGUGGCGCCGUGGCUCAGGCAAGGGAGCCAAGUUCGAACCAUAAGACAAGACAUAUUCAACGCAAAUAUAAACUCAUUCGACAUCAUGUCGAAGAGGGUUUAGUGAAAGUACGCAAAGUUCACACGGAUCUGAACGUGUCAGACCCGAUGACAAAGCCUCUACCACGAGCAAAACAUGAGCAACACCGGAUAGCCAUUGGUGUUAGGGAAGCCAUGUAACUGGAUUAUGACUCUAGUGCAAGUGGGAGUCUGUAGGAGAUAUGCCCUAGAGGCAGUAAUAACAGUUAUUUUGUAUCUCCAAGUUUGUAAUGAACGUUUAUGAUCCAUGCUAUAACUGCAAUGAUUCUCGAGUCUACAAUAUCCACGAGGCUCGGAGGGAACUCAUAUGCACGUGUGGUAUUAUAAACGGUAAAAUAUAUUCCUAGUCUUGCCUCUAAGACUAGCUCAAGUAUUGCAUGAUGAUCCUGUUUCCUGAUUAUGGGCAUGACUAUGCCGGCAAUUUUGAGGGCACAAGUUUGGUAGAACGCUUGUGUUGAAUCAACCCGGAUUGAUGUUGUGCUAUGAGAUACCUUCGUCACAAGUUUAUGGUUAAUAUCAUUGAGAUAGUUAAUGUUUGCAUAAUUCCUUAGACCAUGAGAGUAUCAAGUUCCUUCGUGCUUGCUUCGUGAACUUUGGGGUUUGUUAAACGUCAUCCGUAACUGGGUGGCUAUUACGGCAGCUUUCGGGUUCACGGAAAAGUAUAGGAAGUAACAAGAUAGCUCAAGAUUGGGAUUUGCUCCUCCGACGAUGGAGAGAUAUACUCGGGCCCUCUCGGUGUAACGGUAUCCAUCAUCGUCUGGCCAGACACAUUGUGAUUUGAUCACUAGGAUGCCGGAACACGGAAACGAGAAAAGAGAACAAAACCGGUAACGAGGUAACUUGCAUGGUGGACAAAUUGUUCGUCCAUGGGCAUGCAAUAAAUCUCACCUCGGGUGUUUGUGACAUAUCGCGAAGCAACAGGAAUAGCUCACUGCAACUGGAGGUUCACUCGAAUAUUCAUUCGUGUGGGUAUAGGGGUCAAUAUGGGUGUCCACGGCUCCGAUGUUGAUAAUUGAUCGGAAGGGGUUCCAGGUCAUGUCUAUACUUCACCGAACCUAUAGGGUCACACGCUUAGGGGUCAUCUAUCUGUUGAAUACUAGACAGGGAGUCUGAGAGAAAAUCACCGAAAAAGUUUCGGACACCGAAAAGUUUCGGACAGCGGAAUCGUACCGCAGAGAGAGGUCAUCGGAUAAGUUUCGAUGAUACCGAAAAGUUGUUUCGGGAUACACCAUUAAGUCAAAUUGGUUUCGGCACAUGCCUGAUAAUUCUUGGAGGAUGCCAGAAUCAUUCUGGAAGCUUUUUGGAAUUUUCUGACAUAAAAACCGGAAAUGUUCCGGAGCUGCCGGAGCCACUUCAGAUGCGUUUCGCAGAUGAAAAUCACUAAAACCGGAAUUGUUUCGGAACGCGUUGAAAAACAUUUUAGUGGGUACUGGAAAUGUUCUUAGCCCACAUAAAUAUUUUCAGUUCGAUCAGACGCUGAAAAAUGUCGUCGUGAAUAGUGAAAAUCAGCUUUAUGGUUACUUUAUGGAAAGCCACCUUUUGGGGCUUUGCUCCAAAAGAUCUUGGGGAUGACAUGGAUGGAUAGGACCCAUUUUUUGGGCCCCUCAUGGGGGUGUGGCCGGCCACAUGGGGUAUCCCCCCUUGGGGACCCUUUUGUUCAUUGGUUUCACUUCUAGGUCCUUGUGGAAGGACUUCAUUCAUGUGCAUUUUGGGUUUUUGUGUGAAACUACCCUACCCCUUGGGAUUUCCUAUAAAUAGAGGUGGAGGGGCAGCCCUCCACACUCAUCCCUUGCUCUCAUACACAUGCCAUGCAUUAUCUGGCUUCUUCUCUCCCUCCCACGAAAAGAGUUUUGUAGAGCCGUAAGGCUGUCUGGGUUCCGGCAGGAACUAGUUCUGGACGGCGAAGCCCUGCCGGAUAGCUGAAACCGUAUGUGUGCAACCCCGUAGAGAGAUUGUAGUUUCGACCUUUUGCCCGAGGGGCUGUUCGAGUGUCCUCCCGAAGGGCUGUCCGAGUCUCCGUCCGAGUUUCGAGGGUCCUCCCGAAGGGCUGUCCGCGACAUUGUCCGGGGGACUGUCCGACCGCCUCCCGAAGGGCUGUCCGGAGAGGGAGUACAUCCUCGCGGUUGGGAGGUUGUAAAUCCUAGCUGCGGGGAUCUGCACCGACGAUCUACACCGAUUCUUCUUCCGCUGCGCUUCGAGUCGGUACGGAUCAGAUCAAACCUUGUAUGCAGUCUCCAUAGUGGUCCUGGGCGUGCUCGCUAUACCGAAAAUUUUCGUUUUCUGUCGCGUUCCCCUACACUAUCGCAGCCGGUUAACUUGCGUUGUGUGUGAUGGACACCCUUUUCGCACACCUUCACACAGCGAUGCAUCAAAGGUACGUGAGCAAAAGGGGUUUUUAACCGUUUGUGUUGGACUUGCGUGCACUAGUGUGACAUGCGUUACUUAACCUAGCUUUUGUUUAGUUUAGUUAAAUUUCAAGUAGUUUUUUAUGUAACUUGUUAAAUUUUAUCAUAUAUGCAUAUAUGUAAUAUAUCGUACUAGGUUUAUUUUCAUUCGUAAUUCAUUUGAAAUGUGUUCCGAACCGGGGGGUGGUAGUUAAAUGCAGAAAAAACACCACAAUAGCCAUCUCAUUAGCAAAAACAACCACUUUACAAUUUGUGGCAAAAAGGACGACACGCAACAACGGACAGUGGCAAAAGAGCCGGUCGGGACCGGCUCUUUCAAAAUGUGGGGUCCCACUCACCCACUCACUCUCUCACUCACCAGCUCUCGCUCACACUCGACGCCGGUGCCGCUCCUGCUUGACGCUGCCACACAAUGCAUUCAUGGAAUGACGAAGAGGAGAGCAGCAAGGAUGCCCUCAAGUACAGCAGCAUGGAUAUGGAUUUGUGGGUAAGUUUCAGCGCUCAAUAACUAGACGUUUGGAUUAGGGUUAGUGUUUGGAUUUGGGGAUUUAGGGUUUGUGCUCGUUUCCAGCCUUAUUGAAAGGAUUUGUUAGUUAAUUUAGAUAUUGUCAAUGCAGGAGAACCCUGAGACCAUUGUGAAUUCAUUUUACUAUGGGACAGUGGCAUUUUCGGCCAUCAAAUCCAAGCUUUACCAGGCAAGAGCCAAAAAAUCUGUUGGUUUUGGUGACAGACACUAGGAGGAAACUUUAUGGCUGCACUGCACAAGUACUCCCUCCGUCCUAUAUUAAUUGAGCUAAAAUGGAUGUAUCUAGUACAUAUGGAUACUUUCAUUUCAACAACAAUUAAUAUGGGACGGGGCAGUAAUUUUAACUUGCCUUGCUGUUUCACCACUUUGCUCUGUAGCUGUUUGAUUUCGCUGUGUAGUUAUCUAUGUAGUGACGAGUCAUCUGAACUUAGUUGUAUCUUGUUCAUUUUGACUGGAUUAAACUUAGUCUUGCUGCUAUUAAAGGUUAGUCUGUAAUUUAGUAAAUCGAAAUUUAACUGAAUUUUGUUGUUCAAGUUCAGUAUGUAGUUUAGUGAAUCAGAAUUUAACGGAAUAUUGUUUUUCAAGUCCAGUCUGUAGCUUGCUGAAUAUGUAUUGUACUGAUUGUUGUUACUCAAGUUCAGUAUGUAGUUAAGUCAAUCUAAAUUGUAGUGUCAUCAUGUAGUAAAAUAGGUAGUAUAUGUGAAAGAAAUAGGCUUGAUUUAUUGUUGUGUAGUUUUGGAAACAAUAAAUUUUGAGAUACUUUUGUCUGUCUGAACAAUAUGUCACUAGUAGAAAACAGGGCUUUGGUUCGGCUAGAAAAGAGCAUUAAUCCCGGUUGCAUUACGAACCGGGACUAAUGUGAGCAUUAGUCCCGGUUCGAGUGGCUAGGGCACCGUACAAGCAUUAGUCCCGGUUCAAAUGGGACCUUUAGUCCCGGUUGGUGCCACGAACCGGGACUAAAGGGUGCGAUGCCCAUUAGUACCGGUUCGUGGCACCAACCGGUACUAAAGGUUAGACCUUUAGUCCCGGUUCGAGCCACCAACCGGUACUAAUGGGGUUUGAGGCAUUAGUACCUGUUCAUGGCACGAACCGGUACUAAAGGUCCCAUUGUCAAACUCUACCCCCACCCUGGAUCGCCUUUUCAGUUUUGUAAAAAGCAAAGAAAAUGAUAAAAACUUCAAAAAUUAAAAUCCUUCCAGAUGUAUAGUUAUGUUACUACAUGUACUAGUUAGGAAAAUUUAAAAACUUAAAUUUGGACAUGUUUUGCAAAAAGUGUAGGAAAAAUGUAAAACGGCUAUAACUUUUGCAUACGAUGUUAGAAAAAAAGUAUAAUAUAUCAAAAUGUUCAGCACGAAAAUCCGAAUCCGAUUUUGACCGCAUAUGACCCGUUUGCAAAUGUUUAGAAUCCUCAAAUUCUAAAAGGAAAAAAAGUUAUGCUCAAAUUUCUGUUUUUUUUAAUUUUUGUUAAAUCUGGUCAAACUACUUAUUCAAGAAGUAUUAAUGUUACUAAAUAAAUAUUCAAGAAUAUUAGUGUUACUAAAUAAUUAUUUCAGUUUUUUUGAAUUUUCGUCAAAUCUGGUCAAACUAUGGUCAAACUAAUUAUUCAAGAAAUAUUAGUGUUACUAAAUAAUUAUUUCGGUUGUUUUGAAUUUUGGUCAAAUCUGGUCAAACUGUGGUCAAACUGUGGUCGAACUAUGGUCAAACUACUUAUUCAAGAAAUAUUAGUGUUACUAAAUAAUUAUUGUUUUUUAGAACAAUAGUUUCAAACUCAAACAGUGAAAUGUGUGACUUCAUGCUCAAGCUAAGUUCCUGGGGGUUAAUAGGAUUGACAUCUUACUAUUGUCAGGAAAACAACAAGUGCAGACUUGGAAACGAGGGAGAAUAGAACCCGGAAGUUAAGCGUGCUCAGGCUGGAGUAGUGAGAGGAUGGGUGACCGUCCGGGAAGUUAGAUGAUUUGGAAUGAUGAGGGGUGAUUAGGGGUGACAAGUUUUUGAUUACUUGUCCGGUAAGUAUACGAAUUAGAAACCGAGUCGGUUUGGGAUUGUGGUCGCGACACAAUACCGCCUCUGGUCCUAAUAUAUAUACAGCUACCGGCUGCGGCCAGAGACACACCGAAAAACACCUAGGGUUUUGCCUCAUCUCACAACCUGCGCCGCCAUUGUAGUCUACUCCAUCCCAAACGCCGGCGUGCAUCGACGCGUGGGAGAGCAGGUCUCCGGAACCGUUCGUCUUUGCGAUCCUGCACCGGGAGAGGACGAAUUAGGUUUAUGGGAAGCGUUGUGCGCGACUGCUCAAAUUCGUCAUCACGGGUCGUCUUCCGUCCAAGUCGGGCGGUGCUACUCAUCGUCGUAUUCAUCGCCGUCAGCAGCAGAUCGUCACCAACAUCGUCAUCAACACUGUCACACCCUUAAUAGCUAACGAUCAGUACGUCCGACAUCCUCUGUUCAUGUCUGCUUCUACAGCUAUUGUUACGUGUUUGCUGCUGUUAUGCAUGUCUUGCUGUUCUUCUAGUUUGCUAGAUUAUUGCAUGCUAGUAUCUCUUCUAGUCAUGAAUUAUUUACUGGAAUCAAUCAUGAACUUGCCUAAUAUUCCAACAAUCCAAAAACCUAAUUAUAGGCAAUUUCCUGAGUUAACUAUGGCUGGAUUCGCUGAUGCACUGAGGCCGGAUAAGUUUACCGGUGUGCACUUUAAGAGGUGGCAGUUGAAGACCACGCUCUGGCUUACUGGUCUGAAAGUUUUCCACGCUAGUGUUGGUGCUCCAGAGGGAAUGACCGACGAAGAUCGGAGAAAAUUCCAGGAAGCCAAUACUAUGUUUGUGGGAUGCAUUCUGAGUGUUCUUGCUGACUGUCUGUGUGAUGUGUACAUGCACAUAAAUGACGGAAAGAUUCUGUGGGAUGCACUGAAUGCAAAAUUCGGUGCAACAGAUGCAGGCAGUGAACUGUACAUCAUGGAGAGUUUUCAUGACUACAAGAUGGUGAAUAACCGUUCUGUGGUUGAACAAGCUCAUGAGAUACAGUGCAUUGUGAAGGAACUUGAACUCCUUAAAUGUGUUCUACCUGACAAAUUCGUGGCUGGGCGCAUGAUUGCAAAGUUGCCUCCUUCAUGGAGGAAUUUCGCCACAACUCUGAAGCAUAAGAGACAGGAGAUAUCAGUUGAAAAUCUGAUUGCAUCUCUUGAUGUUGAAGAAAAAGCUCGGGCUAAAGAUACUACUGAAAAAGGAGGUGAGGUUCAGCCUACUGCUAACAUGGUGCAGAGGUACCCACAGAACAAGAACAAAGGGAAGAACAAACCUGUUUUCAACAAGCCUACCAAGACUACUACCUUCAAGAAGAAGAAGUUCAACAAGGCUGAGCUAGAGUGCUACGCCUGUGGGAAGCCUGGACACUUUUCCAAGGAAUGCCCUGAACAUGCAGACCGCAGAGGGAAAAUAAGCUCCAAGACUGUCAACAUGGUGACCGCUAGCAAUACUGAUGGGUAUGGUAAUUUACCUAUUGUGCUUUCAGUAUUUCAAUCAUCUUCGUGGUGGAUUGAUUCGGGUGCUAACGUUCAUGUGUGUGCUGACAUCUCCCUAUUUACUUCUUAUCAGGUCGCAAGGGAUUCUUCCGUCCUAAUGGGGAAUGGGUCACAUGCUUCGGGAAAGAUCGUGCAACUAAGGAACGUGCAGCAUGUCCCUACUAUGAACAAGAAUCUAGUUAGCGUCUCCCUUCUAUGUCGAGAUGGAUUUAAGGUAGUUUUAGAGUCCAAUAAAGUAAUCGUGUCAAGAUUUGGACAAUUUAUAGGAAAAGGCUACGAGUGUGGAGGCUUGUUCCGCUUUUCUCUUUCAGAUUUUUGCAAUAAGUCAAUAAACCAAAUUUGUGCUAGUGAUAAUGAUGAUGCAAGUAUUUGGCACUCUCGUUUAUGUCAUAUUAAUUUUGGUUUAAUGUCUCGGCUAUCCAGCAUGAGUUUAAUUCCGAACUUCAGAGUUGCCAAAGGUUCUAAGUGCCAUAGUUGUGUGCAAUCUAUGCAACCUCGAAAGCCUCAUAAGGCCGCCGAGGAGAGAAACUUGGCACCUCAAGAACUCAUACAUUCUGAUCUUUGUGAGAUGAAUGGUGUGUUGACAAAAGGUGGAAAGAGAUAUUUCAUGACUUUGAUUGAUGAUGCGACUAGAUUUUGCUAUGUUUAUUUGUUGCAAACUAAAGAUGAAGCAUUAGACUACUUUAAAAUCUAUAAAGCUGAAGUUGAAAAUCAACUAGAGAGAAAGAUCAAGCGUCUUAGGUCCGAUCAUGGUGGAGAGUAUUUUCCAAAAGUUUUUGAUGAAUUUUGUGAGGAACAUGGUAUUAUUCAUGAGAGGACGCCUCCCUAUUCACCUCAAUCAAAUGGAGUGGCCGAGAGGAAAAACCGCACAUUGACUAACUUGGUGAAUGCCAUGUUAGACACUGCUGGUUUAUCUAAGGCAUGGUGGGGGGAGGCUCUAUUGACUUCAUGUCAUGUCCUGAAUAGAGUUCCCAACAAUAAUAAGGAGAAAACCCCUUAUGAGGAGUGGGUUGGGAGAAAACCAUCACUUUCUUAUUUGCGCACUUGGGGAUGUUUGGCAAAGGUCAAUAUUCCUAUUCCUAAGAAACGCAAACUUGGACCAAAGACAGUGGAUUGUGUCUUUCUAGGGUAUGCUCAACGGAGCAUUGCUUAUAGGGUUUUAGUGGUAAAAUCUGAAGUUCCUGAUAUGCAUGUUGAUACUAUAAUGGAAUCUCGUGAUGCAACAUUUUUUGAGAACAUAUUUCCUAUGAAAGAUAUGCAUAGCAUUGCUAGAUUUUCUUCUGAGAUAAUUCCUGUAUCUAGUACAACUGAUGAAUAUUUCGAACAAUCACAUGAGGAAGUCCUUGAGAAGGAUAACAAUGAAGUUCCUAGAAGGAACAAGAGACAAAGGAUUGCAAAAUCCUUUGGUGAUGAUUUCAUUGUAUACCUUGUGGACGACACACCCAAGACGAUUGCAGAAGCAUAUGCAUCUCCGGAUGUAGAUGAUUGGAAAGAAGCUGUUCAUAAUGAGAUGGACUCAAUUAUUUCUAAUGGAACUUGGGAACUAACUGAUAGACCAUAUGGUUGUAAACCUGUGGGCUGUAAGUGGGUGUUCAAAAAGAAGCUCAAGCCUGAUGGUACUAUUGAUAAGUACAAGGCGCGGCUAGUGGCCAAGGGCUACACUCAGAAAGAAGGCGAAGAUUACUUUGACACCUAUUCACCCGUUGCUAGAAUGACCACCAUUCGAGUGUUACUUUCCUUGGCUGCCUCUUAUGGUCUUAUCAUUCAUCAAAUGGAUGUAAAGACAGCUUUUCUCAAUGGAGAGUUGGAAGAGGAGAUCUAUAUGGAUCAGCCUGACGGGUUUGUGGUUAAGGGUGAAGAGAGAAAGGUGUGCAAGUUGUUAAAAUCUUUGUAUGGUCUGAAACAGGCACCUAAGCAAUGGCAUGAGAAGUUUGAAAGAACUCUGACUUCUGCAGGAUUUGUCAUUAACGAGGCUGAUAGGUGUGUUUACUAUCGCCAUGGUGGGGGCAAUAGUGUCAUAUUAUGUUUGUAUGUGGACGACAUACUGAUCUUUGGUACAAACAUUAAUGCAAUUAAUGAGGUCAAGUCUUUUCUAUCAAAAAGUUUUGACAUGAAAGAUCUGGGAGAAGCCGAUGUAAUUCUAAACAUCAAACUUAUUAAGGAUGAGAGUGGGAUUACAUUAACGCAAUCUCACUAUGUUGAGAAGGUCUUGAACCGAUUCGGUUUUAUGGAUAGCAAGCCUUCUCCAACACCUUAUGAUCCCAGCGUGACACUCAGAAAGAACAAGAAAGAAACGAGAGAUCAAUUAAGAUACUCUCAAAUUGUCGGUUCACUCAUGUACUUAGCUAGCGCUACAAGACCAGAUAUCUCUUUUGCUGUGAGCAAACUGAGUAGGUUCAUGUCCAACCCGGGUGAUGAUCAUUGGCAUGCACUAGAAAGGGUCUUACGCUAUCUGAGAGGUACUAUGAGUUACGGAAUUACUUAUUCAGGGCAUCCUGCUGUGCUAGAAGGAUAUAGUGAUUCAAAUUGGAUCUCCGAUGUUGAUGUACUUUACGCAACAAGUGGGUAUGUAUUUACUCAUGGUGGUGGCGCAGUGUCAUGGAGGUCUUGCAAGCAAACCAUAUUGACGAGGUCAACUAUGGAAGCAGAAUUAACUGCUUUGGACACAGCUACUGUUGAGGCAGAAUGGCUGCGUGAGCUCUUGAUGGACUUGCCGAUUGUUGAAAAACCUGUACCGGCUAUUCUUAUGAAUUGUGAUAACCAAACGGUUAUCGCUAAAGUGAACAAUUCUAAAGAUAAUGCAAAGUCAUCAAGACACGUGAAAAGACGUUUGAAGUCUGUCAGGAAGUUGAGAAACUCCGGAGUAAUAACUGUUACAUAUAUACAAACAGACAAAAACCUGGCAGAUCCCUUUACAAAGGGACUAUCACGAAAUGUGAUAGAUAUUGCAUCGAGGGAGAUGGGUAUGAGACCCAUAGAUGUUACACCAUAGUACUAACCCAACCUUUGUGAUCGGAGAUCCCGUGAAUUAGGAUCUGGGAAGAACAAGCUAUUGGUUAACUGAGGAGAGUAAUAACUUAUGAUCGUCUCCAAGUGAAGAUGCAAAACUCUCAGAGCUGUAAAGCUCAGAUCUGUAAGGCAGGUUGGCAACAUGCCUUAAUGUGGUUCUAUUGGCUAUAAUUAGCAAAGAUGCUGUCCUACAGAGCAGUCUUGAAAGAACACACCUAUAUGAGUUCUGACUGUAAACGUCGCAGUCUAUGAGAUUUGGGUGAUCUCUAGUAAGCUCACGAAGAGACAAGGGAGUAUGACGUAUAAGCUCCAAACCGCGGGGUAGCCUACUGACGUAUAAGCUUCCUUUUGCCGUUUUAUUUUUAUGUCUUGGCAUACAAGUUUUUUAUUACUUGUCCGGUAAGUAUACGAAUUAGAAACCGAGUCGGUUUGGGAUUGUGGUCGCGACACAAUACCGCCUCUGGUCCUAAUAUAUAUACAGCUACCGGCUGCGGCCAGAGACACACCGAAAAACACCUAGGGUUUUGCCUCAUCUCACAACUUGCGCCGCCAUCGUAGUCUACUCCAUCCCAACGCCGGCGUGCAUCGGCGCGUGGGAGAGCAGGUCUCCGGAACCGUUCGUCUUUGCGAUCCUGCACCGGGAGAGGACGAAUUAGGUUUUUGGGAAGCGCUGUGCGCGACUGCUCAAAUUCGUCAUCACGGGUCGUCUUCCGUCCAAGUCGGGCGGUGCUACUCAUCGUCGUAUUCAUCGCCGUCAGCAGCAGAUCAUCGCCAAUAUCGUCAUCAACACUGUCGCACCCAUAUAGCUAACGAUCAUUACGUCCGACAUCCUCUGUUCAUGUCUGCUUCUACAGCUAUUGUUACGUGUUUGUUGUUGUUAUGCAUGUCUUGCUGUUCUUCUAGUUUGCUAGAUUAUUGCAUGCUAGUAUCUCUUCUAGUCAUGAAUUAUUUACUGGAAUUAAUCAUGAACUUGCCUAAUAUUCCCACAGACGCAAUAAUUGUUUUCGGGAUUUUGAAUAAAUCAGAAAAUGAUUUGUUUAAUUCCGAAAAUACUCCAAAAUUUGGAAAAUCAUGGAAAAUAAUCUGUAACUCAGAUGGAGAUAAUUUAUAUAUGAAAAAUUAUCAGGAAAAUAUGAAGAAUCUAUUUAUAGCAUUUUCAUGUAUGUUUGAACAAGUUAAGUUUUCUGUAUAAGACAAUUUGAAUAAAUGUCAUUUUAAAUUCUUAUGUGGAGUUUGAAUUUGAACCUUUGGUUCAAACCAACUUUAUUUAAAUUGUUGCUAGUUGCAUUAGUCCAAACACCAGCAUGCCAUGUCAUGAUCAUGCAUCAUACUGCUGCAUUGCAUUGAUUGUGUUCCCUCUCUGUUGCCGGUGUUUGUUCCUUCUCGAUAGAAGACGAUUCGGACGUUGUGAUCAUUGACACCGAUGAAGAGCUACUAUCUUCAAAGUGUCAGGCAAGCAAAUCCCCUUUGAGCAUUCUGAUACAAUCCCACUCUCUAACUCUUGCUCUCUUUUACUGCAUUAGGACAACAAUGAUUCAACUGUUACAUGUUGUGGUAGUUGAACCCAUUCCUCUGCAUGAUCUGUCUUUGCCACAGUAAAUAGUAAAACCCACUAGCAUGAGUAGGAGUAUUUUGAGCCAUGAUGUGCCUACUCAUUCAUGCUUGCUUGUUAUACCUGCUAUGCUUAGAGUUGUGUCAGGUUUGAUUCAUCUGGGUUGGCUUGGAAUGGUGAUGAACAUGUCCUACUGCUGAGCUCUAAGUGUGUGAACACGAUUUGGUAAAGGUAGCGAUGAGAGGCAAUGUAGGAGUACAUGGUGGGUUGUCUCGUUGAAAUCGUCCUUAGGAACUGAGUUCCGUGUUUGUGAUCCAAGACAGUUACUACCACACAUCGGGUUUCGAUAACUUGACCCCUCUCGACUUACUAAUCGCCUUGAUCUCUAUCUAGGAGUUGUAACUAGUUUCUGGUGUUUGUAGGAUGUGCUGGGGGCUGUACCUAGCGCUGACCGGAGGGGUAGGCUUUGUUACGGUAGGCACCAUGGCACGGUGUAUCAAGCGCAGUACUAUUGGUCGAGGUGGACAUGGGAAUCCUGCACACAUCGUUUGACGCCGUGAUGGAAACUUCGGCCGAACAUCCGUUACGGGUCAGUUCUCAGAUAGGCGAUAAACCUAGACUAGAGUCUUGCGUGGUUAGUCAGGUUGUGGCUGACACCCUCGCUAGGCUUCCGCUUGAAGGUUUCCGAGAUACAUGACGUGUAUAUGGUGUUAAGUGGUGAGAGCGUGUGUGAAGAAAUACACCCCUGCAGGGUAAUAUAAUCUAUUCGGAUAGCCGCGUCCUCGGAUAUGGACUACUUGGAAAGCUUGUAUGGUCCAUAGAUAACCUGAAGUGGAUACUCUAAAUGCGCAAAAUAAGUGUGAGUGCUAUGGAUGGCCUUCUCAUGGGGAGACGGGAGCGGAUCCAUAGUGGUGUAUUGAUAUGGUGAAUAUGUGGACUCACGUGCGCUUUCUCACCUCAAAGAAGUUAUUGGUAGUCAUAGUACAUGAAAGCCACUGAGUCAAAGCUGGCUUGCUGUAGUUAAACUCCACAACCCCAUUGUUGAUACUGAUGCAUAAGUAGAUAGUUCUGAUGUAAGUCUUGCUGAGUACAUUUGUACUCACGUUUGCUUAAUUGAUGUUUUUGCAGAGGAGAUUUCAAUCUCGCUAGUAGUUUCACAUGGGCUUUGACGGUUAGCUUGGGAAUCCCAGACAGAGGUAUGGCUCCUAUGGAGGGUAUUGUAGACAGACAUGCUUCCUAGCCUUCUUUCUUUUCAGCUGUCUAUAUUCAGACAGGUUUAUGCUUCCGCUUGUUGCUUGUAUGACUUUGUAUGUUGGGUCAUGAGACCAAUGUUCGUAAUAUCAUGUUAUGUGUGGCUCUUCAGAGCCUCUUAAAUAAAUACUUGAGUCGUAGAGUUAUAUUGUGACGACAUGUUGUAUCCACACAUAUUUGCAUGUUCUACAUACAUAUGAUGUGUGUUGCAAUGUGUUGGGUCACGAUAAAUCUUCUAUUGGAUUGCUUGAAUCUUUUGAUCUUUUGGUCCAACAAAAUUAUACUGUAAUAAUUAGGUCCAACAGAACAAAUCAGAAAACUUUGCUUGUACCAGACAUGGUUAGGUCCAAUAGAACAAAUGAAUCAUCUCUUCUUGGAGGAUUGUUUAAUUUAUCUUAGAUGUACCAAAAAUGAUCAUUGUGUUGGUCACCAGGAAGCAUCACAAGAUAAUUUAACAUCCAACAUGAAAGAACAUAGAUCUCAAUUCAAACAUCAUGCAAUAACUAACAGACUUCUCAAGUGUAAAUGGAAUCAUCACCACUAUAGCAGCUAUAUUUUGAACACCACGGAAACUCCAAUUUGAAACUGCAUCCUCAUUAAUAGAAACUGGAAAUUAGCUUGUCUAGUUCCAGUUUGAUUUGUUCAUCAACUAAAGAGUUAUAGUUUAAAUGACAAAUUUCACAUCCAAACUACAUAUCACAUCACAAAUUUAGGGUAAUUCAUACAUAGUAUAAAUAUAGGUAGCAUAGUACAGAAGAUCAGUUCCCAUCAAUCAAAUAUAGCAAUAGUCUUUGCAACAAAAUAUAUAAUAUAGACUUUCUUCUUGAGCUCAGCCACUUAGAUCAAUGACAUCAUCCUCUUCAAAAUUCCCUUUGAUAUUUUUCGGCUUGCCCUUGUGAAUUUCCCCAAUUUUAAGAAGCUCAGCUAUGACAUACUCUACCUUCUUAAUAUCUUUCCGGAUAACAUCCAUGUCCUUCAUCAUAGUCUCGAGCUCAUAUAUGUCCUUCUUCAGAACAUCCCUCUUCUUCAUCACAUCAUCCGAAGGGAAAGCUAGCUCCUUCCUAUCCUUUUUUAGGUCAAGGGUCUCCCUCAUGAUCAGAACCAUCUCCUUCUUGAGCCCAUCUUUGUCCACUUUCAGCUUAUCAUUAUCCUUCCUAGUGUUCUUGGUCACUUCUCGCUGAACAACAUGAAUGGCCUUGAGAUCACUGAUUACAUACUGCUUGUUCUCUAGCUGCUUCUGCAGGUCUAUAGAGUCCUCUGACAUCAUUUUUGGUAAUUCUCUUGCCACACCUUUUGGCAUUGCCUGACCCAGUGCUUGUUCCCAUCACUAGCAAACUCAGUGAAUUGGAAGUCCAACUACUUAAUCUUAUCUUUGAGAUUGAGCACUUCCUCUGCAGGAUCAAGCCCUUCCUGGGUUCUAGCAACCAUACACUUUUCAUAUUUUUUCCAGAGCAUGUGAAGUGCCUUUUUCAGGGCUUCGGGCCAGUCCUUCACUACUAGGGAAAACCUUAUACACAGAGGUAUAGCAGUAGCGCUGGUCAAAACAUGGCGCUAUUGCUACUUAUUAGUUGCGCUUGUUACAAAAGCACGCUACAACCAUUGUUGUAGCAGUAGCGCGUCUGCCCGGAAAAGCGCUACUACUAUAAUUCCCUCGUUGGUGCCGGUAGGCUAGGAAUAGUAGUGGCGGUUCUUCCAGAAGCACGCUACUGCUAAAAACUUUGUAGCAGCGCAUUUAUGCUGUAGAGCGCUACUGCUAUGAAAAGGAAAAUAAAUAGAAAAAUAAGUAGAAAAGUAAAUGAAAAUGAAAGAAAUAGAAAAAGGAGAAAUGAAAAAAAGAAAAUGUAAAGAAAACAAAAGAAAAAGAAAAAGAAAACAGAAAGGAAUAGCUGUAGCGCGUUUCGCUGGAAAACGCUAUAGCUAACUUAGCUAUAGCGUGUUUCGGUAAAACGCACUACUGCUAGUUUGACUUAACCCCCAGCCGCGCGGGCUCAAAAUUUUGCUAAGUCCUUCCCCCUCCACUCCCCCCUCUCCCCCAACUGCUCCAUCGCCGUUGUCGCCCUGCCGCCUUCAACCACACCGCCGCCACCCAAGGCCGUCUUCGACCACACCGCCGCCGCCCGAGGCCGCCCUCGACUUCACCGCCGCCGCCCGAGCCAGAGCCUGCCCUCGCCGUCGACCGUAAAGCUCUGCCUCUCCUUUCCCCUACCCUCCUAUCUCUCUUUGCUAGGGUAAUUCAUAUAUAUGUUGACGUUGUGUUGAUGUUCAUAUGAACCCUAGGUGUUCAUAUGAACCCUAGAUUUGUUGAGGGCAGUAGGCAUUUUUUGGCAUUUAGGAAAAAUGAUUGGCAAUUUUUUUAGGAAAUUAGCUAGGGAAAUUUUUUAUGAAAAUGCCUAAACAGUAAUUCCAUUUAGCUUUCAAUUAAUAGAGGGUAUGUAAAUAAUAGUAGCAUUUUGAUUAGAUUAAUAGACGCUAUAAACAAAAAACACUUAGAUAUAAAAAUUUAUUUGGACUAUGGACUUGAAUCUGUUCCAAAUUUCAUUCAAAUGAAAUUUGAAUUAUUUGGACUAUGGACCUGAAUCUGUUCCAAAUUUCAUUCAAAUGAAAUUUGAAUUAUUUGGACUAUGGACCUGAAUAUUUCUGAAGAAAUUGGGUGUAGGUACUAAGCUCUUGCUGCGGAAUUUUUGGUGAGGUCAGAAGGGUUAGAGAAAAUGGAGUUCCUAGACUUUUAGCUUUAGACAAAAAACAAAAGUAUUUAGCUAUAAAUAAAAAACAGUAGCUAUGGCAUUUAGCUAUAAACAAAAAACAGAAUUGUUUUUCUUUUCAAAAACUUGGUUAAACUAAUCGUUGCUAUGUAAACAAAAAACAAGAUUUUUGUUAUAUCAUAUAUGUCAUUGAUGUUCAUUUGCACAUUCCAUUAUUGUUGAUUAUAUCUUUUCAUUGAAGUGGCUAUGUUAUAUGCAAAUUCCUCAAUAGUGUUUGCUCAUGUUAUAUCUUUUCAUUGAAGUGGUUCGAUUGUGCCCAAAGUGGCUUCGUUGUUUCCAGGGAAUGAAGCCGAGUGGCCUAUGUUUUUCCGGAAUGUUGAUUCGUUUCCGUUCCGGCAAAUUUCAGGCUCUCGAUUUGUCCACUUUUUAGCAAAAGUCAUGCCGAAAUUUUCCGUGAAUUUCGGCAUGACUUGUGCUACAAACUAGGACAUAUCGAGUGCCCGGGAUUUGCCGCACAGGGAAGGAGUCAACGUUCCUGCAGAGCAUAGACCUUUUUUUAUGUCAUUAUUCAUUUUAUUAGGUCUAGAAUUAAUUGACUAAAUUUAAUCGUAGGAAACAUGGCUAGCAACGAUGAAGGACAGGGUUCUGGUGACUGCGACAACGUCUACCUGGCAGCAGAAGAAUUUUUUAUGGAAGAUGACGAUCAAGAGUUGAUGUUGCUGGGUCCACCUGUCACAUCAGAGAUUGAGACCGACAUCGAGACCGGCGCUGAGAUAGAGACUGGCACUGAGAGUGAGACCGGCAUCGAGACCGGCACUGAGACUGAGACCGGCGCCGAGACCGGCGCCGAGACUAGCGGAGCCGGUAUAGACCCGAAAGCAAAGAGGCAACUGCUUCCUAACAAGCUCAGGUCUAAUAGACUGGUGGUCACGGAGGUGGACGACGGCAAUUUUGAACCAAACGCGCCCUAGGAAGCGCGCGCGUGCUACGACAAUCAAAUAGGAUGCAUCAUACGGACAACCGCCACCAUCAAAGAUGAGAAACUAAAGAAGAUAGAUAAUAUGAGGCCCUCCCUCCUAAAGAAGUUGCACCUGAUAUUCUUGUUCCCGGGCCGGAAUGAAAAGGAUUAUAAAGAUCCAGAUAAGGACCUGGCAAUGAAGAAGAAAAACAAACACGUCAUGACCAAGUUUAGCGACGCGUUGGCCGCCUGGAAAUCAAGGGUGAAAUAUCGGAUCGUUGACAAAAAGGAACCCUACUCCGAGAUUGUAAAGGAUAAUCCGACAACCAUGGUAGAGCACUUUCAAAUAUUCAAGGCAGCUUGCGAGGCCGAAGCUGCCAAAAAAUAGUCGAAGUACAUGAAGGGGCUUCAAUAGAGGAACAUUGGGUGCCCCCACCUCGGAAGUCGUGGUUACGGCAGGAAGAGGUCCAUAUGGGCCAUGGAGGACGCGGAAGCCGCGAGUCCGGGCAUCCCAGACCCCUUGGCGGAGUUCACCGUCCCGCAGGAGCGUGACAUCCUCAGGGCCCGGCACCGUUGGGAUCCAAUGAAGAAGGUUUUCGAGACGAACGCGGUCACGGCGGAGUUCAUGUGACUGCUGGCAAUUUUAGUUUCUGAUCAAUUCGACUGCACGUUAGUCAUAUUUAUAAACGAUCCUUGUGCCAUUUGCAGAGAGAGCAGCGCAGGAUUGCGGCCGAAAGCGACUCGCCGUCUGAGGCGUUGGCGAGGCCCAAGUGGGACACUCCAUUCAACCGGGCGUUGAACAUAUUGAAAGGACUCCCGGUGGAGACUCGACUGUCGUAUGGACGCGUGCACGGUGUCGGAGAUGGCGCCACGUGGAAGAAGUACUACCGUGAGACCACGGAGGAGAGAAAGGAAAGACGGAGGUUAACUGAAGAAAACAUUGACAAGAAGGUUGAGAUUGCGGUUGAGAAGAAAUCAUCUAAGACAGUCGCAAUAGCGGUAGCUGCCGCAAAACAGGUGCUUGUACAUAUGUCUACUACCUUGGUUCCGGCCGUUUUCAAUUGGAGCAGGCAAAAUCUAGAAAAAAAUGCAGCGGAGUUUCCCCUUGCUGACUUCUUUGGGAGCAGCUCGACUAGCGUUGCACCAGCACCUGCAGCUGCACAUGCUCCCGCACCGGCUCCCGCACCGGCUCGUGCACCUGCUCCCGCACCGGCUCCCGAACCUGCUCCAGCACCGGCUCCGGCACCGGACGUGCUCGGCGGUGCUUCGUCUUUGGCUGAGCUCGACGCCCUCACGGUGUCUGUCACACCGGCCCCCAUCAAUAAAUGUAUUAUCUCCCGUUUUCGUUGCCUUUCGGAUGUCUCACGUCACAGACUUUUCUUUGCAGGCCGACGAAACCCCGUGCACCAUAUUGUACACCAUCGGCGACAAGAAGGUGGACGUGGGGAAGGCGACGAUAAUGGAGCCGAAGGAACCAUUGUUCCACAGCGGCUGAUCCCCCAGGACGUCUUCAAGGUUUCCGUGGCCAGUGUCAAACCGGGCCACGAGAAUUUGACUCCUCUGGUACUAGUGGGGGAUGACAACGAGACCCCACGGCGGCUUGGUAAUUGUUGCAAUGGGUGGGUCCUGUUGUGGCCAAAGAGUCUGCUUCGUCUGGAGGUGGCCGGGAGCACACCCACGAGCACACAGUUAGGUAUGAACAUCAACACCUCACCUACCCAAUUAGCGUCGGCUGUCGUGCUAGGUGAUAGCGGAGGGGGUGAGGAAGAGGCUCCAUUAGUCACUGGUGAUGUCGCCAUAGAUGAGGAUGAGGAUGACGAUGACACUCAACAGUAUGUCAAUACUGGUGCCUACUUAGGGUUUGAGCGUCAUGAGUCGGUGCCUGAAUUGCCGCCUCCGAAGUCUGAACGUAUUAUGGACAACCUUCCGGUAGUAAAGAAGUCUAGGAAGAGACCGAGGAAAGGCAAAAAAGCUGCUUCUAUGAUCCAGCCGCCUCAGCAGCCUCGGGUUCAAGACUGUAUAGAUAUCCCCGGUGCGGCAAAAUGGCAUAUCCAUGGUCAACCAAUCCUACCUAAAGCAGCGCUAGGGGCUAGAUUCGGCGAUUUAAGGAGACUUCAUGACGAUGUGCUGCGGAUAGAGAAAUGGCUCAUCGCCUCAAAAAAUCCAGGAUACCCACUCUACAUGGUUAACGUGCCGCGGCAAUUCUCGUACGUCGACACAUUCCCCGCGGAGAAGUUCUUCCUUCGAUUCGAUUACAUCUUCGACAUGUUUCACUUAAAGAAACUGGAUUUUACGUUUGUCCGCCUUUAUGUCUUGCACAUGAACUACCUCAUCAGGGUUGAGCAGAUACCUCAUAUCUGUGUCGCUAGCCCGUACUUCAUGCAUGAGGGCUUCUUGGGAGUCUGCGCAGAGCACCGUGAAUAAGCAAGGGAAUACAUCGCCAAUUUCAUGCUCACCAUAAGGACAAGGAGGCGAUUCUCGUGCCUUAUCAUCCCCUGUAAGUCAUCUGCGCGGAUAUCCUUCCUUUGAUUUCAAUCAUUCAUUUGCACAGUGGAGGCUAAUUAAUUUGAGGUGUACUUAUUUUUCGCAGCGGCGGGCGCGCCGUCCUCAUCAUCCUCUACCCCCGAUACUCCCACGCUCUUUACUUGGACUCGUCGAAGAACAUUAACAAAAAGGAUUACACCCACAUGAAGUCUGUUCUCGACAGUGCUAUGUUUUACUACGGCGCACGGGGUGGAGAGGUCAAGGACAAGAAGAAAAGGGACGGCAGGCCCGCCUUUGGCCAUAAGACCGACUUCUGCUGCAUCCACCAACCGAGUUAUUCUCUUAAUGAUGGAUUCUAUGUCCUACACCACAUGCUGGAGUACAGACGGGAUCACCAGAACCUUCGCAUGUCACCUAGAUCCGGCGAUGCCCAUAUUCUGCAAUGGGCAAAGAACUUAGGAGAUAUCGAGGAUCAUCGACUUCGAGCUGAGUUCUAUCACAUCCAGCGCAAACUUGCCCAAAUCAUCAUGAAGGAGGUCGUCGAAAAAACAGGGAUUUUCUAUGAAGAAGGACAAAUGUCGCGGGAAGACGUCCGAACACGCGUAGCGGCUCAGCUUCUCGACCUGAAGCCUUUCACUAAGCUUGGGGACUAUCUCCCUGACUUGGAUGCAUGGCACGACAUGUUGGAGUGAUUGUCGAUAUAUGACAAUGUGUCUGUUUAGUCCAUACUAUCUGUAUCACGAAACUCUGAGUUAUGCAUGACGAAACUUUAUUUGUUAUGUAAUUAAACCGUCCUCCUCGACUAGUGAAGAUCACUCUAGUUAGGGCUUUUUGGGUACGAUGAAUUUUGUUAUAUAUGCUUAUGGUAUGUUGCUUCUAUUUUUGCCAAGUCUGUCUCUUUCUGUUGCUCAACUAUAUAUGUUGCAUAUCAUCGACUCAUGUGACGAUGCAGGUGUAUAGAUCAUCGAUGGCGAAGAAGUGCUACGCCAGGAGUAUACGACGAGUGGCCGGAAUGUCAGGCCCAGGUGUACCGGUUUCCGGUUUCCGAGCGACAGCCAGUAGUUAGUUUAGGUUCACGCUAAUGCGAGAGAGGGAUACGAACUCAUGUACUGCAUAGUUCCGCUCUCACUCAAAGUGAUAGCUCUUCUCGCGUAUAUCAUUGUUUAGAUGGAUGACGACGUAGUUGCAAGUAAUCGAGACUUGUAUCGCUAUUUUUGAGAUGAUGACGAGAGACCACUUGUUGUUGGAUGAUGAUUAUGAUGAUGGCAUGAUUUGAUGAGACUAUUUGUAUGUAUAUGCUAUGAUUACAUUUGUAUGUGUAUGAUAUGCUAAAGAUUAUUGUAUAAAGCCUAUUCAAAUACAAAACAAAUAUGCAUAAAAAAAUAAAAACUAAUAAAACUAGCAGUAGCGAGGGGAACAAAGUUAGCAGUAGCGCUCCCUUACCAGUAGCGCUUCGUGCUAAAAAGCGCUGCAGAUAUUAGCAGCAGCGCUCUGCACUAAAGCGCGCUACUGCUAGCCAUGUAUAGCAGUAGCAUGGGAUGACAGGUGCUACUGCUACACGUUAGCUGUAGCGCCUUAUCAGUAGCACGUCGUCCCGAGCUACUGAUAGGCAAAAUACCCGCGCUACUGCUAGGGUUUUCCGUAGUAGUGCUUGUCAACCCAAUGAAUAAAUCUACCGUUUCCUAGUUGCAAUAAGAAACAAUUAGCAUUUAAUUAAUGGACACACAUUAGUCAAUAUAUUUUGAAAUGAGCAAAGUAUAGCAUAACUAGAUGAAAACCAAAUAUAGCAUAAGUGAGCUAGAAUGUUCCACAAACACGACAUGUCACAACUAAGUUACAAUGUUCUACCAACACAGCUUAGCAGCCAAACAAAACAUAGCUAUAAGACAUCCAAAUAUAGCACAAUAUAGUUGAAUUGUUCCACAAAAGUUGUGCAUGGGAUAACUGAAAUAUACAAUGGGUAUUGUCACAGAACACUAACUCUAGUUUAUACCAUUUACAUAUACUUUUUCCAGACAACCAUCACUUACUGAACAAGCAUCCCAUCAUUAGAGUCUGAGAAGAAAUGCAGCCUUCUCAGGGCGUCGAGAUCUGGGCCGUUGGAUUAAGCUUUCAAAAGAAUUGCGACCAUCAGAUCUUCAGAUGGAUCGAUCCGGGCCGUCGGAUCAUAGCAAACACUGCUACAGUGAAUAGUGUUGUUUCUUUUUUAUUUUGGUCUAUUAUUACUAUCUCGCUGACUGAUGGGCCACGCGGUAAGUGGUCCAUUGCUGUUAGUGAGAGCAGAGCACUAAGCGGUCGGUGCUGGUUCGUACAGGCUCAGGGGUCAGGCCAACGCCUGUGAAAUUGGGUAGCCGCUGAGGGCAAAUUCAACAUUUCACGUCAUCGCCCCUGCGUGACGCUCCGUGGAUGGCUAGUCAGCAAGUAAUGGCGAGGGAGCGACCCAUUGGCUAGAAACCUAGCCGCCUCUUCCCCGUCGUGUUCCUAUCUGUGUCGUUUGAGCUGCGGUCGCCAUCGAGGACGUGUCACUCGCACCGCCACUUCCCUGUCGAGCUCAUGCGUCCACUAGCCACACCGUCUCUUUUCCAUGCCUGCUCAUCCUCCGUUCCUCUUCGAUCACCGAGCUCGCCGUCGCUAUCGUCGGGAGGAAGCGAUUGGUGGACCUAGCCCACCGCCAUCAACGGGUGGAGCGCAGGAACCCGCGAUGCCCCUCCAGCGACCAGCACUUAUCCCUCGCCCAGCGACGAGGCCCCAUCGAACUCGCGUGUGGUCGCAGCUGGGAAUCCUCCUGUCCGCUCCUUGCUCCCCGCCGAGAGCCUUGAUUGGAUCUGGAUCCUGAGCUCUCCGUGCCCGCAUCGCCCCACCAUUCAUGGUGCACCACCAGCACGAGCUGCACAUCAUCAUGUCGUCAGAGGGAGAGCGGGAGGAAGUUGGCGCUGUUUAUCCCCACGAGGUGUGCCGUCGACGGUAGGAAGCCAGGCAGGGCGACGGGGAAAUACCGACGUAGUUCAAGCCGCAUCAAAAGGAAUUUCUGGCGCAGUUGCCAGGGAGACAUCAUCAACAUCUAUGAGGUUCCUAAUCACAAAUCCCAUCUCCUUGCAAUUUACAUUAUUUGCCAUUUGCCUCUCGUUUUCAUCUCCCCCACUUCACAAAAAAUUGCCGUUUUAUUCGCCCUCUUUUUCGUUUGCCUUUUUCUGGUUCGAUCUUAUGUUUGUUUGUGUCUCCAUGUGCCUUCUAUUUUGCUUGCAUCUUUUCUUGCUAAAACCUAUUGUUAUGGAUCCACUCAAAGUUUUGUACCUGGAUCUUGUUCGACCCAUAUGUGCUCGUGCUGAAACCCCAACUAGUUUAGUUGAGGGAAAAUCAUUAGAUGAGCAUGCUCUUUUUGCCCGUCAUCGUUUGUCUGAAAAAGGGAAGCUCUUAUGGAAUCAAAUAAAUUGUUUGCUAUGAUAUGCUUGGAAUCAUUAUGAAAUUUGUGAUUUUACUUGUUGCUCUAAGAACCCCAAAAAACACUUCCCCUAUCUAUGUGAGUUUAAUGACAAUGAAGUCUUAUGUUCUUAUGCCAAGGAGGUUUAUAGUUACUAUGAUAUCGAACAAAUUGAACAAUUUGUUGCUUUUAAGGGUGCUUAGAAGUUGCUUAUUUGAUUGAAAAGUAUGAUAUUACUCUCUACAAAUCUGAAAAUUUUGACAUACUUAAAUAUUGCUAUGAAAACUAUGCUCAUAAUGCCUAUGUUAAAGAAUUUAUUGAGAGAAUGUCCUAUGCUUUGAAAGAAAAUAGUGAUAUGCAUGAAGCUAUGGAUAACCAUGAUUCCGUUGAUUUGAUUGAAUUAUCCCCUCUUGAUGAACACGUUGCUAGCUAUUCUUGUGGCCAUGAUGCCAAUAUUAAUGAUGCUUAUGAAGAUGAACUUGCUAUAGUUCUUUAUGUUAAACAUGAAAUUAUUGCUAUUGCACGCACGCUGGAUAGCUCCUUUAAUGAAAAGCAUGAUUGCAAUGAUAUUAUUAUAGAUUCUAUUAAUCUCAAGUUUGUUAGUGAUAUGCAAAACCCCAAGCUUGGGGAUGCUUGUUUUGUUAUGUCCGCUACUUAUUGCAAUGAUCAUGAUUGGGGUGAUGAUGACUUUUAUGAUCUUGAUAGUCUAUUUAAGCCUCAUGAUGAAUAUGUUUGCAAUAAUAUUAAAAGUGGGUUUGGAAGAGUGUCAAAUAUUGAUAAAAAUAAUCCCACAAAUUUGGAGAGUGUUCAAUCUUAUGAUUUUUUUAUAAAAGUGGGCUUGGAAAGGUCAUGACUUUAUUUUAUGGUAAUCCCACUAUUUUGGAAGAGUGUCAACUUUGCAUGCAUGUGGAUCAUGUAGAGAAUAUGUUAUGUGAUAUCUAUAUUAUUGAAUUUGAACAUGAUUCCACAUGUAAUUGUUAUGAGAGAGGGAAAUAUGGUUGUAGAAAUUUCUUGCUACUAAGUCACCUCUCGUUAUGUUGAAUUGUCAAAGUUUUAUUUGUUUCCUAUGUAUAUGCUAGAUAUUUCUUGUUUUGAUAAUUUGUUUGCCUGUAAAAUUCCUAUACAUAGGAAAUAUGUUAGACUUAAAUGUGUUUAUCACAUGUUUUAUGAUCCUCUCUUUGUGUUUCAAUUAUUAUCUUUCAUGUGAGCAUCAUUGAAAUCGCAAAGCCUAUCUUAAUGGCUAUAAAGAAAGAGCUUGUUGGGAGGCAACCCAACGAAUAAAUUUUAUGUUUGCCUUUUUGUUUCUGUACAAUUAUGCCUCUGUUAUGAUUAUGUUUUUUAUGUUUUAAUUAGUGUUUGUGCGAAGCAAAGCCUUUUAGGAUCAUGUUGGGUGAUAGUUGAUUUGAUCUUGCUGAAAAACAGAAAAUUAUGAGUCCAGUAACACAAUUAUUAAAAUUCACAGAAGCGUGAUAAAAUUCUGAUUUUUUUACAGAAGAUUAAUACAAAUAGCGUAUGUUGUCCUAAUUUUUCAGAAUUUUUGCAGUUACAUAAGUAUACGAAGUUUUCAGAUUGCUACAGACUAUUCUGUUUUUGACAGAUUAUAUUUUCUUUUUGUUGUGUGCUUAUUUUGAUGAAUAUAUGGACUUUAUUGGAGGGUAUAAGCUAUAGUAAAGUUCGAAUACAGUACAUAUAAUGCAAAAAUAAAAUAUGAAUGGGUUUGCAACAGUACUUAGACUAGUGAUUUGCUUUGUUAUACUAACGGAUCUCACGAUGGUUUUGUUGAGUUUUGUGUGAUUGAAGUUUUUCAAGUUUUGGGUGAGAUCACGAUGGAUGAAGGAAUAAGGAGUAUGAAGAGACUAAUCUCGGGGAGGCCCAUGGCACCCCAAGUUAUUAUCCAAAGAGGAACAAGCAAUUAAGAUUGGGGAUGCCCCCGAGUGGCAUCCCCUCUUUCUUCUAAUGACCAUCGGUAUUUUACUUGGAGCUAUAUUUUUAUUCGUCACAUAUCAUGAGUUUUGCUUGGAGCAUCUUGUAUUAUAUGAGUCUUUGCUUAUUUUGCUUUUUUAUUUUGUGUCAUCUAUCCUUGCUGGACACACCUAUUUGAGAGGGCCCAAAUUAUGCUAUGGAAUCUUUUUGCUUCACUUAAAUCUUUUUGAGCUAUGGAAUUGAUCUUUGUGCUUCACUUAAAUCUUUUUGAGCUAUGAAAUUGCUCUAGUGCUUCACUUAUAUCUUUUUGAGAACGGUGUGCUUUGGUAUUUUUGAAGAAAUGCUCUCAUACUUCACGUAGAUUUAUUUGAGAGUUAGUAAAUUUUUUAAGAAAUCCUCUCAUGCUUCACAUAAAUUAAUUUGAGAGAAGAAAUUUUUUAUGCUCGUGUUCUUCACUUAGAUUUGUUUGAGCUAUCAAAAGCAACAUAUGAAAUUAGUCCCAAAGUGAUAGAUAUUCAAGAGGGAUAUAAUAAAAACUUUCAUGAAGAUCGUUAGACAAAAUAAACUUGAUUCUUUGUAAUAGUUUUGCGGUAUGACGAUAUAAUAUGUGAGUCAUGUUGAUGAGUUAUUACGCUUUAGUGAGAAUAUUGAUGUUAAGGUUUGUGAUUCUCUAUGUAAGCACGAAAGUCAAUAGUUAUGCAAUGAAAUUACAUCCUACUUGUCGUGCAUUAUUCGGUGUUAGUUCUGCUUAAUUCUUGCUUAUGAGAUUUUUUGUUUCUUGGUUGGAUGCUUCUCAAUAUUUUGCUAGCCUUCAAUUGUACUAAGUGGGAUUACUACUUGUGCAUCCAAAAUCCUUGAACCCAGUUUUUGCCAUAUGAGUCCACUAUACCUACCUAUAUGCGGUAUUCAUUUGCCGUUCUAAGAAAAUUUGUAUGUGCCAUCUCUAAUCUUCAAAAUAACUUCCUUUUUGUGUGCUCGUACCGCUCAUGAAACGGUAGGGGGUGGCUGAUAUUUUUCCAUGCUAGAUGUGUUAUUCUCAAGAUGAGUGUUUAUUCACUUGUCACUGCACGAGAGUAUGGCAAAGUUAUUAGGGAUGCCCAGUCCUGAAAUGAAAAAUGAAUUUACUUUAUGUUGUCAAAUAAUAAACUCCUUGGAAAGUGUUGGUAUGGACGGUACCCGUGGAUUCGGUUCGCCGUGGAAUGUGAAAGUAUGGUGGAAAAAGGAAUAAACUUUAUUUUCUGUUUGGGAACCACCUAUGAUAUAUCUAGCAUGGAAAGUAUUGGGAACUACUCGAUCGUUUUCAUUGACAGGAAAGGCAUGCCACCCAAAAUGUCUUAUCUCUAUCUUUUUCCGCUUUUAGCUCUGGCACCUCUACAAAUCCCUACUUCCCUCUGCGAAGGGCCUGUCUAUUUACUUUAUGAAAUUUUUAUUUUUAUUUCAAGUCUCCAUCUUCUCUUACAAAGCACCAACUAAGGGGCACUACGAUCGUACCAUAGCAUUGGGUGUAGCUAAUAUGCGAGUGUGUUUCAUGAAUGGAUCAAUGAUUGAGCAUAAUGGGCUAGGGAUAAAUUGCUUUAGUGUUGAUAUUUUGAAAGACAUGGUUGCUUGUUGAUAUGCUUGAGUAUUGAAAUCUUCAUAUCAACACUAGACUAUUCCUUUGAAUCAUAUAAAAGUCCAAAUGUCCAUGCUACAAAAGAAAAAGAAUAUGUGAUGAACAUGAUAGGCAACAUUCCACAUCAAAAAUUCUAUUUUUAUCAUUUACCUACUCGAGGAGGAGCAGGAAUUAAGCUUGGGGAUGCUGAUACGUCUCCAACGCAUCUAUAAUUUUUCAUUGUCCCAUGUUGUUAUAUUAUCAUUUUUGGAUGUUUUACAAUCAUUUUAUAACAACUUUAUAUCUUUUUUGGGACUAGCCUAUUGACAUAGUGCCUAGUGCCAGUUGCUGUUUUUUGCUUGUUUUUACACUGCAGAAAAUCAAUACCAAAUGGAGUCCAAAUGCAGCGAAACAUUUUGCAGAAUUUAUUUGGACCAGAAGACACACGAUGGGCCAAUAGAGUACUAGAGGGGGGCUCCGAGGGAAGCACAACCCACCUGGGCGCGCCCUGGUGGGUUGUGCACACAUCGGCUCGCUAUCGUGCCGCCUCUUUGCUCCAUAAAUACCCCGAAAAUCCAAAAACCCUAGGAGUCGACGAACACAAUUCCAGCUGCCGCAAGUUCCACAAAGCACAGAUCCAAUCUAAACACUGAUACGUCUCCAAUGUAUCUAUAAGUUUUUAUUAUUCCACGCUAUUAUAUUAUCUGUUUUGGAUGUUUUAUAUGCAUUAAUAUGCUAUUUUAUAUUAUUUUUGGGACUAACCUAUUAACCUAGAACCCAGUGCUAGUUCCUGUUUUUUCUUGUUUUAGAGUUUCGCAGAAAAGGAAUAUCAAACAGAGUCCAAACGGAAUGAAACUUUGGCGAUGAUUUAUCUUUGACCAGACGAUAACCAGAGGACUUGGAGUACACGUCAAGGAAGCCACAAGGAAUCCCAAGGGGGUAGGGCGGGCCCCCCACCCUUGCGGACCCCUAGUGACACCACCGACCAAUUUCUUCCGCCUAUAUAUUCUCAAAUACCCCAAAACCUUCUAGGAGAGCCACGAAACCACUUUUCCACCGCUGCAACCUUCUGUACCCGUGAGAUCCCAUCUAGGGGCCUUUUCCGGCAUCCUGCCAGACGGGGACUCGAUCACGGAGCGCUCCUACAUCAACAUUGCCUCUCCGAUUAAGCGUGCGUAUUUUACCACAAACCUACGGGUCCAUAGCUAGUAGCUAGAUGGCUUCUUCUCUCUCUUUGAUUCUCAAUACCAUGUUCUCCUCGACGUUCUUGGAGAUCUAUUCGAUGUAAUACUUUUUUGCGGUGGGUUUGCCGAGAUCCGAUGAAUUGUGUAUUUAUGAUCAGCUUAUCUAUGAAUAUUAUUUGAAUCUCCUCUGAAUUCUUAUAUGCAUGAUUUGAUAUGUUUGCAAGUCUCUUCGAACUAUCGAUUUGGUUUUGCCACCUAGAUUUGUUUUUCUUGCAAUGGGAGAAGUGCUUAGCUUUGGGUCAAUAUUGCGGUGCUCGAUCCUAGUGAUAGAAGGGGAACCGACACGUAUUGUAUUGUUGCCAAUGAGGAUAACAAGAUGGGGUUUUCAUCAUAUUGCUUGAGUUUAUCCCGCUACAUCAUGUCAUCUUACUUAAUGUGUUACUCUUUUAUUCAUGAGCUUAAUACUCUAGAUGUAGGCAGGAGUCGGUCGAUGUGUGGAGUAAUAGUAGUAGAUGCAGGCAAGAGUCGCUCUACUUGAUACAGAUGUGGUGCCUAUAUUCAUGAUCAUUGCCUUAGAUAUCGUCAUAACUUUGCGCUUUUCUAUCAAUUGCUCGGCACUAAUUUUUUCACCCAACGUAAUAUUUUCUAUCUUAAGAGAAGCCUCUAGUGAAACCUAUGUUCCCGAGUCUAUUUUCCAUCAUAUAAUCUUCUAUUUUCCAUCAUAUAAGUUUCCGAUCUACAAUUUUAGUUUCCUAUUUACUUUCUUUGCAAUAUUUUGCAUUCCGAUCUAUAAACCAAAAAUACCAAAAAUAUUACUUUACCGUUUAUCCAUCUAUAUCAGAUCUCACUUUGCAAAUAAUUGUGAAGGGAUUGACAACCCGUUUAUCGCGUUGGGUGCAAGUUGGUGUUUGUUUGUGCAGGUAUUCGGUGGCUUGUGCAUUGUCUCCUACCGGAUCGAUACCUUGGUUCUCAAAACUGAGGGAAAUACUUACUCUACUUUGCUGCAUCACCCUUUCCUCUUCAAGGGAAAAACCAACGCAAGCUCAAGAAGUACUGGGAAGAAUUUUUGGCGCCAUUGCCGGGGAGAUCUACGCCAAGCCGAGACAUACCAAGUACCCAUCAUAAACUCUCAUCCCUCGCAUUACAUUAUUUGCCAUUCGCUUCUCGUUUUCCUCUCCCGCACCUCUCACUACUAGGAAAAGGGCUAUAGACAAUAUGCACACUAAUGGCGCACCAGACAUGCGGUGCGCCACUACUAUAUAGCGGUGGCGCACCGUGUGCUGGUGCGCCAUUAGUGUGAUAGACACUAAUGGCGCACCACAACCAUGGUGCGCCACUACUAACAAAUUUUCUUUUUCUUUUUAAAAAAAUACUAAUGGCGCACCGCAACCAUGGUGCGCCACUACUAAUUUUUUUCCUUUUUUCCAAAAAUACUAAUGGCGCUACUUGGCACAGUGCGCCAUUACUAGUUUUAACUAGUAAUGGCGCACCAGUCACCCCGUGCGCCACUACUAUCAUUUUUUUGCAAAACUACUAAUGGCGCACCGCCAGCUGGUGCGCCAUUAGUAACCAGGGUUACUAAUGGCGCAUUUGUUGGUGGUGCGCCAUUAGUAACCUGGGACCAGCUAGAUAUUUUGGACAGCCACCUACACACUCACUUUCCCCACUUCAUUCUCUCCACCUCCUCCUCCAAGCUUGUCUCGGCUGCCUCCUCCUCCUCACCUCAUUUGCACCAUAGAUUCAUCCAAAUUAAGUGGUUAAAUUACCUUUUUUGAUAGGUAAGUAAGGGGAAAGCUUUCUUUAUGUUGUAGAUCUACUUUUUUCUCCCUCCAACAACGUGCACAUGCACUUUUUAUGGCCUAGCUAGAUCUAUGUAUGUUUGUGGUGUUGCAUAUGUUUGUGGUGUUGCAUAUAUGUUUGUGUUUGCACGUACCGGUAUUUGAAAUGCGAUAGUUGCCAAUAUUUUGCCAGAAUGUUGAUUCAUUUCCGUUUCGUCAAGAAUUUUGGCACUAUGCAUUCUUUUUUGUCCUAUUUUUAGGCAAAGUCAUGCCAAAUUUUUUCUUGGUUCUAAAAUAUCGUUUUGCUCUACCCUGCAGGCGACCAUGGUCUGCACGAUGACCGAAGGCAUCGUGAAUAGGUUUUUGAGCUCCGCGAAGGCCGAGAUGCUUCAAAAGAAUGAGACGGAGAUAAGAUGUCCGUGUCGAAGAUGCAAGCUGAGGAGCCUUAUGGACCCGGAUUCCGUACAGGUGCGGGACCACCUGCUCUUGCGUGGUUUCAUGGAUGGCUAUCGGUGGCAAGGUGAUGAAGAUGAUUAUGAAGUCGUCCAUGGGGGCCGGCCGGUAAGAAAUGAGGAAGGGCAGCAAGACAACCGCGGCGAGGGCGGGCGAGAAGACGAAGAAUCUCCAGGACAUGAUCACGAAGUAGAUGCAGUACGCAGUCAUCAUGUAGAAGAUGCCGGACAUAAAGAUGAGGAAGAUGCCGGAGCAGACGAAGGGCAUGAUCAUGAAGAUGAAGAUGCCGGAGCGGACGACGAUGGACCAUCGAUGGGCUGGGUGCAGGACCCUCAUAUUCAAGAGCUGCUUCUCAAGCAGACGGAUAACGCAAGAGCUGCCGCCCGAGAGAAAGCCAAGCUGGAUCAACUGGAGAUAGACGCGGUUACUCCAUUGUAUGAAGGAUGCAGGCCCGAGGAUACCCGCCUGAAAGUAACGCUCAUGGCUCUGGAGAUGAAGGUAAAACACAAAAUGACCGACGCAUGCUUCGACGAGAACAUGUCAUUCUGGCACGAACGUCUUCCCAAGGGGAACAAGUGCCCGACCAGUUUUGAGGAGGCGAAGAAAAUCGUGUGUCCUCUGGAUUUACCGCACGUGAAAUACCAUGUGUGCAUGAACAAUUGCAUCAUUUAUCGGGACGAGCACGCGGAGUCUACCAUAUGUCCGGUGUGCGGCGUCACUCGAUACAAGAAGAGGAAGAAAGCUCCUCGAAAAGCGGUGUGGUACUUUCCGAUCGCUCCUCGUGUGCAGCGGUAUUUCGCGGACCCUAAGGUAGCAAAGCUCUUGCGUUGGCACGCGGAUAGGGAGGAGAAGAAGCGAGAAGAUGACGCAAAUGAUCCGGAGAUAAAUAAAAAAGACAAGAUGCUGAGUCACCCUAAGGAUGGGAGCCAGUGGCAAGCGUUGAACUUCGAACACCCAGAAUUUGGGAACGAUCCAAGGAACAUCGUGCUGGGCGCGAGCACCGAUGGAGUCAAUCCGUUUGGCAGCCAGAGAAGCACACAUAGCACCUGGCCUGUGUUUGUGGAUGUACAACCUUCCCCGCUGGUUGUGCAUGAAGAGGAAGUACAUUCACAUGAGUAUGCUAAUUGAAGGGCCGAAACAACCAGGGAACGACAUCAAUCUGUAUCUGGGGCUGCUGAAAGAGGAGCUAGACACGCUGUGGAAAACGCCAGCCAAUACGUGGGACACCGCAGAGAAAGAAUAUUUCCCUAUGAGAGCCGCUCUGCUCACGACGGUGCACGACUAUCUCGAUUACGGAUAUGUCGCGGGGCAGGUGGUCCACGGAUUUUCUGGAUGCGUCAGGUGCAUGGAUGACACAACAUAUCGCCAGCUAGAUAGAGAUCUCAGGUCUUCGAAAACCGUGUUCAUGGGACAUCGAAGGUGGCUUCGCGACGAUGACUCAUGGAGGAAACGCAAGGAUCUGUUCGAUGGUGAAACCGAAACCCGAAGACGCCCGCGUACGAGGAGCGACAAGGAAAUAGACGAGUUGUUGAAAAAUUGGAAAGAUUGCCCACUGCCGGGAAAGAAGCAAAAGGCACCAGAGCCGGAAAAGAAGCGAAAGGCGCAAGAGCCGCUGCUGAAGGUAUGGAAAAUGAGGUCUGUUUUCUGGGACUUGCUGUACUGGAAGAUCCACCGUGUGCCUCACAGCCUUGAUGUCAUGCAUAUCACGAAGAACGUGUGCGAGAGUCUGCUUGGUACCCUGCUCAACAUGCCGGAGAGGACCAAAGAUGGGCCGAAAGCAAGGGCAGACUUGAAAUCAAUGGGCAUCAGGGAGGAGCUUCACGCUAAUGAUGAUGAUGAUGAGGCGAAGCAGGACACGGAAAGUCGUCGCAAAGGCAAAAAGGCCAAGAAGACCGAAAAUGACUUCCCUCCCGCGUGCUUCACUCUAAGUCAGGAGGAGAUCGAUCAGUUUUUCACCUGCCUCGUAGGAGUAAAACUUCCUUACGGUUACGCGGGGAAGAUAAGCAGAUACCUAGACUCAGCGAAGCAGAAGUUCAGCGGGAUGAAGUCUCAUGACUGUCACGUGCUGAUGACGCAGAUACUUCCAGUUGCAAUCCGUGGGAUCAUGGACGCGCACGUCCGUGAAACGCUAUUUGGCCUAUGCAACUUUUUCGACGUCAUCUCUCGGAAGUCGGUUGGUGUGAGGCAACUCAGAAGGCUACAUGAAGAGAUCGUAGUGAUACUAUGCGAGCUUGAGAUGUACUUCCCGCCCGCAUUCUUCGACGUUAUGGUGCAUCUGCUGGUCCAUAUCGUGGAGGAUAUCAUCCAACUCGGGCCGACGUUCCUGCACAGCAUGAUGCCGUUCGAAAGGAUGAAUGGUGUCAUCAAAGGAUACGUUCGCAACAUGUCACGUCCAGUGGGAAGCAUAGCCAGGGGCUUUCUGACCGAAGAGUGCAUCUCCUACUGCACGAAUUAUCUAGGCAUCGAGAACCCCGUUGGUCUGCCCGCCAACAGGCACCUCGGCAGGCUCGCUGGAUGGGGUCAUCGUGAGGGUUGCCGCGAAAUGCAUGUCGAUUUCGAGGGUCGACUCGCCGACUUUGAAAGAGCAAACCUAGUCGCGCUACAACACAUAGACGUGGUCGAUCCUUGGGUGGUAGAGCACAAAACCUUUAUUGAGAAGACGUACAAUGACCGAGACCAACAGAGGACGGACGGAGAUAUAAUCAAAGAGCACAACUCAUAUUUCACGCGUUGGUUCAAGCAGCAUGAGGAUUCUUCCGCGGAAGAACAACUCAAAUUCGCCUUGUCACAGGGCGCCGAGCACAACCUGAUGACGUAUGAGGCGUACAAUAUCAACGGCUACACAUUCUACACCGAGGGAAAGGACAUGAAGAGCGAUGGUUAUCAGAACUCUGGGGUAACGAUGGAAUCCUACACCGGUAACGAUAAGGACAGAUACUACGGAAGGAUCGAGGAGAUCUGGGAGCUGAGCUAUGCUGGAGAGAAGGUCCCGAUGUUCCGUGUCAGAUGGGCCAAGAGCGUCCUAAAAGAAGACCGGUAUUUCACCACCAUGGUUAUACCCGAAGCCAAAUCCAAGACCGCGGGCGCAAACGACACCGUGAAAAAUGAGCCAUGGGUACUGGCUUCCCAAGUGGACCAAUGCUUCUUCAUUACCGACCCGUCAAAGCCCAGUCGUGUUGUCGUGAGGAGAGGCAAAAGGAAGAUCAUCGAAAUGGAUGGAGUCGCCAAUGAGCAAGACUUCGACAAGUACGGCGACCCGAAGAUGGAACAUGACGACGAUGAUGAAGUACCAGCAUACACCACAAGAAGAAGCAGGACCACCCUACCUAAAGGACGUCCGUUCAAGAGAAGAACUCCAUUUACGAAAAAUAAGGGCAAGAAGAUUGUGAACAGAUAGCUAGCUAAGAUCGAUUGUAUUUAAAUUGUAGCCUUCAUUUCUCGAUUGUAUUUCAUGGGCACUUUUUGAACUCAUGAAUAUUUUUAAAUUUCAUGGGCACUUUUUGAAUUCAUGAAUAUUUUUUCAAAUUUCACCGCCGCCGCCGCCGACCCCCCGCACCCUCCCCCGCUCCACCGCCACCGACGACCCACCGCACCCUCCCCCGCUCCACCGCCNNNNNNNNNNNNNNNNNNNNNNNNNNNNNNNNNNNNNNNNNNNNNNNNNNNNNNNNNNNNNNNNNNNNNNNNNNNNNNNNNNNNNNNNNNNNNNNNNNNNNNNNNNNNNNNNNNNNNNNNNNNNNNNNNNNNNNNNNNNNNNNNNNNNNNNNNNNNNNNNNNNNNNNNNNNNNNNNNNNNNNNNNNNNNNNNNNNNNNNNNNNNNNNNNNNNNNNNNNNNNNNNNNNNNNNNNNNNNNNNNNNNNNNNNNNNNNNNNNNNNNNNNNNNNNNNNNNNNNNNNNNNNNNNNNNNNNNNNNNNNNNNNNNNNNNNNNNNNNNNNNNNNNNNNNNNNNNNNNNNNNNNNNNNNNNNNNNNNNNNNNNNNNNNNNNNNNNNNNNNNNNNNNNNNNUCCACCGCCACCGACGACCCCCCGCACCCUCCCCUCUGCCCUCUAUCACAGCGGGGACAACAGGAAGCCGCCGUCGCGCCCCUCUGCACCGGCUGCCCACGGCGCCUCCGUCCCGAAGCCGCAGCCCAAGUGCCCACCACUCUCUGUCCACGGUGAGCCAUCCUCUCUGUCCCAACUCUCUGUUCUUCUUUUUUAGCUAUCCUUUGUUGAAACAGUAGUUGCUGUGUAGCAAAUCUUUGGGAUUAGUGUUCAGUACUUUGUUGGGUGAGCGGCCAUCUGAGACAUCCUGCUUACAUAGUCUCCUUUUUAAAACUCGUCAAAUUGGUUUUAGAUAGAAAUGAUCAACACUCAAUUGGCCAACUGCAUGUGGAAUGAUUUCGAAGGGCGCCAUAACUUAUUGUAGAUGCUGACUACAAUAACAAUACUAAACUCAGUGUAGUCUGUUGUAAAGACACUUGUGCUUCUUUCAUCUGGAAAGGGGUCGUCUGGCCUCCAAAACUGUCAGAUUAGGUUGUGCUGUAACUCCUCACAUGGCCAUGUUUUUGGAAGAUUGGUCGUUUGUCACCGGCCCUUUGGUCACCCAGCAAUGGGACUUGUAUCAUAUUGCCAAUGAGGUUAAUAAAACAGUAGUGCAUCAGUACUUUGUUGGAACAGAAAGUCAGAAAAUCAGAAAAUCCACGGUACUUUGUUUAGAUCUUCACUGUUGACAAACGCAGUCAACUAAAAAUCCAGUUCAGUGCAUAAUUAGUGUUGACAAAUACACUGAUCUUUAUCUGCAGUAAUUCAGUUUAAACUGAAAAUUCAGUGUUGUAGUACAGAAAAUUUAAACUGAAAAUUCAUAGUCUCCUGGUGCAUAUUGAUCUCAGUGUAUGAAUUCAUAGUGUUUCAAAUUACUGAUGCUAUGGUCCAGGAGUAGAAAAAUUUGUACUCCAAGAUCAAUAUGGUUCAAUUUCUACUGUACUGUAAUCAAAGUGGAUAUAAAUUGCAGAGUGUUUAUGUUGGCAUUCGACAACAUCUAAAUUUACCAAAUGAUUGUGAACUCAGUUUAUGUUUGCAACCAAAUGCUUAGUUCAUUGUUUACUCCAAAUGAUUGUGAACUUAUUCAAAGUUUCCAAUAUUGUUCAGACACUACUUGUACUGGAACUGGAACUACUACUACUGAUGCAGCACCCCAUGUAGUUUAAGUUUUCUUUAUCUUAAACUCAGACAGCUCUCUAAUUAUUGGAGUUUAUAUCAUAUAUAUUGCUGGCAUGUAUUUCAUAUGUUCUGUAGCAUUAAGGCUACAUAGCAUUGCUUUUGUCUCUGACCAUCGUGUCGUGAUGAUAUUGUGGGGUGUUGUGGGGUUGCAGAGGCCCUUGAGUUUCAUCGCGAUGAUGCUAAUCGUGAUGACCGCAGCUCUCUUCUAUGUGAUGGUAGUUUAGAUGAUCGAUAUCGACUUGUAAUGUGAAGACAAACUCGCUACUCGCGGUUUCGAGACUUGUAGUGUUCUAACUUUGUUUGGUCUUUUGAAUUCGGAGACUAAUAUGAUGAAUUGUAUUCGGAGACUAAUCUUCUAUUGUAUUCGAUAACUCUGCUGUUUAUAUGUUGUGUGUCUAUAUUCUGUGCAGUAAUAUGUUUUGUAACCUGUGCAAAUAUCAGAAAAGAAAAAAAUCCCUAAUAUUCAUACUAGUGGCGCACCACCCAGAACUUUAGUGGCGCACUGCAAAAUGCAUACUAGUGGUGCAUCAGCAAGCAGUGCGCCAUUAGUAAGCCAGAGACAUGGUUAAAUAUGGCCCCCUGGGAGGCAUUCUAAUGGCGCAUCAUAGGGUGUACUAAUAGCGCACUACAUGGUGCGCCAUUAGUAUCUGAUAUACUAAUGGCACACUUGUGGUGCGCCAUUAGUAAUAAAAUCUAAUGGCAUGGUACUAGUGGCGCACCUGUAGUGCGCCAUUAGUAGGCAAAACAGGUGCGCCACUAGCAGCCCUUUUCCUAGUAGUGUCUAAAACGAUUUUCGAAAAAUUUGUCUUUUCUUCGCCCCUCUUUCGUGCGUCUUCUUCUUUUGCUCUUUGUUCGCUUGUCCGUUUGAUCUUUUAUCUUGCUGUCAUGGCUAGUUUUCCAUCCUUGUUAGCACUCCCAAUAAUAAGGUCCUCAACUUCAAACAAAGGGAAGGAGAAAAUUUAAAAGAUGCUUGGUAUAGAAUUUAUAAUGCUCAAAUUUGAUGAUUACUGCUGGAGAUGACUAACAUCCUAGAUGUUACUCACUAUGUCUAGAUACAUUCGUUUGAGUGUCAACUAAUUCUGAACAUCUUAGGUGUUACUCCCAAGUCUAGAUACAUUUUUUUGAGUGGCAACUAAUUCUGAAUGGAGGAAGUACACAAAGCUAAGCCACAGCCAUGAAAUAUAUAUAGGGCGGGGGGCGCUCGUUCCACAAGGAGCGGCGGGUAGCUUAGCUAUAGCUCGAUCGAUGAAUAUGGCUGUAGAUGGGUUUGGUGAGCUGGGCAUUCGUGUGGUGAGUCGCCGGCUGGUGCUCUGCCUGCCAGCUACUGCUCUGCCUGCCGCUCCACCUCCUUGUCGAUCGCGCCCACCCAAACGGACGUCCAUGACACAUACACCGACAAUGUGCUCCUCCACGGCCACGACUACCCAAGUAGUGGCCACGGCACCUCCUCCACAGGCUCGGGCGUGGGCGGUGCUGGUGGUGGUGGGGGCACGUUGGCCUCCACUCCGGCCGCCAAUUGGGCCAGCGCCUGCGCAAGGCCAGGCCACCUGGCCUUGCUCCUCGCGCUCGGCCUCCACGAUGGCCCUCCAUGUGGCCUCCUCGAGGGACACAACACAGGCCUCCUCGGCAUCCUAAUCCUCCUCCUUCACCACUCCCGGAAGUGGUGGUGGAGUGGCAAGAACGCGUGGUGCACCGGGCGCACACUUGACGCACUACCGGCAAUGUUGGUCGUGCUCGGUGGCAAACCACGCGUCCUAGUUACCGCAUACGUUGGGUCACGGCGGAGGUUGGCUAGGAGUAGAGCAUGGGAUCUCCGUCAGCUGUGCGCGGCCUGAGGCCGGCACCGGAACCCUAGCAAGGUUGAGGUCCCACCCGUGCGGUAGGUUCACACUGGGCUAUGGCGCAGGCACGCCAUACUCCCAAAAGUACUGGUAGCGGUGCAUCGGCAUGUAGUGCCGAAACCAUGGCUGCCGACUCAAGGUCGAUUUAUCUGUUCUUAUAAACUAGCGAAUUAGCAACUAUAUUACCCAAGAGUAACAACCAAGUCAUAUAUACAAUGUACGCUUGCAACCAUUGAAUAAAUUGUACAGAAUACCAAACAAAGAAGAUUGAACGAGGUCGUGGAACAACUCACAUGCACCAUCCACAGGUCAAGUGGAUGAUCCCAAUGAUGAGCGAAUGAUCCUAAUGACGAGCAGUUGGCGAGAUUAUGUUGCUCUUGUGAUGGUUAGUGAUGUCUGCGCUAGAGCUUGCUUACAACCUUGCGAGGUAAGGAGCUACGGCUACAUGCGUAUUAGGUUUUAUAAGCCGUGAAACCUCGAUAAAAGUUGCCGCUAUAAGUUUUUUCUUCAUGUCACUAUAAACCUUAUNNNNNNNNNNNNNNNNNNNNNNNNNNNNNNNNNNNNNNNNNNNNNNNNNNNNNNNNNNNNNNNNNNNNNNNNNNNNNNNNNNNNNNNNNNNNNNNNNNNNNNNNNNNNNNNNNNNNNNNNNNNNNNNNNNNNNNNNNNNNNNNNNNNNNNNNNNNNNNNNNNNNNNNNNNNNNNNNNNNNNNNNNNNNNNNNNNNNNNNNNNNNNNNNNNNNNNNNNNNNNNNNNNNNNNNNNNNNNNNNNNNNNNNNNNNNNNNNNNNNNNNNNNNNNNNNNNNNNNNNNNNNNNNNNNNNNNNNNNNNNNNNNNNNNNNNNNNNNNNNNNNNNNNNNNNNNNNNNNNNNNNNNNNNNNNNNNNNNNNNNNNNNNNNNNNNNNNNNNNNNNNNNNNNNNNNNNNNNNNNNNNNNNNNNNNNNNNNNNNNNNNNNNNNNNNNNNNNNNNNNNNNNNNNNNNNNNNNNNNNNNNNNNNNNNNNNNNNNNNNNNNNNNNNNNNNNNNNNNNNNNNNNNNNNNNNNNNNNNNNNNNNNNNNNNNNNNNNNNNNNNNNNNNNNNNNNNNNNNNNNNNNNNNNNNNNNNUAUAUAUGUAUAUAUAUAUGGGGCAUGAAACUGCAAACUACCACUAUUGUUGCCGGUGGACCUCCCGGCUCCGGUGCACAUCCCAACGUCGCCCUCGUGAAGCAAGCGAAUGGCCCCGCGAGCAUGUGGACGUUGUCCAUGUGGCAUUGGGUUCCCGCUUCUUGAGUGAACCGGAAAAAAAACCCAAAGCUGGUCAAUCUUCGGCUCGAAAGGAAGCCUGGCUUAUGGUUUUGUGUUUUCGCGCCGGCGUAGCCGCUCUCCGUCUGGGUGAGCGAGCGGUGGAGGACUGCCGCAAUGGAGGAGAUGGUGGUCCUUGGGCCCCGAUGCCUUUCGUGGCAUGAGGGCCGUGUCUUGUAUUCGAUGGCCGGGGACGCCAUCCGGAGCAGCUUGAGAAGGCACCGUCGGGGCUUUGCGCUUGCACCCCUAUGCAGCCAUGCCCGGCGCAGCGGGCUGUCCGCUGUGUGUCUUGCGGAGUCUGAGUGCAUCCAUCGGCUGAUUUUUAUUUUAUUCUUUCGAUGAGGAUUAGUAGUCGGAGAGUAGAUAGGUUCUUCCUCGAUCCCAUGAUAUAAAAGCUUGGGUGUUCGUUGACGCUAGCAAUGUCAAAAACGCUCUUAUAAAAUGGGAGGGAGUCCCUCGCAAAGAAAAAAAGAGAGUAGAUAGCUACUUUAUCUUUUAUUUUGAAGGUGGGAGUAGAUUGAUAACUACUUAGUGCACGUACGAAAAGAAAGACACGAUCGCCUAAAAAAAAGAAAUACUAUAUUGAGAUAUAUAUAGGGCGUGCGGGCGCUAGCAGUUCCACAACGAGCGGCGGGUAGCUAGGUUCAACAUCCAUAUAGGUUGAAUAUGGCUGUAGAUGGGUUUGGCGAGGUGGGCAUUCGUGUGGUGAGUCGCCGGCUGGUGAAGGCAUCCGACCCCUCCAUCCAACCGCAGGUGGUGCCCCUCUCCAACCUCGACCUGUACGUCGGCAACGUACAAGUCGCCAUACUAUGCCUCUAUCCCAAGCCUCCGGCGGGCAGGGAUUUCGCCGGCGUGGUGGCCACCUUCGAGUCCUUGCUGCCGGCUUUACUCAACGAGUUCUACCCUUUCGCCGGCCGCAUCGGCACCAACCCAAGCUCAGGCCUCCCCGAGCUGCUCUGCCAGAACCAGGGCGCAGAGCUGGUCGUGGGAGAGGUCCGCGUCGCUCUGGGGAGCCUGGACUACGGCCUGGCGGACAAGUCCCUGAAGAAGCUGAUGCUCCCGUACGCGGAGGACGUCACCUUCUCGGUGCAGCUGCUAUCCUUCGCCUGCGGCAGCUUCUCCGUGCUGUGGGCAACCAACCACCUCGUCGGCGACGGCCAUGACAACAUCAGGUUCCUGCGGAUGUGGUCUGAGCUCGCACGAACGGGCAAAAUCGUCGCCGACGGCGGGGACGGAAAGCUAAGCCACGACCGCUCGGUGUUCCGCCCUCGCAACCCGCCGUCAUACAGAGCCUCGCUCGCCACCGACCUAACGACGUUCGACCCGCGCCGGCUGGUAAACGUCCUGACGGCCCACGACAGCUUCGUCGACCGCCUCUACUACAUCGACGCGGCCGACAUCGCCAGGCUGCGCGAGAUGGCGAGCACCAAGCUGCAGCGCUCGUCACGCGUCCAGGCCGUGUCCGCGUACCUGUGGAAGGUCCUCGCCGGCGUGGUUGCCGCUUCCCGCGUGCCCGAGGAGCGCUGCCGCAUGGGGUGGUGGGUGAGCGCGCGCCGUCGUCUCACGUCGCCUGACCUCGCCUCUGCGAUGCGCAACUACUUCGGCAACGUCACGACCUAUGCCUACGGGGACGCGACGCUGGAGGAGAUCCAGCGCAAGUCGCUCGCGGAGGUGGCGGCCAUGGCGCGGGAGCCGGUCGCCUCCGUCAACUACGACGAGUACAUCCAGGAUCUGGUGGACUUCGUGGAGGUGCACAAGGGACAAGGGCUGAUGGAGACGGCCGUCGUCGGGCUGGGCAGCCCGACCCUAAGCCAGUCCGUGUUCGACUCAUUCCCACUCGACACCGACUUCGGCUUCGGCCAAGCUGCUCUCGCCAUGCCCAUCUCCGACUUCGCCAACCUCUGCUCAGCCUACCUGUCCAUCAGCGCGCGGCCGGCAGGCGACGGCUCCUGGCUCGUCAGUGCCUACAUAUGGCCGCGUCUCGCCGCCGCCCUCGAGGCCGAUGAGCAGCACAUCUUCAAGCCUCUCACGGCGGACUACCUUGGCCUCACAGCCUGCUAGACAACACCCACGCUAUUCUGUGUGUUCUUUUAGCCAACAAUAAAAUUCCUUGGUGUUUUGCUCUUCUUCCAACAAUAAAAUCCUUGUGUUGUGUUGUGUGGUGCUAUGUACUUUGGUUUUUUUCUUCAUCCAACAAUAAAGUUAGGAAGCGUUACUUUUUGAAAAAUAGCACACCUUAUAUAUACAUUUACUUUGAAAGUUAGAGAGGAUUUACUUUGAAAGUCACAGGUUUGCCAAGCACCUGAGGAAAAACACUCGGCAAAGCCAGCCCUUGGUUUCCGUCAGCCAAUAAAAGAUAGAUCACACGCGUGGCCGCCUGCUUAGCUAUAACCAAGGGCUCGCCGCCGCCAUACCCCCUUCACCUCCCCGCUGCCCCCAUCGGCCUCCUAAUUCCGACCACAGCCGCCUCUAUCCCCCACUAGCCGUCCAACUUUCUCCUCUUCAUAGAUCUAAAACUAGGAAUGGGUUGGAGGGCUCAAUGAACUAGAUCUACUAUAUAGUCAUCUUUGAGCUCAGCUAUUGGGCAUCAUUGCUAGUUGCAAGCUCCCAAUUGGUCACAUCACUGCUAUUCAUAUACCAGCGGGAUCAAAUUGGCCUCUACACGAGUAAGUUGGUCCCUACGGUGAAGUACAGCAGUGGGCCCAUAUUGGCACCCACCACUGAUAGGUGGCAAAGUAAAAUUGGCAUGUGAAAAGAAUUGCCAUGUACUGAUAAGAAUUUACCAGUGCGGUCCCACUUUGCACACACCACUGGGAAAAAAAUGAGACCAACCCAAGGGAUAACCCUCGUUGGCAUUUUCUUUAUAGGAGAAACUUCGCGAGCACCACACGUCCAAGCCGAAGCUCGAACUCGCGUGGGCUGGCAGCUACCCCAGCUACCGAGCCGACGGGUCGACGCCCCGUCCUCGCACACACCUAUGUGAUUUGGCUAUAUUAUGAGUUGGUGGGCCAUUAGUGUUUUAUGCAUAUUCCAAAAAAUCACAUUGUUUUACCAAUAUUCUGCGGCAGAAGCUUAUCCUCAAAGUGCACAUAUCCCAUAUUUACGAAAAAUACUCGUUUAUUCGUUUUUCUGCAGACCGCUCGGCGUUAAGGUUGGUUUACAGCCGAGCAAGCCGACUGCUCGGCGGGAUGAAGAUGAAAAGGCAGUGGGCUAAGCCGCGUGUGUUUUAUCAACUACAUGGGCUACAUUUAGGUAUUUCAAAACCAAAGGGCAAUAUAUAAGCCGAGUAAGGCGUUAGAGGACACUCGGCCAAUACCAAGACGUCGUCAUGGAGCCGUCAAGCACGUGGCAAUAGAAACACUGCAGUUGCUUGCGUGAGCCACACGUGUAUGCCGUGGUUUUUCUACAUAAUAUAUCGUGUUCUUUCUGUAGGCCAUGCGUCUUUUUACGUUGUAUUCGGUUUACAUGGAGCUAAGUUGAGGGACCUGCAAAUGCCGUGUGUUUUCAAGAUGGUACUCGGCUUAGGGUCUCUUUGAUUCAAAGGAUUUUGAUAGGAUCUUUGAAGGAUUAAAAUCCUGAGGAAGUUUUCCUAUGUUGGUCGUUUGAUUUGUAGGAUUGAAUCAUGUAGGAUUUUUUUCUAAAGAUGUAUUUGUACUACAUUUUACAGGAAUUCUAACAUCCACUCCAACCUUUUGGAAGAAAUCCUUUGUUUUCUCCAUGACACAAUCAAACAAACUCAAAUCCUAUAGGAAUCCAAUGGACAUGUCAUUCCAAUCCUACGUUUUUCCUAUGGAAAACUAUUAAAAUCAUCCGACUUAUUUUUCACGAACGUAAACCGUCUUUGACGGACGCCACGUGUCCCUGCUGGUCGCUCACUCCUUAUCCUUAUCUUUUCUCCAGAAGAAGCGUGAGCCACUCAUUCCUUUUCCUCCUUUUUCUUCUUCCUUCGAGCAAACAUGCUUUCCCAGGGACGGCUCUCUCCAGCAAUCCCAGUCGCCGCUCACUUCGUGUUGAUGUAGGGCUAGGCUGAGAGGAUGCUCCUUCCAUGGCCGGCGGCGGAGCUGCGUUUGGUGAUGCGCGACGAUGUUGCGGCCACGUUGACGGCAAAGCUGCGUUGGAGCAGAAGGUGCUACGAGCUGCUGCCAUGACCGGCGGCGCUACUGCACAGCAACGGCGAAGCUGCGUUUCAGCAGCAAACAGCUAUGAGCUGCUGCCAUGGCGGGCAGCAGAGCUACAUGGCAGCAUGCAGCAGGCGAUGCGUCAAUGAAACUUGGCCGGAGCUCCAUUGAAGCUUCGCCGGUGCGUCAAUGAAACUUCGCCGGAGCUCCAUUGAAGCUUCGCCGGUGCGUCAAUGAAGCUUGGCCGUAGCUCCAUUGGAGCUUCGCCGGGGCGUCAAUGAAACUUCGCCGGAGCUCCAUUGAAGCUUCGCCAGUGCGUCAAUGAAGCUUCGACGGGGUGGCUCGGUGUUGCUAUGGAGCAGCACCCGGUGGCUCUCGGUGUUGUGAUGCAGCGGUCGCCGGUGGCUCCGGGGACGCGAGGUCGCCGAGGCAGGGUGACAGGGGAGGGUCUGCGUUGCUCUGCAUCAGGAGGAGUUGUUGUGCGCUGCUCUGUAUCAGAUGGCUGGGGAUUAGUGGAGAAAGGCCCAGGUUGUGUCGCGGCGAUCGAACGACCAUCUGUGCGGACCGAACGGCUGGCUGGGCGGAUGAUAUCUCUAGGAAAUCAUCCGCCUGAUUUGUAGCAGCCGCCUCCUAUUCCUGUGUUUUUGCAAUUCUAUGAAUCUGUCUAAGACGAGUAUCCGAGAAAAUACACCCGGCUUACCAAAAAGCACUAAGCAACAUGUCUUUUUCUCGUAGUGGCCUUUUAAGGUUUUUAUUUUACUUCAUAUAGGGCUCAAAGAGCCAACCUCGCCACCAACAUCGCCUACCAAACUUUGCCCAAGACGUCAUGUCCAUGAUCACAGACCAGUCAGGUUUAAACAUGUUUUCAUCUCUAUGAAAUUCACACAAAAAUUCCAAAUUGACUAGGUGUUUAAACUUAUGUUUCGACAAAGACUCAGACACCUGGACAUUUGAAAAUAGGACAAACGUCGACGCUCACAUGGACGCACCUAGACUCACAUCUAUGAACUUAUACACUAUCUCACUAAAUAGCAUAAAACUACUACAAUUCGGACUAGAGUUUCAAAAAACUACUAAAUAUAUUUUUCCGCUCAUAACUACUAAAUCAGGGGUCGGCUGUUUCAAAAAACCCAAAUCAUCGAGUCUUUAGUAAUUGAUCACGAUUAUGACAGUUGGGGCCAAGCGUAAGAUAACCGUUUGUUUGACCGUUUAGUUUGAAUGUUAACUUACAUGUGGGUCCCACAUGUUAGUUUUUUUAAAAGCAAUCAGGUCCCUGUAAGUUUUCUAAAAUAGCAACCGGGUACAUGUGAGUUUUCUAUAAGGUCCCUAAAAGUUUUUGCAAAAAGCAAUAUAAUCAGGUCUCCAGAGGAGCCGCGCCCGCGGCAGCCUGCUCGAUCCCGAGCGCUCUGCCCGAACCACGACGCUGCCUCCAUCGGCCGGCCAGCCGCGCCCGCAACGGCCGAAUCCACGCCGUGCCUCGCCUGCCACCAUGGCGUGACUCGCAUGCCGCCAUGUCAUGCCUCGCUGGCGGCCGCUGCCACGCCGUGCCUCACCUGUGGCUGCCGCCAUCCCCUGCCGCGAGCUCCUCAAGCUAGACGUGGACGGCCUGCGCCGCUGCUGGAGUGCGCACCUCCCAUUGCCGCGGACGAGGUCGCUGUCUGCUAUGCCUCCUCGAAGCCACCGUCACCACCAGGAGCUACGGUGAGCACCUACCACGACCAUGGGGAGGGUGGGAAGGAGAGGGAGGGUCGCCGCCAGCCAGGCCCGGCCCGGAUGGAGGGGUAGGGGGCGGCCGCCCCAGGCCCCCGAAAUUGAGGGGACCCCACGUUCGUGUGCUCUCUGUAUCCAGCCCAUGUGCUCUCUGUAUCCAGCUGAUGAGAAAAAAUGAUUCUGGGCUACUUUUGAUGAAACAGACCUGUACAUGUAGUGGAACUUGUGUUUCCCUCGCGUAGGUCCGCGGAUGACGACAUGAGCGAUCAACCUAGCGAUAUAUCCUACAAGCCCGAGGGAAACCCCGCCGCCGACACAGCCUCCUCCCGUGGAGGCCUCCCCCGAUGAUUUCUCGUCCAAUGGCGGAUCGAGUAAUUUCAUGUUCAUCGCCCUGGACAGGAGUAACAACACCACCGGCCCUGGCAGGCAGUUUUAAACUACAGAGGUCAGGUUAGCAUCUUCCUGAUGCAUCAUCCAACGGAGCUAGCUAGAUUGAUAUGUGACUAGUUGGUGGCAGAAUUAUUAGAUCUAGUGUAUUAGCGGAGAGGAGUAGGACGUAGUUGUCCUUCUGACUAAUUUUUUUAAUGCAAUCCUUCCGAUUAAUUAAUCUGGUCGUGUUGGAGAUCGAUGAAAGAUGAGGGGAGAGGAUGUCUAGAAUCCAUGGGAUAAUGAUAAUUGGCAAGCUGAAAUUAAUUGGAGGAUUCAUGGUCGAUUCAAUAUGAUUAGGUGGCAAAAUUAAUUUUUAGUAGCUAAAAAAAUUAACUUUUAGUGUUGCAAACUAUGAAGCUAUUCUACCUGCAUGCCACCAAGAGCAGUUCAAAUUACUUUUUGUUUGCCAAACUAUGAAAUAUACAAUGCAUGAAACUUCCCUAUCAAAAUCUUAGCAAAAGUGAGAAAUAAUAAUUAUAAUAAUGUAUAAUUAGAACCCGGAACUAGGUCGACCAGCUGGUUUUGCACGCCAUGAUAAAAAAAUUAACAACAAUUCAUGUUUAAAAUUUAUCUAGACAUGCACAUAAUGAUUAUAAUUUUGGAUAUAUAAAGGGCCUCCGAUUGUAUUUUUGCCCCGGGCCCCUGAAAUCUCAGGACCGGCCGUGCCGCUAGCUUGGGAUGGGAGGGGACGGUCGUCGGCUUGGGAGCGGAGGGGAGGGUCGCCGGCUUGGGAGGGGAGAUGGCCUGCUCGGGAGACACCAGAAGAGAGACGAGAAGAGACAAAGAGGAAGAAGAAAGAGAAUAGCAAGAGGAAACUUACAUGUAGGCCCCACAUGUAAGUUAACGGCCAAACUAAGGUCAAACUGACAGUUUGUUUAGGUGCGGGCCCAACCUGUCGUGACCGUGAUCAACCGAUAAGGACUCGGGGAUUUGGGUUUUUUGAAACAGCCGACCCCCCGGCUUGGUAGUUAUCAGCAAAAAGAAUUUGGUAGUGUUUUGUAACCCUAACGUGAAUUGUAGUAGUUUUAUGCUAUUUACUCAAACGAUCUCUAUGAGCAUUUUCAAGAUACUGAACCGGCACAUCAUUUUGAGAUUGGUGAACACCACAGACGUCUUCAUAGUUGACAGAAACGUCUCCUCCCAAUGAACGAACAUCGCAAAAGCCUGAAAUAAAUCCCAAAAACUGUCAGCACCAUUACCAAGUUUAAAACUUGAACCCUGAUAGGGUUGGUUCCACCACAAGAAAUCUAACUAUUUGAGCCAUGCACAUCUCAUAGUUUUCCCUGUGGCCAUGGAGGGUGCCACAUAUGUAACCCAUUAAUAUGGGAACCCAUACCUGUAAGCUUGUCAGCAUUUAUAGGCUAUAUAUGCUAAUCAAUUAUAAAAAAAACUGGGAUAACAAGUUUGAACUACACCCAUUAUUCCUCCGCCUAUAUAUUGUCGUGCAUGCAUGCCAGUGCCAUAUACGGAAACAAACCGACCGAGAAGGCCCUUAAUUAACAGCUAGCUAGCUCUCUUGGUCGAAUAUGGUAACUGCUAAUGCUAUUGGCUCCGGCGACCUGAGCAUCCGUGUCCUGAGUCGCCGCCUUGUCAAGGCCUCCGACCCAUCUACCAAGCCGCACGUAGCCGCCUUCUCGAACCUCGACCUCUACCCUGGCAACGAGCAGGCCUCGAUAGUAUGCCUCUACCCCAAGCUCCCAAACGCCGGUGACUUCCCGGCGGUUGUAGCCACCUUCGACUCCAUCCUCCCGUCGUUGCUCAACGACUUCUACCAUUUCGCCGGGCGCAUCCGCACCAACCCAAGCUCCGGCCUCCCCGAGCUGCUCUGCGACAACCAAGGCGCAGAGCUGGUGGUCGGCGAGGCCGGUGUCGCCAUGGCCAGCCUGGACUACGGCCUGGCGGAGCAGUCGUUGAAGAAGAUAAUGCUUCCGUACGCCGAGGACGUCACGCUCUCGGUUCAGCUGCUCUCCUUCGCCUGUGGCGGCUUCUCCGUCGUGUGGGCGACCAACAACCUUGUGUGUGACGGCCAAGCCUUCACCAUGUUCGUCAGGAGGUGGUCCGAGCUCGCCCGAACUGGGCGCAUCGUCGACGGACCGCCCAACCAUGACCGCUCGGUGUUCAGCCCUCGCAGGCCGCCGUCGUACGGAGCCUCGAUCAGGGACAUGUUCGCGACGUACGACCAUGACCGGCUGGUGAACGUGCUGACGGCGCACGACAGCUUCGUCGAGCGCCUCUACUACAUCGAGGCGAGCGACAUCGCUGCCCUGCGGGAGGCGGCAAGCAGCAAGCUCCAGCGCCCGUCGCGCGUCCAGGCGGUGUCCGCGUACCUGUGGAAGGCCCUCGCCCGCGUGGUGGCCGCGUCCCGCGUGCCGGAGGAGCGCUGCUGCAUGGGGUGGAUGGUGGACGCGCGGCGGCGGGUGAAGGCGCCGGAGCUCGUCCGGGCGAUGGGCAACUACUUCGGCAACGUUACGGCCUACGCUCUCGGGGAGGCAGCCGUUGAGGAGAUACAGGAGAAGGAGCUGUCGGAGGUGGCGGCCAUGGUGCGGGAGACCAUCACGUCUAUCGACUACGAUGAGUACACCCAGGAGCUGGUGGACUGGGUGGAGGAGCACAAGACAGAGAGGCUGAUGGAGAAGGGCGUCAUCGGGCUCGGUACGCCCACCUUGAACCAGACGGUGUUCGCGUCGUUCCCGCUCGACACCGACUUCGGCUUCGGCCAUGCCGUGCUGGCAAUGCCCAUGUGCGACUACGGGAGGCUCAGCUCGGGGUACCUGUCGAUCGGAGCUCGGCCGGGAGGCGACGGCUCCUGGCUGGUCAACGCCUACAUAUGGCCUCGCCUCGCGGCGGCGCUUGAGUCGGACCAGCAGCGCAUCUUCAAGCCUCUCACGGCGGAGUAUCUAGGGCUCGUCUAGGCGUACCACUCUGCUGUCUGCCCGGUUUCUUCUUCAAUAAGUCUUUGCUUCGUCUUUUGAGGCAUGAAAGCAGCUCGUGCUUGUUUUACUUCCACCUAUUUUGCAAUACCCCAAAUAAAGCCCUUCUGUGUGGAGGGUAGUUUGUUUGAUCAAUAAAUGUUUGAGUCGUUCAUAAGGUUUCCUUGAUUAGUAUACAAAUCAGUUGAUGACUACGUUUCACAACUCAUGUGCAUGGAGAUGCUAAACCGAUAGUAUGGACUCGGGGAUGGAGACCACGCAGUCGGACAUACCAACUCUGAGACGCAGCGAGAUGUUGUCAUAUGUUAGUGUCAAGCACAAUGUUUAUGCCAUGUCCUAGACCUAAGGUCCUCGCAUGUUCUCGGGAUGAGUAUCGACUCACUUAAGGUCUAUCAAACGCUACUCCAUAACUGGCUAGAUAUAAAUGUAGCUUUUGGGUGGGUGGUGAGAUAUGCCGCGAGACAUGGCCGACCAAGAUGGGAUUUACCCCUCCUAUUUGAAGAGAUAUUUUCUGGACCCUCUCGAGGGAUCGGAUUCGGAAAGCAUGACCAUGCGACUUGGUUAAGUGUUAACCCAGUGCGGGAAUCUAUAUCACGGUGUCAAGAAGAGAGGUCGAGCUACCACAAGGGUGACAAGUACUCACCUUGAGCUUGACAACAUAUAUCGUGAGGCAAAAGGAAUGUUGCAGAUGAUACAUUGUCGAGGUUCUUCGAACGACUUUACACGCACAUGAGAGUUGGCACGUUCAGCGAGGAGCUGCUACCAACUAUCGACUCUGGUCGUGUCCAUGUGUACGUAAACCUAUAGGGUCGCACACUUAAGGGGCUGCAGGCCAUUCGGAUUGGAUUCGAGUGGAAAUGGUUUUACUCCUAGUGGGCCUCAAGUAUUGAGCCUAUCUCGGAGGUCUAUAUAUAGGGGAGUGGCCGCACAACUGAGGUUGAUCUUUUUCCACCAUGGACAGCCUCCAUCGCAACUCCCCACGCCCAUCCCGCGCGACCUAACCUAGAUGCCUACCGCCCGACGCUGCUCCCCGUACGUGUGGAUACCUUGCAGGCAUCGCAUCCGUGGUGCUUGGAUGAACUGUUCGAGGGAACCGCGAGGUGCCGUUCGCGGGAGAUCAACGUUCACAGGUCUUUGUUGUUCGCGGGAGAUCGACGACGCGAGGAGGAGACGCCUCGGGAGAUCGUCUACAUGCAUCUCCAACUCUAUUUUCUGCUGCGGUUACUGCGCGUCUAGUGGUAAACUCGAUCUCAUGAUCUAUUUCCAGCAACUUGAUCUUGGGUGCGUGGUAGAAUUUUUUUUAUUUGGCUCUAGCUUAGCAUACCGCGUGUUUCUACAGUCGUAUCAGAGCCUAUGCUACGUGGUAUUAGAUUCAAGGUAGAAUUUUCAAAUGAUGAUAUGUAGAUUGCUUUAUGUACUGGCCGAUGAGAUCGGUUGUCAAUAUGAUUGACUAUACAUGGUGUCAGGCAUUCGAAAUUGUGAUCUAAUUUUCCGUGAUGAUGUUGUGGAGGUCGUGGCACAAAUUACCUAUACCGGUCGGUUUCGGCCAUCGGGUAAGACAGUGGAACGUAAAGUCGGUCACAACACGCGAAGACCAAUGAGAUUGGUUGAAUCAGAUAGAUGGUCAAAAUAGGAUAAAUAUGAUUUGCCGGUGAAAAUUCCCAUGCAAAAAUGCAUAGAUAUUGCAAGGGCGCUGCCAGUUGACCCCACAGGGGGCAAAGCCCCAUCGACCCCCAUCCUGUUAAUCUCUUAGGGCGGUGGAUAACUUGUUUUUGCAGGUAAUGCUUGUGAUUUGGUACAACCCGGGUAUGUUGCAUGUACGUAAUUAUAUCAUGACCUGCGUGUCGAGAGUACAAUAACUGGUUGGAGCCAUAUGGUUGUCCCAUUAUUGUAUUAAUGACCUUCAUGUCAACAUGAGAAGCAUUGUAUUGUUAUUUACUUUCAAUAGCUAUUAGUUUGUAAUAGCGUAGUAUCUUAUGUAACACUUGGCGGUUGACACCAUGGCGUGGAGAUGAAGAUCUCCACGAGGACAACCAUGCAUGGAGAUGGAGAUCACCAUGGGCAGGCCGUGCAGGUGGAGACGAAGAUCACCAUGCGAUAUCAAAAGGGGCUAAACCAUAUCACACAUAUAAACUGCCUGUGAAAGUUUAUCUCUGUUAUGCACCCUUCUUUUGCAUGGUAGACGUUUCAAGUAGGGUGAUCCCUCAAAGAAUGUCAAGUAAAAAUGCCUCUCCAAAUGUUGCACCAUCACACAUCAAGUAUACUUAGUGGUGGGAUUAUAAAAUUAAGGUGCCAUUUGGUGUCCUUGAAGUGAUGGGUUCGGUUCGGACACUUACAUGCAUAGCAUUGGUUAUCUUGUCGUGGCUAUCAAAACAGUUUUGGGCCUCGAGGCGUAGGAGUUGGUGCGACAUGAGAUGUCCCCAACAACAAGAGUCGUAUGGAGACACGAUUAGCAAGAAAUACUUAUGGAGUGAUCUCGUCUUCUAGCAGUGAUGCAAAUGCUCACUAGUUAACAUGUUGAUCUUGGAUCUUGAAUCACUAAGUAUCAUCUGAGGGAUGUUGAUUUUAUUUGGAGUGAUGAUCUUAUUAAAAUGUUUAAUAUGAAUUACUCUUCAUGAAUACAUGUCUUAGUGUUUUGCAUCUUUCUGUUGGAGAUCAGAGGCACCACCUGCUCAAGUUACUCCUUUUGCGCUGAAAACAAUCCUAGAAAAAGAUAAAUGGAAUGGGACAAACUUUACGACCUGGUAUAGAAAUCUGGGAAUUGUUCUUAGGCAUGAGAAAAAGGACCAAGUUCUAGAAAAUCCGCUUCCAGAUGUACCUGCCAAGAAUGCUAAUGCCACAACCAGGAGUGCCUACCAGAAACCCAUUGAUGAAUAAAAUGAGAUCAUCUAUCUCAUGCCGGCUUCAAUGGAGCCCGAUCUACAGCAGCAGUUCGAAAACAUUAAGGCUUUCGAUAUGAUCGAGAACCUCAAAAGCAUGUUUCUGAUGUAGGCUAGGACCGAAAGGUUCAACGUCUGGCUAUCCUUGAUGGAUUGUAAGUUGAAUGAAAGUGAUCAAGAUGACUAGGUACAUGCAAGCUUUGGAUUGGUUGGGCUUCCCACUUGGGAACGUUCAACUCGAACUACCAUAUGCAUGGGAUGGAAAAGAAGCUCACUGAAUUGCAUGGGAUGCUCAAGGUGGCAGAGCAGGAUAUAAAGAAAGUUACGCAUCGUCAAGUGUUGAUGGUGCAGAACUGGGCUAAGUUCAAGAAGAGAUGUUCCAAGAAAAAGCAUAAGGCAAACGGCCAGGAGGAGAAGGCAACUCCAACUUCUGCCGUUGCGCCUAAGUCAGGGCCAGCCGGGGACCGUUUUCUUUCACUGUAAGGAACACGGCCACUAGAAAAUGAACUGCAACAAGUGGCUUGUCGAGAAGGGCAAGAAGACUGGAAGUGUCACUUCUUCAAGUACACUUAUUGUAUAUGUUAUAGACAUUUAUCUUGCUGAUGUUUCUAGUAGCUCUUAGGUAUAUGUUACCGGAUCGGAUGUUCACAUAUGCAUCUCGAUGCAGAGUCUAAGAAGAACUAGGAAUGUUGGAAGAGAAGUUGACAUACACAUCGUGAAUAAAGCAAGAGUUGAUGCAUUGGCCGUCAGCACUAUGCAACUUAAUUUACCUUCAGGAUUUGGAAUGGAACUUGAUAAUUGUAAUUAUGUUCCUGCUUUGAGUCAAAACAUUAUUUCUGCCUCAUGUUUGAUGAUACAAGUUUAUGAAAUAAGUAUUAAGGACAAUGGUUGUUCUAUGUACUUGAAUAAAAUGUUUCAUGGCUUUCCACCUAUUGUGAACGGGUUAUUAAUCCUAGAUCUUGAAGGUGAGCCAGUCUAUAACAUAAAUGUCAAGAGGCAUAAGCCUAACGAAAUAAACCCGACUUACAUCUGGCAUUGUCGACUAGUACACAUUAGUAAAAGUGCAUGAGGAAGCUCAAUGAUGAUGGAAUUCUAACUUCAUUUGAUUUUGAAUCAUUCGAGACAUGUGAGUGUUGCCUUCUUGGCAAGAUGACUCAGACUCCUUUUGCAAGGAGUUGCGAAAGGACGUCCGAGUUAUCGAAACUCAUCAUAGUGAUGUAUGUGGACCAAUGAGCACGACAGCAGGUGGUUUCCAAUAUUUCGUGACGUUUACAGAAAACUUGAGUAGAUUUGGAUAUGUCUACUUGAUGAGGCACAAGUUAGAAACUUUUGGAAAGUUCAAGGAGUUUGAGAGCGAAGUGGAGAAUCAACUCGGCAAGAGAAUCAAACUUCUACGAUCUGAUCGUGGCGGUGAGUAUAUGAGCCAGGAGUUUGAUGAUUAUCUAAAGAGUCGUGGAAUAGUUCCACAACUGUAUCCUCGGGGUAUGCCACAGAGAAAUGGCGUGUUGGAACGAAGGAAUCGGACUCUGUUAGACAUGGUCCAAUCAAUGACGAGUCGGUCGGAUUUACCUUUGUUAUUUUGGCGAUACGCUCUAGAAACUGCGUAUUUCACACUAAAUAGGGUACCAUCCAAGUUUGUAGAUAAGACGGCAUAUGAGAUAUGGACUGCGAAGAGUCACAGUUUGUCUUCUCUAAAAAUUUGGGGUUGUGAAGCAUACGUCAAGCGACUCCAGUCAGACAAGCGCACACCCAAGUCGGACAAGUGCAUAUUCGUGGGGUAUCCAAGGGAAACCUUGGGAUCUUACUCCUACAUCCGUGAAGACUGCAAAGCGUUUGUCGCUCGACAUGGAGUUUUCCUUGAGAAAGAGUUUCUCAAUCAGAAGGCUAGUGGGAGGAUGAUACGACUCGAGGAAAUUCGAGAACCACAUGGAGUUAGUCAGGGAACCCAUGGUGGAGUCGACGCCAAUUCCACGGAGGUCAGAAAGGUUGCGCAAUAUGCAUGACUGCAAUGUGUUGUUCUUGGAGAACAACGAGCCGGCAACGUAUGCGGAAGCCAUAGAGAGCCCUGAUUCCGAGUUAUUGCUUGAGGCCAUGAGAUCCGGAUUAAAGUCCAUGGAUGGCAAUCAAGCUUGGAACUUGGUUGAUCUGCCAGAUGGCGCUCGAGGCAUUGAGUGCAAACUGGUAGUGAUGCCUAAAUAAAUUAGGACCAUUCUUGCUAUAUCUGCAUAUUUCGACUAUGUUACUAUUAUGUUCUUCAACAGAAGGUCCCAAAUGUUGUUGUGCCUCUGCUGAUGGACGCCGAAAGUGAGAUGACAAUUGUUUGCCCUUUGAAGAUCAGAUUCAAAUAUACAUACUCGACCGAGCGUUAAUCAAAUGGAUGCCUCAAAAUUGAGUGAUGGAGGCAAAUAGUCAAUGAGCUCGGGCCACAAAUUGGAGACCGGGGAUCUCUGUGGUCCAUCAUGGAGAUGUAGUUUUUUUUCUCUGUUUUAUUCUAUUUUACCUAAGACACUGGAGUAGGUCAUAGUACUUGUCAUGUGCUUGAAAGUUACUUACCUAGGAUGAUGACAAUUAGUUAGUAGUGGUUAACUUAUGAUGAUGAUGAUGGUGAUGAUGGUGAUGAUGAUGAUGAUGAGACAUUUUUAUAUAAUUAUGAUCAUGAUGAGCUGUUAUAUCACUACGAUGAUGAUGAGUUAUAUCAUUUUGAUAAUGAUGAGUUGUUACAUGAUGAUGAUGAUGAUGAUGAUGAUGAUGAUGAUGAUGAUGAUGAUGAGUUGUUAUAUAGUUGCUUGUGUAUAAAAAUCUGUAUAAUUAUUGUAUAAAUAUAGUAUAAUAUGUAGAAAGGAAAUACAUAGAGUUAGUAGUGGCGGGGGGCCUCGCGCUAUAGCUAGUUAUUAGUAGCACGGGCCAAACACCGCGCUGCUCCUAAUGUAAGUAGUAUUAGAGCCGAGCCUGGCCCGUCUUACUAGGAACCAGUUAGCUACACGCUGAUGAGUUGUUAUAUGAUGAUGAUGAUGAUGAUGAGUUUUUAUAUAGUUGCUAAUGUAAGUAGCGAGGCAACCCGCACUACUCCUAUGCCUUUAAACCGCGCCACUACUAGCCUUAUCCCUUGUAGUGACGGGCAGAUGGAGCGAUGAAAUGCGCAUGUCCUCAAUGGGCUCCAAACGAGAACAUUCGCCUAACUCAAGAAGUGUGGCCGGUGAUGGAUCGAUGAGCUUCCCUAUGUUCUAUUUAGUGUAGAUAUCACUCUUAAUUAACUUGUUUUUCUGCGGAUAGUAACUAACGCUUUGAGCCUUUGUGGUUUAUCUCACAAUUUUUGUCUUCACAACUGGAGUAGGCCACAAUGUUGAGAUGCAAAAAAAGGUCCAUAAACUAAUUAAAUGGAAUAUCAUUUAGAUACGACACUUAUAAGAUACACUAAAUAUUAAGAGACGUGUUGAGUAUAUAAUGAAUAGGGGUCAUUGUCUCUAAAUAGUUUUCACUAAAUAGGAUGAUGUGUUAAGAGACACUGCGUUGUGAGUUCCCUUUCGCUAAAUUAAUUUGCCCUGGUUCGAUUGCAGAGAUGUGUGCGGAGUUUCUUGGGGGAGUUUGGCAGCCAAUCGAUGAUAACUAGUUCUAGGACGCUACUAGGUCAGAUUCAAAACUGAACAUAUGGCUUGGUCCAAGAGUUUCGGCUCUCACAACCUGAAAAUCUGCAGCUUUCACACUAAAUAUUAAGAGAUUCGAAACUGAACAUAUCUGUCAUUGGUUUGAUGCUGUGGGUCCGUUUCAUUAUCUUUUUUUUUAUCAGGUAGUUGGACGGCCACACCAUGCCCUGAAAAUCUGUCUAGAUCUUGAUCGGGAGGCAUAAGAUUUCUUAUUCUGACAACCCUGAAACUGUUUGCCAUGCAUGCAUUAUCCUUCGCAAAGCGAAUUAAGUUGCCCCUAGACAAGGGCGGAUGGAGUAUAGUUCACUGUAGCUUCAUGAUUCUUUUGUCAGCUUAUUUUUUAGAGCUGCGGCUAUCAUAUUUACACCUGCUGUUAUAUCUGUUUCCAGAACCAUGUGUCAGCAGCUUCUGUUAUCAUAGCCAAUAAAACUAUCACGAAGCUACAGUGUGAGCAAUGAAGACGUUAUAUAAACAGGGAUAAAAUAUAUUGUGCUAAACUGCUCUAUCCAAAACCAUGUGUCUGCUCCUCUUGUUUGUUUCUUUACUAUUUUUCAUAUUGUGGAUGAUCAUGACGAUACAUACUAAAGAGUUUUGCAUAGCAUAUGUAAUUUCAUGCAUACAGACAAUGUUUUUUUAUUGGUGUAUUAUUUCACUCUGUUAAGACAAAAUUAUAUUUUGGAAUAUUGAAAUAAUAAUAUUAGGUAAAUCAUACAUGUGCACUAUGAAGCUAACUUUGUGCAAGAGAAAUGAGUAAAAUUAAGGACAAGAUUUAUACCUAUGCAAUACAAAAAAAAACUAUCUGCAGCAGUAAAUUCAUGUAGCUGGCAACAUUACUGGUACAAAUUAGAUCUAAUUAUAGUGCAUACAUGUACCUUUUUUAGAAAACAAAUCUUGAAACUUCGAUAGAAAAUUUUACGAUUUAUGAAAUUUGAAUGGGAAAACUAAACCAAAACCAAAAGGCCGGGAGUUAAAUGUGAGUGAAAAUAAAUGUCAGGAGGUAUUUGUCAGUGAAAAUAAAUAUGAGUGACACUUCUCCAUGCAAAAAUGUUAGUGAAAAAACUUGAAUUUUCACUGUAAAAACAACCCCAAAAUAAAGGAGGAAGCAGAACCAUCGAAAUGUUUAUGAAACGAACAACCACCAACAUAAGAGAGAAGUCACCAUACUCAUUAAGACGCCCAUGUUCAUCUGAGUAGUUAAGCCACUGCAUAGCAAUUAAUAGAAAGAAAACUGCAUAGAAAUUAAUUUUGAUGGGCUCGUGGAUCACGGCAGAAGCAUGCAUGAAUGCAUAUGUCUAUCGUUGCAGGUCAUUCAUGAGAGCAAUGCAUUCAUAUCUAUCUUUGCACGGAUGGAAAAAUUAGUCUGGCGCCAUAUAUCUUCUAUUUGUUAUACUACAGAAAGACAUAUUAAAAUAAAGUUGCCCCUAAACAAGGUGGAUGGACGACCACUCAUUUUGGCAGACUGUACUCGCACAAUUCGUUUUCCCAAUAAUAAUGUGAAUGGAGAGAGUAUAAUUCACACUGUCGCUUCAUGAUUCUUUUGUCAGCUUAUUUUUUAGAGCUGCCUUUUUUUUUGCGGGAAUAUUUUUUAGAGCUGUCAGCUAUUAUAUUUACCCCUACUGCCAUAACUAUUUCCAGAGCCAUGUGUCGGCAGCUUUUGUUAUCAUAGCCGACAAAACUAUAACGAAGCUACAGUGUGAGCCAGGAAGACGUUAUAUUUUCAGGGAUAACAUAUAUAUUGUGCCAAACUCCUCUAUCCAAAACUAUUUGCCGGCACCUCUUGUUUUGUUUAUUUACAAUUUUAAUAUUGUGGAUGAUCAUGACGAUACGAAGUAAAGAGUUUUGCAUAGCAUAUGUAAUUUCAUGCAGGCAGACAACACUUUUUUAUCAGUGUAUAAUUUUGCUCUGUAAAGACAAGAUUUUAUCUUGUGAUAUUGAAAACAUAGUGUUAGAUAAAUCAUAGAUGUGAUCUUUGUGGAUAAAUUUGUGCAAGAGAAUUGAAUAAAAUUAAGAACAAGUUGUAUACCUGUGCAAUAAAGAAAACUAUCUGCAGUAGUAAAUACAUGUAGGUGGCAACACUCACAUUUUGGUUAUUCCUGUAUAAACAUUGCUAGUGCAAAUUGGAUCCUAUAUAUUGUGCACACGGUGUUCCCGUCCUCGGAUGGUUUCCCCUUGUUCGGUCUUGCUCAUUCUCGUUGCUCACAAGCUCAUGCAAUUGAGAACCUGAGAUCUUCAAUCUGGCCAUCUGGGAUUUCCGGACUUCUCCUUCGAAGGAAAACAAGGACUGGCACAUAUGGCGCUCUUUGGACACCUUGACUAGAUAGGGGCCUGUCGUGUGCACCCGCAACAUCAGCAUAACCAGCUUUACCGGGGUAUCGUGCAGCUCUGUUUUUGUUGGCACCUUGGGACAUGUCUGCACCAAGAUUCCCAUGGGAUCAACACAUGUGGAGAAUGUCAUGGCGUGAUUGAAGGACUUGCAAGUGGCAAAGGCGGGGUCUUGGAUGCGAUGAAGACUUUGCUUCAUAGGCAGUUGUUUAGACAUGGCUUACGGGAUAUGUUCCCAUCCAGACGGGACGUGAAUUCCUGUGAGCCUAAUGGUGCGUGACUUGCAGUAGUAGCCUCCGCAAGUGGGGGUGGCGGCAUUGGAGGACUUCUUUGUUAUUCGGUGCUCCUCUGAGUACCCAAUCAGGAUUUCCAAGGUGAAAACCCAAGGUCUGGCCUUUAUUGGUUGUGCCUGGCAGUAGUCUUGUUGAAGGCAUUAUUGUUGGGAACCUCAUCUUUCUCCAGGGUGAAAACGUAAUAUCUUUGAUCAGGCAACGACAACGCUUGUGCUUUGUUUCCUUCCUGGAGGCAUUGCUUUUGGAGAACCUAUUUUGUAGUCCGGGUGCCAUCUUUGGUGGUGGUUAGAGUGCGGCUACUUCGGGUAUUGAUCACCGUGGUGGGAUAUUUUUUCUUCUCUUUUUAUUUUGAUUUUUAGUUGUGUGCAUCCUGGAUGUUUUUAGGCAUCUUGUUGUUGCAGAGUCUGGGAGUAAUUGGUAUCUGCUUGAUAUUAAUACAUUCUCCUUUACAAAAAAAAAUUACAUAUGCCUUUUCUAGAAUUUUUUUCCUAAAACUUCCAGGGAUGAUUCUAUCAUUUGUUUAAUUUUAAUGGAAAAAUUAAACCAAAACCAAAACGUCAGGAGGUAAAUGUGAGUGAAUAUUAAGGUCAAGAGGUAAAUGUGUUUGAAAUAAAUAUGAGUGACACUUCUCCAUGUGAAAUUGUUAGGGAGAAAACUAGACUUCUCUCUGUAAAAAUAACCCCAAAAUUAUGGAGGAAACAAAACCAUCCAAAUAAACAAUAUAUUGAGAAGUCUAUGAAACGAACAACCACCAAGAUAAAAGAGAAUUCGCCAUACUCAUCAAGACGCCCACAUGUCAAUAGCUCAGUCAGUCAACAUUAUAGCAAUUAAUUUUGAUAGGCUCAAGGAUCAUAGUAGAAGCAUGCAUGAAUCGUUGCAGGUCAUUGAUGAGAGCAAUGCAGAUCACUAUCUUUGCAUGGUCAGAAAAAUUAUUCUGGCGCCACCUAUCUUCUAUUUGUUAAACCAUAUGAAGGCGCAUAUCUCAUCACGAACGAUUAAUCAACAAUAUAUACUACACAAUGACACAUUAAAAUUAUUGCACAUGGGCGAGAUUGAUGGCUUUAUCCUUCAUAUGAUCCAAAUAAUCGUAUUUAUUGUUCACACUGUAACAACAUAAUGGUUUUGUUGGCUAUCUACCCCUGCUACCAUUCCUAUCUCUUGAGCAACAUGCUAGUAUCUUUUGUUUAGUUUAGCUAAAAAGAUUGGAAUGAGAGAUUUCCUUUUUUUGUGCAAUAACAUGAUAGUACAAACUACUGAACUUUACAUAUUUAGGUACUCAAUAAAAUACUGUUAAAGAUAGCUAUAGACAUUAGUCAUAUUAAUUCAACCAUAAGAGAUUAUCAUGUACCAUAUUAGCAUGAUUACUGGUCCUGUUCAAGAAUUCGUCCGAUUAACCAGUUAACUUGGAAAUUAAUCCCUACUUGUAAGGUCAUCGUGUAGCCAAUAAACUGAUAAAUCCUCCGUUUAAUUUCUUAACAGGACAAUUAACUUGCCGAUUACCCUAUUAAUCCCCUACUCCCUAGCCAACCAAGCAGCUACCAGUUAACAAUUUCCUCAACAAAUUUACUGGUAUGUUCCUGUUUAGAUGGUUCACCAAUACACUUCCAAAGUUAUUUUUGAGAAUGAUGCACCCUUUUUACAUUUUUUUGGUAUUAUUCCAUCAAUGCUGCACUACAUCAUAGCAUCUUCUUCUUUUUGGAAUGGCUAUGAAAGGACACGAUAGGUAUGUCUGGUGAACUUUUUGUGGAGAUACUUGGGCUCAUGUGUCUGAGAAUAAGAGGAUGUCCUCCCAUAGGAUUUACAUAUACCAACAACUAUUAACCAUGUCUCAAUGUGAGAUUGGAGACUAAAGAGUCUAGAUUUUAUAAGAUUAACCGGAAGUGUUGACUUCAACCGUGUAUUACUAAUCCACUGCAGUUGAAUUUUUGCAGUUGAAUUUUGCAUAUGGCUAAUUUAUUAAUCAACACCUAGGAGGAAUAGUUUGUAGGAGUUACCUAUAGCGUUGCCCUGGCAAAAGGAAAUGUGAUUGUUUAUCAAAAUUGUUUCUACUUAUAUUGUUUUAUCCCGUUACUACUGCAGCACUAAUUUUUAGUUAACUAAUGAAAGAAAGGCAUCAUAUUGUUUUAUCCCAUUGAUACCAGAGCACCAAUUUUUAGUUCAUUAAUUAUGUUGCUAUCUUCAAGUAUUUUUAAUCUGGAGGAAGUUCCACAAAACAAAAAUGUGAGAGUCAAAAAGGUGAGGGGAAAACGAGCUGAAUACCACCUUCUUUGUCCUGUCUUGCUUAAUCCACUUGAAGCCAGAUUACCACUUCGGCAGGGUAUGCUGAUGGAACUCGAACUAGGAACCUCAGUGACAUUUGUAGCCAUACAUUCAAAACACCUCCAGGCACAUGAUUUCAAAAGAUAUUUUUGAAGCAACAGGUCACCAAGCGUCUAAUUGAGUGUUGUAGACAUGACAAUGUCUAAAAUGGCGACUUUGAGGAAGCGUAAUGGAACAAACAUUGUGUCAUGCAUGUGCUCUCUACCACACCCUCGACAAAAAUCAAGAUCCCAGUCCAGUGGAAUGAGGAGGACUAGGAUAUGGACGACGAAGGGCCCAGCAACUAGAUAGAGACAACUUAGGAGUGAGCCAUAGGAAGAUCAUCUAGUGCACUGGGUGUGUGGAUUUGAGGGCCCACUUGUAAGAGAGUGCGUAUGCGUUUAAAAGGGGCAAGUGAAUCAGACAUGUGCCGUAACUUAUCGAUGAAAUAAUAAUUGUUUGAACUCUCACCUACUCUGUUCUGCAUCUCACCCUCUUCAUCUGUUCUUCAACUUCUUCUCAUCCCCUACUCCAUAUUAUCCUCUCCAAUAUGUGAUUCUUCCACCAACACUAGUUGGACAUCACAGUUUGACAAUGGAAAUCUUGGUAAAUUUUUCUCUUUGACAGCACUCGGAAACAAUUGAUGCAGGCGCAAAUCCAUGAUAUAAGGGAUAUUUUCUGUAGCAUUGUUUGAAAAUACAUCAGUUACGCAAGGGCCCUUUUGCUUCUUUACUUCUUGUUCUGUGUGCACUCUGAUGUUCGAAGGUGCAGUGAUGGUAGACAGAUAUUUAGUUGGAAGAAAAAUAGAUAAACUCAGAUUUCGUGUAACCCGGGCUCACUCUUUUCAGUGAAUAAAUUAUUGUCACAAAAAACCAGCCUUUUGCUUCUCUUGAUGACAUUAUUCUUAGAAGUAAGAAUGUGCAUUUCUGCAGCCCAUGCUCAUGUGCUAUUUUUUCUUUUUAACUAGUGUAACAAAUGGGGUAGAUGUUUUUUUUUCUGUGCCAAUAAUGGUGUUAAGACUGCUAAAAUCUUGUAAGGGAAGAAAACAUUGAAGAGCAGAAAGAAGAAGAAAAUCAUUUAUUUAUAUAGAACUGACAUGCAUUUGAACAUCAACAGUCAUUUAUUAUUAAUAAUUCCGCAUUUUGUGAAUUCCUUUCUCCAAUGUUUUCUUCCAGGUUUAUUUACUAUGAUAGGCUCACCAGGAAAGGAACCUGAAAAUUUAAAUCGUGUCAAUUUCCUUUUCACACAAUUCUCUCAUGAUGCAAUGGUUUCAGAGAACGCUGUUGUUAUUUGCCAGACAUGUGAUGUUUAGUAUGACUUGAACUAACAUAACAUGCAUAAUACGUUUAUUGAGUACAUGAAGGUUGGUUUCUUUGAAUCAUUUUGGAUUAGCCUGUUUGCAAAGGCUAUUAUCAUUCCACCACUCAGUGAUUUAUGAAUAUCUCCCAUUCAUUUGAUGUGAGUUCCCUGCAACCACACACGAUAUUUCCCUUACUCCGUUUUCGGUAAGAUAUGGGAAACUAAACAUUCAAGGAUAUUGUUCCCACAAGUGGAGAGACUGAAAAAGUCGCGCGCGUUGCUCUCCNNNNNNNNNNNNNNNNNNNNNNNNNNNNNNNNNNNNNNNNNNNNNNNNNNNNNNNNNNNNNNNNNNNNNNNNNNNNNNNNNNNNNNNNNNNNNNNNNNNNNNNNNNNNNNNNNNNNNNNNNNNNNNNNNNNNNNNNNNNNNNNNNNNNNNNNNNNNNNNNNNNNNNNNNNNNNNNNNNNNNNNNNNNNNNNNNNNNNNNNNNNNNNNNNNNNNNNNNNNNNNNNNNNNNNNNNNNNNNNNNNNNNNNNNNNNNNNNNNNNNNGAGGCCGAACAGGUGAAGCCCGCCUCGGUGGGCGGCGGCAUCAGGGCAGUCUAUUCCCGCGGCAACUCAUCGCCCUGGACGGCGGAGCCCGCUCGCGGCACGGUGGCGAAAGUCGGCGCGUUGGAUCCCACGGUGGACCCCUCGUCAGCGUGGAGAGAUGCUUGUGUGUGGCUGACCGGGGUCGAGCACGAGGGAUUCGGGCCUUGUUCGCCGUAUCAAUCUCGCGACGACACCUAUGUCUUCAGCUGGUGCGGUCAGGGUGGUGACCCGGGCUGGCGGCGGCGACCGGUUCCUCCAUGGCUGGUGGGUUAAGUCCUUGACCUGGACGACCAUGUGACGAUGGGUGGUGGCAGAGGCCGCAGAACUAGCGUGCCAUCCAGAUCCAUCUCGGCGUGGCCUUGGCCGGCAGGCGAUGCGUGCAGGGACCGAUCUGGGGCGGCUGGAGGCCCUAUGCCGACGUUCCAGCGAUAGCUUACGUCUCCAUGGCGACGCAACUUCUAGUGAAAAUGUGCUGACUGCGGUCAUGGAAGAUGGUGGCAUCUCUAAUGUCGUUUCCUUCUUCGAGGCAUCGUCGUUUGUAAGCUGUGUCACUACGCUCGGGAUGUUCCGGGGGGAACUCUAUUUCUGGGUAUCCCGGAUCAGACGAUGACGGUGCCUUCAGCGCCAUUCUCCCUCCUAGGGGCAUUGUUCUGGAGCAGGUGCCGACUGGAAGAGACAAGUGGAGGAGCGGUGUUACAUCUACCGCAAGGAUGACGCAGGGUCUCGGUGGCGUGGCAAGGCAGAGUGUCGGCGACGAGCGCCCACGCUAGAUGGUUGAGCUAUCUGGUGUCGAGAUGGCCUGGCGAGAUGAAUACGUUGAUCGCUCCUGAAGGUGGGACAGCAGAACAUGGCGGUGGCUUAAUCUAAAGUGUGUGCAUGCUGUGCGCGCAAAGGGUCUAGCUAGACCAGUUGGUGCUCUCGAAUUGCCGGCAGACAUCUUGGUGAGGUGACCGGAAUAUAUGAUGUGUGUUGAUAAGUGGUCAGGGCACGGCAUUAAAGCUUGUAGGUGUAACGACAAUAGUUUCUAGGGAGGUGGCUUUGCCUUGAUCCAUAUAUUUGUUUUGUUUGGUUCCGUUGAAUAAUAUAAUAAAAUGGUUGUGUGCAUGGCCCGAUGCAUAGACUAGGGGUAAUCGUCUUUUUCGAAAAAAAGUAGAAUGGUACAGUCACACCAUUUUGCCAGUGACAUGCUAAAAAUGGCAUGAUAAACAAUUCCUGAAUGAUAAAUCACAUGGUGACAGUAUAUCUAUUUUAUAGGAAGAGCUGGAUAGAUUAGAGUAUACUGCCCCAGGAUUUUAAAGUGAGUGCGAGAGUUCAGAUUUAUUUACAUGUUUAGCUUCAGAGCUUCAGAACGUCUUUUUUUCACGAAUACACAAAGCUUGAAUAUCUUUUAUUGAUAGAAGAAAGAGAAUGAGUACAACAGAGGAUACAACACAUGGCAUGAACCCAAAGAGGCAUGAUCAUGGAACCCGGAGUAGAGAGACAAGGGGUGCUCAGCCCGAAUAGGGAAAUGACACAACUACACCCACAAAUCCUAAACAGAGAGGCAGGCCGAACAAGCACGGCGUCGAACAUCUCAAAAUCCAACACCAGGGACACCACGAGCGAACAAGAUAGCGCCUUCAGGAAGGGGUGCGACGUCGUGACACCGCCGCCAUCCGAUCCGAGGAACCGGAUCUAGGGUUUCCCCCAGCGCUCAAAGAGGGGCACGGAUAAAAGCCAUGGCAAAUAACUCACGAGUGUCGCCUCUGCCAACAUCGGCAAGAAGAGCAUGGAUUUCGCCUGGCCCAAGUCCGAGCAAUCCCAUAGCUGCCAAAUCAGGAUCCGAAGAUGAGGAAGACAAUCCGCUAGUCAACCACCGUCCCAGUACGGAGGUGGUGGGGCUGCACCUGCUGCCAAAAGAACACGAGCUUUGGAAAUGACAUGCCGUGGGUGUCGACGGGGUCGGGGAGGCAGCGUGGUAGACAGCUUGCAUGGAGGGUGGGAUGGUGACCGGCGCCGCUGACGAGAUGGAGCCGGAAGGGAGCACAAGUCCGAGCUGCCGGAGGUGAAGCCGCCAGAACACCGGCAAACCGAAGAUGCCGGAAGGGGACGCAGCGACCGGGGUGUUGGGGCUGAAAUUGAAGGAAAUAUGCCCUAGAGGCAAUAAUAAAGUUAUUAUUUAUUUCCUUAUAUCAUGAUAAAUGUUUAUUAUUCAUGCUAGAAUUGUAUUAGCCGGAAACAUAAUACAUGUGUGAAUACAUAGACAAACAGAGUGUCACUAGUAUGCCUCUACUUGACUAGCUCGUUAAUUAAAGAUGGUUAUGUUUCCUAACCAUAGACAUGAGUUGUCAUUUGAUUAACGGGAUCACAUCAUUAGGAGAAUGAUGUGAUUGACUUGACCCAUUCCGUUAGCUUAGCGCACGAUUGUUUAGUAUUCUGCUAUUGCUUUCUUCAUGACUUAUACAUGUUCCUAUGACUAUGAGAUUAUGCAACUCCCGUUUACCGGAGGAACACUUUGUGUGCUAUCAAACGUCACAACGUAACUGGGUGAUUAUAAAGGUGCUCUACAGGUGUCUCCACAGGUACUUGUUGGGUUGGCGUAUUUCGAGAUUAGGAUUUGUCACUCCGAUUGUCGGAUAGGUAUCUCUGGGCCCACUCGGUAAUGCACAUCACUUAAGCCUUGCAAGCAUUGCAACUAAUGAGUUAGUUGCGAGAUGAUGUAUUACGGAACGAGUAAAGAGACUUGCCGGUAACGAGAUUGAACUAGGUAUUGAGACACCGACGAUCGAUUCUCGGGCAAGUAACAUACCGAUGACAAAGGGAACAACGUAUGUUGUUAUGCGGUUUGACCGAUAAAGAUCUUCAUAGAAUAUGUGGGAGCCAAUAUGAGCAUCCAGGUUCCGCUAUUGGUUAUUGACCGAAGACGUGUCUCGGUCAUGUCUACAUAGUUCUCGAACCCGUAGGGUCCGCACGCUUAAAGUUUCGAUGACAGUUAUAUUUUGAGUUUAUAUGUUUUGAUGUACCGAAGGUAGUUCGGAGUCCCAGAUGAGAUCACGGACAUCACGAGGAGUCCCGAAAUGGUCGAGACAUGAAGAUUGAUAUAUUGGACGACUAUAUUCGGACACCGGAAUGGUUCCGGUGGUUAUCGGAUAUAUACCGGAGUACCGGGAGGUUACCGGAACCCCCUGGGGGUUUAAUGGGCCUACAUGGGCCUUAGUGGAGAAGAGGAGAGGCGGCUAGGGCAGGCCGCGCGCCCCCUCCCCCUCUAGUCCGAAUUGGACAAGGAGGGGGGCGGCGCCCCCCCUUUCCUUCCUCUCUCUCUCCUCUUUCCCCCUUCUCCUAAUCCAACAAGGAAGGGAAGGGAGUCCUACUCCCGGUGGGAGUAGGACUCCUCCUGGCGCGCCCCUCUCCUGGCCGGCCGCCUCUCCCCCUUGCUCCUUUAUAUAAGGGGGCAGGGGGGCACCCCAAAGACACAACAAUUGAUCAUUGAUCUUUUAGCCGUGUGCGGUGCCCCCCUCCACCAUAGUCCACCUCGAUAAUAUCGUAGCGGUGCUUAGGCGAAUCCCUGCGUCGGUAGAACAUCAUCAUCGUCACGACGCCGUCGUGCUGACAAAACUCUCCCUCAACACUCGGCUGGAUCGGAGUUCGAGGGACGUCAUCGGGUUGAACGUGUGCUGAACUCGGAGGUGCCGUGCGUUCGGUACUUGAUCGGUCGGAUCGUGAAGAAGUACGACUACGUCAACCGCGUUGUGCUAACGCUUCCGCGUUCGGUCUACGAGGGUACGUGGACACACUCUCCCCUCUCGUUGCUAUGCAUCACCAUGAUCUUGCGUGUGCGUAGGAAUUUUUUUGAAAUUACUACGUUCCCCAACAGUGGCAUCCGAGCCAGGUUUUAUGCCUAGAUGUUAUAUGCAUGAGUAGAACACAAGUGAGUUGUGGGCGAUACAAGUCAUACUGCUUACCAGCAUGUCAUUCUUUGGUUCGGCGGUAUUGUUGGAUGAAGCGGCCCGGACCGACAUUACGCGUACGCUUACGCGAGACUGGUUCUACCGACGUGCUUUGCACACAGGUGGUUGGCAGGUGUCAGUUUCUCCAACUUUAGUUGAACCGAGUGUGGCUACGCGCGGUCCUUGAGAAGGUUAAAACAGCACUAACUUGACGACUAUCGUUCUGGUUUUGAUGCGUAGGUAAGAAUGGUUCUUGCUCAGCCCGUAGCAGCCAUGUAAAACUUGCGACAACAAAGUAGAGGACGUCUAACUUGUUUUUGCAGGGCAUGUUGUGAUGUGAUAUGGUCAAGACAUGAUGCUAUAUUUUAUUGUAUGAGAUGAUCAUGUUUUGUAACAGAGUUAUCAACAACUGGCAGGAGCCAUAUGGUUGUCGCUUUAUUGUAUGCAAUGCAAUCGCCCUGUAAUGCUUUACUUUAUCACUAAGCGGUAGCGAUAGUCGUAGAAGCAUAAGUUGGCGAGACGACAACGAUGCUAUGAUGGAGAUCAAGGUGUCGCGCCGGUGACGAUGGUGAUCAUGACGGUGCUUCGGAAAUGGAGACCACAAGCACAAGAUGAUGAUGGCCAUAUCAUAUCACUUAUAUUGAUUGCAUGUGAUGUUUAUCUUUUAUGCAUCUUAUCUUGCUUUGAUUGACAGUAGUAUUAUAGGAUGAUCUCUCACUAAAUUAUCAAGGUAUAAGUGUUCUCCCUGAGUAUGCACCGUUGCGAAAGUUCUUCGUGCUGAGACACCACGUGAUGAUCGGGUGUGAUAGGCUCUACGUUCAAACACAACGGGUGCAAAACAGUUGCACACGCGAAAUACUCAGGUUAAACUUGACGAGCCUAGCAUAUAACAGAUAUGGCCUCGGAACACUGAGACCGAAAGGUCGAGCGUGAAUCAUAUAGUAGAUAUGAUCAACAUAAAUGAUGUUCACCAUUGAAACUACUCCAUCUCACGUGAUGAUCGGACAUGGUUUAGUUGAUAUGGAUCACGUGCUCACUUAGAGGAUUAGAGGGAUGUCUAUCUAAGUGGGAGUUCUUAAGUAAUAUGAUUAAUUGAACUUUAAUUUAUCAUGAACUUAGUCCUGGUAGUAUUAGCAUAUCUAUGUUGUAGAUCAAUAGCUCGCGAUAUUGCUCCCCGUUUAAUUUUUAUAUGUUCCUAGAGAAAACUAAGUUGAAAGAUGUUAGUAGCAAUGAUGUGGAUUGGAUCCGUGAUCUGAGGUUUAUCCUCAUUGCUGCACAGAACAAUUAUGUCCUUGAUGCAGCGCUAGGUGACAGACGUAUUGCAGGAGGACAUGCAGACGUUAUGAACGUUUGGCUAGCUCAAUAUGAUGACUACUUGAUAGUUUAGUGCACCAUGCUUAACGGCUUAGAAUCAGGACUUCAAAGAUGUUUUGAACAUCAUGGACCAUAUGAGAUGUUCCAGGAGUUGAAGUUAAUAUUUCAAGCAAAUACCCUAGUUGAGAGAUAUGAAGUCUCCAACAAGUUCUAUAGCUAAAAGAUGGAGGAGAAUAGCUCAAGAAGUGAGCAUGUGCUCAGAUUGUCUGGGUACUACAAUCACUUGAAUCAAGUGGGAGUUAAUCUUCCAGAUAAAGAUAGUGAUUGACAGAAUUCUCUAGUCACCAUCACAAAGUUAGUAUAACUUCGUGAUGAACUAUAGUAUGCAAGGGAUAACGUAAACGAUUCCCGAGCUUUUCAUGCUGGUGAAAUCAGAAAUCAAGAAAGAGCAUCAAGUGUUGAUGAUUAACAAGACCACUAGUUUCAAGAAAAUGGCAAAGGGAAAGAAAGGGAACUUCAUGUAGAACGGCAAGCAAGUUGCUGCUCAAGUGAAGAAGCCCAAGUUUGGACCUAAGCCUGAGACUGAGUGCUUCUACUGCAAAAGGACUGGUCACUGGAAGCAGAACUACCCGAAAUAAUUGGCGUAUAAGAAGGAUGGCAAAGUGAACAAAAGUAUAUUUGAUAUACAUGUUAUUGAUGUGUACUUUACUAGUGUUUAUAGCAACCCCUCAGUAUUUUAUACUGGUUGGCAACCUCUGCUUGCCUCUGCGAAGGGCCUAUCUUUUACUUUUAUGCAAGAGUCAUGGUGAUCUUCACCUUUCCUUUUUUUCAUUUUAUCCUUUGGCAAGUACCUCGUGUUGGAAAGAUUCUGAUAUAUCCAAUUGGAUGUAAGGCAUCAUGAACUAUUAUUGUUAACAUUACCCUUGAGGUAAAAGGUUGGGAGGCGAAUCUAUAAGCCCCUAUCUUUCUCUGUGUCUGAUUAAAACUUUGAACCCAUAAAUAUCGCGUGAGUGUUAGCAAUUGUGAAAGACUAAAUGAUAGUUGAGUAUGUGGAGUUUGCUAAAUCAAAGCUCUGACAUAGACUCUUCCUGAAAAUAAGAUGAAUUGUAAUUGUUUGAUGACUAAUAACACGGCUUGUUAGUUUUCAAGAAAGUUUAUGAUCUAUACUUUAACAUGUGAAUAGCUUGUUACUUGAUCAUGAAAAGUUCUAUGAGUUGAGCUACUGUUAUGACAUAUGAUGAUGCUAGAAAAAGUGAUUGAAAUUAUCAUUGAUCAAACUUGUGCACCUGCUAGCAUUCACACUUCAUAAAUUCUUUCUUUUAUCAUUUACCUACUCGAGGAUGAGCAGGAAUUAAGCUUGGGGAUGCUGAUACGUCUCCAACGUAUCUAUAAUUUAUGAAGUAUUCAUGCUAUUAUAUUAUCUGUUUUGGAUGUUUAUGGGCUUUAUUGAACACUUUUAUAUUAUUUUUGGGACUAACCUAUUAACCUAGAGCCCAUUGCCAGUUUCUGUUUUUUGCUUGUUUUUGAGUUCUACAGAAAAGGAAUACCAAACGGAGUCCAAUGGACGUCCCAAUUUUUGACGAUUUUUUAUGGACCAAAAGGAGACCCCGGAGCAAAAGGGUUGGGACAGGAGAGUCCCGGGCUGCCCACGAGGGUGGGGGGCGUGCCCUCCCCCCCUGGGCGUGGGCCCCUGCCUCGUGGACAACCCGGAGACCCCCCUGACAUGAGACCUACGCCAAAAAAUCCUAUAAAUACUGAAACCUCCAGAAAGCAGAAUAGAUCGGGAGUUCCGCCGCCGCAAGCCUCUGUAGCCACCAAAAACCAACCGGGACCCUGUUCCGGCACCCUGCCCGAGGGGGUAUGUCGGUGUCAAAACCGGCGGAUCUCGGGUAGGGGGUCCCGAACUGUGCGUCUAAGGCGGAUGGUAACAGGAGGCGGGGGACACGAUGUUUACCCAGGUUCGGGCCCUCUCGAUGGAGGUAAUACCCUACUUCCUGCUUGAUUGAUCUUGAUGAUAUGAGUAUUACAAGAGUUGAUCUACCACGAGAUCGUAGAGGCUAAACCCUAGAAGCUAGCCUAUGGUAUGAUUGUUUUUGUCCUACGGACUAAACCCUCCGGUUUAUAUAGACACCGGAGGGGGCUAGGGUUACACAGAGUCGGUUACAAGGGAGGAGAUCUGCAUAUCCGUAUUGCCAAGCUUGCCUUCCAUGCCAAGGAGAGUCCCAUCCGGACACGGGACGAAGUCUUCAAUCUUUUGUCUUCAUAGUCCAACAGUUCGGCUAAAGUAUAUAGUCCGGCUGUCCGAGGACCCCCUAAUCCAGGACUCCCUCAGUAGCCCCUGAACGAGGCUUCAACGACGAUGGGUCCGACGCGCAGAUUGUCUUCGGCAUUGCAAGGCGGGUUCCUCCUCCGAAUAUUCCAUAGAAGAUUUUGAACACAAGGAUAGUGUCCGGCUCUGCAAAACAAAUUCCACAUACCACCAUAGAGAGAAUAAUAUUUCCACAAAUCUAAUCUACUGACACAUUCUGCAGCAUGACAUCACACCAUGGCCCGGUCAUUAUUCGGACCGUUUUUCUUAACCAGCCACUGCACAUAUCGCGAGGCGGUUUUCUUGGCACGUCUUGUCGAAGCAGAGAUCGUGUCCCCCUAUCACGGGAUUGUCAUCAAUACGGGUGUGGGUAACCUAACCGCGCCAUCAAUUACAGCUCUUGGGGAAUAAGCGAGUUUACCAGGCAGGUGGGGAGGCGCAUAGUUCCUUCCGCCCUUAUAAAGAGACAAGGAUUCAUCUUUUUCACCCACGCCCUCUUCCUCCUUGCUCAUCCGUUCUUGCGCACUUGAGCUCCAACACCCAAGUUCGCAUUCUCUCCUCAAACCACUCCAAGCAUGUCCGGAGCAGGAGGCAAGUGGAUGGUCUCCUCCGUUACGAAGGAGGACAUCACAAGGCUAUGGGGAGCCGGAUACCUGGCCGCGGAUAUCGCGCACCGGCUACAAGAUGCGGGGCAGAUCGUCCCUACUCCAGAACCCCAUGAGAGGGUGAUAUUUCUUACCCACUUUGUCCGCGGACUGGGAUUUCCCCUCCACCUGUUUGUCCGCGGGCUCAUGUUCUACUACGGGCUGGACUAUCACGAUCUGGCCCCCAAUUUCAUCCUCAACAUCUCGGCGUUUAUCGUCGUGUGCGAGGCCUUCCUCCGCAUCAAGCCCCACUUCGGCCUGUGGCUGAAGACCUUCAACGUUAAACCGAAGGUGGUGGCCGGCCAGCAAGCGGAGUGCGGAGGCGCCAUGGUGGGCAAAAUGCCCAACGUCACCUGGCUAGAAGGCUCCAAUGUGGAGACCGUAAAGGGGUGGCAAUCGGGGUGGUUCUACAUCACCGAGCCGCGCGACACCAACUGGGUAGCGGCCCCCGAAUUUUUAUCCGGAAUCCCCAUGCGGCUCACCUCCUAGAAAGAGAAGGGCCUAUCCUGGGGUUCCUCGGUAGAGCUGACCGGACCCCAGACCUGCGUCAAAAACAUGAUGAGCAAGAAAAUCAAGCUUGUCAACAUGGUCCAAGUCAUGCUCUUCCGCCCGAUCCUCCCGUGUCAAAGACGGGCAUUCAAUUUGUGGGAGUUCGACCCGGCCGAGCACCAGACGCUGCGAGAGCUCUUCGACACGGCGCACAAGGACGUCUGGAAGGUGAUGUUCAAGGGCGCUGAGGUACCUCCUCCCCUUACCAAGGACCGCGGACUCAGCGCAAAGCGCCCUGCCAAUCCGGUAUGUCUUUUAUAUUUCAUAAGAUGUUCUUUUCCCCAGUAUAACCACACGCGGGAUCUAAGCCCCCACGCCAUUUAACAGGACUGGGUAGCGACAGCGGAGCAGAUCGAUUGUCCAGCCCCCCUGCCUGAAGAUCCAGCGGAUGCUCUCCUAACGGAGAUCCUGGUUUCGGCGCCUUAUGAGGUGCCGGAGAAGAAGGCCACGGGGACCAGGAAGGGUCUCCGGCGCAAGGUUAUAUCGGACUCAUCGUCCGAAAACACCGAGGCGCACUCCUCCCACGAAAACGGGGAGGAAGAGGAAAGUUCUCCCCCCCAGCCAGGGGGGACAGGACAAGGAAGGCUGCCCCAUCAGGGGAGGCCGAAGGGUCCAAGAAGGGAAGGACCCUCCUCCCGGACUGCUCCACAAAGGCCGCUUUUAGCGACGAGGAGUGGUUACCCAGGGACAAGCCCCUGGCAAAGUCGUGAGUAUCCGGAUACCAUAAUAAUUCUUGGUACGUCUUAUUGUACUGUUUCUUAUCACGCCGCGCAUGAUUAUGCAGUCCGUCCCGAGCCCAUAUCGACGUAUCUUCGUCGGAUGAUUCUUUGGGCCCGUCAGAUAUGAAUAGCGAUUCACUCCCGACUGCCUCCUCCCCCCGCCCUACGGACGACGCCGAGGUGUUGUCUCAAAGGGAACUAAACCAAGGGGAGACAGUUCCGGAGGCGCCCCAAGGCGACAUUCCAGGCGCUAGGUGCACGAGGGGCAAGACUCCCCUAGGCCCUAACACCGGGGGCAGUAAGUCUAGCCCCAAGCCGAAUACGGCGCCGGAACCUCCAGUGGUUCCGGAUUCUGUCAGGCAACCCCUCGCUAAGGGGGGUAAGCCGUCUGUGCCGAUGGCCUCUGUCCAUCCAGAGGCAUCGGACAACUUGCUAGAAGUGCUUCGCGGCGCUUCCAUUGACGAAGAGCACCGCACUAUUAUGAGUGCGGUAGUUAAGAAGGUUCAGUCCGCUAAGAGCGGACUGACUGAAGCCUGUGCCAACCUCCUAACCGGCUUUGAGGUAAGUAAUCAAAUUGUAAGAAAAUGUUACAGCAUAGACAGUAGCCCCUGAUGCUCUGUUUGGCGUUCGCGGAGAAAGGCCGAAUAGAGGAUCAAAUAAUAAUCGCAGGAGUCUAAUCAGAAUGUGUCUAUGUGAAUAAGCGGGCUUCACUGCUGGCCGCCGCCGCUCGUACUGCGGAGGUCACCGCACUGAAGCGGGACCUUGAGCGGUCCAAGGAAGAGCUCGGCCUUACCAAGAGGCAGCUCGAAGAGAACAAAGGUAAGUGACACCCCGUCUGAAUAUUGGUAAAGAAAAAUUUGGUUUUGGAAUAAUAGGAUCCUCAUGAAUUUUGCUAGGGGCCACGACCGAAGUGGCGGCCCUGCAGAAGGCGCUAUCUGAGGCCGAAGACAAAGCGGCCAAGGAGCACAUCGAGCGAGAGAAGCAAGAGGCCCGAGUAGGCGAGGUGCGGCAAGAGCUCCAGGCUCUCGUCAAGAAACACGAGUCCUUGGAGCUUGACUCUAUGACGCAAGGGUCCGAGCUUGCGAAGGCCCUCGAAAGCGCACAACAUGCCAAGGCCAAAGCCCAAAAGGCCCUCCAGGAAAUUUAGGCGGUUAAGAAGAUAGCGGCGGGUAAGGCAUUCAUUAUGCAAAGCAAGCAUGUGAAGGAAACUUUCUUUUUACUUACCCGAGUUCGGAGUUCUCCAGAAGCGUUCGCAGAUCUACCCCGCAGUGUGUCGGAUGCCACGGAGUUCUACCGGGCCGAGGAGGGGAGCUCGGCGGAGAAGUUGUUCUGGUCUCAGUAUACUGGGACCGAACAUCCAAUGCCCUUGAGCGACCAGUUGAAGCAACUGGUCGAGCUUCACAAGGCGGCCGAACAGGCCAUGAAGGGUCUUAUGGUCUGGAUGUGGCAUGGCGACCCCUGCCUGGUAGCUACUUCGGUCUGGUGAGGCGGCUUGUGAAUGCCUGCACACGGUUUGAAGUCAUAAAGCGGUCCGUCUGCAUUGAGGGUGCGCGCAGGACUUUUGCCCGGGCGAAGGUGCACAGGGCGAAGCUGGACGCCGAAAAGCUGGUGAAGGAGGGGCCGCCGGAGGGCAAGGAGCAUCGCCACCCCGAAAAGUAUUAUGAUAGUGUCCUGAAGGGUGCUCGCCUUGUGGCGGAGGAAUGUGCUAAGGAUGUAAUAUUUGAAUGAAUGUACUCAUGUGAUCCUGUAAUAUGAAACGAGUUCAUUUGCGUACGCAAUGCUUGUUAAUUUAAAAUAUUACCUUCUAUGCGGCCGUUUAUAAAAUCUGAGAGUUGGCCAGUCGUCGGCUUCUGCCCCCAUGUAACUAGUACUAAGGUGUUCGGGGUAAACCUGAGCACUCUUUAUCCCAAUUUUGGGUCCUUCGAAGGAGGUGUUUAGCACAAUGAACCAGGCAAUCGGACUAUAAAGCUUUAUCACUCUCACUUAGCCAUAGAAGUCUACAAUUUUAAAUUUUGGCGAAGCCCCUAGUAUUUCGAAGGCCGAAUUUGGGGCACUAUAUACGCCUAAGUCGGGCAAGACGACUCCUUGCCCGAAGCGGAAAGAGACUUUAAGGACUUGAGACCUCUCGAACAGCGACCAGCUCUCGCCUCAUUAUGACAGUCAGUUUUCGGCUUUCUCUACUGAGGUGCUCGUCCGGAAGAACCGGGACACAAUCGCAGUAGUUCUCCCAAGGCUACCUUAGCCGAUAUUGCGGAACGUAAGGUACCAAAACAUGGGAGCCGGGCAAACCCAACUAUUGACCCAAGACAUGAUUCGGAGCUGGUGCAUAUAAUUCUAUAAGUUCGGGGUGCCGCACUGUCGAAAGUGUUCGGACUUCUCACACUGUAUUAUGGGGUAUACUAAAGCCCCUGGCGCACUGGUCAUACCAGGAUGUACGGGUGCAAUUUGUCGUAAAUAAGCAGACAAGGAAAAAAAAGAAAGGGGAAUGCAAUAAUAGACUAACGAUAUGCAUUGUUAUUAAAUAAUACGUCAAAGCGACGGAUACAAGUAGUGCAAUAAGCAAAAAAUAAGACUAUUUGACAUGUCCUAUCCAAGGGCAAGCUGCGUAUGGGUAUGUAAAACAGGUAUUUCGAUCGUUAUCAGAGACCACCUAGGGAUUCCCUUGUACGUCAGAGCGUCUUGCUUCCUUGGUAUUUCCUUACCGCGAUGGGUCCAACAAUUAGAUUGCCGAAAAGGGCUUCCAGAGAGUAAGGUCCUGAAAGAGAGAAAAUGAUAAAGGUAUAUGGCCCCUGGGGCGGUUGAGCCACCUUGUGGGACGUGCCGUAGCUGUGCCUCCGCCUAUGCCCAUGGUAUCUUGAGUGCGUAGUUAUGUACGCGCGGCGCAAAUUUCGCCACUUGACUGGGACUAGGACGGAGGCCGAAUUGCUAGGCGAGCUCAAAACGUGCAUGGCGAUCCUCCUGCGGGGUACCCCGGACUCGCUUGAAGGUGUCCGGGGUCUUUUUCGCCGAAUUGGCGGUUUGCCUAUUAAGGCUGCUUUGCGCUUCUGCUGCGAGGGCUGCAGUGUGCUCCUCCGUGCGGAGCGAGCGCUCUGUGUUUCCAUUAACUGUUAUAACCCCGCGUGGUCCUGGCAUUUUGAGUUUGAGGUAUGCAUAAUGCGGUACCGCAUUGAAUCUGGGAAAUGCGGUUCGUCCGAGCAGUGCGUGAUAGCCGCUGCGAAAGGGGACGAUGCCGAAGAUUAACUCCUCGCGUCGAAAAUUGUCCGGAGAUCCGAAGACCACUUCCAGUGUGAUUGAGUCCGUGCAACAGGCCUCUACACCUGGGAUUACACCUUCAAAGGAGGUUUUGGUGGGUUUGAUCCUCGAGGGGUCUAUGCCCAUUUUGCACACUGUAUCCUGAUAGAGCAGGUUCAGGCUGCUGCCACCGUCCAUAAGGACGCGAGUGAGGUGAAAUCCGUCAAUGAUGGGGUCAAGGACCAAUGCGGCAGAUCCGCCAUGACGGAUACUAGUGGGGUGGUCCCUGCGAUCGAAGGUGAUCGGACAAGAGGACCAUGGGUUCAACUUUGGGGCGACUGGCUCCAUAGCAUAGACGUCCCUUAGUGCACGCUUCCGUUCCCUCUUGGGAAUAUGGGUUGCGUAUAUCAUGUUCACCGUUUUCACUUGUGGAGGGAACCUCUUCUGUCCUCCAAUGUUCGGCGGCCGAGGCUCCUCCUCGUCGUCGCUAUGGAGCCCCUUGUCCUUGUUUUUGGCAUUUAACUUGUCGGCCUGCUUGAAUACCCAGCAUUCUCUGUUGGUGUGAUUGGCUGGCUUAUCGGGGGUGCCAUGAAUUUUAACGAGCAAUCGAGUAUACGGUCCAAACUGGACGGGCCCGGAUUGCUUGUUUUGAACGGCUUCUUCCGCUGACCGGAUUUAGAGCCACUGAAUCCGGCAUUGACUGUCGUGUCUUCGGCGUUGUCGCCGUUGUUGUGGCGCUUGUGUCUGUUGCGACGUGGUCUGCCAAUAGUAUCUUUGGCGUCUGAAUUGCCGGGAUUUCUUGAUGUGCUGUUGCUGCGAGCUAGCCAGCUGUCCUCGCCCGCGCAAAAGCGGGUCAUGAGUGUCGUGAGGGCUGCCAUGGACUUCAGCUUCUCUUGGCCGCGGUGUCAGGCGAGCCACUCGUCCCGGAUGUUAUGUUUAAAUGCCGCUAAGGCCUCGGCAUCCGGACAGUCGACAAUUUGGUUCUUUUUAGUUAGGAACCGAGUACAGAAUUUCCUGGCCGAUUCCCCUGGCUGUUGGGUUAUGUGGCUCAAGUCAUCAGCAUCUGGUGGUCGCACAUAAGUGCCCUAGAAGUUGUCAAGGAAUGCGUCUUCCAAAUUCUCCCAACUGCCAAUGGAGUUUGCUGGCAGGCUAUUCAGCCAAUGUCGAGCUGGUCCUUUGAGUUUUAGUGGGAGGUACUUGAUGGCAUGUAGAUCGUCAUCGCGGGCCAUGUGGAUGUGGACGAGGAAAUCCUCGAUCCAUACCGCGGGGUCUGUUGUACCAUCAUAUGACUCAAUGUUCACGGGUUUGAAUCCUUCUAGGAAUUCAUGAUCCAUUACUUCAUCGGUGAAGCAUAGUGGGUGUGCAGCGCCUCUGUGCCGGGCUAUGUCACGACGCAGUUCAUACGAGUCUUGUCUGCUGUAUUCGGCCCCGCCGGAUUUGCUUUUAGUGUAUCCGGCAUGACGAUCAUCAUCACACAUUGGGGCGCGACCCCGUGAUCCGUAGAUCGAUCUUGUUUGUCCUGCUCUGUUUUCCUAUACGUCUCGCAGGUCCCGCGUGUUGCCCCAGGCCUUGGUAUUUAUGUUUGAAUGGCGGCGGGGUGCGGGCUGGACUUCGGGCUGAUAUGCCCCUCUGUCUCGGCCACGAGGUGGCCGAUCAGCCGCAUCAUACGCUGGUGAUGUAGGUUUUAAUGCUUCCUCCUCGAUUUGGGGUAGCAACCUGCGCUUUGGGUAACUCUUGGUUGGGCGCUCGAGUUCGUAUUCCUCUACCUCCAGGACUUCAGUCCAUCUAUCCGCUAGCAGAUAUUGAUCAGCUCGAAGCUGUUGUUGCUUUUUCUUCAGGCUGUUUGUUGUAGCUAUAAGCCGACGCUUGAAGCGCUCCUGCUUGACGGGAUCCUCAGGCACGAUAAAUUCUUCGUCGCCGAGGCUCACCUCGUCUUCGGAGAGAGGCAUGUAAUUGUCAUCCUCUGAUUCUCCGUCUGCUGCCUAUUCCGGAGGGCUAGCUUGUUCAUCCUCUCGCUCGAGGUCUGGCUGGAGGGGAUUGUCGUCGUCUUUGGCACUAUCCGGAGCGUUAUUGUCUCUUGUGCCGGUAUCGCUGCUUUUGCUAUGGCGGGACUUAGAGCGGCGCCGCUGACGUCGGUGCUUGGGUUGCUUCUUGGAGGGAUUAUCCUCGGUUGUCUUAUCGCCGUCGCCUUCUUUGGGGGUGUCCACCAUGUAUAUAUCAUAUGAUGAGGUGGCAGUCCAGCGCCCUGUGGGCGGUGGUUCCUGUUCGUCUCCUGUAUCGUCGUCCAUACCGUCGAUGUUUUCGGAGCCGAAAUCGAGCAUGUCGGUUAAAUCGUCGACAGUGGCUACUAAGUGGCUGGUGGGUGGGGAGCGAAUUUCUUCGUCGUCCGCAUCCCAUUCUAGCCAGACAUAGUUCGGCCAAGGGUCUCCUGACAAGGAGAGAGACCUCAAUGAGUUCAGCACGUCGCCCAGUGGUGAGUGCUGAAAGAUAUCCGCGGAGGAAAACUCCAUAAUCGGUGCCCAAUCAGAUUCGAUAGGCACAUACGCAGGCGGCUCAGAGCCCGUGGCCGGGGAUGAAUCCAGGUGUCCGGCGACACAGGUCUCAUAGGAGGUGAAGUCAGUAUUCGGCUCUAUCGCCACUCAGUGUGUGGCCUCCGAGGCGGGGUCCAUCCACCCGUCCUCGGACGGCGCAAUCGACUCCGGAUCUAGGGCCGGAGUAGCCAUGGGUGUGAUCUCCCGAACACCGUCCGGCGGCAGAGCUAAGUCGUGCUCGUCGUGACUGUGCGGCGCACCUGACAUGGGCUCGAAUCCGUCAAAGAUAAAGUCUCCGCGGAUGUUGGCACUGUAGUUUAAAUUUCCAAACCUGACCUGACAGCCAGGGGCGUAGCUCUCGAUCUGCUCCAGAUGGCCAAGCGAGUUGGCCCACAGUACGAAGCCGCCGAAUACAAAGAUCUGUCCGGGGAGGAAAACCUCACCCUGGAUCGCAUCGUUGGCGAUGAUUGAAGGAGCCAUCAAGCCUUUAUCGCGACGGCAGAGUGGAACUCUCAAUGAAAGCACCAAUGUCGGUGUCAAAACCGGCGGAUCUCGGGUAGGGGGUCCUGAACUGUGCGUCUAAGGCGGCUGGUAACAGGAGGCGGGGGACAUGAUGUUUACCCAGGUUCGGGCCCUCUCGAUGGAGGUAAUACCCUACUUCCUGCUUGAUUGAUCUUGAUGAUAUGAGUAUUACAAGAGUUGAUCUACCACGAGAUCGUAGAGGGUAAACCUUAGAAGCUAGCCUAUGGUAUGAUUGUUGUUGUCCUAGGGACUAAACCCUCCGGUUUAUAUAGACACAGGAGGGGGCUAGGGUUACACAGAGUCGGUUACAAGGGAGGAGAUCUACAUAUCCGUAUUGCCAAGCUUGCCUUCCACGCCAAGGAGAGUCCCAUCCGGACACGGGACGGAGUCUUCAAUCUUGUGUCUUCAUAGUCUAACAGUCCGCCUAAAGUAUAUAGUCUGGCUGUCCGAGGACCCCCUAAUCCAGGACUCCCUCAGGGUAUCCCUCACCGGUGGCCAUCUUCAUCAUCCCGGCGCUCUCCAUGACGAAGAGGGAGUAGUUCACCCUCGGGGCUGAGGGUAUGUACCAGUAGCUAUGUGUUUGAUCUCUCUCUCUCUCUCGUGUUCUUGAUUCAGCACGAUCUUGAUGUAUCAUGAGAUUUGCUAUUAUAGUUGGAUCUUAUGAUGCUUCUCCCCCUCUACUCUCUUGUAAUGGAUUGAGUUCUCCCUUUGAAGUUAUCUUAUCGGAUUGAGUCUUUAAGGAUUUGAGAACACUUGAUGUAUGUCUUGUCGUGCUUAUCUAUGGUGACAAUGGGAUAUCACGUGAUCCACUUGAUGUAUGUUUUGGUGAUCAACUUGCGGGUUCCGCCCAUGAACCUAUGCAUAGGGGUUGGCACACGUUUUCGUCUUGACUCUCUGGUAGAAACUUUGGGGCACUCUUUGAAAUACUUUGUGUUGGUUGAAUAGAUGAAUCUGAGAUUGUGUGAUGCAUAUCGUAUAAUCAUGCCCACGGAUACUUGAGGUGACAAUGGAGUAUCUAGGUGACAUUAGGGUUUUGGUUGAUUUGUGUCUUAAGGUGUUAUUCUAGUACGAACUCUAUGAUAGAUUGAACGGAAAGAAUAGCUUCAUGUUAUUUUACUACGGACUCUUGAAUAGAUCGAUCAGAAAGGAUAACUUUGAGGUGGUCUCGUACCCUACCAUAAUCUCUUCGUUUGUUCUCCGCUAUUAGUUACUUUGGAGUGACUCUUUGUUGCAUGUCGAGGGAUAGUUAUAUGAUCCAAUUAUGUUAUUAUUGUUGAGAGAACUUGCACUAGUGAAAGUAUGAACUCUAGGCCCUGUUUCCUAGCAUUGCAAUACCAUUUACGCUCACUUUUAUUAUUAGUUACCUUGCUGUUUUUAUAUUUUCAGAUUACAAAAACCUAUAUAUACCAUCCAUAUUGCACUUGUAUCACCAUCUCUUCGCCGAAUUAGUGCACCUAUACAAUUUACCAUUGUAUUGGGUGUGUUGGGGACACAAGAGACUCUUUGUUAUUUGGUUGCAGGGUUGUUUGAGAGAGACUAUCUUCAUCCUACGCCUCCCACGGAUUGAUAAACCUUAGGUCAUCCACUUGAAAGAAAUUUGCUACUGUCCUACAAAGCUCUGCACUUGGAGGCCCAACAACGUCUACAAGAAGAAGGUUUUGUAGUAGAUAUCAGGGGGAGGGGGGUGAAACCGCCCCGCCGCCGCCGUCCCCGAGCGCGGCGCGGCUUCGCUGGCCGGCCCUCCGGCGGCAGCGAUGCGGGGGGAGGGGGGCACUGGCGGAGGAAGGCUACCGGUGGCGAUGAAGGUUUCCCCCGUAUCGCCUGUUGCGGGCGACGCGGGGGCAGGGUUGACCAGCUCGAGGAUUUCGGCUGAGCUGUAGAACGUAUGAAAUAUUGAAGGAAAACAAAAACAUGAGAAUCAACAGAUAUUGGAGAAGUUGGUACAGAGUGGUACAUGGAAAGGAAAUUUUACUUUUACUGGAGGUUGAAUGAAGUUAUGUUUACACCUUCCAUUUCACUUUGUGGGCACUCCGAAGUUGCAAAGAAAAAAUAUAUAAAAUAUCAUCAUUCGUACGCAUUUAUAUGCAGGUAAUGAAAAUGGCUCCACCUAAUUAUAAGAUUAUUAAGCACUUUUAGUACCCGGGAGUCCCUGGUACUGUGAAGAUGAUAUUAAGACUAAUUAAUGGACAUGGAUUUGUUCUGAUCACACAAAGAUAGCUCAAACACCCAUCCGCUUACUUGCUUGCAUUUCAAAAGAUUGAUAACCACAUUUCAUCAUUUUUCCCCACUUCUCCACCUUGCUGGUGAUAUAUAUCCAGCUUCCGCAUAUAUGAUAUUUUUCACUCUAGCACUUUCAGCUUCUUUUUGAAAUGAAGAGUACUUUUCUUGCUGAUGCAGCAACAAUAGUAAGUCAGAGCUUUCUUAGGCCUUGUACAAUGCAAGGUGCUUUGAGAAAUAAACUAGGCUUUCCUUAAGCACCGAUACUUAUUUGUACAGGAUACUUUAUUAAUUUUUCUCACAAGAUCUUACAAAGUCAUACAACAGUAAGACUAAAGCCGCCGUCUAAGCAACAAACUGUCGCUACACCUAUCCAGUUGAUGAAGGGACGCAGAUAGCCUGGGCCUAAUACCAAACAGACAUCGCAUCCAAGCCUAACAUCUAAGACCUGAGACCCCAACCUAGCCACUUGCCGGGUCUGGGGCACACACUGGUCCGGCGUGCUCUCAGAGGCCGCCGCCGCCAACUGCCACCGCUCCAUCUUCAGAAUUGUACUGAUGCAUCAACCUUACUCGGUCUAGCUAUCGUCGACGCCACCACUGCGCCCAGCGGCACCUCCUCCCUGCCCGCAAACAACUGAGCACAUCGCGGUCGCCACUGAUACACCUCAGCACCAUGCUGCCAAGUACCACCAGCUGACACAGCUUGAAGUCCUUGGAAGAUCUUUCAUGCGUAGCACCUGCCGACCAAGUAUGACAAAGUGUAGCACCUGUCGGUCAGGCAUGACUUGACAUCUCCACCGAAGCUCCGUGCAAGACGAAGCCGCUCCACCUCCUGCCUCUGACUUCCAGCGCUGCUCCACAAACGAUGCUCCCAAGAGAGAAACGAGACAGCGGUGCCACAAUCGUCCGAUCUGGAACACCAGAUCCUAGAGUUUCCCGUGGAGCAGCACGAGUGGGUCGACAGUAGUUACACGAUGAUGCCUCCAUCAAGGUAACGACGAGAACGCCGCCAUCGCCUACCGUCGGCUCGAUUUUCACCGGCAACCAUGUCUCCCCUACUCGCAGUCGGGACUAGAUGAUGGAUCUCGAGAUCCGAUCACCAAGCCUCUGGCCGGCCAUCUCUGGAAGAAGAUGACCACCACGUCCACCAGCGUCACCACACCGGGCACGCGUUGCCGCCGGCACCCCCAUGGUGCCUAGAGGCCGACAAGCCCCGACGAACACCACGCCUCGCCAGCCGCCAUAGCCCAGGCCCAAGCACCACCAGAUCCAGAUCAGAUCGGGGUCAAGGGCCCCAAGCCGCAGCCGUCGCGGAGGCAGCACCACUAGACGGUGCCCUGCCCUCCACCCCGCUGUAGGAUCGAGUCAUCGCCGGAGCUCCGCCACGCCACGCCGCCAAGACGCCGCCGGAAGAACUCGCGCCGCCGCUAGGGGAGAGAGAGACGCGCUAGGGAGAGGCCCCGCCGCUGGCACUGCCUUGGCUUUGCCCGGCUGUGUCCCUCGGCGGCGGCGAGGGGGGAGGGAGGGUGGAGGAGGGCCGGCGGCGGAGGGGGCUAGGGUUCCCCCGAGUCGCCUCAGAGAGGGACGCAGGCGACGGGGUGAGAAAACUGAGAGAGUGGAUAUGGCCUUUACUCGAGCUCAUGGGGUGGCCCGACUGCUGGUGAGUGUUCUCGAUAUUGAGUUCGUGCCUGAUGUGGUUAAGUGGACAUAUAGGGGACAGAUUUUCAACCUCGAGAUUGAGUUUGAGGAUGCCGCUCUCUUCGCUGAGGCUAUCAAUGGGACUGAUGUAGAUAUGCACGAGGGUGAUGACAGCUCGGGUGCUAAGGAGGCACCGGUUGAUGAUGUUGGACGAGAGUUGUCCAACUAAUCGGGGCCCGUUCCUCAGACGCCCAGGGACGGGACGGCACCAUCCUCUUCGGUGCCUAUGAGUUCUCUGAGAUUUGGGUCGUUUGAGCCAGCUUCUGCUCCUCCCAGACUCUGGAGUGACCGGGUGGAGUCCGAUGACGUGUUUGAGCGCACGCUACCUACCCUGGAUUUUGUUGCUGCUGAUAGUCCCGUGCUUGGAGGUUUGGAGGGGAUUAUCUCUGUGCAGACCUCGGUAAGGGGAGGGGAGGCGGAGCUUGGGCAGGUGGCCCCUCUUUCCCCCGCUCUCCCUGCGGUGUCACCUCGGGAGACGGAGUCGACUAUGGAGGCUGUCCCUAGGGAGGGAGUCCAUGGCAGGUGGCCUCGGCUCCUUCUUCUCUUCUCGCGGUGCCGGAGCUGCAGAUGGCGGUUGUGCUUAGGGGAGGCGGUCCAGGGCAGGUGGCCUCGGCCCCCUCUUCACCUCUGGCGGCUAGGGAGGCCACACCCCCUAUGGCGCCGGAGACCUCUUCUAGCCAGAGGGCUGGGGCGGGAGGAGCGUACGGGCAGGCGGCCCACGCGCUUCCCUCUCCCGGCGCGCCAACGUCCCAGGGCCUCGGUUCGAGGUGGACGUCAGUGGGGCCGGGGAGGUCCCCGCCGCUGCCCCCGGCAGCUCCCGCCGACUCUUCGACGUGUGCAGCUUCGCGGUGUGCUGGGGGUGAGGCCGGUGGCUUUACUCCGAGCGGGGUCACUCGGGAGGAGGUCAUCGCCUUUGGAGGGAUUCUAGAUCCUGUCUCUGCGGGGCGACGGAUGAGCUGUCGUCUCUAGGAUCAUCCGGAGGUUGAUGACAUGCAGCAGCGGUGCGCCAUGAGGGCGGCCAAGCUUCGUGACAUUGAGGUCACUACUGGUAUGUCGGUCAACACUUCUAAUUCCAUUCUGCAUUUUUCUAAUAAUGAGAUUAUUAAUAAUUCAAAUCAAUUGGGAGUUUCACUAGGUAGUAAUGAUAGUGAAAUUUCUAACUUUGUAAAUGAUAUCCUGGAUUUGGAAGCGGAACGCGCUUUAGAAAUGAUUCAAAACUUAGCAGCGGUUAAACCCAUGAAUGAUGCAGAUAUCGAUGCGUUGGGGGUCAGGGUGCUCGAUAAUUUUUGUGCAGAUCUUGCACCAUCCAUUCCUGAGUCAGAGGAAGAGGAUAACACUUUUGAGGCUGCCGUAGAUCGAUCCAUGGAGCCCGGUUGUGAGGACUGGGUGGAGGAUCAAAACAAACCUAAACGCAAGUGGAAGCGGAAGAUCUACCCUGCUUCGGCGGUGCGUAGGAGUGCUAGGAUCCGUACUAUUAAAACAUUUCAUGAUGAAAUAUGAAAGGAAUCUUUUGGAAUAGCAGAGGUCUGAAAGACUUGGCUAAAAGAAGGUUUCUUGCAGAUGCGUCUAUCGAGCAUAGGUUGGAUUUUAUCACUCUCUCGGAAACUGGUAGAGAUAAUUUUUCGCCCCAGUUUCUCAGUACUUUAUCGGGAGGUGUUGAUUUCAAUUGGCACUGCCUGCCUCCGAGAGGAAGAUCGGGUGGGAUCUUACUUGGAGUGAGAUGCGAUUCGCUAGAAGUCUGAAGUGUAGUGAUGGGAGAUUUCACAAUUAAGUUCCGGGUUAGGUCGAAAGCCAACGGGUUUAAUUGGGCUCUGAUGGCGGUUAUGCUCCCGCGCAGCCCGAUCUCAAACCAGAGUUCUUGGCGGAUCUUGUUCAAAUUUGCGGCUCUGAGCAGCUCCCAAUCCUGGAUGGGGGUGAUUUCAACAUCAUUAGGAGGAGAGAGGAAAAGAAUAAUGAUAAUUUCGACGGCAGGUGGUCGUUUAUGUUUAAUACCAUUAUUGAAAGCUUGGAUCCUAGAGAGAUAGAGCUUUCGGGUAGAAAAUUCACCUGGGCUAAUACUUUGCCAAAUCCGACGUUUGAGAAGCUGGAUCGAGUCCUAGUGAGCGUCGAAUGGGAACAGAUAUUUCCUUUGGUAACGGUCCAGGCUCUUUCGCGUGGUAUUUCUGACCACACGCCUUUAUUUGUGGACUCUGGUGAGCCAACCCACAUGGGGAACAAAAACUCCUUUUCUUUCGAGCUGGCAUGGUUUGAACGAGAAGGCUUCUUGGAUAUGAUAGCCAGGGAAUGGGCUAAGGAUGCAGGAGGUAGGACUUCGAUUGAGCGCUGACAGAAUAAGAUAAGGCACUUGAGAAGUUUCUUGCGUGCGUGGGCUAAGCAUCUUAGUGGGGUUUAUAAGGUCGAAAAGGAAAGGCUCCUUACACUUAUUCAGUCUCUAGAUUUAAAAGCCGAGUCCACAAUUUUGCAAGCCACAGAGCUUCAUGAUAAACUGGAGGCGGAGAUGAGAUUGAAAGAGCUUCUCCGUGAAGAGGAAUUAAAGUGGGCGCUGCGGGCUAAGGUUCGCAAAGUUGUCCAGGGGGACGCGAAUACUCAAUUCUUUCACAUGAUCGCUAAUGGCAAGCACAGAAAGAAUAGAAUCUUUCAGCUUGAACCAAGAUGAAGGAACGAUUUUAGGACAGGAAAACCUAAAAUUAUACAUAACCGAAUACUACAAGCAGUUGUUUGGGCCUCUGGAGGAUAAUUGUGUAUCCCUGGAUGAGUCUAGGAUUGAGGAUGUGCCUCAACUUACUGCUGAUGAGAAUGAUAUUUUGAUUGCCCCUUUUUCGGGGAAAGAGGUGUUUGAAGCCAUUACACAGAUGAAAAACAAUAAGGCUCCAGGGCCGGAUGGAUUUCCGGCGGAAUUCUAUAAAAAGUGUUGGCAUAUUAUUAAGGGGGAUUUGCAACCAAUGUUCCAUGAUUUAUUCUCUGGACAGCUUCAGUUAUUUCACUUGAACUUUGGAAUGAUAACAUUGCUUCCUAAGAAAACAAAGGCUGUGAGAAUUGAGCAGUUCAGGCCGAUCUGUCUUCUCAAGGUUAGUUUCAAAAAUUUCACAAAGGUUGGGACUAAUAGGCUCACGCAGACUGCGCAUUCUGUGGUGCAGCAUUCCCAAACUGCUUUCAUGCCGGACAGAAACAUCCUAGAAGGGGUUGUGGUCCUUCAUGAAACGCUCCACGAAAUUCACACGAAAAAACUAGAUGGAGUUGUUUUCAAGGUGGAUUUCGAGAAAGCGUACGAUAAAGUCAAAUGGCCUUUCCUUCAACAGGCCUUACAUAUGAAAGGUUUUGAUGAAGCCUGGCGACGCCAGGUAGAAUCUUUCACGCAAAAAGGGAGUGUUGGAAUUAAAGUGAAUGACGACAUAGGUCAUUAUUUCCACACACAUAAGGGCCUGAGACAAGGGGUUCCGAUGUCUCCUAUUUUGUUCAACAUUGUAGUUGAUAUGUUGGCAAUUCUAAUAGGAAGGGCUAAGGAGGUUGGUCAGGUGGGUGGCUUGGUGUCUCAUCUAGUUGAUGGAGGUGUGUCUAUCCUACAGUACAGCGAGAAAUAUGAAGCUGGUGUUAUGCUUAUUUGAACAAUUGACCGGGUUAAAGAUUAACUUUCACAAAAGCAAAUUGUUCUGCUUUGGAAGAGCCAAUGAGGAACAAGAGGCUUAUAGGCAAUUGUUUGGGUGCGAAUUGGGGACCUUACCAUUUACGUAUUUAGGUAUACCAAUUCACCAUCGUAAGCUGACAAACACAGAAUGGAAGUGUAUCGAGGAUCUCUUUGAGAAGAAACUGAGUUGCUGGAAGGGCAAGCUCAUGUCAUACGGAGGCCGAUUAAUUCUGAUUAAUUUGGUUCUCACGAGUAUGCCUAUGUUUCUCUUGUCUUUGUUCGAAGUCCCAGUUGGAGUUAGGAAAAGGCUGGACUUCUAUCGAUCCCGAUUCUUCUGGCAGAGCGAUGAACUAAAAAGAAAAUACAGACUCACCAAAGGGAUAUUAUCUGUCGACCGAAAGACCAAGGGGGUCUUGGCAUUGAAAAUCUUGAGGUCAAGAACAGAUGUCUUCGCAGCAUGUGGCUGUCUAAGUUAUCUGUAGAGAUCGAUGCCACAUGGGCGCAGAUUCUUAGUAGUAAGUAUCUUCAUUCCAAAACUUUGUCCCAGGUGACAGCGAGGCCGACAGACUCACCUUUUUGGAAAGGGCUUAUGAUAGUCAAAUUAGCCUUUUUUAAUAGGACAAAGUUUAUUAUCGUCAAUGGCGCUAGCACGCGAUUCUGGGAGGAUACUUGGCUCGGAGAGACCCCCUUGCACUUCAAUACCCGUCUCUGUAUCGUAUUGUUCAACGACGUGAUGCUUUCGUUGCAACGAUACUUCAAUCCAUCCCCCUUAAUAUUUAGGUCAGGAGGACGCUAGCCGGUAAUCGUUGGGAAGAGUGGCUCCAUCUAGUGAGUAGACUGAUGGAGGUUCAGCUGUCUCAACAGCCCGAUCAAUUACGCUGGAAACUUACUAGGUCUGGAGAGUGUACAGUUAAAUCAAUGUAUCUCGAUGUGAUCAAUUCUAGCUCUAUUCCUAGUUCCAAAUAUGUUUCGACAGUCAAAGUUCCAUUGAAAAUUAAAGUGUUUACGUGGUUUGUACAUAAACAAGUCAUCUUAACCAAGGACAAUUUGGCAAAGCGUAACUGGACAGGACCUACUAAGUGUAGUUUUUGUGAUCGGGAUGAAACUAUCAAACACCUUUUUCUUGAUUGCUCGAUGGCCAAAGUUCUAUGUCGGACAGUCCACAUAGCCUUUGACAUUUCCGAGUUCUGUUAGCACGUUAUUUGGAACGUGGCUUAAUGGGAUAGAGUCCGAAACAGCGAGACACAUUCGCGUAGGAGUAUGUGCUUUAUUGUGGGCAGUCUGGAACUGCAGAAAUGAUUUGGUUUUUAACAGAACAACAAAUAUUCAUUUUUUGCAGGUUAUCUUCCAAGCCACUGCGUUGAUCCGUACGUGGUCACUACUCACUCCGACGGAGGCCAGGGAGCGUUUGGUUACUGGAUCUAUCCGGUGGGAGAUGGUAGCACGGGAUAUCUUCAACCGGUUUGAAUGGCGGUCAUGUAAUAGGAUAGGCAAUUAGUUUACCUAUCUUUCUUAUGCCGGCCGAUUGUGGCUUUUUGGCUAGUUUGUUAUUGGCCCUUUGGCUCUUUAUGAGCUUUCCUUUACUUUCGUUUGAGACUUUAAGACCUUGUUAAACCUAUUUGCUUUUUUAUAAAGUUGGCCGUAUGCAUCGUUCUGAUGCAGAGGCCGGGGAGCCCCCACUUUUCGAAAAAAAACCUCUUGUUAUCUUGUAUUCUUGUGUGACAAUGCUCGAAGAAUAUAAAAGGGCUAGGUGGAAAGACCCCCAUAUCGAAAACUUGCCUACCUACGAGUUUUAUAGACACAGAGCCUCAUUGGAUUGUACUAGAUGGAGCCUCCAGUGAGAGCUGAAGACGAGGCGAUGAGCACGGAGGAGCUGCUCCAAGCCCAGACGGAUCUCUACCACCACUCCCUAGCCUACAUCAAAUCUAUGGCGCUCGGUGCCGCCACAGAACUCAGCGUCGCCGACGCCAUCCACGGCCGUGGCGGUGCCAUCACCUUGUCUGACCUUGCGGCCGCGACCGGCGUCCACCCGACGAAAGUCCAACACUUCGGGCGGCUGAUGCGCGCGCUUACCGUCACUGGUGUCUUCACCUCGGAAGAAAAAGAAGGCGGUGGUGGUGCCCUGUACAAGCUCACUCGGAUUUCACGCCUCCUUCUCGGAGUCGGCAAGCGUCGGCUCUCCCCGAUGGUGCGUAUGCUUGUCAGCGAGGUCAGUUUCACUACUCCCAUGAGCAUCUGCGAGUGGAUCACCACUGAGACGCCGGCCAGGGCCAUGUUCGAGGCCCAUUUUGGCUCUACGCAAAAUGGGUUGUGGGAGAAGGACGACGCGUAUGGUGCCCCCUUCUACUCAGCAAUGGCUGCGGACAGCCGUCUCGUCAUGGAGGUUCUGCUGAGAGAGUGCAGCAGCGUCUUUGAGGCCGUUGCCGGCUCACUUGUCGAUGUCGGCGGCGGCAGCGGAGGAGUCGUGGCUGCCGCCAUUGCCACAGCGUUCCCUCACAUCAAGUGCUCCGUGCUGGACCUCCCCAACGUGGUAGCCGCGGCUGACGACACCACCAACGUGCAGUUUGUCUCCGGCGAUAUGUUUGACUACAUUCCACCAGCGGAUGCCGUUCUACUCAAGGUACGUACUUACAUAGUACUCCCUCCGUAAGGAUAUAUAAGAGCAUUUAGAUCAUUAUUAUUUUAGUGAUUGAUCCAAACGCACUUAUAUUUCUUUACAGAGGGAGUAGCACAUACAAAUGCAGCAAGCUAUCCAUUUCUUAUAUAUAUAAUGAACCAAAUUAAUCAACCAAUCCUUCCUAUAAAUUUUGUAGUGGAUUUUGCAUGACUGGGAAGACCAAGACUGCGUCAAGAUACUGCGCAAGUGCAGAGAGGCCAUCCGCACAAGAGGUGCUGGGGGGAAGGUGAUUAUAAUCGAUUUCGUCGUCGGUGCUGGUUCUUGCAAGGAGACGGAGACACAGGUUCUGUUUGAUCUUUACAUGAUGAUGGAGAAUGGGGCUGAGCGGGACGAGCAAGAGUGGAGCAAGAUUUUCUUUGAAGCUGGAUUUAGUGACUACAAGAUCAUGCCAGUCUUAGGCGCUCGUUCACUCAUUCAAGUAUUCCCAUGAAUUCUGGCGGUUUGAUGUCCAAAUGUACUUCCUGUUUCCAAAUGUUUGUUUGCUUUCACAUCAGAAUAAUGCCUAGGACUAUACUAUAUAGUCUCGACUUUGAAUCUGAAUAAUGAAACUGUUUGUUAUCCUACGUGUUGUUUUCGUUCAUAAUUCAUAUGCUCACAAUGAAAUACAGUCUGCUAUUUUUGUUUACAUUAAAUUAUACUUUACCUAGCAAUAUGGUAAACAGGCUCACUUAGCAGAGGCUGGCUUGUUCGCUUAUUCGCCGCCCUAGGAAUGCGAGCUCCUUGCCGAAAUGAAAUUCUAGUAGCACUGGUUACUAUCGGGUCCUGCAUGUUCGUCAUUUGUGCAAGUAAACACAAUGCAUACGAGUACUCUACUGAAUUGAACUUUUUUGUAUUGUUUUCAUUGGACCAUCCACUGUAUAGUAACAGAGUAUUUAUUGCACACAGACUAUUUUAUUCUUUCAACCCAUAGUUCAUCCACCCACACUUUUAGUCUGAUUCUAAAAUUUGUAACACUUUUAAAUUUUGAACUUGUUCUGAACAAGUAAAAUUCCAAAUUUGACACCAUAAUGAAACUUAUGUCAAAUGUGAGAUCAUAUGAAAUGAAACUGAAGUGAACCAAUAAUAAAAAAUGCAAAAAUAAUUUAAUAAACCAUAAUAAAACUUAUAUCAAAUUUGAGAUGAAACAUAGACGAAUUGUGGAUUGAAACAAUAACGAAAACAAGCUAAGGGGAAUCUAUGAAUAAAUAAUGAGAACAUGUAAAAUUACGAUGACACGGAAAUGAUAUCGUAUGGAAAAUAUGCUAAGAGAACACUUUCAUUGGCCAGCCCAACCAUGAAAGGUAAUUUAACAAAAUGAUAUGAAACUUAUUUGAAAGCUCGAAAAAUAGAAAUAAAACCAGAAUGAAAAUAAUAAUGAAACAUGUAAAAAUACGAUGAAACACAUAUGUAAAAAUAAGGCCGCGAGAUCGUCGUCCUCUGAGUUGGAAGUUUAUGGUGAAGGUGACGUGGGAUCCAUUGCAGGCGCGCCCGGGGUCUGGUGUGGUUGUGGAACACAUAUGUGGAGAUCAUAGUAGCGGUGAAUGACGAACGUGAGCGCUCCGAAGAAUAUGGUGCAGGAAGGAGAAGUCGGUCUGUUAGUGUAGAACCGGCCUUCUGCGAUGAAGGUGAGGAAGCCGAUGGUUAAGCCGUGAGAUUGCCAGCCGUUAUUGAGGAUCUGAUCUAGAGUCGGUCCCCAGCUGACAUAGCCCCUUCCUGUGCUAACUGAUGGUAUGGGAAUUUGCGAGUAUCCUUUGUAGGGUGGCGAACAUGUCCGGAAGUACAAGAAGGGAGUUCGCCAAGGGGGUUUUCCAGAUUUGCGCCCUCAUGGCGAGGAAAUACCUUACGUCCUGCUAUUUGUUUUCUAUUGAUGAUGGAGAACGUUGAGCGAGGGGUUACAAGGGACAUAAAUAUGGCCAUAGGAGUAUAGUCUACGGGAGUAGAUUGGAAUCGCUACCCCUAUCCUCACCUUAUAUAGGUGACGGGGCUAGGUUUUACAUGGCGCCUACAUGAUCUCACACUGCCAUCAUCUUGGCUUCCACCCAAGAUGGUCUUCUGGCUUCCAGGACCCCCGGGCUGUCUCUUGAUGCCAGACCUCCUUCAAGACUUUUGGGCCCGAAGGCCGGCCCACUAUUGGGUUCAUAUCUAGUGUGCCAUCCACGUUGUAAUGCACCAUCACCAACCCCGAUUUCUGGGGCCUUAAGAGUGAAGCGAUUCCUAAUUCUUCUUGGUAACAUGCCAAAGUGUUGUGUCCCAAAGGCUCGACUGGGUAUUUUCGUCAUUGCGGUUGAUAUGGAGAAGGGGUGGGUCGCAUGGAGGCAGAAAUGGGUAAAUGAAGACAGAAACGAGGGGCUGGCCUGACAGUGGUUCAUGUAGACGACGAGCAAGAGCAUGUGGCCAAUUUUUCCGCAAGCGUUAGAAGCAUAGCCAUAAUUCCAGAAAUUUUAGUGGCGGCAACUGAAUUUGCCCUAUUAUAAGAAGGUAUUGCCCCACAACGGUGCGCACACGGGUGACCUUCCUCUUGGUCCAAUGACAGGUGGGCCAUGGACUCGCCGGGGGCCAUAUUAAUGGGACAUUGUCUAUCGUGCUCUUGUGAUUUCUCUCUCGGGUGAUGGGCGGGCUAGACCCACCUGUCGGUUUUUUCGGACACCGUUGGGCUGGCUCAGGUGUGCCAGGGGGCCAGGUCAGACUGUGGUGGGCCUAGACCCCGGCGGGUGUGCGUCGUUCAGGAUGGCCGGCCACGCGGGUGUGCCAUGCUGUUUGAUCGCGAGAGCUGGCAAAGCACGGGCACCAGGUUGUUCGGCUUGUGUGAGCGAAACAGGCGACGGUGAGUCUAUCGUCCAAGAGACGGGCCGAAUAUACCGACAGGCGGAUCAGGCUUCCUGCUCUUGUGCAAUACGAUGAGAAAGGGUUCUCGCGGGAGCACCGAGGCCGCUCCAUGAGAGUGGCCCUGCACGCACCCGCGGUCCACCCGUCAUGGACCCCCGAGUGCACGUCCACUAGUUGAAAACGGAGUUUUAUCACCGGUUCGUAAGGGCCUUUAGUGCCGGUUCUGCAACCGGCACUAAAGAGUGGGGACUAAAGGUCCCCCUUUAGUACCGGUUUGGCACGAACCGGCGUAAACGUGCCACCACGUGGCACGAGCCAGGCCUGGGUGCGUGUAGGACAUUAGUACCGGUUGGUAACACAACCGGUACUAAAUGUUUGGGUGUGUUUUGGUUUUAAUUUUUAUUUUUCCUUUAGUUUUGUGUUUUCAAUUUAAUUUAGUGAUUGUUUUACAUUAUAAUGAGUUGUUAAAUCAUUAGGUGAAAGUACCGCAGAUUAGUUUCGACUGGAUGCAUGUGGAUCCUAGCUAAGUGAUAAAGUAUAUGCCAUAUCCAUAUUACUUAGAUCUAAGUAAUAUGGAUAUGGCAUAUAGUUGAUCACUUAGCUAGGAUCCAUCCAGUUGAAACUAAUAUGCGGUUUCUUUCAUAAAUGAUAUAAUAACUCAUCAUCAUCAUCAUCAUAUUAAUAUAAAAACUCUUGCAUCAUAUCAUCACCAACAACAGUAUAUACUAGCUAGCAAAGAUAUCAUCGAGUUCAACAUGGUCAUGAUAUUAUAAGCAUUCAUAACACCACAAAAGCAAAUCACUCUUUGAGAUUAAGUUCAUGACGAAGAACACGGACACGCAUGAGAGGACAAGAAGUACUAAGAGCAUGAUAACUAGCUAAAUCACUCCUGCUGCUCUCUCUCAGGUAAAAUAGCAUAGAACAUGUAUAGCUCUCCUGAUUCAUCAUAUUGGAUCAUGCAGAUGAACCUGUCUCCUAAUCGUGGGCUGCGCUUCUGAUUGCUGCCCCCUAGUACUUCUUUGCGAUCGUUAACAAUUUUGCUCCAAUCUUUCACUAUUAAGCAUUCAUCGCUUUCAGAAAUUCUGAAUGCACUCAUGUGCACUGUAGGAUAUCUUGGCCGUAAGCUAACAAUUGACAUGCGACCUUUAGUCUUGAUCCACUGAGGCACAACUAUUAAGCAUUCAUCGCUUUCAGAAAUUCUGAAUGCACUCAUGUGCACUGUAGGAUAUCUUGGCCGUAAGCUAACAAUUGACAUGCGACCUUUAGUCUUGAUCCACUGAGGCACAACUGUCAUCGGGAGUCCCUGUUGAAGAACAUCGUAUAGUAAUUAAUAUACUUAGCAAUGAAAGUUUAGCUUGAAAAAUAAUGUAUGCAAAAGAUGCACUGAGGACUAAUAGUAAAAAUCUUACCAUCUUUCCUAAAUACAUGUGACCGUAGUUCAAUACGAUCACUAUUGGUCGCACGUUUUGAGUACUAAGAUUUUCAAAUUCAGGAAAAUGAUUUCUCUUAACAGCAUCAAGAUCCUCAAGCCAUGAAACAUAAUGACUUAUCUCCUCGCAGUUUAGUUCAGCCCCGGGACAGUGGAUGGUCCUGUCUACCAAGCGCCGAACAUGUUUGCUUGAAUCAAAAUAAGCUGUCAAUAGAAAUUACUUGUCAACUAUUUUUGAAUAAACAAUAUCGAAGACAUAAAUAUGGUUGAGAAACUCACAUAAUGGUAGAACUGGAGGCAUCUGCACAUCGACCCAGAUAUCUCUAUUACCUUCAAUAUCAUCUUCCGGACGAAUAUCAAAGGUGAUAACCAUAUCAGGCUCAAAUGCAUAAGUCUUGCAUAGUGCUUGCCAAGUUUUGCAUUCAAAAUAGGUGUAUGUGUCUGCAUUGUAUAAUUUGACGUUGAAAGUAUAACCAUGCUCGGUCUUCAGGUAAACUCUCUUUGCCUCCAUAGUUUCCAUAGCACUGAAACCUAUCUUAUCCAAGACAAAAAUUCUUGCAUGGCAGGGGAUGCGCUACUACAAUAGUGAAAAUUAAAAAUUAUAAGUUGAAGCAAAUGAAGCAUAAGUCAUGCUUAAUUAUGAAAAAAGACUUGUCGUUGUGACUUACUGUAUCCACUUCGAAGGUCUCAUCCAGCUUGAUGCUGAAGCGCCUAUCAUCAACAAGGAAAUUUCUGUCGCACAGGCCGCGCUGGUCUUCACAGUAUUCGCACUUAAUGAAAUCUUUUUCGUCGUCAGACGACAUUUCCUAUGUUCAUAUAGGUGAAACAUUAAACACUUACUAGUUCUAUUAAUUCAACUAGUUCAACUACUUCUAUUAAUUCAACUAGUUCUAUCAAUUCAACUAGUUCUAUUAAUUCAACUAAUUCAACUAAGCAUUUACUAAAAAUAAACUAGUUCUAUAUAUAUAUAUAUAUUAAUAUUUUAAUUAGAUCAUCAAAUCUCAAAUACCUAAAUUUUCUUACUAAAAAUAAACCAGUUCUAUUAAUUCAACAAAUUCAACUAAGAAUUUACUAAAAAUGAACUAGUUAUAUUAAUUUUCUUACUAAAAUAUAUAAAGUAGCUAUGUAUAGUAAUAUUUUAAUUAGAUCAUCAAAUCUCUUAUACCUAAAUUUUCUUACUAAAAAUAAACNNNNNNNNNNNNNNNNNNNNNNNNNNNNNNNNNNNNNNNNNNNNNNNNNNNNNNNNNNNNNNNNNNNNNNNNNNNNNNNNNNNNNNNNNNNNNNNNNNNNNNNNNNNNNNNNNNNNNNNNNNNNNNNNNNNNNNNNNNNNNNNNNNNNNNNNNNNNNNNNNNNNNNNNNNNNNNNNNNNNNNNNNNNNNNNNNNNNNNNNNNNNNNNNNNNNNNNNNNNNNNNNNNNNNNNNNNNNNNNNNNNNNNNNNNNNNNNNNNNNNNNNNNNNNNNNNNNNNNNNNNNNNNNNNNNNNNNNNNNNNNNNNNNNNNNNNNNNNNNNNNNNNNNNNNNNNNNNNNNNNNNNNNNNNNNNNNNNNNNNNNNNNNNNNNNNNNNNNNNNNNNNNNNNNNNNNNNNNNNNNNNNNNNNNNNNNNNNNNNNNNNNNNNNNNNNNNNNNNNNNNNNNNNNNNNNNNNNNNNNNNNNNNNNNNNNNNNNNNNNNNNNNNNNNNNNNNNNNNNNNNNNNNNNNNNNNCUGGGGCGGCGAUGGGGGCGGCGACGACGGCGGCGACGACGACGGCGACAGGAUGGGCUGGGGCGCGAUAGGGGCGGCGACGGGGGCGAAGAACAAACUGAAACGAACUGAAAAUAUUCGUAAGUGGUGCUUAUAUAGCGGUGGCCAUUAGUACCGGUUUGAUACUAAAGGCCUAUUUUGGCCAGGCCAAGAGGCGGGAAGAGCAGGCCUUUAGUACCGGUUGGUGGCUCCAACCGGUACUAAAGACCCACCUUUAGUACCGGGUUGGGCUACCAACCGGUACUAAAGGGGGUGCGCUGCCACCCGCGGUGUAGAAAGUUUAGUCCCACCUCGCCGGGCGAAGGGCAGCCGCACUGGUUUAUAAACCCAGCCGCGGCUGCUACUUUGAACUCCCUUGUAAAGCAGGCUUCUGGGCCUAACUAUGGCACGCUGCCCUGUGAGCCUGCUGGCCCUUGUGGGCCUGAAUUUCCACGCCCGUGGUCUUGUAGGCCCAUUGGGAAGCGCCCCAAUAAUUUUUUAUAUAGUUUGUUUCUUUUCUUCUUUAUUUAUUUUCUUCUAUUUAUUUCUGAGUAGUUUUUUAUAUAGUUUUUUCUUUUCUGCUUUUUUUUAUUUUCUUCUAUUUAUUUCGGAUUAGUUUUUUAUAUAUUUUUUUCUUUUCCCCAAAUCGGUAAAUGACUGAAAAAUAGCAAAUGUUGUCAGAAAGUGUUGAAAAUUGAUGACGUCGCUUUGAAUGGUGUGUAUGGAACGCAAAAAAGUCUGGAGUUGUAAUAAGUUUAAAAAAAUGAAGUGCCCAUGUAACAGAUGAGUUCUCGUCAGAAACCCUGAUACUACAAAAAAGAUAGUCCAGUUUGUACACGAAGUGCGUCCAGUUUUUGCCAUAACCCUCUCUACUCUUUUGCACAUGCUAUGUGGGUGAAAUGAUGAUACCAUGCCAAGUUUUGACAUUUUCAGAGUUUAUUUUGUAGUGAUUUUCAAUUUCACGGUCAUUUAACUCUCUAAACAAAUCGGUAAAUGACUGAAAAAUAGCAAAUGAUGUCAGAAAGUGUUGAAAAUUGAUGACGUCGCUUUGAAUGGUGCGUACGGAACGCAAAAAAGUCUGGAGUUGUAAUAAGUUUAAAAAAAUGAAGUGCCAGUGUAACAGAUGAGUUCUCGUCCGAAACCCUGAUACUCCGAAAGAGAUUGUCCAGUUUGUACACGAAGUGCGUCCAGUUUUUGCCGUAAUCCUCUCUACUCUUUUGCACAUGCUGUGUGGGUGAAAUGAUGAUACCAUGCCAAGUUUCGACAUUUUCAGAGUUCAUUUUGUAGUGAUUUUCAAUUUCACGGUCAUUUAGCUCUCUAAACAAAUCGGUAAAUGACUACAAAAGUGCAAAUAAUGUCAGAAAGUUUUGAAAAAUGAUGACGUCGCUUUGAAUGGUGUGUACGGAACGCAAAAAAGUCUGGAGUUGUAAUAAGUCUGAAAAAUCGAAGUGCCAAUGUAACAGAUGAGUUCUCGUCAGAAACCCUUAUACUUCGAAAGAGAUUGUCCAGUUUGUACACGAAGUGCGUCCAGUUUUUGCCGUAACCCUCUCUACUCUUUUGCACAAGCUAUGUGGGUGAAAUAAUGAUACCACACCAAGUUUCGACAUUUUCAGAGUUGAUUUUGUAGUGAUUUUCAAUUUCACGGUCAUUUAGCUCUCUAAACAAAUCGAUAAAUGACUGAAAAAUAGUAAAUGAUGUUAGAAAGUGUUGAAAAUUGAUGACGUCGCUUUGAAUGGUGCGUACGGAACGCAAAAAAAGUCUGUUGUUGUAAUAAGUUUAAAAAAAUGAAGUGCCAGUGUAACAGAUGAGUUCUCGUUCGAAACCCUGAUACUCCGAAAGAGAUUGUCCAGUUUGUACACGAAGUGCGUCCAGUUUUUGCCGUAACCCUCUCUAAUCUUUUGCACAUGCUAUGUGGGUGAAAUGAUGAUACUAUGCCAAGUUUCGACAUUUUCAGAGUUCAUUUUGUAGUGAUUUUCAAUUUCACGGUCAUUUAGCUCUCUAAACAAAUCGGUAGAUGACUAAAAAAUAGCAAAUGAUGUCAGAAAGUUUUGAAAAUUGAUGACGUCGCUUUGUAUGGCGUGUACGGAACGCAAAAAAUUCUGGAGUUGUAAUAAGUUUAAAAAAAUGAAGUACCCAUGUAACAGAUGAGUUCUCGUCAGAAACCCUGAUACUCCAAAAGAGAUUGUCCAGUUUGUACACGAAGUGCGUCCAGUUUUUGCCGUAACCCUCUCUACUCUUUUGCACAUGCUGUGUGGGUGAAAUGAUGAUACCAUGCCAAGUUUCGACAUUUUCAGAGUUCAUUUUGUAGUGAUUUUCAAUUUCACGGUCAUUUAGCUCUCUAAACAAAUCGGUAAAUGACUAAAAAAUAGCAAAUGAUGUCAGAAAGUGUUGAAAAUUGAUGACGUCGCUUUGAAUGGUGCGUACGGAACGCAAAAAAAGUCUNNNNNNNNNNNNNNNNNNNNNNNNNNNNNNNNNNNNNNNNNNNNNNNNNNNNNNNNNNNNNNNNNNNNNNNNNNNNNNNNNNNNNNNNNNNNNNNNNNNNNNNNNNNNNNNNNNNNNNNNNNNNNNNNNNNNNNNNNNNNNNNNNNNNNNNNNNNNNNNNNNNNNNNNNNNNNNNNNNNNNNNNNNNNNNNNNNNNNNNNNNNNNNNNNNNNNNNNNNNNNNNNNNNNNNNNNNNNNNNNNNNNNNNNNNNNNNNNNNNNNNNNNNNNNNNNNNNNNNNNNNNNNNNNNNNNNNNNNNNNNNNNNNNNNNNNNNNNGACUAAAAAUAGCAAAUGAUGUCAGGAAGUGUUGAAAAUUGAUGACGUCACUUUGAAUGGUGCGUACGGAACGCAAAAAAAGUCUGGAGUUGUAAUAAGUUUAGAAAAAUGAAGUGCCAAUGUAACAGAUGAGUUCUCGUCAGAAACGGUGAUACUCCGAAAGAGAUUGUCCAGUUUGUACACGAAGUGCGUCCAGUUUUUGCCGUAAUCAUCUCUAUUCUUGUGCACAUGCUGUGUGGGUGAAAUGAUGAUACCAUGCCAAGUUUUGACAUUUUCAGAGUUCAUUUUGUAGUGAUUUUCAAUUUCACGGUCAUUUAGCUCUCUAAACAAAUCGGUAAAUGACUACAAAAGUGCAAAUAAUGUCAGAAAGUUUUGAAAAAUGAUGACGUCGCUUUGAAUGGUGUGUACGGAACGCAAAAAAGUCUGGAGUUGUAAUAAGUCUGAAAAAAUGAAGUGCCAAUGUAACAGAUGAGUUCUCGUCAGAAACCCUUAUACUUCGAAAGAGAUUGUCCAGUUUGUACACGAAGUGCGUCCAGUUUUUGCCGUAACCCUCUCUACUCUUUUGCACAUGCUAUGUGGGUGAAAUGAUGAUAUCACGCCAAGUUUCGACAUUUUCAAAGUUGAUUUUGUAGUGAUUUUCAAUUUCACGGUCAUUUAGCUCUCUAAACAAAUCGAUAAAUGACUGAAAAAUAGUAAAUGAUGUCAGAAAGUGUUGAAAAUUGAUGACGUCGCUUUGAAUGGUGCGUACGGAACGCAAAAAAAGUCUGUUGUUGUAAUAAGUUUAAAAAAAUGAGUUGCCAGUGUGACAGAUGAGUUCUCGUUCGAAACCCUGAUACUCCGAAAGAGAUUGUCCAGUUUGUACACGAAGUGCGUUCAGUUUUUGCCGUUACUCUCUCUACUCUUUUGCACAUGCUAUGUGGGUGAAAUGAUGAUACUAUGCCAAGUUUCGACAUUUUCAGAGUUCAUUUUGUUGUGAUUUUCAAUUGCACGGUCAUUUAGCUCUCUAAACAAAUCGGUAGAUGACUAAAAAAUAGCAAAUGAUGUCAAAAAGUUUUCAAAAUUGAUGACGUCGCUUUGUAUGGUGUGUACGGAACUCAAAAAAUCUGGAGUUGUAAUAAGUUUAAAAAAAUGAAGUGCCCAUGUAACAGAUGAGUUCUUGUCAGAAACCCUGAUACUUCGAAAGAGAUUGUCCAGUUUGUACACGAAGUGCGUCCAGUUUUUGCCGUAACCCUCUCUACUCUUUUGCACAUGCUGUGUGGGUGAAAUGAUGAUACUAUGCCAAGUUUCGACAUUUUCAGAGUUCAGUUUGUAGUGAUUUUCAAUUUCACGGUCAUUUAGCUCUCUAAACAAAUCGGUAAAUGACUGAAAGAUAGCAAAUGAUGUCAGAAAGUGUUGAAAAUUGAUGGCGUCGAUUUGAAGGGUGCGUACGGAACGCAAAAAAAGUCUGGAGUUGUAAUAAGUUUAAAAAAAUGAAAUGCCAGUGUAACAGAUGAGUUCUCGUCCGAAACCCUGAUACUCCGAAAGAGAUUGUCCAGUUUGUACACGAAGUGCGUCCAGUUUUUGCCGUAACCCUCUCUACUCUUUUGCACAUGCUAUGUGGGUGAAAUGAGGAUACCAUGCCAAGUUUCGACAUUUUUAGAGUUCAUUUUGUAGUGAUUUUCAAUUUCACGGUCAUUUAGCUCUCUAAACAAAUCGGUAAAUGACUAAAAAAUAGCAAAUGAUGUCAGAAAGUUUUGAAAAUUGAUGACGUCGCUUUGAAUGGUGUGUACGGAACUCAAAAAAGUCUGGAGUUAUAAUAAGUUUUAAAAAAUAAAGUGCCCAUGUAACAGAUGAGUUCUCGUCAGAAACCCUGAUACUUCGAAAGAGAUUGUCCAGUUUGUACAGGAAGUGAGUCCAGUUUUUGCCGUAACACAAGAAGUCCGGAGUUGUUAUAAGUUAUUAAAGAUAAAAAAGAGGCACAAUGCUCGUUAAUUAGCUUCAAGCCUUUCGGAAUAGUGCAAACUGCACUGCACAUAGCUCCGUGCAGUCUACACUAUUCCUCAAGGCUUAAAGCUAAGCAACGUGUAGAUGAGCAUUUCACGGUCAUUUAGCUCUCUAAGCUAAUCUAGUAGCCAUGUUAAGUCGAUAAUGACGUGGAAUUGUUAUAUGACAUGCAAAUACCUUCUGAGUUAAUGGCACUAGUCAUCAACCCGUGCAACUGCAUGGGCUAGUUUUUUAAACGGUUCAUAGUUACAAUACUUUUCAUGACCACUUGUUUCUUUGCAUCCAGCAAGAAUAUAAAUUUGUUGUGUGUGAACCAUUAAAUGAACAAUUAAUAUGAAAAUAGAAAACUUAUAUCCUGAAAGUUUACAAUCUUCAUAAAAUAUUUAUAUUUUAUUUUAAGACAAACGGGAAAUUAAAAAUCCUACUUAUAGAGAUCCUGAAACAUAAUUCAAAUGUCGCAUAAAUUACGUAAUUUUGAAUGAUAAGUACUAAAAAUGUAAUAAUUUGUUUAGUUAAUAUUAAUCCUUUUUUUAUUUGGGAGUCUACUUAAUCAUGGGGUAUUUUGCAUAAUGCUUAGGCUUGUCAAAUGAAAUAAGCAUUUCAUAACAACAGUGUACCUCCCUACAGUUUAAUAACAAACUUACUCUACAAACACCGAAAACCGAACCAAAGACUGAAGAAGCAAUCAUAAGUGUCAUACUUCUUAAAUUCUCCUUUUUUUUCCCGGCACCACCCAUGGAGUAGUCUUUCCACCGUGUUUGACUCUCGUUGUGGUAGCAAAUGAUGGGUCCAAGUUUUCGCAUAGUAUUGUCCGUUUGUUUUAUCAUGAUAGAGUACUCCAUUAGUUGGCACCGCUCUUAUAUUUGUGUGUGAUCUUUUAGCAGUUCAACAUUAUAGUUCUUCCACCCAUAUGUUCGCAAUGUUAAAUCUAUGGAGAAAAAGAUUCAAAUCUUCACUAUUGUACCACAAAAGCAAGUCACAUGAAUAGCUCGCAAUUAUUUAACUACUGGUGGUUGGUGCCAGGUAUAUUAGCGUUAGGAAAGUAAAUGUACAUACUGAACAUUUGACUGUGGAAGAAAAUGAAUUUUCUUAUUUACUCUUAUUGAAUUCUAAAUAUAUUUUGGAUAUUUGUUUUCAGUAAUACACCUAAUUUUGGAAAAUCUAUUUCAUAGCCUUGUAUUUUUGAAAUAUUUUACAAAACAUGACACAAAUUGUUGUGUUUUUUCACAUACAUAUUUAUAACAUUAAUACACUCUUUAUAUGUAAUGUGAUAUUUAUUAUAUAAUUUUUUAAUCAUACAUAACUAAAUUCUUAUUAUUUUCAAAUCACAAAUUUUAAAUGAUAUGAUAACUUACAUUUUAAAAGCUCUAUUUCGGGACAUUAUAACUAAAAACUAUCUGAGCGAAUCGGGCACCAUAAUGUAUUUGGUGUCUACACUUUGUCGCAUACAUAGCCUUUUUUAUUUUUAAUGUAAUUGCUAAAAUAUGUAAUUAUGUAGAACUUAAUAUUACAUUCUAUUACACAGAUUGGACUUAUAUAGGUUGGAAAAGAAUUAAAUCUAUGCUGUCAAACCUACCGAAUAGCAUUCCUCCGGCACAUUGUAUAUCUGGCAUUUAUUAGUAAUGUGUCUAAAUCAGUUCGGGAUAAAUUCACUCUACAUCGUCAUAAUGGCUUGUUGUUAAAAUUUGGCAUCCUGACGCAUUACUUGGAAUUUUUAUAAACUCAGUGUAAACAGUUAUGUUAUCUUUUUAAACAUAAGUUAUUUAGUUCAAUUCGGAGUACUAUAUAGUAAUUUUCAACAGUAAAUCUAGCCUAUUUCAACUCGGUCAUUAUAAACAAUAAAUCUAGCCUGUUUCAACUCGGCCAUUAUAUUUAACUUAUUUAAGACAUAAGGUAAUCUAACUUUUGAACAAUCUUUAGAAAUCUACAUAUGUAGAGGUCAAGUAGGACAUACAUAUGUGAAAUUCCUUAAAAUAAUUUGAUAAUUGUUAUAUUAAAGAAAAUAAUAUUAUAAUUUAUUAUCUGUACUUACUAUAAUUGCAAUACUUUUUGAUAGCAUGUUCCCGUUGCAUAGUGUCGCUUACUGCACAAUAUCUUAAUUUGUUAUGUGUCUCGGAUAGAAAAAUAUUGUAUUUCCGCGUAUGUAUAUGCAUGUCUAUAUAUGUUUCACACACAUGAAAUUUUUUUAUAUAUUAAAAAAUGAUUUCGCCUGAGUUACAUCCAUGCAUGCUAAUUUCCUGUCUAUCAUUGGAGUUUAGAUCUAUGCAUGUAUGUGCUUGACUAAGCUCUGCACAUAUAUACGUGCCGGUCAAAUCAUAUACAUGAACGUACAUCACUCUAUUCUACUAUUAAGGGAUUCGUUGAGCACCUCGUCAAAGAAACAAACCUUUCAGAUCAACUUGUAAAUUUUCUUUUUACAUAUUUGCAUUUUUUUAGCAUAUUUGCAUUUCUUUCCUAAAAUAUUGCAAUAUUUGCAAAUAUCUGAAUCAUAUUCUUUUGAUUGACAAUAACACAAUGGCUUACCAGCAGAUCAAAACAGAUAUCUAGCUAGUGCGAAGGUUGUGCCACCUCUUGAUUGUUUCCUCCAUGAGCAAGCAAGCUUCUGGUAACGGUAACAGUCAUGGCGACGGAACAUGAUGUGCCGGCGAGCCGCAGACAUUAGAAAGAUCUGAAAAGAAGCAGAUAGGCAUGAUGCAUAAAUCUGGAAAGGAAGAAGAAUAUGCAUAACUCAAAAGCAUUGAAGCCGUCGGUUUUUGCAUUGCUCUACGAUCAGUUAAUGUACGCAUGCAUCGUAUAUGUACGCAUCCAGCCGCCGGAAUUUACUUCUCCUGCCUUCGUUUGUCAAGGGCAAAAAUACUGGCCAGCAGCACAAAUUGAAGACCAGCUUUCGGCACCUCCAUAACGCUCGUAGAAAAGUUCUCAAUGACUUGCAUCGGGAAUAUCUCUCCAGACCAGGGCAUGCGCCAAUUAAUGCUUCUUGCCGUGUCAUGUAUGCCGGGUCAUGUAUCUCUACGGGGACAACAAAAUUCAACUUGUUUAUUUUUGGAUAAUCAUUGGGAGAUAGAGACCCAGCACAGGACGUCUCCCAUGCGUGGGACAACCGAGGUUUUUUUUUUCAAUCUUAGGCUUCAUCAACGGCUAAAAUAUAUUAUAUUUUAAUCUGACGGAUGUAAAUCUUUAACUUAUAAAAUUGACGUGAAUCCUCGUAUGGCUCUUCCAAUUAGUAAAUAUAUAAGAUAGUAGUAGACGUGAAGAAUAAAGGGGCAGUAAUGGGAUAUUAAAUGUGGCAGCUAACUUGCUAGGCCUUCGAGUUAUAUUUUGUUCAGCAUUAAGUGGAAAACAUAUUUUGGCAUCCUUUUCCUCCUCUCGACUCUGACAAAAUGUUAGUGAUAUUCAAAUGGAAAAGCUUAGGCAAGAAAUAUUCCGAGGAAAAAUAAUGCAUCUACUCUAAAAUAUAUUUUCAUCAAUAGUAGUCCACUACUACCAUGAGCCAAUGGCCAUGGUUCUAUUCAAAAUUUUAAUUUAUCAAGAUCAGGCGUAGACUUGAUGUUGACAUCAAUGGCUAUCUAGGCUUAGAGAGAUGAGAGGAGUGAAGAACAAAAAAGGAGCGCCAAUAAUGGUUAUAACCCAUAGGGGAUAAAAUAAGGACGCCGCUAGUUGGCAUGAAUUGAUACAGGUAGACAUCACUUACUCUGCGUCCCUGAAUAGAGGCCAUAAUUUGUGUUGCUCUAGGGACCCAUAAUUUAUGAAUUCUGCUCACAAGAGAUCCGACUGUUGUGGGGAUCAAACUUUAGCACGCUGCCCUUAGAGCAACUCCAACGCGUCAACCCAAAUGGACGGCGAUUUUGUUAUAUUUUCGUCUGUUUGUGUCGACCGUCCACUCGGUGUCCGCCUAAUUUUCUUUUUGGGUCAGCAGUGCGCCCAAUGCCAGCGACUCAUUUCAUGUCCGUGCACAAAUUUUAAAAAGGCCCGCGGCUGUAGAUCAUGGCAGCGGCCAAGCCGUCACCCAAAGUUCAUGCCGGCACCAUGCCAGCAGCCGACAUACAAUGCCAGCUCCAAAAAAGCACCACACAGUUUGUGUUGGCGCACUUGCCAGCGACUGGCAUAGAUGCCAGCAAACAAAAAAGGGGCGGGAGUUCGACCACGCCAUCGCGACCGUAGUCAUGCCAACACACUUUUCGGCAUGCAAAAAAGGAUGGCGCUUUCCGCCAUAAAUCACUCGUCGUCGAACUUGAGCAUGUCGGCUUGCAUCUUGUCGAACCACGACCUCUUCCUCGGCGACAUGGUGUUGAGGUCCACCUUCAUGAUCUCCACACCCGUCAUCAUGCUAGCGAGAACCACUUCUUUCGCCUUGGUCUUGACAUUUGCGGCAUCGAUAUCUAGCAUCUUGGCUUGCACUGGUGCAGAACCGGGCUUUAGCACCAGUUCGUAAGGCCCUUUAGUGGCGGUUCUUGAACCGGUACUAAGGGGGGGGGGGCUUUAGGGAUUUUGGUUUUAUUAUUUAUUUUUCCUUUAAUUUUGUAUUUCCAUUUAUUUUAUUUUUCAUUUGCUGGUAUUUUACGAACUACAUAUUGUACACGUUAUGCAUAUAUAUAAAUAUAAUUUCUCGUAGAACCGAUCAUAUANNNNNNNNNNNNNNNNNNNNNNNNNNNNNNNNNNNNNNNNNNNNNNNNNNNNNNNNNNNNNNNNNNNNNNNNNNNNNNNNNNNNNNNNNNNNNNNNNNNNNNNNNNNNNNNNNNNNNNNNNNNNNNNNNNNNNNNNNNNNNNNNNNNNNNNNNNNNNNNNNNNNNAGCUAAUCAUUGAUAUAUACUACAUACUAAACGUACAUACUCUCUAUUUUGACGGAUACUACAUACAACAUACAAAAUGCAAGUGGUGGUAAUUACCACCGCUUGGAGGAAGCAUUUGAGGCACCACCAUUUGAAGCACCGCCAUUCACACAUAGAGCAGAAAAGAGUACCGGUUGGAGCGACCAACCGGUUUAAAGGGGUGUGCUGGCCCAGGUGCGAUGCACAAAGUUUAGUCCCACCUUGCUGAGCGAAGGGCGGCCGCACUGGUAUAUAAACCCAGCCGCGGCUGCUCCUUUGAGCUCCUCCCUAACGCAGGCCUUCUGGGCCUACUUGUGUUGCGCUGCCCUGUUGGGCCUACUAGCCUUGCGGGCCUACCUCCUGGCCCGACUACAGGUUGGGUUUCUAGUCGCAUGCAGGCCGCUGUGGCCCAGUAGGCGGGCUUUUAAAAAAAUAUUGUUUGCUUUAUUUAUUUUCUUUUAUUUAUUUCUGAGUUGUUUUUCCUGUAUUUCGAAUUUCUUUGUGAAUAUUUUUGCUUUAGGUACAAAAAAUUACAAAAUUUCUGUUAGUGCCAGUAGUUUUCAAAUUUGAAUAGUUUAAAUUUGUCUCCUUUAUUUAUUUUUAAGUUGUUUUUUGCUGUAUUUAGAAUUUCUUUGUGAAUAUUUUGCUUUAGGUAAAAAAAAUUACAAACUUUAUGUUAGUGCCAAUAGUUUUCAAUUUUGAAUAGUUUAAAUUUGUCUGCUUUAUUUAUUUUCUUUUAUUUAUUUGUGAGUUGUUUUUUGCUGUAUUUAGAAUUUUUUGUGAAUAUUUUUCUUUAGGUACAAAAAAUUACAAAAUUUCUGUNNNNNNNNNNNNNNNNNNNNNNNNNNNNNNNNNNNNNNNNNNNNNNNNNNNNNNNNNNNNNNNNNNNNNNNNNNNNNNNNNNNNNNNNNNNNNNNNNNNNNNNNNNNNNNNNNNNNNNNNNNNNNNNNNNNNNNNNNNNNNNNNNNNNNNNNNNNNNNNNNNNNNNNNNNNNNNNNNNNNNNNNNNNNNNNNNNNNNNNNNNNNNNNNNNNNNNNNNNNNNNNNNNNNNNNNNNNNNNNNNNNNNNNNNNNNNNNNNNNNNNNNNNNNNNNNNNNNNNNNNNNNNUAAGUUGUUUUUUGCUGUAUUUAGAAUUUCUUUGUGAAUAUUUUUGCUUUAGGUACUAAAAAUUACAAACUUUCUGUUAGUGCUAGUAGUUUUCAAAUUUGAAUAGUUUAAAUUUUUCUGCUUUAUUUAUUUUCUUUUAUUUAUUCCUGAGUUGUUUUUUGCUGUAUUUAGAAUUUCUUUGUAACUAUUUUUGCUUUAGGUACAAAAAAUUACAAACUUUAUGUUACUGCCAGUAGUUUUAAAAUUUGAAUAGUUUAAAUUUGUCUGUUUUAUUUAUUUCUGAGUUGUUUUUUGCUGUGUUUAGAAUUUAUUUUUGAAUAUUUUUGCUUUAGGUACAAAAAAUUACAAACUUUCUAUUAGUGCCAGUAGUUGUCAAAUUUGAAUAGUUUAAAUUUGAAUUAUUUGAAAUUUUUGUGAAUAACUAGUUUCGGAAUAACUUUACUUUAAAAAUAGAUUUUUCAGUGAUUCGUUUUUCUUAUGUCUAACAUUAGUGUGUUUUAUCAUUAUAUUCAAUUUGGUAAUACUUAGGUUAUUUAAAAAAUGAAAUGCCAUUGUAACAGAUGAGUUUUCGUCUAAAAACUCUGAUACUUCGAAAGAGAUUGUCCAUUUUGUACACUAAGUGCUUCCAGUUUUUGCCAUAACCCUCUAUACUUUUUUGCACAUGCUAUGUGGGUGAAAUGAUGAUACCAUGCCAACUUUCAACCUUUUCAGAGUUCAUUUGUAGUGCUUUUUAAUUUCAGGGUCAUUUAGCUAAAAAAAUCAUUAAAUGCAUGAAAAAUAGCAAAUGAUGUCCGAAAGUGUUGAAAGUUGAUGACGUGGCUUUGAAUGGUGCAUACUGGACGCACAAAAAGUAUGGAGUUGUAAUGAGUUUCAAAAAUGAAAUUCCUUUGUAACAGAUGAGUUUUCGUCCGAAACCCUGAUACUCCGAAAGAGAUUGUCCAUUUUGUACACGAAGUGCAUCCAGUUUUUUCCAUAACCCUCACUACUUUUUUGCACAUGCUAUGUGGGUGAAAUGAUGAUGCCAUGCCAACUUCCAACCUUUAAGAGUUCAUUUGUAGUGUUUUUCAAUUUCAGGGUCAUUUAGCUAAAAAAUCAAUAAAUGCAUGAGAAAUAGCAAAUGAUGUCAGAAAGGUAUGAAAGUUGAUGACGUGGCUUUGAAUGGUGCAUACUGAAUGCACAAAAAGUUUAGAGUUGUAAUAAAUUUAAAAAAUGAAAUGCCUUUGUAACAGAUGAGUUUUCGUCCGAAGCCCUCAUACUUCAAAAGAGAUUAUCCAUUUUGUGCACGAAGUGCAUCCAGUUUUUGCCGUAACCCUCUCUACUUUUUUGCACAUUAUAUGUGGGUGAAAUGAUGAUACGAUGCCAACUUCCAACCUUUCAGAGUUCAUUUGUAGUGCUUUUCAAUUUCAGGGUCAUUUAGCUAAAAAAAAUCAGGAAAUGCACGAAAAAUAGCAAAUGAUGUCAGAAAAGUUUGAAAGUUGAUGACAUGGCUUUGAAUUGUGCAUACUGAACGCACAAAAAGUCUAGAGUUGUAAUAAGUUUAAAAAAUGAAAUGCCUUUGUAACAGAUGAGUUUUCGUCCGAAACCCUCAUACUUCGAAAGAAAUUGUACAUUUUGUACACGAAGUGCAUCCAGUUUUUGCCGUAACCCUCUCUACUUUUUUGCACAUGCUAUGUGGGUGAAAUGAUGAUGCCAUGCCAACUUUCAACCUUUGUAGAGUUCAUUUGUAGUGCUUUUCAAUUGCAGGGUCAUUUAGCUAAAAAAUCAGUAAAUGCAUGAAAAAUAGCAAAUGAUGUCAGAAAGUGUUGAAAGUUGAUGACGUGGCUUUGAAUGGUGCAUACUGAAUGCACAAAAAGUCUGGAAUUGUAAUAAGUUUAAAAAAAUGAAAUGCCUUUGUAACAGAUGAGUUUUCGUCCGAAACCCUGAUACUCCGAAAGAGAUUGUCCAUUUUGUACACGAAGUGCAUCCAGUUUUUGCCGUAACCCUCCCCUACUUUUUUCCACAUGCUAUGUGGGUGAAAUGAUGAUACGAUGCCAACUUCCAACCUUUUCAGAGUUCAUUUGUAGUGCUUUUCAAUUUCAAGGUCAUUUAGCUAAAAAAUUAGUAAAUGCAUGAAAAAUAGCAAAUGAUAUCAGAAAGGUUUGAAAGUUGAUGACGUGUCUUUGAAUGGUGCAUACCGAAAGUACAAAAAGUCAGGAGUUGUAAUAAGUUUAAAAAAAUGAAAUGCCUUUGUAACAGAUGAGUUUUCGUCUAAAACCCUCAUACUUCGAAAGAGAUUGUCCAUUUUUUUCUACACGAAGUGCAUCCAGUUUUUGCCGUAACCCUCUCAACUUUUUUGCACAUGCGAUGUGGGUGAAAUGCUGAUACCGCCAACUUUUAACCUUUUGAGAGUUCAAUUUUAGUGCUUUUUAAUUUCAGGGUCAUUUAGCUAAAACAAUCAGUAAAUGAGCUAAAAGUAGCAAAUGAAGUCAGAAAAGGGUUGAAAAUUGCUGAUGUGCCUUGGAAUGGUGCAUAUUGAACACACAAAAAGUCUGGAGUUGAAAUAAGUUAUUAAAAAUAAAAUCCUUUUGUAAUAGAUGAGUUUCGUCCGAAACCCUGAUACUUCGAAAGAGAUUGUCCAGUUUGUAGAAGAAGUGCAUCCAAUUUUUGCCGUAACCCUCUCAACUUUUUAGCACAUGCUAUGUGGAUGAAAUGAUGAUAUCAUGCUAAGUUUCAACCAUUUCAGAGUUGAUUUGUAGUGCUUUUCAUUUUCAGGGUCAUUUAGCUAAAAAAAUUCAUUAAAUGCAUAAAAAUAGCAAAUGAAGGCAGAAAAGAGUUGAACAUUGAUGAUGUGACUUUGAAUGGUGCACAAUGAACACACAAAAAGUCCGGAGUUAAAAUAAGUUAUAAAAAUGAAGGAGAGGCGCAAUCCUCACUGGCACAUUGCUUAGCUUCAGGCCUUGACAAACUACACAUAGCUCUGUGCAAUCUACACCAUUUCCUCCAGGCAUGAAGCUAAGCAACGUGCAGGUGAGCAUUGCGCCUCUCCUUCAUCGUUCCUCGUCUCUGCACUCAGGGCUUAUAAACCGCUGAUACGUCUCCAACGUAUCUAUAAUUUUUGAUUGUUCCAUGCUAUUAUAUUAUCAAUCUUGGAUGUUCUAUAAUCAUUUUAUAGUCAUUUUUUGGUACUAACCUAUUGACAUAGUGUCAAGUGCUAGUUGUUGUUUUCUGCAUGUUUUUUACAUUGCAGGAAAUCAAUACCAAACGGCGUCCAAAUUCAAUGAAACUUUACGGGGAUUUUUUAUGCACCAGAAGACACCUAAUGGGCCAAGGCUGCGCCUAGGGGGUGCUCCGAGGAGAGCACAACCCACCAUGGCGCGCCAGGAGGCCCGGGCACGCCCUGGAGGGUUGUGCCCACCUCGGGUGCCCCUCGGGCCGCCUCUUUGCUCUAUAAAUAUCCCAAUAUUCCAGAAACCCUAGGGGAGUCGACGAAAAUCAAUUCAAGCCUCCGCAGAGUCCAGAACCACCAGAUCCAAUCUAGACACCAUCACGGAGGGGUUCACCACUUCCAUUGGUGCCUCUCCGAUGAUGCGUGAUUAGUUCUUUGUAGACCUUCGGGUCCGUAGUUAGUAGCUAGAUGGCUUCCUCUCUCUCGCCAAACUCUCAAUACAAUGGUGUCUUGGAGAUCCAUAUGAUGUGACUCUGUUUGCGGUGUGUUUGUUGGGAUCAGAUGAACUUUCAGUUUAUGAUCAGAUCUAUCUUUUUAUAUCCAUGAAAGUUAUUUGAGUUUCUUUGAACUAUUAUAUGCAUGAUUUCUUAUAGCCUCGUAUUUCUUCUCCGAUAUUUGGGUUUUGUUUGGACAAAUUGAUCUAUUUAUCUUGCAAUGGAAAGAGGUGCUUUGUAGUGGGUUCGAUCUUACGGUGCUUGAUCCCAGUGACAGAAGGGGAACCGACACGUAUGUAUCGUUGCUACUAAGGAUAAAACGAUGGGGUCUAUCUCUACAUAGAUAGAUCUUGUCUACAUCAUGUCAUCAUUCUUAUUGCAUUACUCCAUUUCCCCAUGAACUUAAUACACUAGAUGCAUGCUGUAUAGCGGUCGAUGUGUCGAGUAAUAGUAGUAGAUGCAGGUAGGAGUCGGUCUACUAAUCUUGGACGUGAUGGCUAUAUAUUGAUCAUUGCCUGGAUAUCGUCAUGAUUAUUUGGAACUCUAUCAAUUGCCCAACAGUAAUUUGUUUACCCACCGUUUGCUAUUUUGCUCGAGAGAAGCCACUAGUGAAACCUACGGCCCCCGGGUCUCUUUCUCACAUUAUUUGCCUUCGCGAUCUAUUUUAUUUGCCUUUUGUUUGCAGAUCUAUUAAACCAAAAAUACAAAAAUACCUUGCUGCGUUUUACUCUUAUUUAUUUUAUUUGGUGUUCGAUCUAUCAAUCUACUACAAUUAUCUCACGUCUGUUUGCCAAUUUCUGGCGCCGCUACCCGAAAGGGAUUGACAACCCCUUUAACACGCCAGGUUGCGAGGAUUUGUUAUCUGUGUGCAGGGGCUAUUUACAUUCUAUUGCUAGGUUCUCCUACUAGUUCGAUAACCUUGGUUUCAUAUCUGAGGGAAAUACCUACCGCUGCUAUGCUGCAUCAUCCCUUUCUCUUUGGGGAAAUACCGACGUAGCUUCAAGCCGCAUCAAAAGGAAUUUCUGGCGCCGUUGCCGGGGAGGAUCUUCAACAUAUACGAGGUUCCGAAUCACAAAUCUCAUCUCCUUGCAAUUUACAUUAUUUGCCAUUUGCCUCUCAUUUUCCUCUCCCCCACUUCACAAAAAUUUGCCAUUUUAUUCGUCCUCUUUUUCGUUCGCCUUUUUCUCGUUUGAUCUUUUGUUUGCUUGUGUUGCCAUGUGCCUUCUAUAUGCUUGCGUCUUCGCUUGCUAAAAAUAUAUUGAUAUGGAUCCUCAUCCACUUGCUAAUCUUUUUAAAAGAUCCAAUCAUGUUGAACCAGUUGCUAGUGAGUUGAGUGCACUAGAUUAUCUUUAUGAAGUUUUUCUUGAGAUUCGUGAAUCUAAAAAUUGCGAUGAAGAAAUUUAUGAAGUGAUUCAUGAUAGCUCCUUGAAUGAAAAGCAUGAUUGCAAUGAUUUUACUAUAAAUCCUAUUAAUGUCAAUUGUGCUAAUAAUAUGCAAAACCCCAAACUUUGGGAUGCUAAUUUUGCUAUGUCCACUACUUGUUGCAAUGAUCAUGAUUGGGGUGAUUCUUCUUAUGAGCUUGAAAUUUUAUUUAAACCUCAUGAUGAAUAUGAUAUUGAUAAUAAUGUUUGCAAUAAUAUUGAAAGUGGGUAUGGAAGAGCGUCAACUUUAGGUAAAAAUAAUCCCACAUAUUUGGAGAGUGUUCAAUCUUAUGAUUUUUUUUAUGAAAGUGGGUUCGGAGGGGUCAUGACUUUAGUUGAUGUUAAUCCCACUAUCUUGGAAGAUUAUAAGACUUGUAUGCAUGUGGAUCAUGAAAAGAAAGUUUUAUAUGAUUGCUAUAUUGUUGAAUUUGAGUAUUAUCCUACAUGUAAUUAUUAUGAGAAAGGAAAAUAUGGUUGUAGAAAUUUUUAUGUUACUAAAUUACCUCUCGUUAUGUUGAGAUCGUCAAUGUUUUAUUCCUCUUCUUUGCAUAUGUUAGAUGUUUCUUGUCUUGAUAUUUUGUUUUCUUAUAAAAUUCCUAUGCAUAGGAAGUAUGUUAGACUUAAAUGUGGUUGUCAUAUGUUUCAUGAUGCUCUCUUUGUGUUUCAAUUAUUAUCUCUCAUGUGAGCAUCAUUGAAAUUUUAUGCCUAGCUAGGGGCAUGAAACUAUAGCGCUUGUUGGGAGGCAACCCAAUGAAUAAAAUUUGUUUUUACCUUUUGCUUUCUGUUCUUGAAUGUUUGCACAAUUAUGCUAAUGUUAUGAUUGUGUGUUUUGUGUUUUAAUUAGUGUUUGUACCAAGUAGAACCUAUAGGAUCUUCUUGGGUGAUAGUUGUUUGAUCUUGCUGAAAAAACAGAAACUUUUGCGCUCAUGAAAACAAUUCUUAUUUUUUACCAGAGCGUGAUAAAAUGCCAAUUAUUUUUGCAGAAGAUUAAUAUACAAAUUUCUUAGGUCUUCCUAUUGUUUUAGAAUUUUUGGAGUUUCAGAAGUAUUCGAACAAUUCAGAUUGCAACACAUUGUUCUGUUUUUGACAGAUUUUGUUUUCUUUGCGUUGUGUGCUUGUUUUGAUGGCUCCAUGGUUUUCUUUGUUGAGUUUUUGCCAUAGAAAAGUUGGAAUAUAUUAGAUAUAAUGCAAGAAUAAAAUAUGAAUAGGUUGCAACAGUACUUAUAGUAGUGAUUUAUUUUCUUAUACUAAUGGAUCUCACGAAGGUUUUGUUGAGUUUUGUGUGAUUGAAGUCUUCAAGUUUUGGGUUAUCUUACGAUGGAUGAAGGAAUAAGGAGUAAGCAAAGCCUAAGCUUGGAGAUGCCCCGGCAACCCAAGCUAUUAUCCAAAAGAUAGCAAGCAAGUAAGCUUGGGGAUGCCCCGAGUGGCAUCCCCUCUUUCUUCUAACGACCAUCGAUAUUUUACUCGAAGCUAUAUUUUUAUUCGUCACAUACUAUGUGUUUUGCUUGGAGCGUCUUGUAUGAUAUGAGUCUUUGCUUGUUUUAUUUUGUGUUUUAAGUCUUGAUUCCUUGCGGGACACACCUAUUUGAGAGAGCCAAAAUUAUGCAUGACUUAUUAGAAUUGCUCUCUAUGCUUCACUUAAAUUUUUUAUGAGCCAUGGACUUGCUCUAGUGCUUCACUUAUAUCUUUUUGAGCACGGUGUGCUUAGUUAUUUUUUAAGAAAUGCUCUCUUGCUUCACUUAGAUUUGUUUUAGAGGUAGUAAAUUUUUCAGGAAAUUCUCUCUUUCUUCACUUAAAUUAAUUUGAAAGAAAGAAAUAUUAUGCUCAUGAUCUUCACUUAUAUUUGUUUGAGCUUAUCAAAAGCAACAUAUGAAAAUUAGUUCCAAAGUGAUAGAUAUCCAAGAAGGAUAUAAUAAAAACUUUCAUGAAGAUCAUUGGACAAAAUAAACUUGAUUCUUAGUAAUAGUUUUAAGAUAUGAUGAUGUGAUAUGUGAGUCAUGUUGAUGAGUAAUUAUGCUUUACUAAGAAUAUUGGUGUUAAGGUUUGUGACUCCCUAUGCAAGCACGAAAGUCAAUAAUUAUGCAAUGAAAUUAUAUCCUACUUGUGGUGCAUUAUUCGGUGUUAAUUAUGCUUAAUGCUCGCUUAUGAGAUUAUUCGUUUCUUGGUUGGUUGCUUCUCAAUCUUUUGCUAGCCUUCAUUUUGCACUAAGUAUGAUCUCUACUUGUGCAUCCAAAAACCUUUAAACCAGUUUUGCCACAUGACUCCACUAUAUCUACCUAUAUGCGGUAUUCUUUUGCCGUUCUAAGCAAAUUUGUAUGUGCCAUCUCUAAUUUUGAAAAUAAACUUCUCUUUUGUGUGUUCGUACCGCUCGCAGAGCUGUGAGGGGUGGCUAAUAUUUUCCAUGCUAGAUGUGUUAUUCUCACGAUGAGUGUUUAUUCACUUGUCAUUGCACGAGAGUAAGGCAAAGGUAUUAGGGAUGCCCAGUCCCGAAAUGAAAAAUGAAUUUACUUUAUGUUGUCAAAUAAUAAAUUCCUUGGAAAGUGUUGGUACGGAGGGAAACCGUGGAUACGGCUAGCCAAGGAAAGUGAAAGUAUGGUUGAAAAAAGAAUAAACUUUAUUUUCUGUUUGGGAACCGCCUAUGAUAUAUCUAGCAUGGAAAGUGUUGGGAACUCUAAGUCGUUUUCGUUGGUGGGAAGGACACACCUCCUGAAAUGUUCUUAUCUCUAAGUUUUUUCGCUUUGAGCUUUGGCACGUCUACAAAUCCCUACUUCCCUCUGUGAAGGGCCUUUGUUUUACUUUAUGCAAUUUUUAUUAUUGAAUUUGAAUCUCCUUAUAAAAGCACCAACUCGGAGGCACUAUGAUCUUACUUGAGCAUUGGGUGUAGCUAAUAUGCAAGUGUGUUUCAUGAAUGGAUCAAUGAUUGAGCAUGAUGGGCUAGGGAUAACUUAUUUUAGCGUUGAUAUUUUGAAAGACAUGGUUGCUUGUUGGUAUGCUUGAGUAUUUAAGUUAUCAUAUCAAAACUAGACUAUUGCUUUGAACAAUAUAAAAGUCCAAAUGUCCAUGCUAUAAAGAAAACAAUAUGAUAUGACAUGUUACGCAGUAUUCCACAUCAAAAAUUCCGUUUUUAUCACUUACCUACUCGAGGACGAGUAGGAGUUAAGCUUGGGGAUGCUGAUACGUCUCCAACGUAUCUAUAAUUUUUUAUUGUUCCAUGCUGUUAUAUUAUCAAUCUUUGAUGUUUUAUAGUCAUUUUAAAUAAUUUUUUGGUACUAACCUAUUGACAUAGUGCCAAGUGCCAGUUGUUGUUUUCUGUAUUUUUUUACAUCGUAGGAAAUCAAUAUCAGACGGAGUCCAAAUGCAAUGAAACUUUACGGAGAUUUUUUUAUUGACCAGAAGACACCUAAUGGGCCAAGGUUGCGCCUGGGGGCGCUCCGAGGAGAGCACAACCCACCAGGGCGCGCCAGGAGGCCCAGGCGCGCCCUAGUGGCUUGUGCCCACCUCGGGUGCCACCCGGACCACCUCUUUGCUCUAUAAAUACCCCAAUAUUCCAGAAACCCUAGGGGAGUCGACGAAAAUCAAUUCCAGCCGCCGCAGAGUCCAGAACCACCAGAUCCAAUCUAGACACUAUCACGGAGGGGUUCACCACUUUCAUUGGUGCCUCUCCGAUAAUGCGUGAGUAGUCCUUUGUAGACCUUCGGGUCCGUAGUUAGUAGCUAGAUGGCUUCCUCCCUCUCGCUAAAUUCUCAAUACAAUGGUCUCUUGGAGAUCCAUAUGAUGUAACUCUUUUUGCGGUGUGUUUGUUGGGAUCAGAUGAACUUUAGUUUAUGAUCAGAUCUAUCUUUUUAUAUCCAUGAAAGUUACUUGAGUUUUUUUGAUCUCUUGUAUGCAUGAUUUGUUAUAGCCUCGUAUUUCUUCUCCGAUAUUUGGGUUUUGUUUGGCCAACUUGAUCUAUUUAUCUUGCAUUGGGAAGAGGUGCUUUGUAGUGGGUUCGAUCUUAUGGUGCUUGAUCCCAGUGAUAGAAGGGGAACCGACACGUAUGUAUCGUUGCUACUAAGGAUAAAAUGAUGGGGUCUAUCUCUACAUAGAUAGAUCUUGUCUACAUCAUGUCAUCGUUCUUAUUGCAUUACUCCCUUUCCCCAUGAACUUAAUACACUAGAUGCAUGCUGGAUAGCGGUCGAUGUGUGGAGUAAUAGUAGUACAUGCAGGCAGGAGUCGGUCUACUAAUCUUGGAUGUGAUGCCUAUAUAUUGAUCAUUGCCUGGAUAUCGUCAUGUUUAUUUGUAGUUCUAUCAAUUGCCCAACAGUAAUUUGCUUACCCAUCAUUUGCUAUUUUUCUCGAGAAAAGCCACUAGUGAAACCUAUGACCCCCGGGUCUCUUUCUCAUUUUAUUUGCCUUCGCAAUCUAUUUUAUUUGCCUUUCAUUUUCAGAUCUAUUAAACCAAAAAUACAAAAAUACCUUCUUGCGCUUUAUUCUUUUUUUUUUAUUUGGCGUUCGAUCUAUCAAUGUACUACAAUUAUCUCACGUAUGUUUGCCAAUUUCUGGCGCCGUUACCCGAAAGGGAUUGACAACCCCUUUAACAUGUCGGGUUGCGAGGAUUUGUUAUCUGUGUGCAGGGGUUGUUUACGUUGUGUUGCUAGGUUCUCCUACUAGUUCUAUAACCUUGGUUUCAUAUCUGAGGGAAAUACCUACCUCUGCUCUGCCGCAUCAUCCCUUCCUCUUUGGGGAAAUACUGACGUAGCUUCAAGCCGCAUCAACCGCUGCGAGUCCCUCUUGCUAGGCGAGGUGGGACUAAAUUUUAGCCAUUGCCAGGACAAGGCCUUUAGUCUCGGUUGAUGGCUCAAUUAAAAUAUUUUGUUAUGAUCCACUUAUAGAAAGUUAUAAUAUUCUUCAAUAGCAAAAAGAAUCAACUAAAAAUCUCUAGUACCGGUUCGUGGCAUGAACCGGUACUAAAGGUGCUGGUGGGGGGCCCAGCCUGACAACAGCCUGCCACCACCUCUUUAGUACCGGUUCGUGGAACGAACUGGUACUAAAGGUUCGCCACGAACUAGUACUAAUGAGCACCGCCCGCCUAGCUGUUGGAACCGACACUAAUGGUCACAUUAGUGCUGGUUCAGUUACAAACCGGGACUAAUGUGCUUCACAUUAGGCCCUUUUUCUACUAGUGUUGCUUCUCCGCCUCCAUCUCAAGCAUCCUCAUUUGCUUCUCUGCCUCCAUCUCAAGCCUCCUCCUUUAGAUCUUCAUGAAGGCGUUCAUUUGUUCUUCCUUGUCUUGUCGGCGCUUCUCCUCCCUUGAGUCCUUCUUAGUCAUCAUGCCCUCCAUGGUAGCGAUCAAGGCAUUGGACGCCGCAUCCCUCUUGUCCUACUUCUUGGAGUUGGUCUUCCCCCACGGCCGUGGCUUCUCGCCCUCCCCAACCUCCUCCACGACUUUCUCUCCCCCACGCAACAUGAGGGCGGCAUAUUGCACCUUGAACUUCUCCUCGUCUUUGAUGACCCUCCAACAAUGAGAGAGGUUGAAGGACUUACCAUCAUGUUGGACCUUGAAUGCCUCCAAAGCUUGGAAUGCCUACAAAUGAAAUGCAUGCAAGCAUAUUGGCAAAUGGAUAUGAAUAUGGACUUGCAAGAAUAAACGGAAGAGGGGCGCAUGCAUGCAUACCAUAUCUUGCAUGCCGAUGCCGCUCACCGGGCGUGACUUGAUGCUCUCAAAGGUGGCACAAAACUUGUCAUGCUCUUGUUGGAUCACCUUCCAUCGGUUCGAAAUGGACACCCACCCGCGCAUGCUUUAUAUCUGGUACGGCAGAAACUUCUUGCGUUCGUGGAACUCACGAUGGACACGAGUCCAAAAGGUUGAUUCCUUUUGUUCGGCACCGACCAUGGGGUCUUGCCCAAUGUCCCUCCAAAACUCACAAAGGAGCUUGUCCUCGACCGUGGUGUAUGCCUUCGUCCGCCUGCUCUUGUGCUUUGGCUUCAGCCCGGCGGCUUGGCUGGCGAGCCCGUCCUCUUCCUCAAGGCCGUAGUCCUCCGGAAACUCGUGGUCGAACAGGAAGUCGUCUAGGUCCAGGCCGAAGUGAUCUUGCAUGAAGGCGUCCUGCAUGCUAUCUUGAUCAUAGGUCGACGGCGUGAACGGCCCUCAGCCGUCCUGGCUUUGUGUCUCCUCUGAAUCGUAGGCAGCCGCGGCGGCACCACAGGCGGCCGACGUACCACCCUCGAAGAUGAUGCUCACCAUGAAACGGUCGGCCGUCUUGUCUUCGCCGGAUGACGAGGCACCGACUACCGGUGUGGCGUUGAGAUCGAUGGGCGCGGGCGCGGGCAUGGAAUGCGCCACCACGCUCACCUCCAGCGAGCAUUCCCUGAAGAAUUGGGAGGCUUGCAAGUAGACGUGGAAGCCGGGAAUCGAGUAAGACGCCGACGCGCGAGGCGACUCUGGGAGCACCAUCCGAGGAAACGCGGACGAGUCGGAGCUGGCCACGGCCACAGCGGCGUUGACGAGCCCGUGCUGGCCAGGGUUUAGCCCUAGGUAGAUUAGCGCCUCCCUCAUUGCCGCGGCGACGUGGGCGGCGGUGUCCUCCUGCUGCGCGGCGGCGGCCAUGGCGAUGGCAGCGGACGCUGCUUCGUCCCACGCGUCCGCCGCGUGCCUUCGGCCCUUUCGCUUCGGUGACUCCGCGGCCCGCUCCUCGGACGUCAGCUGCUUCUUCUUCUUGGGCACGGUGGCAGUCUUGCGGGAGGCGCGCGGCUUGCCUUUGCCGAAGGGGGCGGCUGUGAUGCUGGACGAGGCAAGGGCGACGAGGCCGCCGACAGUAUCGAGGUCCUCAUCCAUGGCGUGCGGCCGGGAGCGAGCACGGGCGGAAGGUUUUUGAGAAAGUGGACGAAAAUGUUGGAGGCUUUGCCACCAAUUGGCAGGUCAGGGGUAGUUGGCACGCAACGCGCUUCUCCGUCUCGUGUCGCGCGCCAACGCAAAUGAGGCUCAAAAUUGGGCUGAGAAUGGGUCGGCAGGCGAACGAAAAGCGGACACGCGUCCAUUUGGGUCGGCACAUUGUGCCGACUUUUCUGUCCGCACCGACCCAAAUGAACGCGCGCGAACGAAAUGGGUCGUCACGUUGGAGUUGCUCUUACGUGGCACUGUAACAAGAAAUGAGGACCAGUGGAAACCAGCAUAUGCACCUAGAAGAAUCGUAUGGAUCUGCAUAUGUAAUUGAUCUAUAUCAUACGGACCCAUAAAUGAUAGGAAGGUCCUAGCUACCAGGUACCAGCUAUCCUGGUUACUCCAUUUGCUGCCCCUCCAACCUGGGUUCCGGUCAUGUCCUCGGGGUCUGUCGGUGGUUCCGUGUUCUUGUUCUGGACGGACGCUUGUAAGAUCAGGUUUUCGAUCGGGAGCCUUCUGUUGACAUUAUAAAAGUGCGUGUAUUCAAAGGAGAUGUAUGCAUUUCUCCGUGACAAAGCAAAUUAAGUUCUGCUGCUAGCUAUUUUCAAAAAAGAGUCUUGCCCCACCACUUGCGUCGUUUGCAAAGCCCUUAAAUAUACUGAUAUGUUAUACACACACACAUAUACACAUGAGAUUUAAUUUUAAAGAGCACACGGACAUGUUCGUUCUCGUGUUAAUGAAAUCCUAGAAAAUCUCAUUAAUUAACCAUGGGAUCUAUAAUUCCGAGAUCUUUAGCUGUUGGAUGUAUGUAAUGCCUUAAGAUGCAUUAAAACAAAUAUACGUGAGAUUUAAUUUUAAAGGCCUUAAGGUGCAUAAAAAAUACGCAUGAGAUUUAAUUUUAAAUAGCACAAGGACAUGUUCAUUGUCGUGUUAAUGAAAUCCUAGAAAAUCUCAUUAAUUAACCUUCGGAUCUGUAACUCCGAGAUCUUUAGCCAUUGGAUUUACAUAAUGCCUCAACCUGCAUCAAAAAAAAUAUACGCAUGAGAUUUAAUUUUAAAGGCCUUAACCUGCAUAAAAAAAUAUACGCAUGAGAUUUAAUUUUAAAGAGCAGACAGACAUCUUCAUUGUCGUCCGCUGGCUGUAUGAAUUAGAAUAACAUAUAUUUACUUAGUUGGAUUAGAGAGAAGAGAAAAGAGAAGAGAAGUGGGCUCUGGAUUAAAGCAAGUACAAUAAAAUGACGUAGGCGGGCUAUAAAAGAUGUCAUCUUAAAUUUGUGCUUUUUUAGUUAACCUUAAAUUUGUGCUUAGUUGAAGGAGAGAGAAGCGGGCUACAAGUGUGACAAAAGCCUUUUUCAGUAGGCAGGCUACAAACUUACAAUCGACUGUAGCACGAGCUCAAACAACCUUUGUAAGAAGAUAUGGGCCAUAUAUUAAUUCACAGUGUGACUUAAUGUUGACAUGAAUUGAUACAGGUGGACAUAGUUAGAGCAACUCUAGCAGACCCCGCAUCCCGCCCCGACUGUUAAAAUAACCGCCAAAAUGCGGGUCGGGCAGGAAAACCAGCCCGAUCAGACCCCGCAUCCCGCCCCCGCCCGCAAAAAAAUUUAGGGGGCGCGGCAAAAUCCCAACCCCAACCCGGGAAAACGCGGGUUUCCCUCUCGCGGCUGCGGUGCCCUGCAUAUAGGAGGAAGCGGCUGGUGAGGGGACAUUUCAUGCCGCGCUUUCUCCCACCAACCACCUCUCCUCUCCCCCCUCGCGCCGCUGCCGGCCGCCGCCCAAGAUUCUGGCGAAAGCAGCCGGCAGGAGCACGCCGGAAGGCCGCCACGCACACGAGGCCUCCCCUUCCUCCCCCUGCGUCGGCGGGCCACCGGAUUUGCAGAUUUGCAGCACUUCAUCGCGGGUCGCCGGAUUUGGCUUUUUCCGGCCGCCGGUUGCUGUCCCAAGCUAUGGAGUGGUCGGGGAGCCUCUCCCACAGCCCAGGCAAGGGCGCAUUGCCGCAUGCAGGUACGGGUUCGUCCGCCCGCCGCCGCCGAAGGUUUGCGGGCUUGGACUCAUCCGGCCGUCCACCGGGCUCGGCGCUCACGCAGCGUCUUUGUGGCAUGCCGAUGCCGCUCAUAGAGUGUGACGACUGCACGCGGAAAGUGCUGCGGCUCACUUCGGGCACGCCGAAGCACCCUGGGUGGGUGUUCUUCAAAUGCGAAAAUGACGGGGUACGUGCACUUGCGGUAGCUCGUUUCAUAGUUCAUUCUUUAGUUCAACUGCGGUAGCUCACUUCGAGCUUGCUCACUCUUUUGUGUAGGACGAUGGAUGCUCAUUUUGGUUUUGGGAAGGCCAAUACAUUUAUUUGUUGAUAGAAAGAAACUUAAUAGAUGUUAGUGCACUCCUUAGUACAAUCGAAGGCAAUGAUGCGGCUGCAUGUGCAAAUAGAGGGGAAGCAACGUCUACUUCUUUCGAACCAAAGAUGAAGAAAGAAGAAUGCAAAAUCAAGAAUCCACAGAUCAACAACGAAUGCAUGGAGAAGAUAUUAGUCCAACUAGUGGGGGCAGUUAUGGAAGUUGGAAAUCUUCUAAAAUGCAUACUUGUGGUUCUUAUUUUCUUUGGUCUUGCUAUUCUAGCAAAGAUUUGGUGAUGUCUUUUGUAUCCAAUGUUGUUGAUAAAGCAAAGCAAUGCAAUAUGCUAGAUCAAAUUAAGGUGCAAAUUUAAGUUUUGCGGGCCGGGAGAAGUUGCACCAGAUCAGACGCGGCAACCCAACCCGUAAAAAAGCAUAUUCCAGGAAUAUCGUUUUUACGGAUCCAUUAUGCGGGGUCUGCAACUGCGGCCGUCCGCGCCGGCCCGCAAAGCCGUUUUCCCGCGAACUGCAAAAACGUUUAGCGGGUCGGGAGGAUGUGGGGUCUGCUAGAGUUGCUCUUACUCUGCGUCUGUAAAUAAAGGUCAUCAUUUUUAUUGCUCUAGGGACCCAUAAAUGAUAGGGACUGUCCGCUACCAGCUACCAGCUAGUAGCUACCCUGGUGACUACAUUUGCUGCCCCUCAAACAUGGGUUCCCGACAUGUUCUCAGGGUCUGUCGGUGGUUCCAUGUUCUGGCCUUUGGGGUUGGUUUAACUAGUGGUAUGGGGGUUCUUGCAUCGCCCUGUACUCUCGAUCGGGACCCUUUAAUUCUAGGUGACAUACAGUGCGUGUAUUUAAAGCCGAGGCAUGGAUCCUCCGUGCCAAAGAAAAUUAAUUCAGCGGCUACUCGGGGAGAGUUGUGGCAGCAUAUCCGGGAUGCCAGCUUUUUAUUUUGGGUUUUGAUUGUCAAAGUUUUAGAUCUUAAAAAAAACUAAAAUUAAGUGCUGUUUUCAUAUUCGUGUUUCUCGUGACCAGCGCCUUGAAAUAAUAUCCAUUUUGAAUAUAUUUUGACGACUUUGAAAAAUGUUAAGUUUCAAAUGUUGAAACUUAGUAUGAGCAACCAAUAAAAAUCAAUUAUUUUGUACCUACGCCUGACAGAAAAAUGCUUACAGUUAUAUCCCUGAAACUUGCUGAAACUUUGCAUUUUUCAUCAUUGAAACUUAAAACUGUUUAAGGGAUUUUCUUUUUUACUGUGCCCUCAUGUGGGAUUCAACUACUCUUUUCUCUCCGUGAGAUCCACAUAAAAAAAGCACAAAUUUAAGAUGAGUGCCCUGCACUUACAUGCCCCUGCGAAUUUCCGCAGCUACUAGCUAUUUUUGGAAGAAAAAAAUCUUGCCCCGCCACUCCCAUCAUUAGCAGAGCCCUUAAAUAUACUCACAUGUACCAAAUUACGAGUCAGAAUCAAACAUGCGUUGGCAUCAUUACCUACGAACUCUACUAAACAAUGUUCCAACUAUCCUGCGAGUCAAAUCUAAUAACUCUUGUCUUGCACGUUGCAUUGUCCAUUGGCAGAUCUUUUUAAGAAUUUUACGUCAGAUCUAAUUUUAUUUGAACGAAUGAAAGAUAAGCAAGUAGUAGUAAAAUCGACCCAAUUUGCACAGCCGAAAUGUGGACCAGACAAUUUACUCUUUGUUACGGGACUAAGAAAUUCGGACCGGCUAAUNNNNNNNNNNNNNNNNNNNNNNNNNNNNNNNNNNNNNNNNNNNNNNNNNNNNNNNNNNNNNNNNNNNNNNNNNNNNNNNNNNNNNNNNNNNNNNNNNNNNNNNNNNNNNNNNNNNNNNNNNNNNNNNNNNNNNNNNNNNNNNNNNNNNNNNNNNNNNNNNNNNNNNNNNNNNNNNNNNNNNNNNNNNNNNNNNNNNNNNNNNNNNNNNNNNNNNNNNNNNNNNNNNNNNNNNNNNNNNNNNNNNNNNNNNNNNNNNNNNNNNNNNNNNNNNNNNNNNNNNNNNNNNNNNNNNAUGUCUCCCAUUUCUCAAUCCCAUCCCGACGGUGUGUCUACCAUGUUUAGAGGGCGCAUGGGGGAGUUACUCCAUUGGUUCUCGCGGGAUUUGAUCGAUGAUGGUUUUCCGUGGAUUUCCUUGAAUCCAGUUUUUGUUCAUCCUCAUCCGUGCGUUUAAAUAUCCCAACAAGGCGAAGAUUUGGUUGUGCACAGGCAACUGAGGAGGUGACCUACUUCUUUACUGUCUCCUAUGUCCCUUGUUACCCACUGAUCCUAGAUCCACAGCUCGAGACCCCCUACCCUGAGGUCUACCAGUUUUACCACUGACAACCGGCCACAAGGGAGAAAUCCCUUUGAAUUUAGAGAUAAGAUCUUAUCUCUAGAUUUAACCCUUUAAAUUUAGAGAUAUGACCUUAUCUCUAGAUUUUAAAGACAUGGAACUUAGGGACGAUGCGGCCAGCCCAUGUGGGUUGUUGCCCCACCCCUCGGUCUAUGUGGGGACUUUUCGGGUCGUUGGGCCCCAUGGUGGAACCCCGGAACAUUUCCGGUACUCUACCAAAUAUUCCCAAACUUUUCUGGAACCCAUAAAACCACUUUCCUUACAUAACUCUUUACCUCCAGAGCUCCUCGUGAUGUCCCGGAUUCUAUCCAGGACUCUGAACUACCUUCAGACUUACCACUAUGAAUGUCCCAAAACUAUCCAAUAGUGGUAAGUCUGAACGUUAAGUGUGUGACCCUGCGGGUUCGAGAACAUGCAUAAAUGACCGAGACACCUCUCCAAUCAAUAAUCAAUGAACAUCUUUAUCGGUUUGAACCACGAUGUCAAUGAUUCAGUUAAUCCCGUAUACAAUUCCCUUUGUCCAAUGAUUUGUUAUUUGCCCGAGAUUCGAUCGUCAGUAUCGCCAUACCUAGUUCAAUCUCAUUACCGGCAAGCCCCUUUACUCAGUCCUUAAUACAAGAUCCACGUGACUAAACACAUUGGUCACAUGCUUCCAAUCUAUUCACGAUGUUGUAUUACCGAGAGGACCUAGAGAUAUCUCUCUGUCAUAUGGAGUGACAAAUCCUACACUCGAUCUAUGUAACCCAACAAACACUUUCUGAGAUACCUAUAGAGCACCUUUCUGAUCACCCAGUUACGAAGUGACGUUUGUUUACCCAUAAUGUAUUCUUCCAGUAUUAGGGAGUGGCACGAUCUCAUGGUCUAAGGAACAGAUUCUUGACAUGAAGAAAGUUGUAGAAAAUAAACUAAGUGAUACGAUCUGAUGCUAAGCUUAUGGUUGGGUCUGUCCAUCACAUCAUAAUCCUAAUGAUGUGAUCCCAUUAUUAAAUGAUAACUCGUGUCUAUGGUUAGGAAACCUUAACCAUCUUUAAUUAAUGAGCUAGCCUAGUAGAGGCUCACUAGGGACACGUUGUCUAUUUAUGUAUCCACACAUGUAUUUAAGUCUCUGGUCAAUACAAUUCUAGCAUGCAUAAUAAAUAUUUAUCAUGAACACGGAAAUACGACAAUAACAUCUUUCUUAUUGCCUCUAGGACAUAUUUCCUACAGAUUAGUAGGAUAAAAGAUCAAGGUGGCCUUGGCAUUCAUGGCAUGAAGGUCAAGAAGGAUGCCUUACAUAGGAAAUGGUUAUUCAAAAUACUUACUAGGGGUGGCGUUUGGCAAACCUGUUGCGAAAGAAGUAUCUAAUACUAUGCCAAAAACUUAUCUCUCACACAUAUUGGAAAGCUGGUGACUCACACUUUUCGGGUGGUGUCGUGGAAUUCUCACGGCAGAUGUCCUAGUGUGAGGACUUAGUCGUGAGGCCAACGCAUCUAUGUGGUAGCUUGAGAGGGGUUGAUUGGGACGAGAGACGCAACACACAAGACAAGAAUUUAGACAGCUUCGGGCCCCAGGAAACAUCAUCCAAUAAUAGCCCUACAUGCUGUUUGUGGCUAGGUCUCAUUAUGAUCAUGAGAGAGUCAUCGGUAAGCCGGCUCUUUGUGUCUAGCCCUAGAGAUUGUUUCUUGUUUCUUGUCCCUCUUGGGGUGCCCUGCCCCUCCUUAUAUAAGUUAGAGGGGCGGGUUACAUAUGGAGUCCUAGUAGGAUUAGGACUAGUCUAUCUUUCUUUACAAGUUGAAUACAAGUCCGGGUCUUGCUUCCUUGUGAAGGAAAUAAUCCUCACGCCUUUCAUCUUAAACCGGCCCACCAAAGUAUAAGCCAGCCUGCUGGGCCUUGGGCCUUGUCGUCCGUCUGAUCAGCCCGCCGGGUCUCCAGUGAAUUACAAUGUCCAGGCGGGUUACCCUGUGAACCGCCAUGUUCGGGCGGAUCGCCAGUGAGUCGCCAAGCUCCAGCCAGGUCUCUGGUGAGUCGCCAAGUCCGGCCGGGUCAUACCGCGGGGUAUAUCCCCGACAUUAGCCCCCAGUUUAAUUUGGAUUUAUCCAUGUUAAACUGAUCCUGCAACAUAAACACAAGAACAAAUUUGACAGGUUGUGCUCCGGGUUAAAUAUUCUUGUAAGCCGGCACCUGAUCAUCCUUAAGUCCUUGACAUUUUCUCCUGAAAUAUCCGGGUCAAUAUUGGUCUUGAAAUAUCCAGCUUCAUAAUCCAUUUGCUGACAUUGGCUCUUGUAAAGAAAUAUUAUAAGAAAUAAUCCAUUUGAUUCGGCCUUCAAUGCUCUGAUUUGACAAAAAUAUUGCUCUUGAAAUAUCCAACUGAUAUUCAGCCGGCUUAAAGAUGUAGAUUCUUGCCGACGAUUGCCACAAUUGUCGGGUUAGAAAUAAAUGAUGCCGGGUCAUGAUUGUUGCAGACACCGGGUUAAUCUGGUCUACUCCAAACUGAGAAUUUGAAGAUUUUUUUCUCCCUUAUAUGCAUAUUACCUGUAGCCCCUAAGUCUUAAGGGGAGAACAUAGUGAUAACUUAAGACUUGCUUCAAUAUAAGUGUUGCAACCUUGAAGAAAUCCGGUUUAUUCAUCUCAAUCAUUAGUCAUAAGCUGAAUAUUCCACAUUCCACAUAUGUAGCCCCCAAGUGCCGAGUUGUCAUGCUUGCAGCAACCUGGGACUUGUAAUUGCCUUAUGCUCAUAAAAACUUCAACUAGUGUAGCCCCCAAGGGCCGGGUCAUUAUGCAAUAAUGAGCAGGGACUUUGUAAAUAUGAUCAUGUAAACUUGACCAGCAACGUGUAGCCCCCAAGGGCCGGGUCAGUAAGAUAUUACCGAGCUGGGACUUUGUAUAUGAUUCAUCGAUAAUAACAGCAUAUGAUGUGAUCUCCACCAUGGGGUUUGAACCCACGUCCAUAAGGUUAAGAGCUUUGUACUCUACCAACUGAGUAGUGGAUCUUUCAAUAUAAUGGAUUAAGGCUUGUGUACCUUGAAUUUUCGACAAGAGCAAUUGGUAGCCCCCAAGGGCCGGCUCAUUUAGAAUGUGAUGAGUCGGGUCUUCAAUAAGUUGAACAAAAAAUGACUUUGCAUUAGCCCCCAAGUGCAAUGGUACAUGCUGGCAGUAACAUGGGACUUGCAUAUUCGAUGUAAUAUCAAUUUGAAUAAUGUAGUCCCCAAGUGCCAGGUCGUAAGCCUGCAGCGACUCGGGACUAUUCCUUACAUUAUAGAAUAAAUCAUAUCCAUCGAUAAAAUAAUAGCCAUUGCGCCAAAGCGACUUUGAAUACCUCAUCUGUUGAUAAGUAAAUCCGGAGUUUAAAUACCCGGCGGCUCUUGGCCGAUGGCGAUUUAAUACGCCUCCAUUGUAAGCCGGAAUUUUUAUAAUCCGGCGGCUUAUAGCCUUUCAGAACAUCAAGAAUUGAUAACCCUUCUGAGACUCCAAUUUCAAUCUAUGAUGAUGGGCUUGAACUUAAUCAUUUAUGUAAGUCAUAGCUCUGCAAAUCCUGCAUAGAGUUUAAACAACAUAUGCCCUGGCGACUUAACGUCAAGCCAGGGCGGGUAACCACCCAAAUGUAGUAUCCUGCACACAAGUAGAUCACAAGAUCCCUUGGCGGUUUACCGCAGGGCGGGUCAUAAUAUCUCACUGUUGGAAAUAUGCCCUAGAGGCAAUAAUAAAAUGGUUAUUAUUGUAUUUCCUUGUUCAUGAUAAUUGUCUGGUGUUCAUGCUAUAAUUGUAUUAACUGGAAACCGUAAUACAUGUGUGAAUACAUAGACCACAACAUGUCCCUAGUAAGCCUCUAGUUGACUAGCUCGUUGAUCAAUAGAUGGUUAUGGUUUCCUGACCAUGGACAUUGGAUGUCAUUGAUAACGGGAUCACAUCAUUAGGAGAAUGAUGUGAUGGACAAGACCCAAUCCUAAGCAUAGCACAAGAUCGUGUAGUUCGUUUGCUAGAGCUUUUCUAAUGUCAAGUAUCAUUUCCUUAGACCAUGAGAUUGUGCAACUCCCGGAUACCGUAGGAAUGCUUUGGGUGUACCAAACGUCACAACGUAACUCGGUGGCUGUAAAGGUGCACUACAGGUAUCUCCGAAAGUGUCUGUUGGGUUGGCACGAAUCGAGACUGGGAUUUGUCACUCCGUAUGACGGAGAGGUAUCUCUGGGCCCACUCGGUAAUGCAUCAUCAUAAUGAGCUCAAUGUGACUAAGGAGUUAGCCACGGGAUCAUGCGUUACAGUACGAGUAAAGUGACUUGCCGAUAACGAGAUUGAACAAGGUAUUGGGAUACCGACGAUCGAAUCUCGGGCAAGUAACGUACCGAUUGACAAAGGGAAUUGUAUAUGGGAUUGAUUGAAUCCUCGACAUCGUGGUUCAUCCGAUGAGAUCAUCGUGGAACAUGUGGGAGCCAACAUGGGUAUCCAGAUCCCGCUGUUGGUUAUUGACCGGAGAGUCGUCUCGGUCAUGUCUGCAUGUCUCCCGAACCCGUAGGGUCUACACACUUAAGGUUCGGUGACGCUAGGGUUGUAGAGAUAUUAGUAUGCGGAAAUCCGAAAGUCGUUCGGAGUCCCGGAUGAGAUCCCGGACGUCACGAGGAGUUCCGGAAUGGUCCGGAGGUAAAGAUUUAUAUAUGGGAAGUCCUAUUUUGGCCACCGGAAAAUGUUCGGGAAUUUUCGGUAUUGUACCGGGAAGGUUCUAGAAGGUUCCGAAGUGGGGCCCACCUGCAUGGGGGACCCACAUGAACGUGGGUAGUGGGGGCAAGGCCCCACACCCCUGGUCAAGGCGCACCAAGAUCCCACCUUAGAAGGAAUAAGAUCAUAUCCCGAAGGGAUAAGAUCAAGAUCCCUAAAAAAGGGGAUAACAAUCGGUGGGGAAGGGAAAUGAUGGGAUUUCUUUCCCCCACCUUUGCCAACGCCCCAAUGGACUUGGAGGGCAAGAAACCAGCCCCCUCCACCCCUAUAUAUAGUGGGGAGGCGCAUGGGAGCAGCAACCCAAGCCCUGGCGCCUCCCUCCCUCCCGUGACACCUCUUCCUCCCCGCUUGCGCUUGGCGAAGCCCUGCCGGGAUCCCGCUACUUCCACCACCACGCCGUCGUGCUGCUGGAUCUCCAUCAACUUCUCCUCCCCCCUUGCUGGAUCAAGAAGGAGGAGACGUCCCCGCUCCGUACAUGUGUUGAACGCGGAGGUGCCGUCCGUUCGGCGCUAGGUUCAUCGGUGAUUUGGAUCACGACGAGUAUGACUCCAUCAACCCCGUUCUCUUGAACGCUUCCGCUCGCGAUCUACAAGGGUAUGUAGAUGCACUCCUCCCCUCUCAUUGUUAGCAUCUCCUAGAUUGAUCUUGGUGACACAUAGGAAAAUUUUGAAUUUCUGCUACGUUCGCCAACAGUGGCAUCAUGAGCCAGGUUUAUGCGUAGAUUCUAUGCAUGAGUAGAACACAAAGUAGUUGUGGGCGACGAUUUGUUCAAUUUUCUUACCGUUACUAGUCUUAUCUUGAUUCGGCGGCAUUGUGGGAUGAAGCGGCCCGGACCGACCUUACACGUACUCUUACGUGAGACAGGUUCCACCGACUGACAUGCACUUGAUGCAUAAGGUGGCUAGCGGGUGUCUGUCUCUCCCACUUUAGUCGGAUCGGAUUCGAUGAAAAGGGUCCUUAUGAAGGGUAAAUAGCAAUUGGCAUAUCACCGUUGUGGCUUUUGCGUAGGUAAGAAACGUUCUUGCUAGAAACCCAUAGCAGCCACGUAAAACAUGCAACAACAAUUAGAGAACGUCUAACUUGUUUUUGCAGGGUAUGCUAUGUGAUGUGAUAUGGCCAAAAGGAUGUGAUGAAUUAUAUAUGUGAUGUAUGAGAUUGAUCAUGUUCUUGUAAUAGGAAUCACGACUUGCAUGUCGAUGAGUAUGACAACCGGCAGGAGCCAUAGGAGUUGUCUUAAUUUGUUGUAUGACCUGUGUGUCAAUGAAAAACGCCAUGUAAUUACUUUACUUUAUUGCUAACCGUUAGCCAUAGUAGUAGAAGUAAUAGUUGGUGAGACAACUUCAUGAAGACACGAUGAUGGAGAUCAUGGUGUCAUGCCGGUGACGAAGGUGAUCAUGCCGCGCCUCGAAGAUGGAGAUCAAAAGGCGCAAGAUGAUAUUGGCCAUAUCAUGUCACUUUAUGAUUUGCAUGUGAUGUUUGUCAUGUUUACAUCUUAUUUUCUUAGAACGACGGUAGCAUAAAUAAGAUGAUCCCUCACUAAAAUUUCAAGAGAUGUGUUCCCCCUAACUGUGCACCGUUGCGAAGGUUCGUUGUUUCGAAGCACCACGUGAUGAUCGGGUGUGAUAGAUUCUAACGUUCGCAUACACCGGGUGUUGACGAGCCUAGCAUGUACAGACAUGGCCUCGGAACACAAGCAAAACACUUAGGUUGACUUGACGAGCCUAGCAUGUACAGACAUGGCCUCGGAACACAAGAGACCGAAAGGUCGAACAUGAGUCGUAUAGUAGAUACGAUCAACAUGGAGAUGUUCACCGAUGAUGACUAGUCCGUCUCACGUGAUGAUCGGACACGGCCUAGUCGAUUCGGAUCAUGUAUCACUUAGAUGACUAGAGGGAUGUCUAUCUAAGUGGGAGUUCAUUAAAUAAUCAAAUGAACUUAAUUAUCAUGAACAUAGUCAAAAGGUCUUUGCAAAUAAUGUCGUAGCUUACGCUUUAGUUCUACUAAGAUAUUUUCCUAGAGAAAAUUUAGUUGAAAGUUGAUAGUAGCAAUUAUGCGGACUAGGUCCGUAAACUGAGGAUUGUCCUCAUUGCUGCACAGAAGGCUUAUGUCGUUAAUGCACCGCUCGGUGUGCUGAACCUCGAGCGUCGUCUGUAGAUGUUACGAAACAUCUGACAUACAUGUUUUGAUGACUACGUGAUAGUUCAGUGUGUGAUGCUAACGGUUUAAAAUUGUGGCACCAAAGACGGUUUUGAAAUGUCGCAGAACAUAUGAGAUGUUCCAAAGACUGAAAUUGGGAUUUCAGACUAAUGCCCACGUCAAGAGGUAUGAGACCUCUGACAAGUUUCUUAAGCCUGCAAACUAAGGGAGAAAAGCUCAAUCGUUGAGCAUGUGCUCAGAUUGUCUGAGUACUACAAUCACUUGAAUCGAGUGGGAGUUAAUCUUCCAGAUGAGAUAGUGAUGGUUCUCCAUAGUCACUGCCACCAAGCUAUUAGAGCUUCGUGAUGAACUAUAACAUAUCAGGGAUAGACAUGAUGAUCCUUGAGCAACUCGCGAUGUUUGACACCGCGAAAGUAGAAAUCAAGAAGGAGCAUCAAUUGUUGAUGGUUAGUAAAACCACUAGUUUCUAGAAGGGCAAGGGCAAGAAGGGAUACUUCAUGAAACGGCAAAUCAGUUGCUGCUCUAGUGAAGAAACCCAAGGUUGAACCCAAACCCGAGACUAAGUGCUUCUGAAAUGAGGGGAACGGUCACUGAAGCAGAACUACCCUAGAUACUUCGUAGAUGAGAAGGCUGGCAAGGUCGACCGAAGUAUAUUGGAUAUACAUUAUAUUAAUGUGUACUUUACUAGUACUCCUAGUAGCACCAGGGUAUUAGAUACCGGUUCGGUUGCUAAGUGUUAGUAACUCGAAAUAAAAUAUGCGGAAUAAACGAAGACUAGCUAAAGGUGAGAUGACGAUAUGUGUUGGAAGUGUUUCCAAGGUUGAUGUGAUCAAGCAUCGCAUGCUCCCUCUACCAUCGAGAUUGGGGUUAAACCUGAAUAAUUAUUAUUUGGUGUUUGCAUUGAGCAUAGACAUGAUUGGAUUAUGUUAUCGCAAUACGGUUAUUCAUUAAAGGAGAAUAAUGGUUACUCUGUCUAUUUGAAUAAUACCUUCAAUGGUCUUGCACCUAAAAUGAAUGGUUUAUUGAAUCUCGAUCGUAGUGAUACACAUGUUCAUGCCAAAAGAUAUAAGAUAGUAAUGAUAGUACCACAUACUUGUGGCACUGCCAUUUGAGUCAUAUUGGUAUAAAACGCAUGAACAAGCUCCAUGUUGAUGGAUCUUUGGACUCACUCGUUUUUGAAAAGAUUGAGACAUGCGAACCAUGUCUAUUAGUAUAUAUGCAUGAAGAAAGUCCAUACAGAUGGAUCAUUUGGACUCACUUGAUUUUGAAUCACUUGAGACAUGCAAAUCAUACCACAUGGGCAAGAUGACUGAAAGGCCUCGUUUUCAGUAAGAUGGAACAAGAGAGCAACUUGUUGGAAGUAAUACAUUUGAUGUGUGCAGUCCAAUGAGUGCUGAGGCACGCAGUGGAUAUCGUUAUGUUCUUACUUCACAGAUGAUUUGAGUAGAUGCUGAGAAUAUUUACUUGAUGAAACACAAGUUUGAAUUAUUGAAAGGUUCAAGUAAUUUCAGAGUGAAGUUGAAGAUCGUCGUGACAAGAGGAUAAAAUGUCUGUGAUAUGAUCAUAGAGGUGAAUAUCUGAGUUACGAGUUUGGCACACAAUUAAUAAAUUGUGGAAAUUGUUUCACGACUAAUACCGCCUGGAACACCAUAUUGUGAUGGUGUGUCCGAACAUCAUAACUGCACCCUAUUGGAUAUGGUGCAUACCAUGAUGUCUCUUAUCGAAUUACAACUAUCGUUUAUGGGUUAGGCAUUAGAGACAACCGCAUUCACUUUAAAUAGGGAACCACGCAAUUCCGUUGAGACGACACCGUAUGAACUAUGGUUUAGAGAAACCUAAGCUGUCGUUUCUUAAAAGUUUGGGGCUGCGACGCUUAUGUGAAAAAGUUUCAGGCUGAUAAGCUCGAACCCAAAGCGGAUAAAUGCAUCUUCAUAGAAUACCCAAAACAGUUGGGUAUACCUCCUAUUUCAGAUCUGGAAGCAAAAGUGAUUGUUUCUAGAAAUGGGUCCUUUCUCGAGGAAAAGUUUCUCUCGAAAGAAUUGAGUGGGAGGAUGGUGGAGACUUGAUGAGGUCAUUGAACCGUCACUUCAACUAAUGUGUAGCAGGGCACAGGAAGUUGUUCCUGUGGCACCUACACCAAUUGAAGUGGAAGCUUAUGAUAGUGAUCAUGAAACUUCAGAUCAACUCACUACCAAACCUCAUAGGACGACAAGGAUGCGUACUACUUCAGAGUGGUACGUAAUCCUGUCUUGGAAGUCAUGUUGCUAGACAACAAUGAACCUACGAGCUAUGGAGAAGCGAUGGUGGGCCCGGAUUCCGACGAAUGGCUCGAGGCCAUAAAAUCCGAGAGGAUCCAUGUAUGAAAACAAAGUAUAGACUUUGGAAGAACUACUUGAUGGUCGUAAGGCUGUUGGGUACAGAUGGAUUUUAAAGGGAAGACAAACAAUGAUGGUAAGUGUCACCAUUAAGAAAGCUCGACUUGUCGUUAAGAUGUUUUCCGGCAAGUUCAAGGAGUUGACUGCGAUGAGACUUUCUCACUCGUAGCGAUGCUAAGAGUCUGUUAGAAUUAUAUUAGCAGUUACUGCAUUAUUUAUGAAAUCUUGCAGAUAGGAUGUCAAAACAUUGUUUCCUCGACGAUUUUCUUGAGGAAAGGUUGUAUGUGAUACAACCAGAAGGUUUUGUCAAUCCUGAAAGAUGCUAACAAGUAUGCAAAGCUCCAGCAAUCCUUCUAAGGAUUGGAGUAAGCAUCUCGGAGUUGGAAUGAACGCUUUGAUGAGAUGAUCAAAGAUUUUGGGUUUAUACAAAGUUCAUGAGAAACUUGUAUUUCCAAAGAAGUCAGUGGGAGCACUAUAGAAUUUUUGAUGAGUAUAUGUUGUUAACAUAUUGUUGAUCAGAAAUGAUGUAGAAUUUCUGGAAAGCAUCCAGGGUUGUUUGAAAAGUGUUUUUAAUGGAAAACCUAGAUUAACCUACUUGAACAUUGAGCAUCAAGAUCUAUAAGGAUAGAUCAAAAAUGCUUAAUAGUACUUUCAAAUGAAUACAUACCGUGACAAGAUUUUGAAGGAGUUCAAAAUAGAUCAGCAAAGAAGGAGUUCUUGGCUGUGUUACAAGGUGUGAGUAUUGAGUAAGACUCAAGACCUGACCACGGCAGAAGAAAGAGAAAGGACGAAGGUCGUCCCCUAUGCUUUAGACGUAGGCUUUGCAAUAUGCUAUGCUGUGUACCGCACCUGAAGUGUGCCUUGCCAUGAGUUAGUCAAGGGGUACAAUAGUGAUCCAGCAACGAAUCACAUGACAGCGGUCGAACUUAUCCUUAGUAUCUAGUGGACUAAGGAAUUUUCUUGAUUAUGGAGGUGGAAAGGGGGUUCGUCGUAAAGGGUUAUGUCGAUACAAACUUUGACACUAAUCCGGAUGACUCUGAGUAGUGAACCAGAUUCGUAUAGUAGAGCAGUUAUUUGGAAUAGCUCCAAGUAGCGCGUGGUAGCUGCAUCUACAAGAUGACAUAGAGAUUUGUAAAGCACACACGGAUCUGAAUGUGGCAGACCCGUUGACUAAAACCUCUCUCGUAAGCAUAACAUGAUCAAACCCUAGAACUCAUUGACUGUUAAUCACAUGGUGAUGUGAACUAGAUUAUUGACUCUAGUAAACUCUUGGGUAUUAGUCACAUGGCGAUGUGAACUUUGAGUGUUAAUCACAUGGUGAUGUGAACUAGAUUAUUGACUCUAGUGCAAGUGGAAGACUGUUGGAAAUAUGCCCUAGAGGCAAUAAUAAAAUGGUUAUUAUUGUAUUCCCUUGUUCAUGCUAUAAUUGUAUUAACUGGAAACCGUAAUACAUGUGUGAAUACAUAGACCAGAACAUGUCCCUAGUAAGCCUCUAGUUGACUAGCUCGUUGAUCAAUAGAUGGUUAUGGUUUCCUGACCAUGGACAUUGGAUGUCAUUGAUAACGGGAUCACAUCAUUAGGAGAAUGAUGUGAUGGACAAGACCCAAUCCUAAGCAUAGCACAAGAUCGUGUAGUUCGUUUGCUAGAGCUUUUCUAAUGUCAAGUAUCAUUUCCUUAGACCAUGAGAUUGUGCAACUCCCGGAUACCGUAGGAAUGCUUUGGGUGUACCAAACGUCACAACGUAACUCGGUGGCUGUAAAGGUGCACUACAGGUAUCUCCGAAAGUGUCUGUUGGGUUGGCACGAAUCGAGACUGGGAUUUGUCACUCCGUAUGACGGAGAGGUAUCUCUGGGCCCACUCGAUAAUGCAUCAUCAUAAUGAGCUCAAUGUGACUAAGGAGUUAGCCACGGGAUCAUGCGUUACGGUACGAGUAAAGUGACUUGCCGGUAACGAGAUUGAACAAGGUAUUGGGAUACCGACGAUUGAAUCUCGGGCAAGUAACGUACCGAUUGACAAAGGGAAUUGUAUACGGGAUUGAUUGAAUCCUCGACAUCGUGGUUCAUCUGAUGAUAUCAUCGUGGAACAUGUGGGAGCCAACAUGGGUAUCCAGAUCCCGCUGUUGGUUAUUGACCGGAGAGUCGUCUCGGUCAUGUCUGCAUGUCUCCCGAACCCGUAGGGUCUACACACUUAAGGUUCGGUGACGCUAGGGUUGUAGAGAUAUUAGUAUGCCGAAAUCCGAAAGUCGUUCGAAGUCCCGGAUGAGAUCCCGGACGUCACGAGGAGUUCCGGAAUGGUCCGGAGGUAAAGAUUUAUAUAUGGGAAGUCCUAUUUUGGCCACCGGAAAAUGUUCGGGAAUUUUCGGUAUUGUACCGGGAAGGUUCUAGAAGGUUCCGAAGUGGGGCCCACCUGCAUGGGGGGACCCACAUGAACGUGGGUAGUGGGGGCAAGGCCCCACACCCCUGGUCAAGGCGCACCAAGAUCCCACCUUAGAAGGAAUAAGAUCAUAUCCCGAAGGGAUAAGAUCAAGAUCCCUUAAAAAGGGGGAUAACAAUCGGUGGGGAAGGGAAAUGAUGGGAUUUCUUUCCGCCACCUUUUCCAACGCCCCAAUGGACUUGGAGGGCAAGAAACCAGCCCCCUCCACCCCUAUAUAUAGUGGGGAGGCGCAUGGGAGCAGCACCCCAAGCCCUGGCGCCUCCCUCCCUCCCGUGACACCUCUUCCUCCCCGCUUGCGCUUGGCGAAGCCCUGCCGGGAUCCCGCUACUUCCACCACCACGCCGUCGUGCUGCUGGAUCUCCAUCAACUUCUCCUCCCCCCUUGCUGGAUCAAGAAGGAGGAGACGUCCCGCUCCGUACGUGUGUUGAACGCGGAGGUGCCGUCCGUUCGGCGCUAGGUUCAUCGGUGAUUUGGAUCACGACGAGUACGACUCCAUCAACCCCGUUCUCUUGAACGCUUCCGCUCGCGAUCUACAAGGGUAUGUAGAUGCACUCCUCCCCUCUCGUUGCUAGCAUCUCCUACAUUGAUCUUGGUGACACGUAGGAAGAUUUUGAAUUUCUGCUACGUUCCCCAACACUCACAUAUAACCACUAUGAUAUUGAAUUUGUACUGCCGGUUUACAUGACCUGUGCAAUAAGGGUGAUAACCCAAUCUUUAGAAAUCAAGACUUCCAAAUGUUUAUGAUUGUCAUAUGAUGGCGACUUAUCAACCAAAGUCAAGCCGGGUUAAUCGAAGCCACAUAUAUACUUCAGAUAUGAUCAAAAGAACUUCAAAUAAAAUACAAAAUUUUGUUUGCAAAAAGAGACUUCAAAAAUUUUGAGGCUUCUGAUUCGAAUACUAUCAGAAAACCGUCCCAAAGGGGUUAAGCUAAGAUUCGAAUACGAUCAUAUAGCCCCCAGUGGCUUUGGCGUUGCCGAUCAAGAGGGUACCGACAGCUAUGUUCUCUUUGGUUCGAAUACGACCUAUGUUUGAACAGGAAGCCCCCAAAUGACCUGGAGAGUUGUUUAACGACGCUGAUUCGAAUACGAUCCAUGUCGGUUCCCAAAAGGGGUUGAGCUAUGAUUCGAAUACGAUCAAGAAGCCCCCUAGUGAGCUCAGCAGUGUGCCGAUCAAGAGGGUACCGACAGCUAUGUUCUCUUUGGUUCGGAUACGACCUAUGUUUGAACAGGAAGCCCCCAAGUGAUCUUGAGAAUAUUUAACGACUCUCAUUCCAAUACGAUCAGGGUCACACCAAAAGGGUUAAGCUAAAUUUGAAUACGAUCAGCUCCCAACGGUCAUUAAAGCAGGUAGUUAUGUUUGAGUUGUGCUUUGUAACAGACUCUCCUUGGUCCCUUUAAUUUUUCUUGAAAACUUGAACUUUGCGAGAGAUAAAAUCUUUUUAAAACCGGAAGUUCUUAAACCGGAUAUUAAGAGUUUCAAAGCAUGGUGAUAGACAAAUUUACCUUGAACCGGGUUUUGAACCGGAUUUGAGAUCUUCAAAGCAUUGUGGCAGAUAAAUUUCAUUUGAACCGGAUUUUAAACCGGACAUUAAGAGCUUCAAUGCUUUGUGGGAGAUGUCAAGUCUCUUGAUAAGGAUCUAAACCGGAAUCCUUCUUUUUAAGCCAGAUAUUUUUCUGACGGUCUUUAAAUUUUUACCAAUAUGGCGGUAGCCUCCGGGACCGGGUUAUUUUUUUCCUCCAAUGACCCAGAGUUCUUGAAUGCAUUGAAACCGACCAAUGUUGCCGAGUCAUAUCAUUGUAACCCCUGAGUCUCAAAACGACUCAAGGAGUUGGCUUUGAGAUUCUCCAUAUUGACCAUAGCAUAAGGUGUAUAUCAUUGGUGUUGAUAGUGCGAUGUGAAUCCACAGAAGGUUGAGGUGACUGCGGCGGAUUAUAAAUGAUCAUGUAUGAGCCGUGUCAGCAACUCGGCCAAUGGUCCCUUCCAACUGGCUGUUUGAAGUUAACCAAACUAUAGUGGCGGCGACUUGUGCGCCUGCCCAUUUAAACCAUCCAGUGUAGACGGCGGCUGAUAAUACAUGAUAAUUUGCCUCCAAUUUUGUUGGAAGAAAAACCAGGCUUCCCAAGCAGUGACUUGCUCAUACUCGAUGAUCAGCUCACGCAGACAGGUGCGGCCCGGUAUGUUGAUAUAGACCAGGCCGCAAGAGACAGAUGGUAAAAACAACCGUGGCAUCAAAGGUGGUACAGACAGAUGAGUUGGUCACGACGUUGUAAACCGGUGUGGUCGGGCGAGUCAAUCGCCGGCGCGGUAAGCCGCGCGGAUGGGCGAGUCAACCACGUCGUGUUGAUGUAGUGAACAAUUGUCCUACAUCAAAAACAUCGCAAGCAAGAGUAAUUGCUCUUUUUUAAAGAAAACAAUAUAUAAUAUAUAAAAAUUUACUGGAUUGAUUUCACCUGAUAUGUUAGGCCAGAAAAUAUCCACCGCGGAGUUGAUCAUCACGACGGUGAAGCUGAAAUCAAUCACGGCCGAGUCGGCCGCGGGAACAGACAGACGGGUCGGCCGCGGCGUUGUAAGCCGGUGCGGUCGGGCGAGUCAAUCGCAUGAGCGAUAAGCCACGCGGACGCUGAGUCGGCCGCGGGGGCGGACAGGUAAGUUGUCCGUCACAUUGUAAGGCGGCGCGUUGAUGUAGACCGGACCACAGGGGCGGUGGCUUGCGCCCACCUGUUGACCAGUAAGCGGUCGCAGAUGCCGUUGCAUGAUGAUGCUACCGCACACUCCAUGGAUACGGCAUUACACCAUCUUUAUGAUGAAUCCUUGUCCUGCACAUAAAAGUGUACAUAGCAAAGCGAUUGUUUUUUGACAAAAAACAAUAUGCGCUUAAUAAAAUAAUCUUAGAUGGAUAUCACCUGAUUUGUUCGGAUGACCGAUGAUCCAUUCAAUGCAACAAAAAACGGCUCUGGUAGACCGGUAACCCAUGGCGAGUCAACACAGCAGAAGCGACUCAACGCAGCCCCGGCAGCUCGAGGCACGGCGGGUCUCAGCUCACGGCGGGUUGAGGUGUGGCGGUUCAAGGUCACAGCGGGGGGACUCGCAGGCUCAGGCGAGGCCGUUUUGAAGAUGGUUGGCAGCGGCGCGGUGACUCGCCACGGUGCGCCGAAAUAGCAGCAGCGUAGUGGGAGAAACAGCCGGUCUGUUGAUUUUGACCGUGAUGUGAAGCUCGCGGGGCAGCCACGAAGGCGCUGGGACGGAGUGGCUCCGAUGUGCGAGACGUGCCACCACAAGGACGCACGUAGGAGAAGACCAGAGGGGCAUCGAAGUCGGGUCCGCGGCGGCUCUGGAGAUGACAAGUGUGCGGGAGGCAAGGCCGUGCUGGCCAGCAGAAAACGGCGAGGUGCCGGCGACUUAGCGUAAAACCGCGGGUCAGAGGCGGCUCGGAGUUGAGUCCAUGUCCUGCUCUGGUCGUUGUUGGUUUGACAAUUCCCUUUAAGUGCUCCUUUAAAAUUUCCUUCAUCACACGUGGUGUCGUGCCAGGCAACAGCAUGGCCGGACUAAAAAUCCACUAGACCUUGAUUUUUAAUGCUCCUGUAGAUCUUGGGGACUGCGUGUGAGCUGACUAUUAAAACCUUCAAAUUCAUGCACGUACAGUGGCUGUACUAGUUGAUGCUACGUGCAGAAGGUAAGGUAAUCUAUCAGGCUUUGUUUUUCGCGUUGAUCAGCACUUGGACCCUUGAUCAACAGUUGGCUUGAUCCGGAGACUUCACAGGGCUGAAGCAAACUGUCUUGAUCGCCGCUGUACCAACAGAUGGCGCUCGUGACGCGUGUUUGGCUGUCUUUGAUCACCUCGGACUUGGACAGCUAUAUAUGGACCAGCAGAAGCGACCUGGCGAAUCGGACACGGCGGCUAGAUUUGACAGCGGCACAGUAGAAAUUCGAGUCGGCCUCGGUGUACUGCUGCAGCAGAAACUAACCCGGACUCGACGGAUCAUCUAAUUGUGGCGGCGCUCACCAUGCAACUCUAAUCUUUCUUGAAUUCAGACCUCGUACGAGUAUUAGAUCUGACUGCUCGCUUUGGAGACAAUGUAAAUCCUUCCGCGACGAUUCUUCUUUCAUCCGAAGAAAUUGUCAACUUCUCGACCCUUGAAAGAGAUCCCUCCAAGAACUCAUCACCACCGUGCGCAGCCCCACGGUGGGCGCCAACUGUCGUGGAAUUGUCACGGCAGAUGUCCUAGUGUGAGGACUUAGUCGUGAGGCCAACGCAUCUAUGCGGUAGCUUGAGAGGGGUUGAUUGGGAUGAGAGACGCAACACACAAGACAAGAAUUUAGACAGCUUCGGGCCCCGGGAAACAUCAUCCGGUAAUAGCCCUACAUGCUGUUUGUGGCUAGGUCUCAUUAUGAUCAUGAGAGAGUCGCCGGUAAGCCGGCUCUUUGUGUCUAGCCCUAGAGAUUGUUUCUUGUUUCUUGUCCCUCUUGGGGUGCCCUGCCCCUCCUUAUAUAAGUUAGAGGGGCGGGUUACAUACGGAGUCCUAGUAGGAUUAGGACUAGUCUAUCUUUCUUUACAAGUUGAAUACAAGUCCAGGUCUUGCUUCCUUAUGAAGGAAAUAAUCCUCACGCCUUUCAUCUUAAACCGGCCCACCAGAGUAUAAGCCAGCCUGCUGGGCCUUGGGCCUUGUCAUCCGUCUGAUCCGCCCGCCGGGUCUCCAGUGAAUUACAAUGUCUAGGCGGGUUACCCUGUGAACCGCCAUGUUCGGGCGGAUCGCCAGUGAGUCGCCAAGCUUGUCCGGCCGGGUCAUACCGCGGGGUAUAUCCCCGACAGGUGGUCUAAUACGGGUAAAGAAACGCAUUUUUCGCUUUGGAUCCUUUACAAUAAAAGAUGGGUCAAAAAUUCGAUUCUGGGAAGACAAGUGGCUAGAAAAUGCUUGGAUCCAAUAAAAAUAUCUAUCUUUGUACUGCAUCAUUCAUCACAAUAAUGAUACUCUUGUGCUAGUGCUUAUUUCUUUCAUGCCAGAUAUUUCUUUCAGGCGAGAUUUGAUUGGCCUAUGUCUUAUGUGAUGGUAAAAUCAUUAUCCUGAUUGGAUUUAAUUAACCUGACACAAGGGCGGGGAUGUGUUUCAUUGGAAUCUCUCUACAUAUGGGUCCUUCAAGUCAACUUUAUGUACCAUGCACUAACGCAUUCAGAGGUCCUAGUGGAUAAUAAAAUAAUAGAAGAAGAUAUGGGCCAUACUCCCUCCGUCCAGUGAAGAGUGAAAUCUAGAGAUUUUAGGACAAAUUAUGGAGUAAAAUAGAAAAUGCAUUGGAAAGGUGCAAGCCACCAUCUUUCUUCUCUUUAAUUAUCCAAUCCCUAAUGUGUUUAGUGCAUGUAAAAAUUAAGAAGACCAUGUGUAGAUUGUUAUUGGUCUUGGUUACCAUGUGAUGAGAGAGAAAUAUAUUUUUUUCUACUUUAAAGUGCAUUGAGAAGAUAGAAGUACACUCUUUUGUGGACAAAUUUUAAAGCCAAACGUACACUCUUCACCGGACGGAGGGAGUAUAUUAAUUCCUAGUGUGACUUAAUGUUGACAUGAAUUGAUACAGGUGGAUAUAGUUACUCUGCGUCCGUAAAUAAAGGUCAUCAUUUUUGUUGCUCUAGGGACCCAUAAAUGAUAGGGACUGUCCGCUACCAGCUACCCUGAUGACUCCAUUCGCUGCCCCUCAAACAUGGGUUCCCGACAUGUUCUCAGGGUCUGCCCGUGGUUCCAUGUUCUGGCCUUCGGGGUUGGUUUAACUAGUGGUAUGGGGGUUCUUGCAUCGCCCUGUACUCUCGAUCGGGACCCUUUAAUGCUAGCACUUCUGGUGACAUACAGUGCGUGUAUUUAAAGGCCAGGCAUGCAUCCUCCGUGCCAAAGAAAAUUCAUUCGGCGGCUACACGGGGAGAGUUGUGGCAGCAAAUCCGGGAUGCCAGCUUUUUGUUUUGGGUUUCGAUUGUCAAAGUUUUAGAUCUUAAAAAAACUAAAAUUAAGUGUUGUUUUCAUAUUCGUGUUUCUCGUGACCACUGUUUUGAAAUAAUAUCCGUUUUGAAUAUAUAUUUUGACGACUUUAAAAAAUAUUAAGUUUCAUAUGUUGAAACUUAGUACGGGCAACCAGUAAAAAUCAAUUAUUUUGUACCUACGCCUGACAGAAAAAUGCUUACAUUUAUAUCUCUGAAACUUGCUGAAACUUUGCAUUUUUCAUCAUUGAAACUUAAAACUUUUUGAGGGAUUUUCUUUUUUACUGUGCCCUCAUGUGGGAUUCAACUACUCUUUUCUCUUCCGCGAGAUCCACAUGAAAAAAAGCACAAAUUUAAGAUGAGUGCAGGGCUUGGCAGAUGAGUGCCCUGCACUUACAUGCCCCUGCGAAUUUCCGCAGCUACUAGAUAUUUUUGGCAAAUUUAUUGUUUGCUCUUUUACAGGUGUGCCACUUAAGUAUUUAAACCUAUAAGGAUUUCUGCACUGGUGCUAAACUCACUUAUGAGAGCAUACCGGAUUUUCUCAUAUGAGCUAACAAAGAAUCAAACAUAGUUAUAUCUUGUAUUAUUUUCUCAUUAAUUACUUACCCACUGGGCUGAAGCAGUUAUUGUAGCAUAUCAUGCAACACUCAUGGUUUUCCAACAUGUUUCCUUAAGGGGUCUUAAUCAAGAUGAUUUACAUUCAAAAACAAUCAUUGAGUAUGGAUCAUUAAGAAUAAUUUGAUCCUACUUAAUCCAUGCUUAGGAAAUAAGAAAAUGGUUACUCAAUGAGCAAACGCUGCCUGUUGCUGCCUCCUCACCAACAAACUUUGGUUCUUCACAUCCCUUACCGAAGAGGCACCUUUACAUUGCAUCCCUUGUAUACUACUAUAUAUAUGUGAUCUUCAUAAAGAGUUCAGCGAUUUCUCCAUUGUUGAGUUCCUUACACUCAAUAUUCAAUAAUAGUUAUUUCCAAAUUCACAUAAUCAGUUGGCAGGAUGGUCACCAAAGUACAUUCAUCCAUCGAAAGAAACACACAAAAGAAAACAGUAACAGCACCAAAAAAACUACACGUUGUCCAAUUAUGAAUAAUGUUUCGUCCGUGUAACAAGAGCUUCGACGGUCAUUUUCUUAAGCAUAAUUAAAUAAAAAACUAAUCAUAGACUCUGAUUGUAAAGCAUUCCAAAAGAAAUUCAUAUGUCAGUUCUUCAACGCUUAUUGUGUUGGAAGCCUGUCCUCAAAUAUUCUCUCCUUCGCCUUGUCGGCCUGCAAAUAAAUAUCAGUUAUUUUUUCUUACUAUCCUUGGUACCAGUGCUUAGGGUUUUGAUAGACAGGUCGCUAGUUAUUGAAAUGAAACAUUUAAGACAAGGAGAAGCAUGCAUUAGGGCAACUCCAACUAUGUGCAUCAAAUCGGACACAUCUAACAUUCAUGGGCACGUCCGGACGUGUCCACAAAGAGCAUAUAGGGGGCGGCCAUCCAAGCCUAUGCACCAAAUGUCCGCACCUUUUCAAAGAAAAUAAAAUAAAGCUAGACCAAAUGUUGGCUCACUUUAAAUCAUCGAUCGAUAGCAAUUCAAAAGUGUUGGAUGAAAGUACUUCUCGAAAGCAGCCUUCAUUACAUACUUUCUCUCCUCGAGUUUGCACUUCUUCAUUACAAAUGUUGUUCAUCCAGAUGUUGUGCCCUUUGAGCUUCAUCCAACAGUGCAUAAAUGCGAAGAACUUGCCCUCCGUCCUUUGGUAUAGCAUGGGCUGCGCGUCUGGGCUAUACAAUGACGUGAUCAUCAAGUGUAACAUUGAGCAAUUUGCCAUUUGUGCUUGCUUCAUGUUAAACAAGGAGAAAGUCAAAGAAAUUCUCAAUGGUAUUUGGCCGAACACUUGCCGGGGUUGGCCUCCAUUAUGGAGGGCAUCGGCAAGGGGGCGGCCAAUGCAUGGGCUGCCGCCGGAUACUGGGUGCAACCGCGGCGAAGUACAAUGCGCCUGGUGGAGCAAUGGAGGUCUAGCAAGGCCUAGGCGCGGGACGGAGUGGUAUAGCAGCGGCGGUCUUGGUGGGUGCGGAUACAGAUUAAGAGUGGGACNNNNNNNNNNNNNNNNNNNNNNNNNNNNNNNNNNNNNNNNNNNNNNNNNNNNNNNNNNNNNNNNNNNNNNNNNNNNNNNNNNNNNNNNNNNNNNNNNNNNNNNNNNNNNNNNNNNNNNNNNNNNNNNNNNNNNNNNNNNNNNNNNNNNNNNNNNNNNNNNNNNNNNNNNNNNNNNNNNNNNNNNNNNNNNNNNNNNNNNNNNNNNNNNNNNNNNNNNNNNNNNNNNNNNNNNNNNNNNNNNNNNNNNNNNNNNNNNNNNNNNNNNNNNNNNNNNNNNNNNNNNNNNNNNNNNNNNNNAUAGUCCGACCAGGCGGGCGUCCGGACUCCCAAACCUCCAAUGAGUUUGCUUCCGGUUUGGCUGAUGUUGGACGUCCGGAUUAGGCCGCGGGCAUUUGAUGCAUGGCAGUGGAUGGCAAAAAAUGUACAGGCAGCGCAGUCCGGACCUUGCGGGCAAUUUGAUGCAUGGCAUUGGAGUUGCCCUUAGCAAUACCUAAGGCAUGUUCUGAUCACGAAUCAUCAGGCAUAAAAACUGAGAAAGGACUUACCAUCUUGUUCCAGUUUGUGGUAGCCGUAAUAACAGACAGGAGAGUGACCUGUGUGGCUCCACCAGCCAGUAUGCCAAUCCAAAACCCCUUUGCUCUUAGUUGCAUUGCAAAACCAAAGUAGAGUGCAACGGGGAUACCAACAAGAUAGAAGGCACCCAGGUUAACAUAAGCCCCUAGAUGCUGCCAUCCACAGCCCCGAGACACACCUGAGUGGUGCAAUGGAAGCAUUCAGUCUAUUAGUUUAAUUUAGUUUAUGAUGCUAUAUGCCAAAAGAAAGACAUGUGGAUACCUUGAAGGACUGCCAUGAGGCUGUCUGUAAUUGCUGAAAUGGAAAGUAGGGGUACCAUUCUUGUGACAUAACGCCUGACCUCUUCCUCAUUGCUGAACGCAAUUCCAAUAAAGUGGCGCAGUAAUAGAAGAGUUGUGCUCACUAAGAAUGCUGAGCAGACCACAAUAGACAAGGCAACACACACCACCAAGCGGGGACCUUGUGUGUUGCCGGCGCCUAAUUCAUUUGAGACGCGCACACUGGCACACGGACAACAUAUAUACGUAGCAUGUUAAAUUCUGUAGAAACAGGUGAUACUGACGAUAUAUAGCAACAAAUGCACUAGCUAGUAGCUACCCACCUGGUAGCUAUUCCAAUGCCGUAAGGAAGGUUGGCCAACAGUAUCAUUGUAGAUACGCUGUUCCAAAAGGACAUCAGUAUGGUAAACUUCAUAGAAUAUGAUGGAUUCAAGUAUAAUCUUAUUUAGGGUUCUACUAAUGCAUACCAUAUAGAAAGCACAGAGGUUUCCAGUGCAGGAUUUGGUAACAUCCCGGAAAGCAGAACAAGCAGCUCGUAAGACCACCACUCCAGACUGUGGUCAAGGAAAGCUAGGUUAAUAUUCAGAGGUUUCCGGGAUGUUUUGAUGCUAGAGAAUACAUAAUUAGAAGCUAAACUUAAAGUAAUAUAUGUGCAGAAAUUAUCCAGUUCAUUUCAAGAGGAGAGGGAAGAAUAUAUCCAGUGGUAUUGCGAGCGGGUGGCAAAAAAACAAAAGGUAUCUGAUCAGGAUCUGCUCACAACAAAGGCGAAGACGAAGACGGACUUUCUUUUGUUGAAAGAUGUCUUCACAACAAAGACGAAGAGGAAAACAAACUUGAUUUGGACAAUCAAUCCGAGACGAGCCGACAUUUCAAAUUUUCAAAUGGUUUGUAAAAGACCAUCAUCCUUUUCUGACAGUAUUCUAACAGACCAAUCAAGUGUGCAAGGGUGCUGUGGCAAGAACAACAGAAAAAUAGUAUUUCCUCCAUCCGAAAAUAAGUGUCGCUCAAAUAGAUGUAUCUGGACGUAUUUUAGUGCUAGAUACAUCCGUUUGAGCGGUACUUAUUUCCAGACGGAGGGAGUAGGUAUGAACGAACAUAAGUAGAAAGAGAUAUAAAAAAUAGCAACAAUGCUUGGAUCUUAUGGGCUGCAAGUGCACCACUAUUAAAAAGGUUUUGCCACGUACUUGUUAUUAUUAAUAUAUUUUUUGAGAGGAACGUACUUGUUAUUUUCCAUGCUGACACCUUUAGAAACGUUGGCUACUGAUACACAAACUAUAUAGAUUUGUCACAUGAAGAUACCAUUAGUGUUAUGAAUGAUCACAUCAUUAUAAUUAUAAUCUUAAUUAUUUGCCAAAAGGUGCACGUUGGAAACUAUAUUAAUGUCCACAAGAACAAGUAAAAGUGAAUGAAGAGUGCAUAAGAGUUUGCUGUAUUGGACAAUAUUUUGCUUGCCAAAAUAUGAAAUACUAGAUAAAAUAGCAUAUGUUAUUUUUUGUGCUAGAGGUUAAAACAACAUCAUUAUAGAAACAUGGCAAAUAACAUUUACUUACCAAAUCAUAAGAGCCGAUGGUACAGCCAAACGCAUGAAACUGCCAAUCCCUCUAAAAGCUUCCCACGAUGGUGGAGCGCGUGUUUUCUCACAAGAGGGUGAGAACUUAAUGUAAAGGCCAAGAAAAGUCACUUCAACCCAAUCACAAAUGCUAACGGAUAAAGCAGCUCCAGCAUUACCCAUCCCAACUUUGUAAACCAUGAACCAGCAAAGAGGAAGAAAUACCGCAAUUGUAAUCAAGGAGCUAAGAACCAUUGGAAAUAUUAGGCUUUGACAUUGCAGAAACUUUGAAAAGCAUUGAGUAACACCGAAGGCAAAUAAACCAGGGAUAAGCCAUAAUGCAUAUUUGCCAGCCUCAUUUGCAAUUUGUGGUUCCUGGCCCAUGAGAGGAAGUACUUCCGGGAUGAAACACCAAACAAUGGAGAUGGGCACACUCACAACAAGAAGUGCAAUGAUGGACCUGUAGGUACAUAAAGAUAAUGUAUGAUAUUGUUCUGCUCCAUAGGCCUGCCCACAAAGAGUUUCCAAUCCGCCUGCCAGUCCAAUCUAAAAGGGAAACUGCAUCAGUAACAAAUUAUACAUAUUGUUGCUGAAUAAAUGGAAGUUAAACUAGGAUAAAGUGCAUCGACAUUACUGAAAGAAGAGUUUUGCUACACCUACACAUUAAUCUUAUGGAAUUAAAUUUACAGGAUGAGGUGGCAACAUCUGAUUGGAAGGGAGGAGACUCAUAGUAAAUUCGGGGAAGACGGGUUACUUGGAGGUUAGGGGGGAGGGGUGGCAGUCCAUACGGGUCGCUCAUAAGUUUGGAUUUUCGCUGAAAGAAUAUCAAGAAUAACAAACGUGGCUUGUGCAAGGUGGGCAACAGUUGCUAUGAAGAUUUUGUUUCAAUCAUCACUGCAAAGAAUGCGAACAUCACCCUGGCCGAAUUUUCUCAACACCCAACUCAGUCGGAUCAAGUGACUGAUUAUAUUUUUCGCGGGAAUAUAAUAGAUCGAUAUUGCCCACCGAAACUAGCUAUAUGUACAGCGGGGUGGGGUGAAUCAAGCACCACAGGUCCAUUGUAAAAAAGAUUAAUCGAACGACCUAGCUAGCCGCGUGCGGUCGGCGCUAAUCAGAAAGGUUGAGAAAUGGAACCAUCUGAUUUGAUUCAUUCCCAGUAGUCAUGAGAUGAUCAUUUUUUUUUAGAAAAGAGGGGAGAUCCUGAAUGAUCCACACAACCUUUUGUUUAUCAUAUCAAAGUACAUCAUCUGACCAUAACAAAGUUCAUCUUGCCAACGGAUGCUUCUAUUACACUCGUGGUCUCUAAAAGAUGAGAACCCACUAUGUAGCAUCCACAUCAAUAAUUCAAGCAUUUAUGUCCUUAGUACGAUUCUUUGUAGGAACUAUCCGUAAUAACAAAGAACAUCAGAAGUAGCAGAGAUCUCCGCACGAUGCAACUGGAUAAAUGGCGGUCGCAUGGAGGGAGAAGACACUGAGACAUCUGGACCGGUCGCCGAUCUUGUACACAUCCGGAUGGGAUUCAGGGGCUGCUCUAACGGAAUUGAAAGUACCAAUAGCUAAACAUAAACGAAAUAAAUUAAUGUGCGCUGCAUGCUUGCUCACAAGGACGCUGAAGCCGGAGACGUUGGUGAGGGAGUUGGCGAUGGCCGCACCGGCGAGCGCGACGUCGCCGAGGUGCCCCACCAUGACGGUGGAGAUGAACUGCAUCGUGACCUGCAGCAGCAUCACCACCACCAUCGGCGCCGCAAGCCCCGCCAGCUGCGCGGCUUCCCUACACCAGCGCCGGCUGGUACUGCCGGGCUCUUCCCACCUCGCGGCCAGCAGCGGCGCAUCGGAAGAAGAGUCCAUGGAUCCCCCCGACCAAAGCUCUGCCCAAGCAACGUGGGUGUGGUUAAUGAAAAUGGUAAAUGCGGGAGCUACCAUCCGUCUAGCUGUCUCCCUUUGCACAAUGCAUGGAGCUCGAACUAUAUAUAGAGUAUUACUCCAGUCGUAGUAGCUACGGAAACUAUUUCCUCUGUCCAGAUUUAUUAGUUUUGUCAGAGCAUCGGUAAUUGAGGAGCUAAUUUGAUUUCAUAUACAUCCACUGACCCGUCUUGGCGCUGUUCAGGCAUAUUCACUUAAGCCCACAUUUAUCUGUGCACGCAGUGGUAACCCCACUUUUCUCCCUAUUAUAUGCCCGAUUACAUGCAUAUGAAUGGUAGGGACAGAACCUCAAAAAAAAAAGAAUGGUAAGGACAAAAAAAGAAAAUAAAAGAAAAUAGUGAAGGUGAAAAAGUGGUCCGGACUCUGGAGUGUGCCAAAUUCGACGUGGCAGACUGCUCAGACAUACCACAACAUCUCAUACCCUUUCCACGUAUGGGCUCGGUAUAAGGGGUGCCAGAAAGCCCGCGCCCAUGUAUAUAGUUUUGAGUUAAUGAUACUCCCUUUCAUCCAUAUUACUUGUCACACGGACGUAUUUAGACGUUUUUCAGUGCUAGAUAAAUUCGUUUGAGCGACAAGUACACUAGUAGAAAAAGGACCUUACGUGAGACACAUUAGUCCCGGUUCAAUUUUGGCUCGGUACUAAUGGUAUUAGUCCCGGUUCAAACGGCUAUGCAUUAGUCCCGGUUCAUGUUGAACCUUUAGUACCGGUUCGUGCCACUAACCGCUACUAAAGGGGUGGUGGCAGGCUGGCGUCAGGCCGGGGCCCCACGAGCCCCUUUGACUAAAGGGGUUUAACCUUUAGUCCCGGUUGGAGACACAAACCGGGACUAAAGGGCAAUUAUCAAACUCUACCCCCCUCCCCUCUCCCUGUCUAUCGCCAUUUCAGUUUUGAAAAAAACAAAACAAAAUGAUAAAAACUUCAAAAAUUAAGAUCCUUCGAGAUGUAGUUAUGUUACUACAUCUACUAGUUAGGAAAAUUUAAAAACUUAAAUUUGGACAUGUUUUGCAAAAAAAUAUGAUGAAAAGGUAAAACAACUAUAUCUUUUGCAUCCGAUAUCGGAAAACAACGUAUAAUAUAUCAAAAUGUUCAGCACGAAAAUACGCAUCCGAUUUUGACGGCUGUAGGCCGUUUUGCAAAUUUUUAGAAUCCUCAAACUCUAAAAGGAAAAAAGUUAUGCUCACAUUUCAGUUUUUUUUUUGAAUUUUGGUCAAACUGUGGUCAAACUACUUAUUCAAGAAAUAUUAGUGUUACUAAAUAAUUAUUUCAGUUUUUUGAAUUUUGGUCAAAUCUGGUCAAACUAUGGUCAAACUACUUACUCAAGAAAUAUUAAUGUUACUAAAUAAUUAGUGUUUUUUAGAAUAAUAGUUUCAAACUCAAACGAUGAACGUGUGACUUCAUGCUCAAGCUAAACUCCUGAGGGUUAAUAGGAUUGACAGCUUAAUAUUGUUAGGAAACAACAAGUGCGGACUUGGAAACUAGGGGGAAUAGAACUCAGAAGUUAAGCGUGCUCAGGCUGGAGUAGUAAGACGAUGGGUGACCGGCCGGAAACUUAGGUGAUUUGGGAUGAGUGAUCCACACUUGAGCAGUUAUGAGUGGUGAUUAGAGACUAAAUCGUCAAAUAAUUAAGAAAAUUGAAAAUCGGGAAAAAAAUCAAAGUUUUUUCCAAAAAAUUCAAAAAAAAAACCUUUAGUCCAGGUUGGUGUUACCAGCCGGGACUAAAGGUCCCGCAUACCACGGCGCGGGCUCGUGCCACGUGGUGGGCCUUUACUGGCGGUUCGUGUUGAACCGGGACUAAAGGGGGGGCCUUUGGUCUCCAACCUUUAGUGCGGGUUCCGAACCGGCACUAAAGGCCCUUAAGAACCGGCAUGAAAGCUCCGUUUUCUACUAGUGGUAAUACAUAUCAGAUGGAGUAGUGGAUUUAACUAGACGGGGAAGCAACGGAUGGGCGGCGGCUUUCAGAUAUGACGAUGGUGGUCCUACCGGGGUGGCUUGUUCGGCGGAGCGGGUUGGGAUGGCACGGGCCAGAGGCUGCUUCGCUGCCUCCCAAAGGUGGUGGUGGGCUGCGGGUGUAUGCGACAACUCAGAUCCGUCGUGGAUCAUCUGGUUGAUGCGGGAUCGACUCUGGCCUACCUUGGCUUCUCUGACGCGGCUCUGGUGGGCGGAGGGCUAGGUCAUGGCAGGGAGCUCCCCCUGCCUUGGUCUUGUUCGGCCGUCAUGGCAGCGAGCUCCCCCUGCCUUGGUCUUGUUCGGCCGUCAUGGCAGGGAGCUCACCCUACGCGUUUUGGCUCACGGGCUCAGAUGAGUCCGGGAAUGAACAAAAAAUCAUUAAAAAUUACUAAAUAAAUUCAAAAAAAAUCUGAAUUUUUUUUGUGCAGAAAUAUAACUGAGUGUCUGAUGUUCGUACCGAAUUUCAGAACACUUGAAUGUUUGAGUAGCUCUCAGCAAAAAAGGACGAAUUUAAUGUAUGUGAAAAAGGUUACUAUUUGUGCAUUGUCUGGACCCUUUUUUUACUGAGAGCUAAUCCGAUGUCCAAAUGUUUUGAAAUUUGGCACGCACUUCACACACUAAAAUAUCUUCCAUUCAAAAAAAUAGAUUUUAAAAAAAAAAUCUAUUUUUGCUGAAUUUACUGUUCACCAGGUGGAGCAGCGUCGAAGACCACAGACAUGGUGUCGGGCGAGCGCGCUCGGAGACAGAUGUCUGUAGUUGUGUCUCCCCCGGUCCACCGGGACUGGCUGGAGAUGCAGGCGUGGGUGCCUCCUACCAUGGAGGCAUCGAUCCAGACUAUGUGGCUGAUGUAUGGCUAUGAUUGUAAGGGGACGCCAUUUGCUUCUCCUACCGUGGUGGGUGCACCGUGAUGUGGGCGGUUGGUGGUGUCUCUGAUAUGGAUGUCGAGGUGGCAACCCUGGAUGGCGGUCUGAUGGUUCGCUCUCUAGCGGGCCCCAUGGCAGCAGUGAUAGGUGGAGCGACGGGUGGCUCGGGUGUGCUCUUUGUCUCCGGCAGUGGUGACACCUAGAUCCAGAUCUGGAGGUCUGAACUCGUCGUGCUUACCCUGGAGACCUCGUGGUGUCAUGGGGGAGCUGUCGAGUAAAGCCCCAUGCUUUGCCGUCAACGAGGGUGAUGCUCGCGGGUGCCGCUUUGCUCUUAAAGAUAUCACCGUGGUGCUCUUCUUCUUGUCUGGGCUCGGAGUAAAAACCUUUGUUCGGUGUGGACUCAACAACGCUGACACUUAGGGCUAUUCGCUCUCCUAAGAGUGUUGUCGUUGAGCUUAGAUGUUAUAGGGCAUAGUGUGACGUUGCUAUCGGUUCUUCCUAUGCUCACUUUGGUAGUAUAGCUGCAUGCGUUCUGUGUGAUCCGGUUAUCCUGGGAUCUAUUAGAAUAAUCCGAGGCAUACCGUUGAUCAUCCGAGGACCAAGGAACCACACGAGCACGACACCGAGAUUUGUUAACGAGGUUCACCUUGGCUACAUCCCCGGGGCUUGACUAUGGGCGCUCCUCCCCAUGACAUCGCUACAAUACCGCACCCCGUCGCCCUGCACGCCGGCACAUGCCGCCGGCUUCCCUUGCGUUCCUAUGCUAUUAUGUUGGCAUGGGUUACAUCGUGUGUCUACCCCCAUUAUAUAUGAGAGGCCUAGGAUACAAGUGUCCUAUUAGGACACGACUCUAUAUCCUAUCUAAACACAAUACUACUCAAAGUCCAACUCUAACCUAUCUUAUACGCAAUAUUCGACACAACUCUAACAGGAUCUGCAUUGUAUGAGGACUACCUCAUCACCUUGUAUUGGUCAGCCAUGCACUUUGUUCGGUUGUUGCAUUAUACUCUCUCUGUUCAGAAUUAUUGGUCGCAGAAAUGGAUGUAUCUAGUUAUAUUUAUAUAGUUCUAUAUACAUCAAUUUCUAUUCAUUUUUGAGACAGGUAGUCCCGGACGGAAGGAAUAUAUAAAGCGGGGCGCCUGGUUCAAACUUUAAAGAGAGACAUAACCACAAAGGAGACGUAAGAAGGCAAAUAACUACAGCGCAAUUGAUGUCAUGUCAGCAAGAAAUGUUCUUAAGGGCCACUCCACAGCUUCCCACUACGAACCUAAAUCUUCAUGAAACUUGAGAAAAUCAUACUCGACGAAAAUCAUACGCUUGUUUUAGAUGCCUGUCGUCGUUGGUUGCUACAGAAGAUGGAUUUAAAUAAUUGAAAUUAAGUUUUUUUUUAGCACUCUCUCUGAGCCAAAUUAAUUAACAUAGCUCUAGUACAACUUUUUCUUUUUGAGUUUGGACUUGGUUUGGCUGUGUGCAUCUUUUUUUUUGAAAUGUUGGCUGUGUGCAUUUUAGUUAUGCAGAAGCCAGAUAAUACUUAAAAACUUUGUAAGCAAUAAAGCGCCCCUUAUCGAACAAUAGAAUUAUGCAGAGGACUAACACUUAACUCUCGAGUAGUAACUGGUUGAAACUUACCAGCUCUACGUGGUUGAUGUUGACAUCCAAUUUCGAAUACAGAACAUAUUUCCCAAACCAUUCAAAAACAUCACAUUGCCAUCUUGGUUAUUACCCUUUAACCUCCUCACAGCAGAUUCCAUCUGCAUACACUCAGUGUAAGAACGCAGCAGAUCCAUUAAAACAUGUAGUACGAAUUAUCACGUUAUACUAAAAUUUUAGAAUCAACAAGACAUUAGCUACAUAUUGACUUCUUUAAUUAUUUAUGAAGACUGCCUCUAGAGAAUUGUUGGCAUGUCUAUGACGGUAAAUUUGCAGCUCAGUUAAAGUGUGCUUGGUUGGUUAAACAAGGUAUACUAGAUGAUUUUCCCGCGCGUUGCUGCGGGAUUUUAAAGAUUAAUUUUGGAUAUAUUAUAUAAGAAUGAAAUGAUCUAAAUCAAAAGCUAUUAUUUUCAAAAGUAAUUAUAUGUGAACAAAGAGUAUGCAUGUACGUUGGACCAUUGGAGAUGGAACAAUUAAAUUGGAGUAUGCAUGUGCUACAAAAUAAUUCUAGUGGGUGAUGAUAUGUGGAGGGCUGCAUGUUGAGAUAAUUAGACUUAAUGGGAUCAACUAUAUAUUUAUUAUAGAUGGGAUAGGUUGUUUGCUUGGUUGGGUGGAUGGGAGUAUCAAAAAAGAUUAAUUAGCUAAAUGAUACCUCCUAACUUCUACAUUAACACCAUCAAGACCUAGUGAACCUACUUAAGUCAAACCAGAAAAACAUGUACCUGUUUCAGAUAAUCAUCCAUGAACAUGAUUGCAUGGUCAUCAUGCCCAGUACUGAGUUUGAAAACAUGAAGUACAUUGUCUUUCUUCAAUGACUGCAAAAAUGAUUUCUAUAUAUGUUCAGAUUUUCAUCAAAGCAAGGAAAAUUUUCUCUGGUGCAGUUGAAGAUUACUACACAUUGGUAAACAAUAAUCACCAACAGUUUAACACAAGAAUAGCUAGAAAAGAAUCCAAAGGUAAAACACAAACUCAUCAUUGCAUUACAACAGUUGUGUAUACAUAAAGAAUUAUUGCAUAAGUUCAAAACAAUACCUUGAAAUCUCUGGCAGCUUGUGUCCUGUCCUUCACGCUAUUAUAGUUUGGGACUGCAAAAUGAAUGGUUGUGUCACAGCCUACAAGUGAACACAAGAAAAAGGUGAAUUUCGGAUCUGAAUCACCAUUAAAAAAGGAAACAGUUAGAGAAGAAGCACACACUGAGUUUAUAUAACCAUCUUUAUUAUAUAACAACAUGUUACAUGGGAGUAUUGUUACAUCCCUCCAUUAAGAGGAGGAGCAAACAUAAGUACAAGAGUUUAAUAGUGGCCGUGUCCCCCAACCCACAAAUAACUUUGGCACAUGCACGCACAGACCAGAAUUUUGCAACAGAAAACAUCACUAACCUAUGCACACGGUGGCUCUCGCAGCCAGUGAUGGUAGGCCUGAAUCGUCGCUCCACCUCUGCCUUGAUGUUGUUGGCCAUUGUCUGAAGGUCCUGGUUCUCUCCCUCGAACACCAGGUAGCUAUGUUCUCUCCAAAAUCCCUACGGGCCAAAUUUGUACAAUCACUAUCGAGUCCAGGUCUUUUUGCCGAUCUUUUGGCAGUGCUUUUCACCUAGACAGCCACCAAAUUCACCUGAAGUGGCGAGCUGUUCAUUUUAAAAUGACUUGCCACAGUUAUGUCAACCAGGAUCAUUGCUCUCUUUCUCGGCCUCCCGCAGAACUUCACAAGUUAUGAGUUUGCUGUAUGAGUAUAUAACUGAAUGAAGUAGUCUUUGAACCUGCAAACAGAGCACUUAAUCUACUUCUCAACGCACUGGAAUUUUUUGCAAUGUCUCUCUGUACUAAUUGUCCACUGCUACCCUACCACGAAGAAGUAGCGAUUUCUCCACCAAUCCAGCUCGCAAUCGGAUUAAACACUAGGCAAAGAAAUUCCUCUCUGCAACUAUAUAUCCAUACAAAAGUACCAUUUACUCCUGGAUCGAGCACUAAGCCACUAACUGACGGACGGAGAAUGGAUGACUAACCUUCUAGUUGCAACCGCAUGACCUCUGACCUGCCCUGCCGGCGGCUCACAGCGAUGGAUAGCGGACUAGCCUGCCAUCUAGGGUAAUUGCAGACGGCCAGAGUUGCAACGGAGGCCUCAUCGUGAUACACGACGACCUCCGUAGCUGGGAUCAGAUGUAUUUUCUAAUUUGAAUUGAAUAUGUAGUGUCACCAUUCCAGAUUUUUGGUACAUAUGAACAAAAAUAAAUUUAUUCAUGGGCCAUUCAACACUUUUCAACUCAUCGGAUACUGGCUCAGAUCGAGUUCACAUAUCAUUAACAUAUUUCGAACCAAAUCCAUAAUCAUAAAAUCCUCUGGUUUUAUUCAAACAAGCGGUGGAGAUGCCCCAUCCCUCCUAGCAUUGUUUUUCCUUAUCAUUUAGGAUCUCUUCAUUCAGCCUUUAAUAGAUUAAUAACAAAAAAACAUAAGUAUGGCCUAGAUAUAUAAGAUGCUUCAGAAUAGCUGGGCACAAACAAGUUGGCAUGAAACGGUCUAGAACUUCUUUUGCGGGAAAAAAUCUAGACCUUCUCAAAAUCCAACAAAUAAAAUAUGCUCGUUGUCCAUGAUCUAGGAGGGUAUCUACGAAUAGGUACUUAAGGUUUGUUCAUGAAAAGUAUUAAAAUAUUUGGCAAUUUUCCUUUUGGGUAGACAAAGUACCUAGAAAUAUGUAAAUUCAUGCUUAUACACCUGAACAUGCACCAUAGUAGACCAAAUUAUGUUGCCAAAGUAUAACGAACAUAUUAUAUUUUUGAAUAGGUUAUCUGUGUAAAUGGUCUACACAAUUCAAAUAAGUAUCAACUUCAUGCCCAAAAGAUUUAGUAAAAGGUACCGGGUGGUCCCAAUGAAAUAUUUACAUAACAUUACAAACUUAGUCCACCAAAAGAAUGAUUUGAUCCAGAAAAAUCCUUCUUCACACAUAGAUCGAACUGAUGAUGACGUAUCUAGAGUUAGGACCGGAUAUAUGCUAGUAACUUGUAAGCAAUUACCAUCCUUUACAUGUAAGGGAAUUCUAUGAGUCAUGUCAUGAUCUAUACCUCUCAGUUCAUCUUAUCAUCUUAGAGAACAAUACAAAGUUAGUUUUAUAAAAAAGCAACCGAGUCUAGACGAACCCUCCACAUACAAGGCUUUAAUAAUCGAGCAUAUCUUAACAGUCCACACACGAUUGCAACUUAGUCCUACACAGGUUUUGCCUUUCUUGUUUAUGGUUGACAGCCUAUACAAGGUUCCAAACUCGGUUGCAAAAGUGAUACUAUCCUGAUAAAUGUGUGACAUGUAAAGUGAAUAAGGCGAGUCAUAUAUACCACACAUCAGGGUUUCUAUAAUUUGUGUGUGAUCAUAUGCACAACUAAAAAGCAACUUUGAUGAUCAAUCCAAAAGUACGCUUGUAGCUAGUGCAACCUAACACAAUGUACCAAAAAAUCAUUUCUGAUGCAUCCAAAUAGAAUUAUUUAAGUUGAUGCAAAGAAGGAAAGAGGUGGUGCCCGGACUACUAUAAAUAGGCAUGAAGUAUAAUGAUCAUCACAAGCACAAGCAUCAAAACCAAGCAAAAGUAGUUAGCACCAAUCCAUCAUGAAGACCUUCCUCGUCUUUGCCCUCAUCGCCGUUGUGGCGACAAGUGCCAUUGCACAGAUGGAGACUAGCUGCAUCUCUGGUUUGGAGAGACCAUGGCAGCAGCAACCAUUACCACCACAACAGUCAUUUUCACAACAACCACCAUUUUCACAACAACAACAACAACCAUUACCUCAACAACCAUCAUUUUCGCAGCAACAACCACCAUUUUCGCAGCAACAACCAAUUCUAUCGCAGCAACCACCAUUUUCACAGCAACAACAACCAGUUCUACCGCAACAAUCACCAUUUUCGCAGCAACAACAACUAGUUUUACCUCCACAACAACAACAACAACAACUUGUGCAACAGCAAAUCCCUAUUGUUCAGCCAUCCGUUUUGCAGCAGCUAAACCCAUGCAAAGUAUUCCUCCAGCAGCAGUGCAGCCCUGUAGCAAUGCCACAACGUCUUGCUAGGUCACAGAUGUGGCAGCAGAGCAGUUGCCAUGUGAUGCAACAACAAUGUUGCCAGCAAUUGCAGCAAAUCCCCGAACAAUCCCGCUAUGAAGCAAUCCGUGCCAUCAUCUACUCCAUCAUCCUGCAAGAACAACAACAGGGCUUUGUCCAACCUCAGCAGCAACAACCCCAACAGUCAGGUCAAGGUGUCUCCCAAUCCCAACAGCAGUCGCAGCAGCAGCUCGGACAAUGUUCUUUCCAACAACCUCAACAGCAACUGGGUCAACAGCCUCAACAACAACAACAACAGGUACUACAGGGUACCUUUUUGCAGCCACACCAGAUAGCUCACCUUGAGGCGGUGACUUCCAUUGCACUCCGUACCUUGCCAACGAUGUGCAGUGUCAAUGUGCCGUUGUACAGCGCCACCACCAGUGUGCCAUUCGGCGUUGGCACCGGAGUUGGUGCCUACUGAUAAGAAAAGUUGU